rnacentral:lncRNA from 1 species
UUUUUUUUUUUUUUUUAAAAAAAAAAAAAUGUCCAGGCUCCCGGCAUUGAAAAGGAAUCCCAACAGGUCAUAUCAUCUUCCCGGACAACGUACGAAAAAUAAAUAAAUCCCCAAUAAAGCUUAUAGUUACUAACUCACUGUCUAUCUAGUAUCUACCCCAUUGGAAACCGUUACCUAAUCUAAUUAAUACUACUGUACAACAAUUCAUUUCCACACGUAAACACAUGUGCGGAGCGAUUUAGCGUGUGUAGGAUAAAAAAAGAUAUUUACAGAAAAUGUAAAAAUUUUUCUGCUGAAAACUACAAUCCAAACAAAAGGAAUAAUAUGUAUAAAUAAUGUCCAAUAUUCUGUUAUUUGUCUUUAUAAAGUUCUAAAAGAAUGCAUUUUUAUCAUUACAAUACGAGCAUUGCUUUAGGUAUAAACGAACAAGAUUUUAACUUACACAAAAUUUAUUAUUGUAAAGAUAUCCUUAUACCUGUGAAUAUUUAUUUUGUUGCGGAAUAUAAAGUAUUUGUGCAGCUUAGUUUGUUUGAAUUGAGAUGAUUUCAAGUAAAAUAAUUUAUUUCAUAAAUUUUCAUUGUUUUUCUAUUUUUCGAACCACAUUUUCAUCUCGUAUAAAUUGUUGUGUUAUAAAUAAAACUCAAAAAGAGCGUUGAACGUAAAGUCCACUCUCUAUCACCCAUCAUCAGACUGUCCUAGUCUUCUUUUACAAUUCACUCCCGGAAUCCCAUAUUAUUUGUCCAUUCAUUCCUGCCUUCCUUCCUUCCUUCCACAAUAAUUCCGCUGAUCAUCGAGGGAGUCUCUUGUUGUCUGUGCAAUGGGGAGCUCUAGUUACAGAGUUUGCGUGUGCUUUACGCGCAAGUUCAAGGUGGCAGAGGUGCAGCCACCGUCCGACGUUAAAGAAGCUUUCAAGGAGUAUGCAGAAGGAGGGACCCACAUGAACGCCGAGCAACUCCGGCGCUUCUUGGUGGAGGUCCAGGGCGAGACUGAGGCCACUUUGGCCCAUGCGGAGGCAGUCUUGCAGCAGAUCCUCCAGAAGAGGCACCACAUUACUAAGUUCACUCGCCACGCUCUCACUUCUGAUGAUUUCUUUCACUUCCUCUUCAGCGUUGACCUUAACCCGCCAAUUCGCUACAAGGUCUGAUCUCUUCAUGAUUCUCUGAUACUACUAUAUAUCUCAUCAUAUCGUCCUUUUACCUUUUCCUACUUUAGGAAUCCGGGUUCGCGUUUAGUUUUGACCUUAACGCAAGAAUUUAGGCCUGUUUUCGAAAUUUUGCAGUAUAAAGUUAGGAUCUUGGCCUAGAAUUUUUCAGAAAAAAUUGGAAUAGGCAAUUCCAUCAAUUUGAUGAGGUUUUGGUGUAUCUAUUCCCGAUACGAUCUUCUGUUGUAUUCAAGUUCCUGAUAUGGAAUUAUCAGUAAAGUAGUUAAAGUUCCAACCUUGGGAGCAAACUUUUUUUCGUCGGAUUUAGUGCAGGUUUCCGACUGGGGAAAGGAUAUUGGCAAUCUAUGUUCUGCUAGCGACUGUUCCAUCUCCUUAUUUAUAGGUAAAAAAAGUAAGUGGAAUGCCACAAGCAAAAAGUAGAGUGUUCUUACCUGUGUGUCGCUGGCCCUCCUCUUUUGAGUCUGUAACACCUCCUAUGCCAUAGUUAGGGGCUCAGUUUUAUUUUAUUUUAUUUUAUUUUUCGAAGAACAUCAAUUAAAAAUUAUAGCGGAAGGGAGCAUUGGCUGCUGCAUUGGUUCUUUGAAACUGAGAUUCAAAACCUGACGUGUUUCAUUGGGAAGAGUAGCUUUACGACUACAGCUAGCCCUUACAACCACUGCAUAAUCACUUGUCAAUUUCUUUUGUCAGGUUUCAAUGAUUUUACUUUGUGGAUCAUCCAUAUUGGUUACUAUGGAAUUUUAUCCAAUAAAUUGUCUUGAUACAUCUGAAAUUAUAGAAGGGCAUUGCCUUAUUUUUAGUAUUAUGAUAUGGUGUUGACUAUAUUCUUAUUUGAAUUCAGGAUUUCUGCUGCUAUUGUUGAAAGAUUUUCAUUUUUUCAUUGCAGGUUCACCAUGAUAUGACUGCUCCUCUGUCCCAUUAUUUUAUAUUCACUGGGCAUAAUUCUUACUUGACUGGAAACCAACUGACCAGCGAUUGCAGCGACGUCCCAAUUAUUGAGGCAUUGAAAAAAGGCGUGCGGGUAAUAGAACUUGAUAUAUGGCCGAAUUCUUCAAAGGAUGAUGUGCACGUUCUCCAUGGAAGGUACGACCUCCUAUGAGAUGUUGUUGACUUGAAGCUCUAUUAUUUAUCAUACAGCACUUUGUCGGCCCUACCUCAUGUAACAUAGAAUACACGAUAUGAGCCUGCCUGGAGACUGAAUGUGUGCGUGGUAAUCGUUUGAGUUCACUCCCUUUACUAAACUAUUCAUAGCUCUUUAACUUGGUGAGAGUAAACUUCAGUUUUUGGGAACUUGUUUCCUAAUUAGGCAGGGAAUAAUCAUUCUUUGGCUUUAAUUAUUUGUCAUUCUCUUUCUCAUUUGUUUCAUUGUGUUUCAUCACUUCUUUGAAUAUUUUUUUUUCAAAUUAAAUGUAGGACGGUUACGACGCCUGUGGAACUCAUAAGAUGUUUAAAGUCAAUAAAAGAGCAUGCAUUCUCAGCUUCUCCAUACCCUGUUGUAAUAACACUUGAAGAUCACCUUCCAGCUAACCUUCAAGCCAAAGUUGCUCAGGUGAAUAUCCUGUUUGGUCAAUUCAUAUCAUGCGUUUUUUGAUGUGAGAAGUCAUUUUAAUCUUUUCAUUUUUCAUAUAGAUGCUUACUGAAACAUUUGGAGAAAUACUCUUCUGUCCUGAAUCAGAAUCCUUAAAAGAAUUUCCUUCACCAGAAGAUUUGAAAUAUCGUGUUAUUAUUUCAACUAAACCUCCAAAAGAGUACCUUGAAGCUAAAAGGCUUGCUGACAAACAAAAUUCACAAAAAGAAAGGGAGUCUGAUGAUGAUGGAUGGGGAAAAGAGCCUUCAAGCACUGACGCUGCAGCUGACGAAGAAGAUGAUGACAAGGUUGGUUGGAACAUGGAAGUCUUUGGUCUUGAAUUUGGUUUCAUCUAAAGGCUAGCAGCUCAAGUGUUUUGAGAUUUCUCAUAUCCCAUUGCAGAUUGACAAUGGUGGGAGUGAUCGUAACCAGGACGAUGAAGAUGAUGACGACUCUGAUGACAAACCACACCAAGCACCAGUUUACAAGAGUCUAAUUGCUAUUCAUGCUGGCAAACCCAAAGGUGGAUUAGUGGAGGCACUGAGGGUAGAACCAGAUAAAGUGAGACGGUUGAGUUUGAGUGAACAGGCUCUUGAAAAGGCUGCCGAAUCUCAUGGAAUGGAUGUUGUGAGGUAUAGGUCGACAUCCUUAGUGCAUAAGUGCUGGGCUUAAUGUUUGUAAUUUGUUGACAUGACCAUCUGUUACAUAUUUGCAUUCUGAUAGUUGCUUUAUACUUUAAUAGGUUCACCCAGAAAAAUAUUCUUAGGGUUUACCCUAAAGGUAUGCGAGUUACCUCCUCCAAUUACAAACCACUUCUUAGCUGGAUGCACGGAGCUCAGAUGGUUGCAUUUAACAUGCAGGUCUUUGAAACACCUUAUAUUCAUAGUCAUAUUCAUAUUCAUUGUAGCUUAAGUUAUUUGUUUGUUUGCCCUCGCUGCAUGUUACUCAUCUUUUGAAAUCAACCCGAGCUAUUCUUGAAUCUUGUGUAUGACAAAAGGAUAAUUAUAGUGACUUGAAUUAUUUAAAGUUUUCAUGCAAAAAGUGAUGCUGGCACAAUUUUAUUUACACAGGAAUUACGUAAACGUUGCAAAUCAUGAAAGUAAUAUAUAGAAAAGCAAUCUUUAGUUCAUAUCUAUUACAGGUUGGUUGAAGUUGCCUUCUCAUUCUGGAUAAUGAUUUUAGUUUUGCAUUGACUUGCCCUUAAAAGCAAUGACUUGAGGUUGCUUGUUUAAUUCCUACACACAGAUAUUCUAGAACAUGUACGACAGGAACAGGCACACAUUUUGAUAGGCAUGAUUAAGCAUGCAGAGAUGCAUUGAAGUUAGAAUGACUAAUAUAUGCAUUGAAGUUGGAAUGACUAAUAUAUGCUGAUCCAGGGCUAUGGUCGAUCACUUUGGUUGAUGCAAGGGAUGUUCAAAGCGAAUGGAGGGUGUGGCUACGUUAAAAAGCCCGAUUUCUUGAUGAAAAUUGGUCCAAAUGGUCAGGUGUUUUAUCCUAAAGAAAAGCAGCCUGUGAAGACAACUUUGAAGGUGGGGAAGAUGCAAAAGCUGAAGAAGUUGUUCAAUUGUUAGAAAAAGAUUGUCUGUUACUAACUAAUGUUUGUUUUCACAGGUUAAGGUCUACAUGGGAGAUGGAUGGCAUCUGGAUUUUAAGCAAACUCACUUUGAUAUGUAUUCUCCACCUGAUUUCUACACUAGGGUAAGUUGUUUGUCUCCUUUUUAUAUGCACUUACUUUUAAGACACACAAUUCAUAUAAGUCCCAAGUCUUGUAUCAUUUGGACAAGUCUUUACUCUCUCCAGAGAAUGGCAAAAUUUGCUAGUUAUGACAAUUAUUGAAGAAUACUUACAGAAAGUUGACAUUCUCAUAAAAUGCUGGUGCUAAGAAGAGUUAUCAGUGAAGAGUCUUCUUUUUCCAUGUGGCCUUUCCAUAUGCUCGAUUUUUUUAGGUAUAUUUCUGGGAGACUAACAAGUUGAUCAUCAACCACUUGGAAAAAAACUGCCCAUGUAAAAUUUUCCUCUGCAGAAAAAGCACAUGGAACAAGUUGUAAAUUUUUCCUCUGCAGAAAAAGCAAUAUGUCAGAGUAUAUUUAUGUCCUUUUUUGGUUGUUUAAUAAAAUCAGGUUGGCAUAGCUGGAGUGCCAGCUGAUGUUGUCAUGAAGAAAACCAAGAAAAAGGAGGAUAACUGGACACCAAUUUGGGAAGAAGAAUUUACCUUCCCAUUGACUGUUCCCGAGCUAGCUCUGUUGCGAAUUGAAGUGCACGAGUAUGACAUGUCUGAGAAGGAUGAUUUUGCCGGCCAAACAUGUCUACCUGUCUCUGAAUUAAAGCCUGGGAUACAUGCAAUUCCUCUAUGUGAUCACAAAGGAGAGAAGUACAACUCUGUGAGGCUUUUGAUGCGCUUUGAGUUUGUAGAAUGUUAAAUUUUCUUUUUUCCCCCUUGGUGUCUGACGUUAUCGCGUGAUAUAGCCUUUUUUGUUUUCAUCUUUGUGAGCUGUUUCUGGAUUAGAGUUCUUUUGUUUCUGUGUUUGCAUGUAGUUAUUUUAGGUAUCAAGUGUUAAGUGCUGUAUCUGUGUUUAUGGCGGCUUGUACAUAGGCUCGUAGAAAAAUGGUUCUGUUCUGUAUUGAUAACGAUAACUUAAUAAUGCAUUGAUUGUAAUCUUUGAGUACGAUUUUUGUCAGAUGUUUCUGCAAAGUGAUUAUUUUUAUUUCAAUCUGUGUCUAAAGGCUUGUACUAUUGUACGAGGUCAAGUAAACACAGCUUCUUCUAGCAGCUGAUUUCCUGUAGAAUCAUUAAGAUGCUAUCUGCUGGAAUCUUUGGUCAAAUUUUGACCAGGCCCCGUAGACAUCGUAUGCUUCAUCUCACGCUGAGCCAGUAUCCAUGUCUGGCCAAAUACCCGAAAGCCCAAAAAUGUGGAUUAGUCACUUUUUUUUUUUUCCGCUUUUGGGUCAGAGAUAAUGAUGAUAAACUCUCUUGCAUCUUUGCUUUACUAAACGCGUAAGAUAAUCCACGAAAGCCAACAUAACAUGGUGAGGGAAAAGAAUUGCCUCAUCAAAUUGCAAAGAAGCGGGAUCUGGACUUAACGAUGGUUUAAGAAAAUAUUACUUUAUACGAAGAACAGAAAAUUCACUUCAUGAGGAUUUGAAGUAGAACAUUUCUUGGGGAUCACUGCAAUUUCAAGCUGGAGAUGCAAUCACCAUAGCUGAACUGUCAUCGCAAAGAGCAAGUGCCCUCUCCAAUUUAGCCACAACAUCACUCACUGUUGGUCUAUCUUUACCCUGUAAGCUUAUGCAAUGCAAAGCUGUGCAAGCCACAACCUCAACCGCCUCAAUCUCGUUCAUUUCUGGCAGUCCCACUCGCUUGUCCAGGAUCUUUUCCAGUUCUCCUGCUACUAUCCAUGGCCUUGCAUAUUCAACAACUCCCAUAGGGCCAGCGCCUUCAUUCGUGAAUACUGCUUUUUUCCCUGUCAAAAGUUCUAAUAACACCACCCCAAAUCCAUAUACAUCACUCUUUACGGUAAGAAUAUUGAGCACGUAGCACUCGGGAUCAAUGUAGCCAACGGUACCAACCGCUUUCAUAUACAUGGGCUCGUCUUCAGACUCUGGCCACAUUAACGAUAACCCGAAAUCAGACACUCUUGCUGUCCAAUUUCCAUCAAGAAGUAUGUUUGAGGACUUGAUGUCCCUGUGAAUUAUCGGUGGAAUGGAAUAGUUGUGCAGAUACUCAAUUCCCCUUGCAGCAUCUAGUGCAAUUCUGAUCCUCAUUCUCCAAGAAUUUAGCAUGCUGCUAUCCUUGUUUCUUUGGCCAUGCAGGUGAUCAUGCAGUGAUCCAUUUCUCAUGUACUCAUAAACUAAAAGUCUCUCAUCAUUUUCUUGGCAAAAACCCACAAGUCCAACUAAAUGCUUGUGGUUGAGGCAUGAUAACAAAGCUAUUUCGGAGAGAAAUGAGCUCUCUUUCUCCUGAAACUUCUUUGUUUUGGAACUGCACUCUGCUCUCUUAAUAGCCACUUCACGACCAUCAGCAAGCUUGCCUUUGUAAACUCUGCCAAAGCUACCACCACCAAUCUUGUUUUCUUGUGCAAAAUUACUGGUAUUAGCUGCAAGCUCUGACAGGGUAAAGUUCUCCGUUCUCUCAGUCUGCCUUGAUGAAGUACCACUCCUCUGACCCCUUAAAACCCAAGAAUUGUUGCGCUUGAUGGAUGAUGAUCCUGAUGGAGGAAGAAUGGAAGCAGCUAAAUAGUCUUCCAGAUUUGAUCUAGCACUAGUGGGUUGCAGAACCACGGGUUUAUAGACAUUCUUAUGUCCAUUCCCACAUAAUCCAGCACAGAAACAGUAGGCAAUGGUACAAAUGCCGGCAAAAGCCCCGAUACAGCCCACAACCCCAAAUGCCAAGAAGAGCCUGUUCUUAGUCCUUGAAGGGGAAGAUGCUAGCUCUGGAACUUGUGAUCCGGGGGUUGAUGGCAUUAGUGGAGGUAGAUUCACUGGAAUUGGGAGCUCAACUUCACACACUUUGCAUAUGCUCCCCGAACCAGCACAAAGACUGCCUGAAUUUGGGUACACCCCACAAACACUACAUGACAUUUGCAUACAAGGUCCAGGAAGUACUGGUUCCAGUAAAACCACAUCUCCUGCAGUAAGGUUUCUAGACCAUCCUGGCCCCCAACAGAUAAUGGAUAAAUCCUUGGUUGUCAAUCCACAUGUAAAAUCCAAUCCGGCAACUAUGUUUUCGAAAGACACUUCAUCUACUACAUUACUGGAAAACUCCAAUUUUCUUGAACCUCCUCCCCAACAAACAACCAAACCAUUCUUCUUACUAAUUCCACAGCUAUGAUUCGCUCCCAAAGCCAGACUCGAAAAUUCGAAAGCAUAAUGAGAAGGAACAUUGAGUUGUCCACCAAUGUUACUACCUUUGCAAAUCAAAGUUCCAGCUUUAGUCACUCCACAUGCAUGAGACUCACCUGCAAUUAAGUUGAGCAUUGGCAAGCUUUUAAACUGUAUUUCAAUCUCUGCUCCAAUUUCACUACGACCCCAACAGUGGACUCUACCAGCGUUCUUUAAUAUUCCACAAGAGAAUCCUUCACCUGAAGUUAUUGCCCGGAAUUUCGUUCCCUCCUCGGAUGAUGGAAACCGCCAGCAUAAGGCCGCACCUGUGGUGAACUGAAGUGCACAGACCUGAUAGUUUCCGACAGAUAAGCCCUUUAAACGGUUAUCCUUGCUAUAGUAAAUUCUUUUGGCUCGAAAGCUCAUUGUGUCCCAGCAUAUGAUGCUCAACCCGCCGGACUGUAGGCCACAGAAAUAGCCCAGACCUCCAGAUAUGGAUUUGUAGGAAAUUUCUGGUUGGAUUGAAAUGGUUUGGCAAUUCUUGUAGCAAGGGAUUCUGUGUAAGCUUACUGGCAAUGAUGCCGCAGACUGUGUUUGUGGAGCCAGACGUGUAGCUGACUGCAAUGGUGGAGCCUGAACCAAGGCUGGUAACUCCAUGUUGACAACAGGUGGUAAGAAUGAUUAUGAUGAGGAGGGUGAUGGUGGUGGAGGGAAAAGCUGGGGAAUUCAUGUCAGCAGAUGAAUGUGCACUUCGAGAUAAUUGUCUCUCCUGUCGUUCUUCAUUGUGAAAGAGAAGAGAUAGAAAGAUUGGUUGGGAUGAUAGAAGUGAAAGCUAGAUGGGUAAUACUACGUGGAAGUAUUGAAAGGGAAUAAGAUGAAAGACACAGGUCAGGUUGGAGGGAUGGUGGUCCCCUGAAAGUGGGGAUGAUUUUAUCUGCAGACGAGAAUUCUGCACCUAAUUAAGUUUCAUUCUUUCAGUUGUUGAAAUUUUCGAUUGGAGUUACCCUAAAUGGGACAAGUGAAGAUAGCAUACACACAAGGGAUGUGGAAGGUGGCUUGCCAAAGCUGAAGAAUGUCUUUUGUAUCCCAGCCAGCAAAUCCCACUUGAUCACUGCCUCACCCUAAUUCAGGGCCUAUGCUAAUCAUAGUUUUAAGGACAUAAGUUUUGGAUCUUCUUUGUUGCUUCAGUUUCCCCUAGGUGGGUGGCUGCAACUUGCAACCCUGACUUUUCUGGUACCCGGAUCCCCUGUUGGUGGUGAGGCCAUAUAGCUCAACAUAAACGGUAAACAAGUUAGUAACUGAUGCUUGUACCUCUCACAAAUCAGAAUUUCGUACUUUUUAGAGUCUGGAUCCAAUUGGGUCAACUAACAGACCAGAACCUCUCUUGGACUUAAAGCAUCCAGGUUGGAGGGACUGAAAGAGAAAAUCGCUGUACGUGAAUGAGCAUAGUCCAUCAUCACCGGAGUUAUUCUUCAAAUCCCAUGAGAACAUUGAAAUGGGAGAAGAGUGACCAAAGACGAAAGAAGCUGAAAUAUUUUGUUAUAAAAUUCCAAACAGUAAUCAUUUCCUUGUGCAAUAUCACAUUCAUCAACGAUGCCCGGUCCCUUAAAAGAAGAGCAAAUUCCAAAUACAAGCUUGCUUGCUCGCUCAAGGAUGAACAAAAUGGAAAACCAUACUUAAAUUAGGACUACAAGCACGUAUACUUGUUAAGGAUAAAAAAUUAUCAGACUUCUAACAGAGUAGAACCAAUUUUAUUUUAUUUUUGGGAGGGGGGGUGGUGCUCAAUAUGGGCACCCUCAUGUCUAAAAGCACCAAUUGUGGACACUACCAGCAGCAUUAAUUCAAACAAGGCAAAAAUACAACAAACAACUCAGGCUUCUACAGGAUCUUCAGAGCCUUUCAUGUCAACAAAACUGUGAGGAUUGUAAGUCUGGAAUUCAUAGUCUUCAUCACGGUUCUCCAUCGUUUUUCCAAAUACAAAUUGUUUGGUCCCCAUCGUGGUGAAAGGCAUUAAACCAAAAGCUCGAGCAGUCUUGAUUGCUCUAGCAACCUUUCUCUGGGCCUUGGCACUAAUUCGAGUCUAAAACAAGAAGAAAAAUGCUGUCAAAUCCAGUCCCUCUAUUUUAGCUUCAACUGCAUUUAAACACUGUUAAGUUUACCUGGCUCCUCUUGAUGAUGAGUCCACCCUCAGUGAUAAAGUUGGCAAGAAAUCUCACAUUCUGGGGUGAGAAUUAAAACAUAAUCAGUACACAGCAAACUGCUGCAGAUUAAAGCAUUAAAGCGUUAAAGCAGAAAUACUCGUUUAAGCAGGCAUGGCAUCUUAAAGCCUUUGCAAUUAGCUUAGACUGAUGACCAGCAUGCACAGAAAGAGUCCAGAAAAGAAGUUUCCUACACGAUCUGUAUGCUAAUACCCAUACUUGCCUCUUUAUGCGAUAAAAGCUCAAUGCUUCUUGGUGCAUAUAAUCCACUUUUUCAUGAAGUGACAUGUUUGCUAGUGUAUCAUGGACAGCACACUCAUUAAAUCUCUGCUUUUUGACUCGUAUUUCUACUUACAGAAUGGACUAGAAUUUGUUAAAAUGAUGUACUAACAUUUUCCACUGCCUAGAAGUAGUCAAAAUAAGCAAGAGAAAAUCAUUUUCAUACAAUCAAAAGAAAUACUGUAAUGCCCAUAGUUCUUACAAAUUUGCAAACUGUCCAAGAUUACUUUCCAUUUCAUCGAAAAACAUUGUAAAACCCUUGCCCAUGCAUUUAGUGUGCCAAAACUCCUAUUAGCUAUAAAUGGAAGGAAUUUGUAGUAAGGUGUGGAGAAGAAUUGAUGCCUCGCUUGAACACUUGCAUAAAAUUGGCCAAACAAUCAUAGUCAUCAAUGCCAUUGAUUUAAUUUAAUUACACAUCCCUUUUGCGAUUUGAUUAUGUAUACAGGUUUUAUAGUAGGUCCAACACAAUGAGACCAAAGCAUCCAAUCUUCAAUUAUAUAGGUAGCUAAACAUAGAGAAAAAAAACUGCAGGAAGAUAACACUUCCAAAGCUAGGAACUCUCUUAAAAAUAUGACGAACUCUCUUUGGAGGCAAGACAACAAAAGAAAAGCUAUCAGCAUUCCACCAAACGAAUUAUCAUUGAUGAUCUUGAAUGCAAAACAGCCAUGACUUAAUUGUGCAAAACUGUAAAAGUAAAAGAAUUAAUAAACUGGUAUUGGGUAUAUCUUAGGUGCUCAAGAUAUGAGCCUGAGUUUAUAUGAGCAUGCAUUUCAACAAACAUAUUGAUGCAGAUCAAAGAAUACGCACCCUGAAAUCUGCUUUUUGCAGAACUUCUGCUGUUGUAGUUUCAAACUCAUCCCACUUGAAAGGUUUUUGCACACCUGGUUUUCUGAGAUCAAGAUCCUGCAGAGGUCAUGUAUGAAUAAUAUAAGCGUCUCACUUGAAGAAAGAAAGAGCUCAAAAUAAUAAGAAUGACAAUAGCAUCAACAGACACCAUCUAAGAAUUAUACAAGAUUGUACAGAUUGUCUGCAGAUGUAGAGUUAGCUCAAGGAAAUACUAUGACAGGAGAUAAAAUUAGGCUGCAAACUACAAAGUUGGCAUAAGAAAUAGAAUUCAAUCUCUACUCUUAAGUGUUUCAUUAGAUUCGCUGAAACAGUGGGUUCAAAUAUAUUAGCAACUGGAAUAUAGUCCCAAAGAGAAUUAGACAGAUUUACGUGGUUUAUUAAGAUACUAAACACAAGAACAUAAUAUACCAAGCUAAGAAAACAGCAACAUCAGAAAAUAGGCAGUUAAUCUUCUUGCAAUUUCAUUUUGAGUUUUCUGAUUAGUUUCCAAGUACACCUGCUUAAAAUCAAAACAAUUAUCAAAUGCACAUUGCUAAAUGCUAAAAAAUCUCAUCUUGAAUCGUCAACUUGCAGGUCCUACAUGUUUAAAAUUUUUUUUAUUCUACACUCAUUUAAUGACAGAAACAGAUUUAUGCCCAACUAUUUGUUUUAGAAGAGUAGUCCAUUUAGAUUGUUAUGGAUGAAAAUGCAAUGCCAUCUACAAGCGCUUAAACUUUCAAUAUUACCUUUCUGUUUAGGAAGUCAGCUAUUCCACUUGUAAAUCUUAGCAACUAAAUUAGGCUCCAACAUGCAAGUCGAAGUCUGUGAGGUACCUAAAGAUCCAUUUUAACAGAAAAUGAUGCUUUUAUUGGGUGGACACAACUAAAACAACAUUAAAAUGGAAAUUGAAAGUUCAGGUCACAUGCAAAUCAAUAAAUUGCACAACAUGCAAAUCUAGCCCAACUAGCUAGACUAACAAAAUGCAGAUCUUGACGCAAACAAGUUAAAAAAGGCAAAAAAAGAACUGGGCCUUGAAUUCUAUUUGCAAUUCAGAAACACCACAACGCAACAGUAAAGCGUGAAAUUGUGAAAGAGCAUAAUAUCAAAACUCUAUAGCAAGUUACAGUUCUUACAAUAUCAGCAAGCACUAGUACGAUUAGAGAAGCAUUAGUUCAAAUACAUAUCUUUUGCAGAUGGUACCAGAACAGCAAUACUAAGCUGAGAUAAGUAUUAGAUUAGGGUAAGUACUUCGUGUCAUAAGUCAUUCCCAAGUCAAGCACUGGGCCUUGUAUUCUAGAUGCAGAAACACCACAAGACAACACUAAAACACAAUAUAGUAAAAGAGCAUAAUAUCAAAACCCUGUAGCAAGGCACAGCUCUUACAGAUACCAGAAGGCAAUAGUAAGAAUAGAGAAGCAUUAGUUCAAAGGCAUAUCUAUUGCAUAUGGUGCCAGAACAGCAGUACUAAGAUGAGAGAAGCUUUAGAUCAGGGAAAGUACUUUAAUAUCGUAUGUCAUUCCCAACUGAUGGUCCACAUCUGGUCUGAAGGAAUAAUCUUCGCUCUCCAAUUCAUCAGAAUCAACGUCGAAAUAUUUAGCAGCUUCCCCCAACUUCUCAUCCAUCCCAUCUGACAGUGUGUUAAAAGUUUCAUCCAGACGGUCAAAAUUUCCAGAUCUGUUUCCAGGGCUCAGUCCCGAUCUGUCAUAAGCCUUCUCAAUCCUAUCUAAUUUUUGAAAAAAUGAUCUAGAAUCUCCCUCGUCUCCAGUAAUAUCGCUAAAAAUCCGACGCUCAAAAUCAUCAAGAGAUUCAAAAGAGUUAAAGUUGUUCUCAUUACGAGUACCUGUAUUGACACCCAAAAAAAAAAAUGAAGAAACACAACAAUAGAACAAUGGAGAAACUCAAACAGAGGCUGUGUCAAAAGAAACCAAGAAAAACAAAUUAAUGUUUAUGGAACCAGAGCCAGGAACUGAUAAUUACAGAUAUGUAAAAGCCUAUUCAGCAAUUUAUGGUUUUCACUAUCUCUGCUAAACUCCAGGGUUGCCAAUUGUCUAAAGACCCAUUCUUCUUUCCAUAAAAUACCCUGAAGAAACCUUAUGAUUAAUUAAACGUAUCCCAUCUCAAGUUCCCGAUAUUCUCUAAGAAUUCUCUCAUUUUUCAACAAUGCUAUUGACGUUUUCUUUAAAAUAUACCCGUAUCAUUAAUUAAAAGGAAAAAAAAACUCAGAUUAUUCAAAAUUGCGCAUAUUAUAAAAACACGCAAACAAACUCAGACUUUGUACUCUCAAAUUAGUGUACACAUUACAAGACAUGAUACUCUACGAUACAACUGUAUAAAUCAAAUUUAAGGCGAAUAUUUAUCCACGCAAUGACCACCAAAAUCAGAAUAAAGCUUUUUAGUUUUUACCAUUACUUACACCAAUAUUCGUCCUGUUCAAGCCCAGACUAGAAGGAUGCAGAACAACACACCAUCUAGAACUACGUACUUCCCUCAUAAACCAGAGCGCAUUCAAAUAAAACAACUUUAGUUCAUCGUGAAAAAAGGAAAAUGUUCCGCAACAAGUUAGCAUUUUUCUGUUAAACACAGAUAAAUAUGGUCAAAGCAUCAACCAAACACUCAAAAACUAUUAAACCAACCAAUAAACCUUUCUAGACUAAAACGAAAUAUUCUCAGAAAUGCUAACAAACGAACAUACAAAGAAAUACAUACCAGGAAACCGACUAAAAGUAGAGAAACUUCUGAAUACUUGAGACAGUUGAAUGUUUGCAGACUGCAAAACCCUCGUUAUCAGUCUCAUCUCUCACCUGAAUUUGAUAACACUAAAGAUUUAGGGAAAAAAAAUUUUCAAAACAACCCAUGUCAAAUAGAAAAAUAUUUCAAAGAAUAAAAACUAAAAGAAACCCGGAUAGUUUUCUAUUCGAAUAAAUUGAGAGACAAAGAGAAAAAUAACGAGGAGGACCUUUCGCCUUCGAUGGUUAAGUUCAGCAGAACUGCAGAUGGAAGCACCAGGAACGCUCAAGACUCGAGAGUGUGAUUUUAAUGCAUGAGUAGGUGUAUUACUCAUUAGUGGGCUAUUUUGGUGAAGCCCAACGUUGACGGUAUGAUGUAUUUGUAUUCGGGCUGGAUUUGUGUACCAUGUUGGGCCUGUAUUGACCUUUAAUGUGUAACUCUUAAAAUUCAUUGCGCCUGACUAAAUGUUUAUGCUGAUUGCUGAGAGGAGUAGUGCAUGUGUGUGUGUGUGUGUCUGUGAGUCUAUAUAUGAUAAAAGUUAUAUUAAUCAUCCAUAUUCUAAUUGAAGAGAAUUAACUGAUUAUUUGGAUGCUUGGAUUUUAUUUAUAUUUGUAUUCAACUCCUUUAUAAUUAGUUUUUCUUACAAUUUCUCUCUUCAAACAGUUUUAUCUUUUUAAAUAAAUUUGAGUAAUUUGUUAUUAUGUUCCACUCUAUUCUAACAAUAUCAUCUCUUUUGAUAAAUUUGUAUAAUUUUUCUAUCCAUAUGGAUUAACUUAGUGUAAAAAAAAAAAACUUGAAUUUUUACACUGAUAGAUUUAUCAAUACUGUUAGAAGCUGAAUAUUUGUUAAUAAAGAAAAUAAAUUGCUGGAUCUUUGGUGCUUAAUCAAAUAUGUCAUUCUAGGUUUAUGCUCAUUUUAAAAAUUUUAAUUUUUUAAAAGGAUAUCUAUCAAUAUUUUUGACAUGCAUUACAAUAUUUGAUGAAUAAUGCUAUAUUAUAGUGAGAUUAUGUAAAGAGGUUUUUAAAAAUUACUAUGAUAGUUAAACAUUUAGAUAAAUCAAUUUUCUAAAAUUAAUAUGAAUAAACACAUGGGAUUGUUGUUAAUUUUUUAUUUAAAUUAUUCAUGCUUAUAAAAAUUAAAAAUACAAGUGAAAUAUUAUAAAGCAUGAAGUUUUACUCUUAUCCUCUCGUUUCGUAAGCUAGGAUGAUUUGCUGUUUGUUUUCUAGGGAUUGAUAUUAGACACAAAUUCUUUGGAAUUCAGAGGAAACUGCAUGUGUUCUUCGAAAGUGUUGUGUACUCCAAUGACUAUGAGAUAUAUGGAUCAAUCAUUUUAGUCGUAUGUCAAGAGAAGAUUAAAAAAUAAAAGUAUAAAUUGAAUAAUUCCAUCACAUCCACGAGUAAAAAUAUAAGUUAUUUCAUUUUAAAGUUUUUUUUUAUAAAACAAGAACUUUAUUAUUGAUGAUUUCAUUUUAAAGUUAAUAUUAUAUGCACUGAUAAUAUACACUAUCAUGAUGAUUAAAUGAAUUACACCUACACAAAAUUUAGAUUUUAAAAUCAAAUUGAGAUUACACCAUUCAUCUACCCCUCUAACUUUGACUGUUGAUUGAAAAACACAGAAGUUAAGUUCUUGAGAUCGAAACAACAACAUAUUACUAGCAAUUACUAAUAGAUAUCCCAAGUAUAGCCAAUGGUCUUUUGCCUUUGCUCCAAAACCAUACAAGGCACCUUGUGAUUCAUGAGCCAAUCAGCAAUGCUUUGGUGUCGAGUCAUCCUCGCUGUUUGGCUAAUCGCAAAAUUUCCACUAAUCGGUUAGUCUUCAAUUUAUCGCUUUUUUGUCAACUAUGGUUGUCACUUACCUGUUAGGACUUGAAAGGUUGAACAGUCGGGAACAUAUGUUUCAAGUUCAUUAUCAAAUAUUAGGUAAAAUUUUUUUAGAAAAAAAAAAAAAAAAAACUAGUUUGGAAUUAAUUUCUAAAAUCUGAUAACUGAAUAACGGGAUAGUCAGCCCAAUGAAUUUCUUAACACUAAAUCAUCAUGCAACUAUCUGUCAAUAACUAACCGAAUAUUAGGAGUAGUGCAGCGCUUAUAUUAGUGUUGAGGAUGGAGUCAAUACCCAAUAUACUUAAGUAAUUUAUUAUUCUUUGUUUUUUAUUUUCUUUAAAACCAAUAUUUAACUUACUGAGUAUGUUUGUAUAGGAGAAUAUUUGAAAUAUUAUUUAAAAUAAUUAUUGUGGCGCUUUUUAUAAGAUGAUGUAAAUGAAAUAAAAAGGUAAUUGAGAAUAUAAAAAAAUUUUGAUUAGAGAGCGUGUCUGUUUGUUUGUGAUGCAUGCAAAUAAUUUUUUUAUAAAUAAUGUUAAUCCAAAUACAUCAUGGCAUAUAUAUUAUCAGUGUACAAAAGAUUAAUUCUUUAUAUUAUUUCCUUUCAUGAACUCCCGUUCAUAUUAAUCUAACAACACAACAGUGGGUCGGGUAGUGUGUUGGGUAGUAUAGUUGGGAAAUGCCAGUCAUUUGCAUCGUGAAAAAACAAAAAACAUUUCCCAAUUCUUAUAACUAUAAGUUUAUUGAAAUUUAUCUAUUUACUAUAACACUUUUCAUACUAUGAUAUAUAAGCCCAAUAAAAUCAGUUAGGGAAACAAAAAAUAAUAAUUUUUUGAAAAAUAAUAAUACGAUGCGUCACUUUAAAAAGUUUAGAGGCUUAAAUCAUGGACUAAAGAGCAAAACAUUUCAUACAAUUCCGGCAUCUAUACGAAAGUAUUAUAAUUUAGUAUGAAUGAGAUGCUCUUAUAUCCUAAUUAAUUACCACCGGGAAACAUGAUAAUCUAAUAACAACUGCGGGAAAAAAAAUAGAAAACUCCACGCACAUUUUUAUUUGAUUCUUGAUCGAUCACGGGGGGGGGGGCACUUUCAUUUGAUUUUCUUCUUCAGGGAUUUGUGGCGUGGGCGGCGGGAAGGAAAGGCUCUACGACCACAAAAACACCGCUGAGUAAUAAGACAACUUGUCUAAAUUGAUGGAAGCUUGAAAACGGUAUCCGUCUUUGUACCCCAUUUAACCAGCAUCCAUCUUAUCCUGAUGACAAACAUUUCAAUCAACUACAGUGACCAAGAAUAUCAUAAAUAUAACAGGAAAGUAUUGUGUAUUUAUUAGGCAUUGAUGAGUUCUGAUUUGGUGCAGCGCCUGUUAGUUUUUACAUUAGCCUUUUACGCCUAGGUUUGGAAACAAUUGACUUUUUAGUGCUGGAUCAAACAUCAGGCUAAAGUCUUUACUCUUCAGCCUUUUUAAUUUCUACAUCAUACAAGAAUAAAACAAGAGGUUCUAGCUAGUGGGGAAGAAUCUUGCGAGUCUAGGCCGCUGGGGGAGUAGUAGAUCUAUCAUCUAUCACCUAUGUAUUUUGGUGAUGAAGUGAAUGAAGUUGCAUGAUAGGUCCCUCCACAAACCGACCAGCCAUUAUUCUCCCUUCACAAGCAAUAGUCAUGUCUUUUCUCUCCCUUUUAUCAUAUGCAGAAUUGCAAAAUCUCUUUCUUACUAUUAAAAUCUGCUUUUGGCAAAGCAAAGCCGUCACAUCAUGAAUUCCAUUAAUUGGAGUGAUCUUAUGAUUCUUAUCAACACCCAACUAUGUAUGGUGUGCGUUCUAAGUCCUCAAUACACGUUGACGUUACCACCAUUCUUGCAUAUUUUUCCCUUAAAAACUCCACACCUAUGCCCUAUCGGUUUGCCCAAUUUUAUGAGCUGCAAAAAGUGAUUGAAAAAGUGCAAGAUAAUACAGAUAUGAAAAUAGCUGAAAAAAACAAAAGAUAGAUCAUCCUUUACUUUAUUUUUAUCGUAUAAAAUACUCCUACCGUACUAUCAUAUUAUUUAUUUUUCACCAAAUUUAUGCAGCUUUAAGAUUCAGGAAUAAAGAGUGAAACCAUAUGCGCACGCUGUUGGUUCUGUGGCUUAUCAAAUUAAAGCGAAAACUCCAAGAACUAUAGGAAAUAAAGCUCACAACAAAAUGAGGAAAGGCAGCCAACGCAUCAUCCCUUCAUUGCUACCAUACGUGUCCUUUUUCCUUUUCAAUUGGCCGUUGCUUCAUUUGCUUUCGCCUUUUCUCGAUAAGAAAUUUGGAAAGUGACAAAUUUGAUAUAAAAUACAAAUGAAUACGCAUGACAUACACGAGUACUCCUCAGGACUUUAUUUUCAUUAUUAUUUUUUUUUACAGGGAAACACGAACAGGAAAAAAAAAAAAAAAGCGAUAUAUUGAUCUCGAUGAUUUUUUUUUUACUUUUAGCUUUAGGGAGAAUGUGAUUAGAUCUCGUAGUAUAUGCACGCAGCAAAUGUGAUUAGAUUCGAGUGGACAAGAUUACUUGUUGGACCUGGAUCACCAGUGCACUGAAGUGAAAUGGUUGACGUCGAUAUUAUGCAUAGAGAUACGACCUGGCCAGAUAAUAGCAGAAACCCAGCCAUUGGCAAUUUGGCAUGAACCUCUGUAGGCUUAUUGGUGGGUGGGCCUGUCGCCUGACACCAACCAAAUGUAUCACACAGUUGUCAAGGUCUUUUUUUAGUGGAAGACUAGAUGAUGAACCUCCCUCCCGACUCAUUAUUAUCACCCAAAGGAUAUUUCCAUUUUAGAAUGUUCGCAACUACCAAUGGUAGAAACACAUUUAUUAAUUGGGUUUCUCUAUAUGACGACGGAUGCUUAAUAAGCACUACGUCUAAAAUUUAUUUAACAUAUCAUAUAUAUAUAUAUAUAUGUUAAUAACUAUCAUAUAUUCUUACAUUCAUAUAUUUUUUUAUUUAAUAUUAUGUAUUCAUUCUUAUAUUUAUUUACUUUUUCUAAUUAAUCUUACAUUUCAAAAAAUAUGACACCUAAAAUACAUUUUAACGAGUGCUCAAUACACACCCGUUAAAAAGACCCUUGUUAAUUCUAGAGGACAUUUUAAUUUGACUGGGAAUCUAGAUUCAUAAAAAAAUGCAGAGUAACACACGUCACAUUUAAUUUAAAUAAAUUAUCUUUUAUAGCGGAGUUAUCGGUUGUAUAAUUAAGUUUACCAACGAAUGAAUCUAGGUCCAGUGGAGCAAAUGAUUUACGUGCUCAAAUUGAAAAAGAAACUGCCAUUUAAGUCAAUGGAUCUCGAGCAUUAACACAUUUCUUUUUGUUUGUGCCUUUUCCUGUGUUUUGACAAUAAAUGGGGCGUCUUGAUUAUGUUUUCCUUCGCAAAUUUGUCGAAAAUAUUCCCAAAGAUCGUGACGGACGUGGUAGGUCUAUGCUUGCAUUCAUGCCUUUUAGUGCAUUUAUCAUAUGCGGAGUCUGGCCAGUUGGGGUGGCAAGUGGCAAAUGUAGGGCUGUCAACGGGUCGGAUCCGGGCCGGAAUUCAUUAUUCCGGAUCCGGACCCGAAUUACUAUGCCGGAUCCGGACCCGACCCGUUUAUCCGACGGGUCCUUUAUUCUACGUUCCGGAUCCGGAUCCGGGUCUACCCGAACAAAUUUACCAAAUUUUAUAAUUUCUAAUAAAAAUGAGAAAAAAAUAUAUUUGUAAACUAAUUUCUAACUAAUGCAAAGAAAAAAUCAAAUAAGAAAUCAAAUCAAAUUAACUUUAUUAAAAUACAUCACCCUAAUCAAAUUAUAUUGAUAAAUAUAUAUUUUUUAAAUUAUUAAUUCAUUUAUAUCCGGAUCCGGGUCUAAUACGGGCCGGAAUACUAUAUUCCGUAUCCGACCCGUUUUUUGUUUGACAAAACGGAUCCGGAUCCGGAUCCGGAAAACGGAAUUAAAUCCCUACCCAUACCCGCAUUAAUUUCACGGAUCCGGGUCUAGACCCGACCCAUUGACAGGCCUAGGCAAAUGGCAAGGUGGAAGGCGGUGUCGUAAACUGUUGGAGGUUCUGUUUGGCUCUUUAAAAAAAAGAAAAAAAAAAAGAAAAGGGAAGAAUGCCCAAUUGCCCUCCAACAUCCUUCUGAUUUGACCUUCUAGUGGGCAAGGAUAGAAGAUGCCUAAACACACUUGGAUAGGAAUUCCACACUGUUUAUGACAAUUAAAGCAAGAGCAUCUUUUUAGCAGAAAGCGAAAUCCAUGAGCCCGUUCCAUUUCUACUUAGAUACACAACCCAUCAUUACAUUCUUCAAAAUCUUUAUUCCACCAUUGACUGCUUUCAGAAGAAACCAAGUCCAUCGAAAUGAAUACCCAUCCUACGUAUGUAUACAUAAAUAAGGGGAAUUUUAAACAUCACAUACAUGCCUUGUUAACAAGAUGUAAUUCAACAACCAAUAUCCACAUAUAAUUUUUUACAAAAUGCCAAGCCAAAUAUGUUUUAUGAAUUAACUACACUUGUAUAAUACAAAAUAUUCAACUUGGCGUGGAGUGAUGGAUUGAGUGGUUUGAAAGAUGAAGAUGUAAGUGGGAGGAAACGCUAAAAAAAAUGGUUAGGAGAAGGAUGGAUUAGGUGUUACAAUAUAAGUGAAAGAUUUGAUGAGUUUCGAACCUUCCAUUUAAAAAAAGGUGGGGAGGAAAAGGAUUGGAAAGGUAAGAUGAGAGGAAUUAUAAAUGAUAAGUUCGGGUCCUUUUGGAUCUCACAUUUAUAAAAAAAAAAAAAAUAAUAAUAAUAAUAGCCACUGAAAAAAUAAGGAUUGGGGUUUUCUGAAGCUCUUGUACGCGUUUUAGCUCUAAAUUUUACUUGCUUAAUAAAUAUUACCGACAGUAGUAUUUAUACUUUAUCAAUUUGUACAACCAAUAAUUGACCAGCAGGGGUUAAUAGCUUAAGACAGGCGCUAUAGAGCCUCCUGCUAGCUCCAGAGAUUGAUUGCGCGUAGAUCCAAAGGAAGCUGUCACAUUGCUGAGCUUUUUGUGAGGGAGCUUUGGCUCUUUGCUUCUUCACAGGGUAAACAUGAAAUGAUAACAACAUAGAUCUUUUCAGAAUUUCAACCAUUGGAAUCAUUUACGCCAAUCAGAAAAAAAAGGAGAAAUUAAGAAAACGAAAUAAAGCAAACAAAAAAUCCAGAGUCUCAAGUCUUCUAUGAAAUGUGGUGGGGAACAAAGUAAAAAUGUGAUCAUGCAUUUAUUUUGUCUCGAAGUAAAAUAGAUUUUUUAAUAGUGUCCAUUAGAUAUCUAAUACGUUAAAGCACCUAAAUUAUUAUAUUACCUAUACACUCAUAUUUAUCAUAUUUAUUGUACCCCUCGAGUUGUAAAACCUGACCCCCUCAUGUUGAGUGUCCAAAACCAAAGUAAAAUUAUUUACUUAAAAGAAAAAAAUACAGUUUUAGUAUCCAAACAAAUUGACUCAUGAGCAGUUUUAGUCCCCAAAUUUUGAACAAAAACAAAUCCAGUACCCAAACCUUUAACUUUUGAGCACAUUUAGGCUCCGUUUGAUAAAACUGAAUCUGAAUUCUGAAUUUUGAAUUCUGAAUGCUGAAUACUGAAACAAUUAAUUUGCUGAAUAUUAAGCACUGAAAAAAGAUAUAUGAAUAUCUGAAUCUUAAUGCUGAACAUAUUUAUACUGUUUGAUAAACAUUUAUAACUUAAUGCUUAAUAAGCUAAAUUGUACAAUUUUGCCCUUCUAUCUUUUAAUCCAAAAAGGAAAUGGAACCUAUGAUUUAAUUAGCUUAAAAUUGUUAGGUAUGAAAAUGACAAUAUUUAUUUUUAAAUCAAAGUAAUAUAAAAGAAUAAAUAUAUUAUGAAAAAGUCCAAAUAUCGGUGCAAAUAUUUUUUUAAAUCAGAGUUUGAUAAGAAAAGUCCAAAUAUAAGCAAAAGGAAGCUGCAAUAAACAAGUUUUAAAUUCAUACCAAAUUAUUUAGAAAUUUAAUUACUUCAAUGGAAAAAUGUUGAAGCAAAACAACAAAUAAUCAAUGUCACUUACCUUGGAAAUAAUGAAUUUGAGAUCGGUGAGUGCGGUAGCAAUAAAAAAAAUUGGGAGGAAAAAAAUGACAAAAUUAUGAAAGAGUAGAAAGAUGGAAAAAAAAUAAGGAGUAGACAGAUGUGAGGAGCAUGGAGAAAUUGUAAAAAAGUCAUUAAAUAGGGAAAAAAUAGAAGUAGAAAGCCAUUAGACAGAGAAUGGCAUGUUGUUUAAUUAGAUAAGGAUUUUGGAUAGAAAAUAUUAGGUUGUUUAAUUAGAUAAGGAUUUUGAAUGUAAUUAACAAACAAUGAUAGAUUUGGUAGAUAAAAUAAAGUAAUUGAAGUAAAUCUCUUGAUUCUUAUCAAAUUAAGCAUUCAGUUACGAUUCUUGUGCUGAAAAAAAUACAUACAAAUUCAGCACUACUUAAUAAGUUCAGCAGAAAAAUUUUUAUUUAUCAAACACCCAAAACAUCUGAAUGUCUGAAUGAAUUCAGUUUCAACACUUUUUUAUGUUAUCAAACAAACCUUUUGAGCACAUUUAGUACCGUUAACGAUUUUUUCCCAAAUUGUUAUAAAAAAAUAGUCACGUGACAGCUAUAUGUCCAUAAGCUAUUAUAUAAAAAAAAUCAAAAAAAAUGUAAAAUAUCCUUUUGAUAAAAUUAUUAGUCCUUAAAUUUAGUGUCAAAAGGAUAUUUUACUUGAUAAAAAAAUUAGUCCUUAAACUUUGUAAUUAGUGUCAAAGGGAUAUUUUACAUGACACUUAGGCCCUGUUUGAUAACCCAAUUCAGUACUUUAAAUUUGGAUCUUAACAUAUUCAGACCGUUUGAUAAUAAAAAAUUAAACAUCUGAAUUAAUUAAGUAGCACUGAAUUUUCUAGUCAAAACUUACUCCCAAAAUUAAGUGAUAAACUAUUCACUUAUCACUAAAUGUGAUAUGCGCUCAAAUGUAUUAGAUUUAAUACCUAACAAUUCAAUAACUUACUAAAUUCAAAUUUCAGAUAUUAAUUUUAUCAAACGCAUCCUUAAUGUCAAAAUGAUAUUUUACAUUUUUUGAUAUUUUUUUGUACAAUAGUUGCCAAACAUGUGAUUAUCACGGGACUUUUAUUUUUUAUUUUUGUAGCAAUUUGGAAAAAAUCCAUCAAGGGCACUAAAUAUGCUUAAUAGUUGAAAGAUGAGGUACUAGAUUUGUUUUUAUCUAAAAUUUGGGAAUUAAAAUCUCUUGUUUGUCAAAUUUUGGAUACGAAAACUGCAUUUCUCUCAUAGUUAACACGUAUAACUUUGUCCCCUGGAUCUUCUGAAGUUUCAGGUAAUCGUGGUUUGUUAUGCUAUCAUAGAUUUACUUAGAAGUUUGUUUUCCUUAAUCAAUUGAUGGCGAUGGAUCAUGGAUUUUGACCUGGCAGACUUAAAAAGCAACUCGAUUCGCAGUAAGUAAAAGUGACGUUGCGACGGUACAAUAAAACACGUAUUUCUCCUCUACCAUUUUCAGCAAACGAAUUAGGACAAGGAGGAAAUUUUUGGUAAAGGUGAGGGCGUGUCCUUCACCAACUGGUUCAAAUGGCACCAUCAAACUUCAAACCAUAUGCCGAAAAGAAGAGGAGACCAUUGAACAAUAUGGCACAAGAUUGUGCAGAUCAGAUGUUGGUUGUGGUUGAUAAUUCGGUAUACUGAGCUAUCAUGAUCAUGAUCCGUCGUCACUUGGGGGAUAUUUAGCAUCAUGUCUUGUUACAUUCCUUUCAUUGAACGUAAGUUUACUUGUGGAUUAACACUGUUUACUUAAUUUGUUUCUAUCUUCAAUUCUCUUUCAUGUUUUAUUGGGUUCAUAAAGAGGAGGAGCUCCUAACCUUUUUUUUUUUGUCAGCACAAGGAGUGUCCCAAUUUUUUUGCCAGACUAAUUUUCCUGCGCUCGUGCACCCCGUCCCUCAAGAAUAUACGAGACAGUAAGAGAGUUAGAAUCGAUCACACGACUUGGGGCCUAAUAAAGUUAUUCCAUAGCCAACCGAUUUGUGCCCGAGGGGCAGCUCAUAACCUUGUUUGGAAAGCCAUUUUUGAUCAAAAAUUUUUUACAUUUUUCAUAAACUCAUUUUUCACUUUGCAUGUAUCAAAUCGCUACAAUUCAAAAAUUUUUUAUGUUUUCAACGUCACUUAACAUUUGCUACCUUAUUAAUCUUAACAGUAAAUAAAUAAUGGUCUCUCUAAAACCAAUGAAAUACGAAAAAAAAAGGUACGUCUUUUCGUUUCCAUGCUAAAUUUUAUAUUUUUUCUAAUAAAGGAUACAUAUAUAAACAUGAAAACGUGAAAAUUUUGGUGUGUGGAGAGACAGAUAGUUGCGGAACAGAAAUUACGGUACAACCUCAGCUUAACUUUCAUUGGUCAUUUUCUUCGUCUGCGAGAGAAGUUAUGAUAAACCAUUACCGUGGUCGCGUGGAUGAUGAUAAAAUUGGCCGCUCAAGGACGUGAUCUCCAAAUCUUGAAAGAAUAUAUACCACAUAAAUUGGGUUAAUUGCGGAGUUUUAGCCAUAUCAUAUCCAAUAAAAAGAACUUUGCAUAAUUAAGCACUCUCUGCUCACUUGAAAGUGACUCUUUUUAUCUCUUACGAAAAGGAAAAGAAAAAUGUAAAUUGCAUGCGGACAUGUUUGGAUAUGUUUGUAUGUUAAAAAAAAUUUAAUAAUAAUUAUAUCAUAAAUACGUUUUUCAAAUUUCAAUCAAAUUUUUAUCUUUCCUCUUACUUUAUAUACAUGAUAGAUCACAUCAUGAAAAGUAUCAGUGCAAAAUUAUUAUUCCACAGCAAUUUUCAAAUAAUUUUCUAUUAAAAAUUUUUUUGAUAGUUACUUUUCUCAGCCUCAACGUUUUACAAAUAUUUAAGUGGAAGAAAAAGGAGAAGAUAUCAAAGAAAAAGCGAAGGGGACCAGACAAAUGGAGAGGUCAUAAUCACGCCUUUAUGCCGCUUCGAGAAGGAAAGAAAGGGCAGUCAUCCGUGCUACUUGCAGCUCCUGUGACUUGCCUCCAUUUGUCGUCGCAAUUGCAAAUUUGACGGGGUCUUUCAAGAGAAUAAUUGAACGCUGACAAAGAAAGGCGGGGGGCGCAUGGAGGGAAAGGAGGCGGAUGGAUUGUCCUAACCAAUUAAAAAAGGACCAUGAUCACCAAACACGACAAACUAGUAGUAAGUAUUCUUCCCUUCUAAACUAAAAUACUCCGUGGUUUUUCUAAUAAUAUGAAUUUGUAUCUUAGCAACGAAUCAGGAAAUAUAUUAACUUUAUCCUCAUUGUUUGAUGCUGACACGUCGAUCUCUUUUGAAAUAGCUAUUAUUUUUAGACAUAUUGUUUCAAACGAUUCUGUUAGUAAAUAUUUUAGCCACCUUCUUUUUGUUUCAAAAGAUUCUUUAAAUAAAUUAAGUUUCCAAAUUGGCAAUUUGGAUUAUAUUUUUUACAAACAUUUUUUACUGUAGCUAGCAUCUUAAUGAUACGAUAAAUUUGAGGUAAAAAUAAUUAAAACAGAUUUUAAAAUAUUUUUCCAAGUACCGUCCAAAUAAUACAUAUAGAUGAAUUUCUCAACAAAGUGCUAUAGUAAUAUUUUCCUACUAUCUCCUGCAAAAAAAAAAAAAAAAAAAAGCAAUCCCAAUAGAGCUAAAACGAGUGGAAUAAGCGUUGUAAGUAAAAAUAGUUAUUCCAUGUCCAAAGGUAAACCAAAUAUGAAACAAGACAAGGAUAAUAAUUUGAUGCUAUUUAAUCCGUAUAUUAACACAAGUGUUUAAAAAAAUUAUGACGCCUGCAUGAGUUAACCCGUUAAACAACCAUGACUAUGGUUUUCUCCCCGGCUUUUAUGGGUUAACAAUGCGGGGUAGCAUGCGAAAAAGAUGACUUUCUAGUGUCAUACAUUUAUUAGACAAGGAUUUUUUUUUUUUGAAAAAAUUUAUUAGACAAGGAUUGACACUAUAACGAUUAACGAGUACAAACCCCCGGUCGGUAUCUUCGGACAGGUUUGGUGUUAGCGCAUGCAGGCAUUUCCAAUUUCACACCGCGACCACUAAAAAAAAAAAAAUAAUAAAAUUUGCACGUCUCAUUCGUCUAUCUUAAUAAUUUCCCAUGUUAAUAUCAAUAGGAAAAUGACUAGACCUGCGUAUAUGUAUGCAUGAAUUAGGAGAAGCGAGAAAAUAAUAAUAAAAUAUAGGUCUGUCCAAUGAGCGUCCGUUAGAUAGUCGUUAAAAUAUAUUUCAAGUGUCAGAUUUUUUUAAAAGAUAAGAUUAUCAAUUAAAAAAAAUAUAUAAAUACAAGAAAAAAUAGUACUAAUUGUUAUAUGUAAUAGAUUUAGUAGAAUUUAAGGGCAUUAAAGAGAUUAUACAUUGAACACUCCUUAAGACAAAAAAAACAACCCUGGCUGGCCUAAAGGAGAUCGAUCAUGAGACCCUACAAAUGGGAAUCUUACCAAAAUUUCAAGGUGAAGAGAAGAAUAAAUACUACUAGUACGUUUAUACCAAUUGAAUCAGCAAUACAGAAGCUGAUGGGAUGAUGGGGAAGAGGGAAGAUAUAUGCCAUAUGCGUGUGUGGUGGAGAAUGUGGAAAACUGCUUAAUAAUUCUCCCUCCCAUCCCUACCACCUUAUCAAAUGCAAUCUUUUAGCAAAUUGUGCUUUGAAUUGACCCUCUCUCUCUCUCUCUCUCUCUCUCCUAUCACCUUAGAAAGCUCUCUUUUACGACUUAAAAAGCUUGACACUGACCGCAACGCUUACUGUGGAUUUGGCCCUCAUUUGAGUGAUUAUUCAGUGGACACGGCAUCUCUUCCUUUCCUUUCUUUCUUUCUGGUUUUUACUUUCUUUUUUUUUUUUUCGGGGGAGGGGGGCUUAGUUGGCUGGAGAGUAGUAUCCUAGUUAGUUUACCACUUCUAACCUUAAAUCGUCACAAGCUGUCUUUAUUACAAUUAAUUAAACAAUCACUAAUAACUGCCAUGAAUAAUUGUACAACGGAACUCCAGGUAGAAUUUGCUCAACAUUCCAACAAAUAGAGAGAGAGUAGUACUAGUAGUAGUAGUUAGUAGUUACAUUACAUACCGCCUUCAAAUUCACUUCCACCACACAGUUUAUUUAACUGUCAGUACAUACAUCUGUAUGUGAAAUGACCGACAUUAAUAAUAUGAGUAGUACAAACAGGUCAAUUUGGAACAUAUUAGUUUUACCGUUACAGCAGUCAACGUUACAAGUUCCGCAUCACGUUAAAUCAUCUACUCAAACUUUCAUCACCAUAUUUAAUACUAUAAUAUAAUGUAAUGCCCGCCCAUAUCUAUGCAGACAGACUGUACCUCCUCCUCCUCUCCUCGCCAAUUAAUGCUCCCCAACCCACAUACACACGCAUAUAUAUAUAUAUAUGUAUAUAUGUAUGUAUUGGUGAAAACAGCUUCGCAAUUCACAAAUUGUUGAUUCCACUUUUGAUGUUGAUGAUGAUCAGGCCGCGGUGAAGUGUCUGCUGCAAUUAUUAAAUUUUUGAUCGGCCCCAAUUUCCAUCUUGCAGAAAAAGGUUACAUGACCAUAAUAGUACUACUGGAAUUUUAGUAGUAUGCCUGAAAGGAAGAUCUUUCUGAUCUUUUCAGAAAGGGCAAAAAAAAAAAAUAAUAAUAAUGUUUUAACAGAAUCUAUACUCUCUCCAUGUGUUUGUCCACUCCUCGCAAUCUUGGGCCCCUCCAUCCAACAACGCCACCACAACAAAGUCUCUCAAAUCAGCUAAAAGCACCCCCCCCCAUCACCUCUCCCGGGGCACCAAUAAAUAAUUGGAAUUCCUCUGAAUUUUACACUCUUGCCAAUUUGUUUAUUUUCCUCCCCAGUUUCCCUCAUUAAAAAACGGGAAAUUUUUUUUAAAAAAAAUACAAAUCUCACGACCCAUAUUUUUGUUUUGUUUUUUUUUUUUAAAUUCUUGUCGUUCUUUUUUUUUUUCCCCUUUUUCUGUUGGGAUUUUGUUAACUAGUAAUAGCAGCUUUGGCGGGUGAUGCCAACGCCGGUCGGCACAGCGAGGCAAUGCUUGACGGAGGAGGCGGCGCGUGCACUGGACGAUGCUGUCACCGUGGCGAGGCGGCGGAGCCACGCGCAGACGACUUCACUACACGCCGUCUCAGCACUUUUAGCUCUCCCGUCCUCCACCCUCCGCGAGGCCUGUGCACGCGCCAGGAGCAGCGCCUACUCCCCACGAUUGCAGUUCCGAGCUCUGGAGCUCUCCGUCGGCGUUUCCCUCGACCGGUUGCCCACGACUAAAGCUCAAGACGAGCCGCCGAUAUCCAACUCGCUAAUGGCCGCCAUCAAAAGAUCCCAAGCCAAUCAAAGAAGACACCCCGAAACUUUUCACCUUUAUCAGCAGUUGCAGCACCAGAAUAAUAUUAUUAAUUGUAAUAACACUAGCUCGUCAUCUCCACCCUCGAUUUCAACCGUCAAAGUGGAACUAAAGCAUUUUAUGCUGUCAAUUCUUGAUGACCCGAUUGUCAGCAAGGUUUUUGGGGAGGCCGGCUUUCGGAGCUUCGAUAUAAAGAUGGCAAUUUUAAAUCCCCCCAAUGUUUCGAGGUACUCGAAAGCUCGGUGCCCACCUCUUUUCUUGUGUAAUUUGAGUGAUUUAGAGCUAAGUAAACGUGGGUUUAGCUUCCCUUUUUCUGGGGCUCUGGCAAAUGACAGUUUGGAUGAGAAUUCUCGGAGGAUUGGUGAGGUUCUUGUGAAAAAGACUGGGAAAAAUCCGUUAUUGGUUGGGGUUUGUGCUGAUGGUGCGCUUCAUGAUUUCACAGAUGUUGUCAAGAAAGGUAAAGUUGGAAUCUUGAGGAGAGAAAUUGAUGGGUUAGGUGUCGUUUGUUUGGAAAAGGAGAUAUCCGAGUUUUUGCAGGCGGGUGGGAAUGAGGAAAUGAUGAGGUUUAAGUUUAAGGAAGUCGAUGAUUUAGUUAAGGCUAAUAAAGGAAAUGGUUUACUUGUUAGCUAUGGUGAGUUGGAGGCUUUUGUGGGCGAUGAGGAAUCUGGGGAGGCAGUGAACUACGUCGUUUCUCAAUUAAGUAGAUUGGUGGAGGUUCACUGUGGGAAGUUAUGGUUAAUCGGAUGUGCGGCUAGUUAUGAUACUUAUAUGAAGCUUUUAGGUCGGUUUCCAUCAAUUGACAAAGAUUGGGAUUUGCAUUUGGUGCCUAUUACUUCAUCCAAACCUCUGGUGGGAGGAGUCUACUCCAGACCCGGGUUAGUGUUCAGUCCUCGUGUUUUGGUUUUGUUCUAAACUUUUCUGUUUCCCAUGUCUUGUUAUGCAGCAUGUGUUAUCGUGUUAUAUUUGAAUGGGAUAAGGCUGCAAAUUGUUUGAUUAGUUUAUCAGCUGCAUAGUAUUUUAAUAUGAGUAUACACAAUUGGAUGGUAGAAGAGGGUUGAUUAAAGAAAUCGGUAUGCUGUAAGCAAUCUGCAGUACUAUAUAGCUGGAACAAUAUUACCUUUCAGGGUGGCAUUUGUUUGUUACUUUGUCGAAUGGAUUUGUCAUCACAGAUAGCAUGUACGGUUGUUUGUCGAUUAUAGGGAUUAUUAAUCUGUACAAAGGACUACAUAUUUUAAUCAACAAAAUUUCUUCAAGUUUUGCCCCUUUUCUUUUCCAUGUAGAACAUUUGUUUGCUACCAUGCCAUAUCAUUCUUUUAUGUUGCAACUUUUUCAAAUUAACAAGCGGAGUAGUCUGUUUAAUUGCAGGUUGAAGGUAGCUACUUGGAUCCUUGAUAAUGAAUCCUUUGAUUGAAAACUGGAUCUUAUGUUGUGAUUUACGAUUUCUAGCUUAUGGUAUUAAUAUCCUUACUUUUGAAUUGAACAAAAUAGGGUGGGAGGAUAUAAAUAUAGAAAAGUACAUGUCUUGAUCUAUCAUUGCUGUAAAGUGUUAAUGCUCUUGUUGUGGUCUUUUCUUUCCAUUUUUGGGAAUUUUGAAUUUAUUGCCUAUCUUUAGAAUUCCAACAUGGAGAGAAAAGUAAUUUGAGAUGAUUCUUAAAUGUAUGUCUAGUAUUUGAUAGGUCAAAUAUCUAAAAAUCCAAUAAAAGUCAGCAAUGUAGGUAAGAAAGUGAGGUAUCUCAAUAAAGAUAAAGUUGCAGUUCUAGUUGGAGUAAGAAGAGGAGUUUGAGAUUUCUCAAGUAAAAAGUACAUGUAUCACAGAACUUACAUUCAUGCAGAGGUGUAUGUCCAACUUUUGAAGCAGCUGAUAGUAUUGAACUCCAAUGAAUCCUCUCCUUCUGGUUUUUGUCAUCUAUACCCUCUUUUGAAUGUGUAAAAUUUCCACACUGUAAAAUGCAAGAGUUCAUGUGAAACCCACCCUCGAUGUGCUUGAUAUUUUCAAUAAUCAUCUAGAUGGUAAAAGGGCUAACCAAGGUUUAGAUUGUCCUGACAGAUUGCUAUUAUAAGUAGGUGUUGUUCCUAAAAGUGCUUUGAACUAAGAAAGAAUUUUACAAGUUUUUUUUUAUCUUUCUAUUGUUAUCAGAACUUAUUUAGCUGUGGAGCUAGGAGGCGGGGUUUAGUAAUGGUGAUUUUCUUUCUUCUAUGGGUCAUUGGUCAAGCUCAAAAGUGAUCCCUUAUUGCAAUUUCUCAUGCAGCCUCUGCUGAGAUUCUCAGACCUUGUUGGUUUCCUUGCCAAUCUUUUAUUCAUUCUUAUUAAAUGAGUUUAGUUUAUGGAUGGCAGACCGCUUAAAUGUUGCCACUAACUUCAAUUAAGAAAGAAAAGUGAGGAGAAAGAAAAAGAAAAGAAAAAAUGCUUGUGGUAAUAUAUUCAUCUUGGCUUCUGACUUAUCUUCGUUAGAUCUGACAGUUGGGUGCUCACAUACUUGCAGCUUGAUGGGGUCAUUUGUCCCAUUUGGUGGCUUUUUCUCUACACCAUCUGAUUAUGAAAAUCCAUGGAGUAUCAAGAAUCAACCCAUGGGUCGGUGCAAUGUAUGCAAUCAAAAGUGUGAAGUAGAAGCAUCUGUCAUACAGAAAGGAGGAUCCACUAUUUCAGUUGCUGAUCAAUGCUCAGCAAAUUUAUCUCCUUGGCUGCAGAUUAUGGAGCGUGACAAAAACAAGAGAUUGGGUGUAGAAGAGGUGUGAUGCUCCUUCAAAUCCUCCUCUUAAUUCAGCUUGGGAAAAGCUACAAAAGUUUGCAAUUCAAAUAGUUCGUCAGUUGAAUAUUUUCAUAAACAUGUUCCUGUUAUUUCAGUCCAGGCCAAAGAUGAUAGAACAGAUUUGAAUGCCAAGCUAUUGGCCCUUGAAAAAAAGUGGAAUGAUAUAUGCAAGCAUCUUCAUCAGAAAAUGUCAUUCCAGCAAAAUAUUUCAGAGGCCAGGUUGCAAGUUCCAAAAGCUGAUACCUUUCAGUUUGUUUCUGCUAGGAGUGAGAGCAGUAUUACAGAUUCACUGCUUGAUGAGAGAAAACCUGCAAAACCAAAUUCUUGCAUGCCCUUGGACUUGCAACCCACCUCCCUGCCAAAAUUGAACAUUGUAAAGCAAAUUCCUCAUGAUGCUUUUGCUGAUUCCCCAGCAGAAUCACCAGCGCAGGGAUUGCAGACAGGAAAUUUUUUAAACCCAUAUGGUACUUUCCACAAUUUAGGCAUUGCCCUGGAUCAAACAACAUCAUCGUCUAUAACCUCUGUUACAACAGAUUUGGGGCUUGGAACCCUUUACACAUCUGCUUUGGAAGAGCCUACUAAACCAAUAUUUCAAGAGUAUAAAGAUUGCCUUGACAAUUCAGGUUCAGUUUCUGCUAAUACAUCUAGUGAGAACACCUCGAAUCAUGUUGCCCAAUCUUCUCCCUGCUCUGUGCCUCCAUCAGAUGGAAAUGAUUUCAAGUACAUUUGGAGGGUUCUUUCUGAAAAAGUUGGUUGGCAAGAUAAGGCUGUUUAUACCAUUCACCAAACUGUGGCUUCUUGCAGAAAUGGGCAUGGAAAAAGACAUGGUUCGAACAAAGGAAAUAUUUGGCUCAGCUUUCUUGGACCAGACAAGGUGGGAAAGAGAAGAAUUGCUGCUGCACUCGCUGAGGCAAUUUUUGGCCGCAGAGAAAGCUUGUUUCAAGUUGACCUUUGCUUCAUAGAUAAAGUUAGACGCUCAAGCACUAUUUUUGACCGUGAAGAUCUGAAAGGUUGUGAGCUAAACUUUAGGGGAAAGACCAUGGUUGACUACAUUGCUGAGGAGCUGAGCAAGAAGUCUCAUUCAGUUGUGCUCUUGGAGAACAUAGAUAAGGCUGAUUUCCUUCUUCAGAACAGUUUGUCUCAAGCUAUCAGAUCUAACAAGUUUCCAAACUCCCAUGGGAGAGAAAUCAGUUUGAACAAUAUGAUUUUUGUGUUUACUUCAAGGGUUUCAAAAGGCUGUGAUGGCUUCCUCUCUGGGCAGACAUCCACUGAGUUCUCAGAAGAAAGAAUUCUGGCAGCCAAAGACGUGCAAAUGCAAAUUUCAGUUGGAUGUGAUUCUGCUGAUGUGGUCAGAGUUAAAAGUACAAAUUUAAUGAUCACUUCAAAAAAACAAUCAGCCUCUCUAUCUGCAGGUAAAAGAAAGUUGAGUGAUGAUCUUGAAUCUGCUGAAAAUAGGAUGCUGCCAGUACCAAAACGCAAGCCCGAAGCUACAAGGUCGUCUUUUGAUUUAAAUAUGCCUGUGGAGGAGAUGGAACAAGACAAUGAUUGUAAUAGCAGUGACUAUGACUCUGGCUCUGAGAAUACAAAGGGGUGGUUGGAAGAUUUCUUGGACCAAAUGGAUGAAAAUGUGGCCUUCAAGCCUUUCGAUUUUGAUGCUCUUGCUCAGAAAGUUUUGAAGGAAAUCAGCCUAGGAUUCCAGAAGAUAGUUGGAUCUAACUUUCGCCUGGAGAUUGAGUCAGAAAUAGUGGUGCAGAUACUUGCAGCUGCUUGGUUAUCAGAGAGAAAGAAAGCUGUGGAGGAUUGGAUUGAAGGAGUUCUCUGUACGAGCUUUAAGGAAGCCUUACAAAGGUGCACCCGUACCCCUGUUACUGUAAAUGUAAUGAAGUUAAUUGCUUGUGAAGAUCUCCUUGUGGAAGACCAUAGUGCUUUAAUCCGGCUUCCUUCGAGACUAACUAUAAGUUGAUCUUUUCCCCUGAUUGGGUAGGUUUGCAUGUAAUUGAUGAAUGUAUAUGAAUGGUUAUGUAAUUAGUAUCCUGGCCUUGUUUUCGGAGGUGCGAUGUAAUUUUCUGAGUCCACUUUUAUUGAUUAGUGUAUAAUUGGAUAGCUAAUCAAUAGAAAAUUUUACUCCAUUUAUGAAUGUGAUUUUUCUUGAGAUAGCUUUUUCUGACCUUCUUGUACUUGCCAGCCACGGAACUCCCAUGUUUUUCGCAGACCUUUCUAGCAACAGAAUCUAUACAUAUCAUUUAUGUGCUUCUCUGGCGUUCCCAAUGCUUUUAUGUAGUAUAAUAAUUACAAGGCAACAAUGCGUGGGCUUCUUGCUUUUUCUGCAGAGUCAACUCUAUGGAACCAGCAUCUUGUUUUGCCCUGCCCCACAAUCAGUUGUCAGAUAUCGUCGAGACUUUCUAUUUCGAGAGUAGCGGUACAACUUUGUUUGCAUUUGGUGUAAUUUACUGUCAACAACGUAUAACUUUAAAACAUUUUAUGAGUCCCACACAUAUUGUUAAAAUUGAAAUACAAGAUAAAUUUUGGACCGUACAAAUCUUUUGGACCAAAUCUUGGUCAUGAAUUGUCCAGGGACAGUCCUUUUGAUGACCGUCCCUGCCUCGUAUCCAAUUUAGACUCAAUUCAUUAUGUUACUGGUAGUAUUUUGCGUGAUUGUAAUAUUUUAAAAUAUAUUAUUUUUUUAGAUAUUACAAUUUUUUUAUGAAAAUUUGAUCAUCAACGUCAUAAUAUCGUAUUUUUAUAUAAUUUUUUUUAGCUAGUUACUUUUAAAAAUUUUAUUAAAUGAAAAGAGACAAAAUAUUUCAAUGCAGUUGACAUAUCCCAUAAGAUUAAAUUUAGAAUCGUGAAUCAAACACUUUUGAUUGGUUUUCAAUUCUAGUUUUUUAAUUCAUUUGCUAUUUGCUUUAUGUCAUUUUAUAAAUGGUUUUCAAUUUUUUUUAGCUCUUCUUGUUUUGAUUGGUUGUUGUUAACGAUAAUAGUGAUUUGUUUGGUACUAUUUCAGAUUUUUUUUCAGUUUAAUACUUUUAUUUCAAUUAUAAAGGUGUCAUCAUUUUUUGUGUAUUGAAAUUCCAUUGGGUGCAAUAUGAAAAAUUCUUCAUAUUGAUAAACGUGCAUAAUUGUAAAAUUUGCUCGUGAUAUUUGUAUAAAGAUAUACAUAUGAAUAAGGUCUCUCUUCUCCUUGUAUGUUUCUCCAUUUUCUAGAGAAUAUCUAUUUUUUGACAUUGAUUUUUUUUUUUAACAAUCUCAACUAAUGACUAAUGAGAAAUUUUUCAUGUUUCAAUUAAGAAAUUUUGAUAUGUAUAAUAAUUGGCGAUGGAGUCCAAGGGUAGGUAAAUAGUUAUUAAUGAACAAUGUUUAAUUAUAAUUACCAACACUAUUAAGAUGUAAUCAAUUGGACUGUUUUCUUUCUUUUAAUCAAUGCCACAUUAAAAUGCAAUAAUUUUAAUUAAAAGACACGAGGGUAAUUUAGGGAUAACAAAAACUAAGACAAAAAAAAAAGCUUACACUUAUACUCCCUAAUAUCAAGAUUCAUACUAAUGAUAAUGAUAGUAUAAAUGUAUCCUACACUGUUUUCGUAAAGCAACCGAAAGACGUUCAAAUUAAGGGCAUAAGGACAGGGACUUGGGGGGUCAAAUGGAGUAAAAGUGUAGAUUGAAUACUUGAGCAGCAGAACAGCAGUGCCCAAGGGAUUCACAUUUGCUGCAUCUGGGAGAUGAACCCUGCUAUAUUUGGAACUCAGAAGCUUUCGGUUUGGAUGCCUGAUUUUUUCUAAAAAAAUUGUUCCUCGGAGACCACACCAGAUGUUCCUCAUUCCUCAAAUACUUUUCAAUCUUACGUAUACUUUAAACUGGAAAAAAAAAAAGCAAAAAAAAAAAAAAAUUCCCUAUGGUGAACUCUUCAACACUUGAAGACACAGAUGAAUUCUCAACUCCCUUUAUUUUACUGCCAAACUUCAAGGAAUUCUCGAAUCCCUUUAUUAUGCUGCUAAACGUCAGGCUAACAGCACACAAUCAAAAGAGUAUGCACAGAUAAUCGUGAGGUUUAUGAUUGUGGUUCUGUUUCCCAAGCAAUUUUCUGGGGGAGAGGUGAUUUAGGGGAAAAAGGAACUAAAGACGGUCCAGAGUAAAAGAUUUUUAAGGCCUUGUUUGGCAGAAAAGGUUUUUUGUCAAGUUUGUUUGCUACAAGUUUUUUAAAAACUUUAGCUACAGUAAACUCAAAAAACUUCUCAAAAAUUUUUAACUAUACACUUCAAAAUAUUCAAAAAUUUACACACUUCAAAAAUUUUUAAAAAACUUCUACAAUAAAUUACAAUAAAAUUUUAGACAAACACCCAAAAAACUCAAUUGUCAAACAGGCCAAUAUUAUAGAGAGUCAACGAUGAUAAUAAAAGUAAUAAAAUCAGUCAACUAUUUAAAUCCGGAACAAAAGAUAGGAACAGUAAUUGCCCUAUUAGAAGUAAUCAAAUUAUGUUUCAACACCUCCAACUUACCAAAAAGAAAAAAUAAAAAUAAAGGUUUUUGAAGGCCCAGUCAGCUUAUUGUUGAUAAUUGACAAGCAAGUGAUCCAAGUCUAAUUGGGCCAGCCCAGUCUUCUUAGAAUGUUGCCAUUGACCAGGCUUCUUUGUUUCUUGGAGUUUCUUCCAUUGUUGCUUUUUUUUUUUAAAUUUUAUUUUGUCAAUUAUCAAACCAUCUAUUCCUACUCCUACUUUAAUAUAUUUUAAGGGAGUGACCCAAAUAAAUCAAAAAAAAUCGACAGAAACUAAACCACUAUCGAAUCAUAUGAGAAUUGAACCGCUAUCGCACCCAUAUGGACCAUACAGUUGCCUCCAUAAUUUUGAAAAUUUGCCAUUCUAAAAGAGGGAAGGAUUAGAAGGGAUUAAAUAUUCAUAAGAUCCCGUGAUUUAAUUAGUUCUAGACAGGUCAGAUUGUCAACUAAAGUAUUUCUUGUGACUGAUACAAUUAUUUUGACGUAACUUAUAUAUUUAAAGUUAUACAAAAUAUCCUCUUAAUUUUUUUUUAAAGAAAAAGGAACGCGAAGAUACCCCGAAAACAAUUUACUAGAAAAAAGAAAUACCAAAAAAAAAAAAUUCAGAGCGAACGAGACUUUCUAGGCGAGUGUAAUCGCCGGAUGUCAUGUACUAAACUGGAGACAAGUCAUACAAUACAACUUGUCGAUGGCUUCAACGCUGUCGAAUUGAGCAUUACUAUUUUUGAAAAGCGGAUGACUUGUUCUUAAAGUAACUGAGCGCGGUGACUUCAUCGAAGACAGACAAAUAAAUGCUCUCCACGUCCGAGAUGUGUACCGUAAGCCCAGCGAGAUCACCUGCAAGCCUAGAGGGAUUGAGCUAAAAUUCUAACAGGUACGUCCACGUCAUUGAAUGCAAGUCGAGUACGAACACACAAAGCAUGACUCCAAAAGGGAUCUCAAUCCGGCCGGUUUUUUUAUUUUAUUUUAUUAAGAGUGCUAAUUACACAUGGCACUCAAGCACCACAAAGACGGGCAGUCCCCGUAAUGACCCGCGGAACUAUAAAUGUGAGGGAGAAAAUUGCAACUGUAGUCCUUAAGUUUUGGACUAGUUUGAGAUCAUCGCUUAAAAUUAUCACAUAUUUAGUUCCAUAUCCAUUGUACUUAAAAAAAAAAAAAACAAUUGUACUAUUUACAAUCACACUGUUUUUAAAAAUAGUACUUGUUUGGAUAGUGUAUUAUUUAAAAUAUUAUUUGAAAUAAUUACUGUAGCACUUUUUGUGAUAUGAUGUAUGUGAGAUAAAAAGGUGAUUGGAAAUAUAAAAAGAUAGGUUGAAAAAUGUGUUUGUAAUGCAAGCGAAAUAUUAUUUGGAAUAAUUUUAGUAUCCAAACACUCCCAGUAUCACAAUUUUAGUAUCACAAUGGUUCAUCGAUAACAAUUUUUUCCACCUCCCAUCCCUUCCUAUACAUUUUUCACCCUUAUCUAUUAAAUAUAAUAUUUGAAUAUUAAACCUGUGGAAAUGAACCUCUAAGAGUAUUUUUGUAAACACUGAACCAAUCUCAAUGAUUAUAUCCAUUGUACUUGUUUCAAUUAAUUUUUUAACUAAUUUUUAUUCACUUAUAAACAUUUGAUUCUUUAUAAAGUGAGUCAAAUAUUUAUUAUUUCAAUGUUCUCAACUAAUAAACUUUAAAAAGAUAAGAGACUAAUAAUCAAUAUUGAAAGUUUAAGGUCAUCUUAAUACAUGAUAUUUAGGACCAAUCCAACUAAAAAUAAUUUAAAACAAAGAAGAAAAUUUUUAAAAAAAUUUCUUGAAUAGUAGAUUCGUUGGAGUCAUUAAAAAGAAAAUCUCACUUUUGUCUAUAAAGUCGCAAAUACAAAUAGCAACGUGCAGAAGUAAGAAUGUUAUAAGGAAAACUUAAGAGACUAAUUAAGAGAGGAUUUAAAACGUAAGGGCCCCAAAGUGAAAAUAUGUGUUCAAAUUUGCAUUUGAUCGCAUUUGAAUGUGCAUUUCAUUUCAGGAAAAUCGGGGGUGGUGUUAACUGGAUUUAGGUUGAUUGGAAACGAAAUGGAAGGUUAAUAGUACCGGUACUACAUUGGUAGGCUCGUCUUUUUGACUCCGAAACAAAAAGACGAAAGGGAAGACAUACGAAAAACAAUGGAAAGAAAAGUCUUUUCUCUCUCCUUCUCUCUCUCUCAAAUAUUUUCUAUUCCUUAUUUAUUUUAUUAAUUAUUUUAGGCCAUUCCUUCUCUCUCUAGCUUUCCCUCUCAAUGCUGUGUAGUUAAUAAAGAGGGGCUGCUGGCCUGCUUGCGUUAAUAGCAAAGAUCAAGUUGUAGUGGUUUUUCUUCUCAUUUUCUCUUCUAAGGGAAAACUGGGUUUUCAGAAAUUUUCUUCUCUCUGCAAAGUUUGAGGUAUCUUCUCUUGCUCUGCUCUUUUCUAUGUGUACUUUCUAGUUUGUAUCAUAGCUUACAGUUUACACGCAUGAAAAUUUUCACUUGAUUUGUUUUGGUUUCCUCUUUCUGGGAUUUUGGUUGUAAAGUGAUAGUUAUAUCUUUUUUUGCAUUUCGUUGAUGUUGUGUAGGCCAAUUUUGCACAUUAAUUUUUGCUUAUGUUCUAUAAAGCUAGGCUUCUGGGGUAUAAAGAUUGCAGCUUUGUUACUUAGAAAUGCUAUAAUCGCCCCUUUGAAGUGAUUUGGAUGCAUGAUUUUUUUUCUCGGUUUAAUUUGAUCUUUUAAUGAUCUAAUUGGGGAUAAUUUACUAUAUUGAAGGAAAAGUUUAUACCUUUUUUUUUCUGUGUUUUGAUUGCUUUUGUGCUGAAAAAUUUGAAGUUUGUGUGGCUAAUUUUGCUCUCUGACUAUUUUGUAGAGAGAGGACAGAGUUGAAUAUAAACAUGUGCAACGGUUCCAAGAGGAAAGAUUGUGCUGUUGAUUUGGCCAUGGGGGAUUUUGCCUCUAGUUCUUCAGAGUUGCUCGAGUUCUCAGCAUCUGAUGAUCUUUCUGCCUUUAUGGUUGCUGUGGAAAGGGAGGGACAUGGUAUUGAUGAGUUGGCUGUGUGGUAUGGUCGAAGAAUUGGUUCAAAGGAGAUGGGGCUCGAGGAGAGGACACCUCUCAUGAUGGCUUCUAUGUUUGGCAGCAAAAGGGUUGUCAAUUACAUCCUGGAAAAAGGUGGGAUUGAUGUCAACAAAACUUGUGGUUCUGAUGGUGCUACUGCCCUCCAUUGCGCUGCUGCGGGUGGUUCUGCUGCUUCACUUGAGAUUGUCAGGCUUUUGAUUGAUGCUUCUGCUGAUGUAAAUUCUGUUGAUGCUAAUGGAAAGCGGCCUGUCGACUUGAUUGCUCCAUUUCAGAAUUCUUCCUUUAAUUUGAGGAGUAAGGCUCUGGAGGUGAUAUUGAAUGGCGGAAAUUAUACCGAAGGAGCCUCAGAAUCAGAUGAUCGACCCACUGAACGAGAAGAUGGGCGGGUGUCCCCACCUUUGCCCUCUAAAGAUGGAAUGGAGAAGAAAGAGUAUCCUGUUGAUCCCUCUCUUCCUGACAUAAAGAAUGGUAUAUACGGGACGGAUGAGUUUAGGAUGUAUACAUUUAAGAUCAAGCCUUGCUCGAGGGCCUACUCGCACGACUGGACUGAAUGUCCCUUUGUUCACCCUGGUGAAAAUGCUAGGCGGCGUGAUCCAAGAAAGUAUCAUUACAGCUGUGUUCCUUGCCCUGAUUUUCGCAAGGGUACAUGCCAGAGGGGAGACGCAUGUGAAUAUGCACAUGGAAUAUUUGAGUGCUGGCUUCACCCUGCCCAAUAUCGUACUCGUCUGUGCAAGGACGAGACUAAUUGUACAAGAAGGGUAUGUUUCUUUGCCCACAAACCUGAAGAGUUACGACCCCUGUAUGCUUCCACUGGUUCAGCAGUGCCUUCCCCUAGAUCAUUCUCUUCCAGCGCUUCGACGUUUGAUAUUGCAUCAAUCAGCCCACUCGCCCUUGGUUCUCCUUCUAUCAUGAUGCCUCCAACCUCAACACCGCCGAUGACUCCUUCUGGAGCCUCUUCCCCUAUUGGUGGAUCUAUGUGGCCAAACCAGCCCACCCUUGCACCUCCAACCCUGCAGUUGCCUGGCAGCAGGUUGAAAGCUGCCAUAAAUGCUAGAGAUAUUGAUUUAGAUGCUGAACUACUUGGUCUAGAUGGUAAUCGUCAGUGGCGCCAGCAGUUGUUGGAUGACUUGUCUAGCCUUUCUUCGCCAUCUAGCUGGAACCAUGGAUUAGGCACACCUGGAGCGUUUGCUGCUUCCUCUGUCGAGCAAAAUAGUGAUGGGAUUAGGCAUGGUGGCUUGAAACCCACUAAUCUUGAUGAUGUUUUUGGAAGUCUUGAUUCCACAAUUUUGUCUCAGUUGCAGGGGCUAUCCACAGAUGCUGGUUUAAAUCAGCUGCUUUCUCCAACGGCUCAUCAGAUGCGGCAAAAUAUGAAUCAGCAGCUUCGAUCAAGCUACCCUUCUAACCUCGCGUCAUCCUCAAUUAGGACAUCAUCUGCAUUUGGAAUGGAUCCAUCUGGGUCAACGGCUACAGUUCUGAAUCCGCGGUCUGCUGCGUUUGCAAAGCGGAGCCAGAGUUUCAUUGAUCGUAGUGCAGUAAACCGUCACUCUGGGAUUUCUUCACCCAUUUCUUCUGCAUCCAUGAUGCUGUCACCCUUUUCAGACUGGAGCUCCCCUGAUGGAAAAUUGGACUGGGGUAUCCAGAAAGAAGAGAUUAACAAGUUAAGGAAAUCUGCUUCUUUUGGGUUCAGGAAUAGUGGUGGCAAUUUUGUGUCAACUGCAGCCUCAAGGUCAACAGCUGCUAAUAAGCCGGACGCGUCUUGGGUUGAGUCUUCGGUGAAGGAUGGCCCUUCUGUAACGCCUGGGCAAGCUGAAUUCCACGGCAAGGAUCAUCAGCAAUACCUUUUAAACAGUGGAGGGUCUGAGAUGCAUCCAUCUUGGGUAGAUCAAUUAUACAUGGAGCAGGAGCACAUUUUGGCUUAAAACUAGUCUUGACAACCAUAUUCUUUGUCAGUUCGACCGUAAACAAAUUCUAUUGUCAUUUUUUGAUUGACAUUUUUGUUCACCAUAUAUAGGUGAAUGGAUUCAGAGGAAAGAAAUUGAGGAAAGAUAAAAGGGCAGAGAGAAGCAUUCUGCCUUUUCCAUAGAUUUUUGUCCAUUCGUUUGUUAUCGUUUAGAUUUCCUUCGAAUACUUAAAUUUUAUGUCAUAUCGUUCUCAAUCUUGUACUACCUUAAAGCAAAUUGAAGGGGACAAGUCCCCCCACUUUUUAUGCGUUUAUGUUCUUUCGCAACUAUCCCAAUUCACCAGAAGUUGUUGCAAGAAACUUGUCAGAAUGUUAUGGAACGUCACUGGUAUGUUCCAUUUCGUUGCUGUAGGACCUGCUCCUUCAGUUACUUCAGACCAGGAAGAUCCUCUGCCUGUCCAUUUUAGUUGUUUCUAAUGCCCUCGUGAUGAAGUCAUAAUUGUUUUACCUGUCGAAUAUAUAAUGGCGACGAUGAUCCAGCCCUUCUCUGAAAUACAUAUUCCCACUCAAUUUGUCCGAAAUUUCCUUGGCUGAUCCAAUGAAGAUAAAAUGACUACAGCUGCCAUCAUGAAUUUUGGACACAUGAUACACAUUCAUGGAUCCUUGUGACGAUUCAAGGCAUCUCAUGUGUGUGGCUGUUUCAUUCCACUUCCUCUCUCUCUUUACCUUUUGAAAAUGGUGGUAAUUGGUCCUGCAUUUCAAAAAAGGCGAGAGCUGAAGUUUCUUGUCUUUUAGUUGGAAAUGAGAUGAGCACUGAUGGGGUUCCUUUCGUUACCUUAUUUAUUCGUUAGGGAUCAACUCUCCUCUGCCGUAUGAAUAUUGCCAGUCCUAUUCUCUCGCACCUUCUACGAAGAAAAAGCAUAAAGGCACGACACAAAGCUAUCAUCUAGAUAUAGAGAAUACUACUACUAAUGGACAAUUUCUCAAGUAUUCUAUCUUCCUGAUGCUGAUCGUCAUUCAAUCGGCCACUGGAAAUUUCCUUUGCCGGAUAGGAGGAGGAGGUUGCUUUCAGAAUUGUAGGAGAAAUAAGCAGUAACAAAUUUUGCUCAAUUGGUUUGCAACAGUUGUAAAUUGCCUUUACUCGGUCAAUUCAAUUGGUCACAUAACUUGUUGGAUUAUAGAGCUGCAAGGAUACAAAAGAACUUCAGCUGCCGAAUGGAGAGCAUUUCUGAACUCAAUCUAAAGCGACAGCUAGUAAACUUCGCCGGCCUUGCACACAUUUGAUAGUUGCCUAUUUGAAACUGAGGACAUCUUUUGUCUACUACCAGAGAAAUUUUGUAUAUGUAGAGAGCACCACACAAAAGAGGAAAAAAAAAAGGGGAAACUUUUGUAUAUGCAGAGGUUCCUCGCUUUGAUUUCUUUUUCUAACGUUUCCGGAAAAAAAAAAAGAAAAAAAAGAGGUUCCUCGCCUUGGUGCGCUAUCGCUAUUUCUUGAAAAUUUGGUGCCUGGGCUCGAAAGUUGAAACAGAUUAUUGUACUCUUAGCACGUGAUUUAGUCAAUGUUGGACGGAUAUGCCAAUAUUAGCAUGGCUGCACUUCUUGGAAUUUUCUUUACAAAUUUUUUUAAAUCUUGAACGUUGAAUGUUGGACGGAUAAGUCAAUACUCCAUUAUAUAGAUGGGCCGGGACGACGAUGACCAAUUACCAAUAAUGUAACAUUCCCAUUUGGAUUCUAGAUUUCUACCGGAGUACUCUACUAGAGAUGUUUUCUAUAAACAAAGAUUAAAAAAAAAAAAAGAAAAAUUAGUUCUUUUUGUUGUCUUCAAACUCACUGGAACUCCUUCUUGUGUGAAGUCCAAUUGAAUUGAAUCCUGUGACUUUCUCUGCCAUGUUACACCACCACAUCAUUAAUAUGUCUCCUCUGAUCAUUCUUUCUCAACCCAACACAUUUGCCAGAAGUGGGUACAAGUUCUUGAAAAGAUUAUGAAUGAGUGGGUAGGACCGCCAGAAAUGAAUGAGAAAUUGAGGCAAUUUGAGGCCGUGGGCUUGUGGGACGCACAGCUUUGCAUUGCAUGCACUUGGUUAAUGGUGGACUUCAAACAAACUGCUUUAAGGAGUUUUAGAUUUCCUCCCGCAAUCAAAUAGUAAUCAGUAACCAAUCCUUAAAAUAAUACUACUAAUUGAAGCACCAUGUAUGUAGCCUAUCCAAACAAACUAACAAAUACUAUACAGAUAAGUCCACAGAAAUCACAGAACAAAGAGAAGUUGCAUGAUGGCUAUCGGAGCUGAAGUACCUUGAGUUCAACAUCCCUUGAAACGACUAAACCCUUUUUUCAAGUUGUUGCCUGGCAUAUUCUUUUGUAGUUUGUUCAUCGUCCAUUUCCCAAGAAUUUUGGGGUGACUGAAUAUGACUAUAAAUAUAUUUUUUUUUCCCUCAAGGGCAGUGGCAUUUUCAGGGAAGAACUUGACAAGUUCAACUCCACGAGUGCAACCAUGCAUGGUAGCCAGAUAACAUCUGAACACUUUCUCAAGUUUUAUGGAGUAGUAGCUUUUUCUUUAACUUUCUGCCUUUCCGAUCUCUUUGAUUUCAUGUGCCCAUCUCAACUGUAACUUGUAAAACAGAUAAUGCGCACGGGGCGGCCAGAAAUGUUGUUGACCGACUCUAUUUAUUUAAGAGUAAAAUAUCAAAAAACUCCUUAUAGUUUGUUAAAUGUUUAAUUUAACUCCAUUGAUUUGGAAACCUACAGCAUAGCUCUUUAUGAUUUCAAUUAAAUUAAAAAUUGGAUGUAAAACAUCCAAUCUAACAGUUAUACGUGAAAUGUCAAUAUUGCCCAUACAUAAAUGAACUCCCUAUGGUUUGUCCAAUAUUCAAUUUAACUCCCACUAGUUUGAAAAACUACACUAUAACUCCCUGUAGUUUCGACUAAAUUGAAAAUUGAAUUGAAAACAUCUCAUGUAUGGUAGAGGCAAUAUUGACAUUUCAUAUAUAACCAUAAGAUUGAAUGCUUUCUGUCCAAUUUUCAAUUUAGUCGAAACUAUAAGGAGUUAUAGUAUAGGUUUCCUAAUCAGAGGGAGUUAAAUUGAACAUUUGUCAAUUCAUAGGGAAUUUUUUUGGUAUAUUACCCUUUACUUUAAGAAUCUCGCUUAUUGCCAAAAAUCAAAGGAAAAAUUACUGACACAAACCCAGAUUAUCUGACUAUUCCUUCCCACAAAUAAAAAGUAAACGGUUCCAAAACAUAAAAAAGAAAAGGAAAUGGUUAUCUCUUUCUCUAAUAAUUAAGAAUACGCAAAAAAAAAAGAACGUAAAAUUGAGUCUAUGGAAUUAAACUUUUAUUUUAGGCAAUUUAGUCCUAAAGUUUUAUUCUUAUUAAUUGAGUGAUGCAGUUGUUUGACCAAAACAUGAUUAUUUUCGGCACUAGCAAGGGCCAAUUUCAAAAAGCAAUCACGUCUUUAAGUUGAUCAUCUUCACCAUUUAUUCAACGAGUAUGUUUUGUUUUUGACGAAUAAGUGACAUCAUUGAUCAAACAAACAAGUUGACCAUAUUGAUCAUUUGUGUGAUAUAUAUAUAUAUACUAGUUUUUUCAGCCUCACGCAAUGCGUGAAGAUGCCCUGGGUCUAUGUUAAUCAAGAUCAAAUGAAGGCAAAUGAAUUAAUGUAAAAUGGUUAUAUAUUCAAUACAUGAUAGGUGUUAAUAAAUGGGGAGAAUUUGACUUUAGGUAAAUUGAAUAUUGUUGUUACUCGUUUACUCAUUUGAUUUGUAAUUUUCUCUUAGAUAGUCAAGUCUUUGGCUUAAGAUCUUUGCGAAUUCUUGAUAUUAUAACUAAAUGAUGCAUUCAUUUAAAAUGUACAAGUACAUACAUAUAUCAUAAACCGCCAAAUCCAGGUCUUCAAUUGGAGAAAGAAACACAUCCAAUAUGUUGCUUUUCAGAUGGCUUUCUCUCAAAAUUACAUAGGCAAUACAGCUUUGUGCGGCUCCCACAGACCCCUUCGGACACCACCCACUGCCCACUCACCAGUGGAGCUCAAGCAACUACAACUAUACGAUGAAGAUACAAAUACACGUCUGAACUCUGAAGCACAAACACAAAAGCCCCCAAAGUUGACCAAGCACACAAUUGAAGCACAAAUGCAAAAGCCACCGAAGUUGCCCAUAAUUUAGGUGGUGGAUCUAUUUUACAAAUGGGGUAACAAACUCGUGUCUAAAAUCCAAAAAUAAGUAUUUAUAGAAUCGUUUUUUCAUGCUUGAAAGAAAAAUUGGAACUACUGUGAAAGUUUAAAAAUUAUAAUCCAUUUCUUAAAUUGCAUAUUUUUUUUAUGAAGAAAGUUUAUCCUUUUGCAAAAAAAAAAAAAAAAAGUUUACACAGCCACGGGAUACCUUCAUAUUUUUAGUAACAAACUCGUGUUUAAAAUCCGAAAAUAUGUAUUUAUAGAAUCAUUUUUUCAUGCUCGAAAGAAAAAUUGGGACUACUGUAAAAGUUUAAAAACUAUAAUCCAUUUCUUAAAUUGCAUAUUUUUUUAUGAAGAAAGUUUAUCCUUUUGCAAAAAAAAAAAAAAAGAAAAAAUGUUUACAUGGCCACGGGAUUCCUUCAUAUAUUUUUUUAAUUUUUUUUUCCAAAACAGGAGGACCCUCUUGUUUAUAUUGACAGUAUACAUUUUCACAUUUUAAUGCAUAUUAUUUAAUCCAAAUUUGAAUUCUAAUAUCAACUUUUGUAUAUAUGACAUGUAUCCAAAAAUGAUAGUGAGUGUGUUUGGAUUGAAAUGAUUUGAAAAAAAUAAUUUGCUUCACAAAUUCCAAUCACCUUUUUAUCUCACAUAUAUCACAUCAUAAAAUAUGCUACAGUAAUUAUCUCAAAUAAACUCCUAUCCAAAUAAACUCAGUGUAUACUGUAUAUUCUGAAACUCUUGGUUGAAAUGUAAGAUAAUUAAAGAAUAUUUCGUAAAGCUACAUAUGCAAAACAGUGGAAAUGUAAGAUGCUGCUUUCAACGUGAAUCAAACACAAAGAUGCCAAGUUUCAUCGUUCUAUUGCAGCAAGAAAAGUUUGCUUGCAUGAUAUAGCACUAUUAAUGCCUUACACGAAGAGAACUAAAGAGGAUAAUAAUGGAUAUGCCAUAUUAUAUCUAAAAGUUGAAGCACUCAAAACUGGUCCAACUUCCACCAUACAUACACCCAAACCCUAAGAAAACAAAUCGAAUGUUCCAAUUUCUAGGUUUCAAUUUUUAUAGCAAGCCUAAUUAAGAAUAUAAACAAAAAUUAAAACUUUGAAUGAAGAAAAUACGAAUAAAAGUAUCUAAAGCUAAAGGUUGGGUAGUACAUUACUUUUCUGAAAUUUCUUAUCAAGAAUUAGUUCAAACAUGUUCAAUAAUUCUUUUCUCGUUAUACAUAAUAGUGAUUAAGGCACACUCAGAUGUGUGUAUAACUAAUUAGAAUAAAAAUAUUUGUAAUAAUAAUUCUCUUAUAAAAGUGAAGUAUUAUAGGGGAAACAAGUGCAUGGGCUUAAUUUCGGUGAUGUUAAUAAAGAAAAAUUGAAGAAAUGUGUGUCAAAUAUAGUAGAUAAACAUGGAGAAAUUGAACGUAAAAAUACGGGAAGAUUCGAAGUUAUAGUAAAAUUGUUGUUUUAUUAUUUUGUUAGAGAAUAAAUCCAUUUUAUCCUUUAUAAUAAAGGCAAAAAAAAUAAAAAGAAGAAGAAAGAACUAACAAUACAACACCGUAAAGGGCAUCAAGCUUUAUAUAUGGCACAUAUAUGCUUCCUAAAAAAUACCACCGGAGGGAGAGGGGAAAGAAUUCUAGCGUCUGAACUCUGGAGCAAGAGGGCAAGCCCAAACAAAUUCCUAUGAAAUGCCAUUGGAAUUGUUGAAAUUUACAGCAUAACCAGUCUAUCUGCCUAUGCAAAAGCCACUGAAGUUGCUCAAAAUUACCGGAUAACCGGUCCAUGAGCACUGUAGCAACUCCAACUCGCGCUUUUAGUAUUAUAAAAGUGAAGUAUUAUAGGGGAAACAAGUGCAUGGGCUUAAUUUCGGUGAUGUUAAUAAAGAAAAAUUGAAGAAAUGUGUGUCAAAUAUAGUAGAUAAACAUGGAGAAAUUGAACGUAAAAAUGCGGGAAGAUUCGAAGUUAUAGUAAAAUUGUUGUUUUAUUAUUUUGUUAGAGAAUAAAUCCAUUUUAUCCUUUAUAAUAAAGGCAAAAAAAAUAAAAAGAAGAAGAAAGAACUAACAAUACAACACCGUAAAGGGCAUCAAGCUUUAUAUAUGGCACAUAUAUGCUUCCUAAAAAAUACCACCGGAGGGAGAGGGGAAAGAAUUCUAGUGUCUGAACUCUGGAGCAAGAGGGCAAGCCCAAACAAAUUCCUAUGAAAUGCCAUUGGAAUUGUCGAAAUUUACAGCAUAACCAGUCUAUCUGCCUAUGCAAAAGCCACUGAAGUUGCUCAAAAUUACCGGAUAACCGGUCCAUGAGCACUGUAGCAACUCCAACUCGCGCUUUUAGUACAGUAAGGAUAUAUAUAUCUCUGUGUGUGUGUGUGAAACCACAUCCUCAUAUGUAAAAAAAUAUAUGUAACUUUUUUUAUUUUCUUAACAAUUGUGUACAUUUGAAUGAGUAUGUGUGUACAUCUUCGUUGUUAAUAUAGUACAAACGAUUACAAGUGCGUGAGUUUGACAAGCAGAGUAGGCAAAGUAAUUGUCUUUUUUCUUGCUAUUUUAGAUUUAUAGAGAGGCAUCAAAAUGGGGAGGAACAAUAACCAAUUACCAAUGUAACAAUCCCUAAAAUUAAAGUUAGCAGUUCCUUAAUCCCAGCUUGUCACAACAUCAAAACGUCCGUCUCAUUAGUUAUUGGGCCGUUGUAAUCAAAAUACAAGCAGCUAAAAAGCCUAAGCUGUCCAUGCCGUCUCGGUUGCUCUUUUACUGGAUAUGGGCCCAACCAUUUUUCGUUCUUUAAUCACAUGAAAAGGGGUAUAAUUACUUGACGGUGUGAUUCUACAGAGCAAAUCUCAUCAAUUUGUUUCUUGAGGCUCUUGAAAGAAAAGAAACAAGUUAUUCUAAAUAUUAUUAUUUCAAAUAAUAUUUUACUUGAAUCGCAAAUACAAUUUUCAAUCAACUUUUUUUUUAAAUCUUUUUAACCAUUCUUUUAUCUCACAUCUUCAAAUAAUCUUUUCUAUCCCGACACUAAAUUUAUUAAAUAGAAGGGAAACGAUAAAUUAGAAGUAGUAGUAGUAUUAUGAUGAACUAGGCUAUUAUUUUUUACAAAAGAAAGAACUCAAAUAUCGGAGAACAAGAAGUGAUCUGAGAUCUCUAGCUAUUACUUACAUUCUACAUAGGAAUACUAUCCCGUGCCAUAUUGCAAUCUAGAUUUUGUAAUGGUUUACAUAGUAGACAUUUUAUAUAUAAUAUAUAUACUACAAAAAAAGAAAAAAAAAAAGCAAGGAAGUAUGAAUACGUUGAGUUGGUGUGAUUUUACAAGUCAAAGAUUUUGGUGGCAAGUCCCCCCACCGAGCUGAUCCACCAGCUCUCCCAACAAUUCCUCAAAAAUUUGUAUCUCGAAUUCUCCACUGAUCUCUCUGUAGCCUUCAAACUUCUGAAUCUCCUUGCUCAGUGGUAUCCAAUUCGACCGAAUCGUGUCUUUUUCUGCCAAUUCGCAAAUUUCACCCCACAUGUUGGCAGAAUUAUUCUGCCUUCCACGAUCAUUCUUCCUCAACUCAACGCAUUUGCCUUCGCUGCGAGUCCUAGAUUUACCAGAAGCAUUGCUUGUCAAACUCUUAUCAACGUACUGAUGAUUCAGCUUCCUAUAAUUCUCGAGUUCUUCUGUUAAAGUCCUCCUUGACUUUGAAUUCGUCAAUCGUGAGAGCCCCUCUGUCGCAACAUAUUCAAAACUCAGCCAGAGAGCAAUGAAGUUCACUAAAGUUAUACUACUAUAGUUAAUAUUGAAAGAAAAAUCGAAUUUAGAAGAAAAAAAUGUGAAGCUAGGGGUAUAAGAAGCAAACCUGAGCUCGUAACUUCUGGAUCACAUGGGAAUUUCACGAUAUCCAAAACAGAAUUUGGGCUGGAAUUUUCAGAAUCAGAGCAAUCUGAUUCUACUUUCUUUACUGGCAAGCAAUCAUCUUUUCUCUUCUUCAUCCUUCUUCUCCUUCCUAAUUCAUUCUCAGGUUUGCGGUUUAUGGGCUUUGCCCUGUUUUCGACUUCCUUCCCCUCAAAUGAAUUUUGGGAAGAACUAAUACUCAGUGGACGAAUACCGUCGCUCAUUACUUCAGAAACAGCUCUUUGAGAAGCCUUCCUAGAAUCCGUCGUCCGCUCUUGCUUCUCAUUAUUUAAAACAUUCAUGGGAUCUUGAUUUUCUUUAUUCUUUUCAUAAACAUUCUCCCUGCUCCUCGUACUAUUCUGGGAUUUAUCGUUUGCUCCUCUGCCUCUUUGCUUCUUCUGCUUCGAACCCGUCUCCGAUUUCCUACUUUCACCUACAAUAUUCUCAAAGCUAAGAACAAAAAAAUCCUCAUCUUCUAGCUCAAGAAAUGUGGGAGCAGUCUCCCUGAAGCUCUUCACGCGUCUAUGCCUCCCCUGAAUUGACACAAGCUCCUUCAUCAAAUCCACAGAAUUCAUCGACCGGCUACGUGCAAUUGAACUCGGACUUUUUUCAGCGGCAGAAAAAUCGGUCUGAGGCAGCAAUGAUUCUAAACCCAUUAGCCUUGCCACGAUGCACGGUGUGGCGGAGGACUCAGCCCUCUCCUCUGCACUUACAGUACUAGUACAUUGUAGCCUGUCAAGCUCCACGGAGACAGAGUCGUGGUCGGUGUCUUUGAAGUGAUCAGAGGGGUGCGUGGGAAGGCUUUUAAGGCAAAGAAGUCGGCGGAAGACCCCGGCAAUGCACCCAGCUGGGGAGCUCCUGGAAUUGUGGACAUUGCCACCGAAAGAAGUGGAGGCAGUGGUGGAGGUGAUGGUCGAGGAGGCGGUGGAUGAAGAGGAAGUCAAGAACUUCAUGUUCUUGAUCAAGUGGAAGGGCUCUUUUGUGUUUGAAUGAGAAGUACGAGAAAAAAGAAGAAAGAAAAAGUCAGUUUGAGAGUUGAAUUAUUUGGAGUUGGAACUGGCAAAGAGAACAGUGAAUGCGAGGAAAAGCGAAUGGAGAAAAGCUAAGAUAGAUUUGAAUGUUGGGAGGGAUGGGAGACAGUGAAGCGGUGGUGGCGGGCUUUACAUUUGAAUCUAAAGGGCAUUGUAUAUUGUAAUGUAAUGUAAGCAGUUUGAUGGAGAAAGGAAGGAAGUUAUGUUCCCACGCGCUACGAGCAGUCAAUUUGUGCAAUUUGUCUUAUCCGAAUUGGCUCCAUCAAAUGGUGUGUACCGCUAACGACUGAGCAUGCCUACCUUGGCAAUCAGUCAUAGCAUCUGUCGAACAAAGGCUGCAUAGAGUGGAGUUUUGGUCUGAAAUCCGAAUGGACUCUAAGAGAUCAUGCUGCUACUAUUAGAUCAUGAUUAGAUUUGGCUUGCAUUGCUCUCAAUGGGAUAGAAUCAAGUGAGAUGCAGUGUAAUGAUGAAUAGAAUUUGUUGGCAUUUACGACCAAGAAUCAUUGGAUAAUCUCGAAACAAGUGCUGGUGCAACUAAUUAAGACAAUCUAUAGGAUUGUUCAGGUUGAUGCUUUUCUUGCAAUGUAUCUAAUUAAUGUCUAUAAACCAAAUGGUCGAAUUAGAAACGUUUUCGCUGGUAAAACGCUUUCUUCUUUCCAUGCGUGCAGGUGAAUGUGGGAGGAUGAGGUCAAGAGAGAGGACUGUAGAAGGCGGAAUAGAGAGUCAAGAUGGUGAGAGUGGAAAGGGCAGAGUGGGUGAAAAUUGUCAGGGAGGACAAUAGUGAGUGGGGGAAAAAUUCUUUUUGGGUAUUGGGAGGUGGGGUUUGCUGAUCGAUCAGCCGAAGAAACUGACCUUGCCUGCUUGGACUUUCAACUAUGCCUGUACAGUGUACACACACUGCCAAGCGCCAACUACUUUUUUGUAUAUUCAAUUUUUGUUUCGGUCCCCGUGGCCGUGUUAGCAAACAAUUUAAUGCCAAAGGGUCCUUAAAAAGUGAAUCCUUCAAUCACCCACCCUGCCUUCAGACUUCAAUUCUCUGUUUUUCUUGUUCCCCUUUUCUACUUCAUGCUUCCCAUUUCCAGCUUCCAGUUCCAGGUUCAGAAGAAUUUGCAGAUUGCGGAGUCCGAAAAGAUUCUUUGGAUUCGAACUGGGUUUCCUUUUCCUUAACUUGUUACUACUACUAUUAUUCAAAGUGCUAGUAGAUAGCACGCACAACCCUUUGGGCCACCUCAAUGAAAAUUCUGCAUUUUUUCCUUCGUACUUGAAGAUGGAAGUUAAAGUGAAGCAUGUUCUCAAUUGAAAGCUGUUCUUCAUGUUUUACACCCAACCAAUGUAGAUAGAUAUUAUUGUUGGGGAGUUAUCAAUAUGCAAGGCAUGUAGUAGCAGCAUAAAUUGAAGAUGGGCUGGCAUCGGUAGUACUACGAUGUAACCAACAAGUUAAUUUGGUUUUUUUUUUUACACUGUAACGAUAAUAUUUUUAUAAUUUAAUCAAUCCUAAUUUAGGAGACAUUUCUAUAAUCUAAUCUAUCUUAAUUUAGAAAAAGGGCAGAACCUUCUUUAAAUUUUUUUCAUUACAAGUGAAGAUCGAACCCUUGACCUACAAUCCAACGAGGGACUUAGUCCCGUUUUAGUGGAUGCUCAAUGGUUAGUUAACUUGGUUCAAUUGGCUAGGAUUUGCAUUAAAGACCUUUUUUGGGCACUAUGAGACUUUCUUGCUGGUAGGUUAAGAAUUUGAAUUCCCGUCCAGGGAGGCAGUAAUUAAAUUUAUAUUUGGGCUACCAUGGGCCCAGAGUUAAGUACCUUAAUAGUACUCGACACCCUCUACUUUAAAAAAGAAAAAAAGAAAAAAAAAGGCGGCUCUAUCUAGUGUGGCCUCUGGGCCUAGAGUAAAGACUUGAUGUGCUCUACUUUCUCGUCUCCAAUCACUAGGCUCAAACCAGUGGCCAUUACGAGACAAGUAUAGUGCUUUCUUUUCCCGUCAAAACAAAAAAAAAAAAAAAAGUAUUUAUUAGAGAAGUAGGCUCCGUUUAACUGUUUUUAUUCUAAAAGCUAAAAAUUGUAGCGCACUUUAAAGUUAUUUGGUGUAAAAGUGAGUUUUCUCCCUCAGUCCCUCAAUAGUGUAGUUAGAAAAUAUUACAAAAAUUUCUCUCUCUCUUUUUCCCCCUAUUUAUGGGAUACUUGCACUUUGCACUUCUUUUCGGAAAGAUUUAUUUUAGUCGAAAUUGAGUGAAUUGUGAAUAUGGUCUUGGCAUUUUUUUUCCCCUCCCCUCAAAGCAGCACAAAACGAGUAAUAGAAUAGAAUAAUGGAACACACAAAGAUGCUGCCUUGGUGCAAAACUGGACGUGAUACACAAACAAAACAAAGCUGCUGAAAAGAAUGGCAAAGUUGUGUCUUAAAACGUGUUGGAUAAAACAGGAACAAAAUUUAGCUUCUUUAGCUCGAUUUAAUUCAAAUUUCAAUGUCUCAAAAAUGGGUAGUAUUACAUCUUCAAUGGAAUUAAAACACCAAACUGGCAAACUUUAGUUCCAACUUCUAAUGAACAGAUGCAAGUUGUACUUAUCAACUAUACUAUAGUCUAGUAUAACAUUAUCAUAAAAAGCUGCUGAAUUGUCGAGCCAUCAGGACCAGAAGUUGGCUCCGAACAGAUUGUGAAUGGCUUUAAAGCCUUGUAUUAUUUCUCUGGUCUGCAACUCGUAGACUCCGUGGGAUUGGGGGGGUUACUGAUCCUUGCUCUUAUGAUGGGAUCCGUUGAGAUUUGGGUCGGUCUGGUAAUACACGAUGUCUCCUGUGUUGCUAACGUAGUGAUCUUGACUGAUACUUCUGACCAGAUUUUCAAUCAAGUGCAAUGGAAUUGGCCCAGAUUUUCUGGGCUCUCGAUAGUACUUGCCUAGGACUGGCUUAGCUGCCCUUGUCUGCGUCCAGACAAAAAAAAAAGAAAACAAACCAGAAUAUGACAAUCUACCAUUUAAGUAAUUGAUUAAGGACAAUCACGAGAACGAAUAAGGAGGGGGGGGGGGGGGGCUAAAUUUUGAGUCAUUACCGCCUCUACUAGAUGAUAAUGUGGGAUCUGAGGAAAGAGAUGGUGUAUAACGUGGGUGCCAAUGUCGUGAUGAAUGUUGUUAAACAAUCCGUAAUCACGAUCAACCGUGGUAAGGCCGCCUCUCAGGUAACUCCAUUCCUGCUCCAAGGCAGCAAAAGACAUUAGUAGUAUUAAUUUGAAUGCCAACCUUGGUGGUGGGCUUUGAAUUAGUUUUGCUGACAAAGUUGCAAAAAAAAAGAAAAGAAUGCAGCAUGGUCCCUCGAGUCCUCAACCUGGUCCAUGUCAUUUGUCAUUUUAAUUUUGAGCCGUGAAAUCAAUAACAACGUUCUGGUACAAUUUCAGUGAGAUUAGUACCGUUCUGGAACAAAAGUAAACAGCAGGCCCCAACAAGGACAGAGACAACAGAAAAAAGUGUCCCAGUUUAUUUAGAAUUAGAUUACCUGGCCACGGUACCAGGGAAGUUUCUGUUCAUAGCCAUGGUGGUGCAAGUAUGUAACAAAGUCCAACCACAUGACGAAUACCUGAAAGUAAUUCAAAUUGCGAUUACAUAUUAUUAUGAAUUAGGAGAGAUCUCAAAACAGAAAGUAAUAAUGUGAGUUACCAAGUAGGGAAUGCCAUAGAUCUUAAGCAUUUGCAUGACACCAAACACUGCUGAUAGGCAGAAGAGGGAAACAAGCAUCAGAGUCCAACAGACGGUUGAUGUUACCACGUACUUCCUGUCACUGGGUUGGAACAAAUCGCUGUAUGGGUCGAAGUGAGAACCCGUUUUCCCUGGACUCCUGCUCCACUGUUACAUAAUUCCAUUGCAAUACAACGAGUUAAUGCCACAUCUAGGAGCAGUAAAGUUUCUGAACUGGGAAGUCUUAAUAGUAUAUCUUACCAGGUAUAGUGGAUAUGCAAACAUCGGAAAAGGGAUCUUGUAACGCAUGAACUUAGUAGAGUAAUCCAGAUUCUUGUACGUCUUCUCCGGCAACUGAAACAAGGAAAGCAAUUCAACAGCUGGUUCAGACUGAUGGAGUUCUAUCGUUUCCGGAUAUGGCAUGUCAUAAAUCGGAAACUAAAAAACUGGAAUUAGAAGGACAAGUCACUGAAACCAUCGGGAGUGGUUCGAUGCUUGCUCCUAUAGUAGAGAAGGCGUGGCUCCCAAUCGUCUCCUCCAGUUGUCGGGAAAAGGAGUGGGGGAACAAUAAAACUGAAAGCCCAUAUUAUUCGAAGAAAAAAUGUCCGUAGAGGGCUUAAGGUAGAAUAUGAGGUUAGGAAAAUUACCGGCACCCAUGACUCAUCUUUUUCAACAUUUCCGUGGUUUUGAUGAUGAGUUCUGUGGCUGAUUCUCCUGCAGAUAGUGAUUCAGGUCACAUUGUGUGGAGUUGAAUUUUUUUUUUUUUUUUUGGGUGGAGCCUAGCUCCAAGAAGAGAGUUUUUUUGAGGAACUAACCAUCCAUGGUAAGGGACAAGAAUAGAUGAAUGCAGGAUGUGUCCCACAAAACCGUUUAACGUUGGGUUGUUGGAAAAACUCCCAUGCCCGCUGCAGUUCCAAGAAAUUGGAGAUUUGAUUUAAUUAUCGCAGACCAAAACAAAGAAAAGAAAAGGAAAAAUGGUGGUGAUCAACUGGUGGGUGAAGAGAUUGCAGUAGUUACCAAUCAUGGCCAAGAACAAAGAUUGCCCAAAACAUUGUUCCCUGAGCAGCCCAAUAAACUGGCCAAACCAUCCAAUUGUCAAAGUGAAGUGCCAGUGCUAUUAAUCCAACCACUACAACAAGGUCUCGAGCAACAUAACUCAGAGACCUCCAUGGAUUCUUUACCCAGCAAUGCUCAGGAAUGGCCGCUCGAAUGUCAGCAAUCUUAAAAGGAGGCGAUGCGCUUGGAUCAAAAUCAACUUCAUCCAUGUCUUUGCUAAUGAUACCGCUGCUGCUGUUCACCGGUCUCUCUGUCUCCUCGCACUCUCCCACCAAUGCCCUACCAGGUUUAGUAUUUUCAACUUGGCCCUUUUUGUCUGCCGAAAGCGGCGAAAGGGAGUGACCCAAAUCUGUAAAAAGGUCGGUGAGCAAGAAAACCAACUUGAGAAGCGAAAAAGAGAUUCUUGAAAGGGAAUCAAUCACUUUCUGCUCAAGUAUGAAUCUUGAAUUCUAAAAAAAAAAAAAAAAAAAAAGGGUUCAAAUACGGUUACAAUAUUUUAGACUCUAGCACGACUACCAAGGGGGGGUGGGGUGGGGAUCUUAUGCACAGAGAGCAUCGGCAACAGCAAAUGCCAGAUGGGUUCAUUUUCAAGUGUGAGGAACUUGCUGCAAGUAUAUGUUAGUAAUUACUUGUACUAUUGUCUGUCGCCCGAAAAUUUAAAGGCAUUUUCACGCGGGUAUCUCCAAGUAUAAAAUACUAGUAUAUGGUAGAGCAUCUCGUUUUCCCAGGACCUUACCUCACAAUUUACAGAAGUACUUCUCCUUUUUCUAGGUUUGUCCAUAUCAUUUUUUUUUUGGGGGUAUUCAUUUGAUUUUACUAAAUCUCUUAAUGAAUAGAGAUUCUUUUUACAUUAGCUAGCUACCUACGACAUGUAUUCUAUUCCAAUGCACUAGCACUAUUACAGUAUUACUACUGCCGGAGGGAUUACCGCAUAAUAAUCUCAAAGUAUCCCCUCCCCGGCAGAACCCCCUAUUUCGCCCAAGUUGUUUUGGAACCGACGCUGAAUAGUGGACGGAGAGACAAUGUGACAAGGGGGCAGAUCGUUUUCAGUCUGUUCUUGGAUUCUGAUUUAUACAAAAUUAAUUAAUCUUGUAGUGCUGCUUGUGGUUGAAUUUGUAAGUUGGGGGGGUAAAGGUGUUGCCAUGAUGCUAGGAAGACGACUGAAAGAACACAGCAAAGUACACUCACGCACUUAGCACCGAAAACUGAAGUUUGUUACAUCCUAUCCUAUGUUUGGUUUGGGGCUGCCAAGUGUGAGCGCAUAUAAUUUUAGCGGACUCCAAUCUCCCAUAUUGACAGAAAGCGAAAGGUGCAAUAUGGUGGUGCCCCAUGCAAAAGGCAUCGGGGAAAAAGGAAAAUUUUCUUACGAAAGGCAGGUUUUUCUGUUACUAUACUUUGAUGAAGAAUUCCACUUUCUUGACAGACUUAGCAUAUAAACAUAUUGGAAUCUUAGUAGCAUGACAGAAAGACAGACAGUAGUGUAAUUUUAAAAAGUAAUAGUACAUAAAAUCGAAACCGGACAGGUACAGUUAACCUUAAUUUUUUUAUGACUCACUGUACAUUCACGUAACUUACUCUGUUUUAUUUUAUGAUUUGAGUACAAUAAAGUUAUUUAAAUGUACAACAAAUUAUGAAAAAUGUACAACAAUCUUAUCAAUUGUACCUGAGAUCAACGAUACCUGUUCAGAUCAACCCGCGUAAAAAUAUAUAUAAGGAUCAGAGGAUAAGAUAAUGAUAAAUUUAGAUCGAUGAUUGGUGGCUACAAGUAGCGUGUAACUUCUAAAAACAGGACAACCAAAUGGCAAAAUGUAUGUGUGCUAAUUCCAUUCCACAACGAUGGUUGCAUUUGCUUGAAAUAUAGAAAUCCUCCACCGAAUUUAACAGGAAAGACGAGAGAAAAAGCUAAGGAGAAUUCUAGAAUAAUAUGCUUACCAGAUUGGAAUUAUUUCUUAAGAAACACGGAAAGAUGUGCUCUUUGUUUAUCACAAAGUAAAAAAAAAAAAAAAAAGCAACAAUUUGUCUCUUUGUUCAUCACAAAGCGGCACAACCAUGAUUUUAGGCAACUUUUCACCGAAAUAGAAAGUUAGAGAGCUAAGCAUAUGCAUGACAUGAAUGUGGUUGAUAUUUUACCUUGACACAUGUCGGCGGAAGAGCACCAGCUGCUGAGGGUCAAGGAAGGGGGAAGAGGGAGAUUGAACAGGGGAAUGACUUAUUCCUCGAUCAGCCAAGUCGGAGAAGGACAAACGAAUUUGUGUCUGUUUCUCGGGGUGUCCGCCAUGCAGGGAUCCUCAAAUUUAUAAGGCAAAAAAAGUAUCGAUGGCCGGUGGAGAUGCCCGUAUUAAAAACGGUAAGAGCAUUAUACACGCCAGGAAUGUAUGAAAUUUGCUUUGCAGCUAUACACUAGUGAGUGACAUGGACGAUGUGUGCCCGUCGAACUCGGCCCUCCGUUGUCUUGACUCUCGUGGGGUUGUGCUUCUCCAGCUACUCCCACCAUCGGUUUACUUCUACAAUUUGGGUUCUCUCUCUUCAUUUCCUUUUUUGGGAAAUUUCCAAACGAUUUUAGCCUUUCCCCUCUCUCUUUCUCUAUUUUGGGGGCUGCUAUUUACUUCAUUCAUUAACAAAAGCUAAGCUCGGUAAGGCCUUUUUGGUUGUUCAAUUGUUGUAAUCGAAACUAUGGAUCUCUGAUAAAGGGGUAUCCAUAAUUUUUCUUGAAAUAAUUCAGGAUCAGUACGUGUCAGAUCCUUAGUCCUACAACUUUGGAGUUUGGUUUCUGCUCUCCACGCAUUUUAGAACAGUCAUUUUAACAAGUUGCUCCCCAGAUGGAUUAUCGACCUUGUGAACACUAAAUUCCACAUUGCAAGGGAUAUGAAAAUACUCCCAUCCAAUCUCUACUUUCUUUGUAUCCCUAUUCAUAUUCUUACUAAGUCAGCUUCGAAAUACCAGUAGUAGUGUUUCCGGGCGCUGGAUUUCUUUUGGAAUAUUUACCCGGUAUUCAAAGAUUUCAAUAUUUAUUCUCCCCUAAAACAGUAUUUUUAUUUAUUUAUUUCUUGGGUUCUGAAUCAAAAUAUGGGUCGUUGUCCAAGGUAUCCGCGUUAUAUAUAAUGUCUUUGGUUAAUUUAAUUUUAUGUGUUGUGCUCGGGCUGGUGGAGCUCCGCGACAAGGACCCGAAUGAAUACUUGUUAAACUCAAGCUGGAUUUUUUUUUAAAAAAAAAAAUUUCCUUGGUGCACGUGUCUCAUUUUCUUCAAUUUAAACAUGCUACGAUGAACUGUACCCAAAUAUGGACCUUUGAAGCGGCGGCCGGACUGAAGCCAUUAGGUCAAAAUUGCGUACUAGAGUUAACUACUAGUAUUAGAACAGUGUGCUAACUGGAAAAUUUUAGUUUGAGGGGGUGAAAUACACACACAUAUAUGCAUAUAUAUAUAUAUAUAUAUUUGGAGUCUUUUUGAAAAGUUUUGGAGACAAAUAUGUAUAGAAAUUUUGAAAAUUCUCAAACUUUUAAGAGAAGAGAGUAUGAUUUUUCUUGGAAGGACGAAUAGCUAAAUAAAUAUAAGAACUUUGAAAAAUUUCAAAAUUUGAUAGAGACAAAGUAUGAAUUUUUAGAAUUUGACAGGGACUGGGUUGGGGAGAAUUUUUAGAAUUUGACAGGGACCCUUGAUUCGAAAAAAUGGAGAACUCCCCCAAACACGGGACACGUAACCCAAUCACAGAGCCGUUUCUCUGAGGUUAAUUGUGCUUUGUGUGAUGCAUGUGUUGUAUGACAUUCAAUCAAGCAGCCGCAUAAUUUGUUACCAAAUAUAUAGUUUUUAUUUUUGUUAAUCAAGUUACAAACGAUGAUGAGAAUAAUAAAAAUAAUUUUAAAAAUUAAUCCACAAAUGAUAGGUAUUACGAUUUUUUAAGAUAUUACGAACUAGCCCACAAAAAUAUGGUAAAUAAAACUCACAUAUAAUAAAAUUUCAACCCACGAUCCUACACAUAGACAUAGUGCUCUCUCUUAACAUUUCAUGAAUUAUAAGUCUUGAAUUCAAGUUUUCGUGUAUGUUAAUUUUUUCUCUCGCUAUUUGUGAAUUGAUUUAUAUUAAUUAAUUAAAUUUCUUCUACUUUCACGUAAUAAACGUGUGAUUGACACUGAAUUUAAUUUAGAAUAGGGAAGUGGCAGUCCGGCGGAGAGGAUCUCAAGUUUGUGGUCCAUAAGACAAGGGGGGCCUCAAAGGUUCAACCACACAUUUCGCUCUCGGGCUUUUACAGCUUAGGAAAUUGGGCAGGCGUUCUGACUUGUGUGAGGUGGGUUUGUCAGUAGUUUCAAGUUGAACGUUAAGAGCUACGUCUCACGAAGCGAGAAGAGCCUUACUAACAGAUUUCAUAAUUCUAAGUACGAUUUCAUAAUUCAGUGACAAUGCAUACAUUAUUACUAGUGGGAAUACCCGUGCUAUGCACGGUGCUGACAUUAUUGGAAAAAAAAUAAAAUGGUGAACAAAUAAAGGUGAAAAAAUUUUACCAAUAAAAUUAAAAUAUAAUAUCUGUUUAACAAUAGUUUGAAAUAUAAUAGAAUGUAUAUAUCAUUCAAGAACCGUCUUUUUUCAGUUGUAUGAGAAUUUUUUUUAUCAUUGUAUGAGAAUUGUUAACAAAAAAAUACAAUAGUUAAUAUAGAAUAGCAUCAAUAGAAUUUAAUACAAUUGUGUUAUAAUCAAAUGAAAAAUACGCACCAAUUGAAUUGUUAUUAGCACCCAUAGUUAAUGAAGUAAUCCCUAUAUAAAAAUAUUUUGGUACAUGUAGUAAUUGGUAAUCUAUAAAAUAAAAUAAAUUGCUAAUCUAUAAAAUUGCUAAGUUGUCUAUAAAUAGCAUCAAUAGAAUGUAAUACAAUUGUAUUGUAAUCGAACAAUUGUAAUACAAUUGUAUUGUAUUGUAUCUAUAGUUGAUUUAGCAAGAUAGUGUAGCCAAAAAAUGUAUAUGUAAGAUAAGUAUGACGAUAUAAGAAACUGUAUAUUUACCAUGAUCAUGCAAAAUCAUUGGUGAUGUGGAUGCCUGGCGAUCUUGAGGAUAGUUACAUUUUUCAUUUCUUAGAUCUAGAAAUAAAAUAUAUAUUAAAUUAAAAAUCAAUAGUUUAUGUAUUUAUUUUAUGUGUAAAUAGUGAUACAUUGUAUGAGAACUGUUAACCAAAAAAAAUAAUAAUUAAUAUAGAAAUAGCAUCAAUAGAAUUUAAUAGAAUUGCAUUGUAAUCAAAUGAAAACAAUUACAGAGAAGUGGUUACCUGAACUAAGGAAUGCAGUUUUUAAUGCUCAAAAGUGCCUUGACGAUUGCACAUAUGUCAGGGGCUUUGUGAGUUUUUGGCUCCUCUUGAAUCAUUUUCUUUUUUCUAAUUGUAAUAUAUUACCUACAGGUGUUAAGUAGGACUUGGCUCUAACCUUUCGUUUAAGUACUUUAAGCAAUGAACUAUUUAUUCCGUGAGUUGAAUUGUGCUGUUGCUAGAUAGAUGAAUUACAUAGUUGUAAUUGUCAUUGUUGAUAAAGAAAAGAAAGGAUAGAAUGCAAUUUUGCCAAAAGGAUUUCUGACGAAAUUAAAAAUUAAUCCAAUUUUAAUAAUGGGCGUAUAGUGCCUUAGUUAUUAGUAGUAGCUGAAUUGUUUUUCUCCAAUUAUAAACCAUUUUUAAUUAUUUUUUAAAAUUAUCAAAAAAUAUUUUUUUUUAUUUCAUGCACGAUCAUUUUUGGAAUAAAAUUAUGAAAAUAACUAUCGUAACACCUAUUUUAUGUGAUAAAUGUGCAAUAAAAAAUAAUUAAAAAAAUUUCAGUAAUACAAACAAAUAAAUUUUUAUAAUAUACAAUUUAUGUUAGAAAUAAUAGAACCCUCAAUCAUGAACCUAUACCAUCCGCAAUUAUAUAAGCAAGCAAUACCUUUUUAUCUUUGAUUUACAGUGUAACAAUAAGCAAACAACCGUUCAUAAGAUUUUGUAAAAAAUUUUCAGAAAUAAUGGAUGAUCAGAAAAUCAAUGCAAUAUCAUUAAUGACAAACAACAAAGCAAAAACAAAACAUACUUAAAAGGCAGAGGGGACUGACCUGGAAAAUUAAGCCGGCCGCAAGAAGGUUGAUUUCUGCUGGAGUCUCUGCACAUAAUAUCUUCCACUACUGCUCACAAAAGAAACAAAAUCAAUACAUUUACAAAAUCAAUAGAGAACCUAAAACAAAUAAGAAACUGAGAGAGAGGGUGAGGGAAUUAACUCGAUAAGUUAAUUAAGUCGAUCAGUAAAAGAAGAAGUUGUAGGAGUAAUUGUAUGAUGAAUUAAGAUAGUGGGAUAGUGGGAGUGAGAUAGUGAGAAUAUUGAUUGGUGAUAAGGUGAUAGUGAGAUAGUGGGAAUAUUGAUUGGUGAUAAGGUGGGUUAUAACCCACUACCUUUUUAUGUAUUAAAAUAAAUACAAAAAUAUGAGUUAAGAUAGUGGGAUAGUGGGAGUGAGAUAGUGGGAAUAUUGAUUGGUGAUAAGGUGAUAGUGGGAUAGUGGGAAUAUUGAUUUGUGAUAAGAUGGGUUAUAACCCACUACUUUUUUAUGUAUUAAAAUAAAUACAAAAAUCUAGAAAAAAGUAUGACAAGUUUAGAAGGCAUUGAGAGGGUUUCUGCUAAAAAUCCCUUCCUGAAUACAUAUAGAUAUAGAUUAGGUUAAAAUAAAUAUUAUAUUAUUUUAAAGAUGAAUUUCAAUUUUAAAUUUUACAUAUAUAUAUAUAUAUGAUAGAUGUGUAUCCAAAUUUGAUGAAAAAAUUAACCAUAACGUUUAUGAUUCAUUUUCUAUGGGGUAAUUGCAAGUUUGUAUUAAAAAAGUAGGAAAACAUUUUACAUUCAUUAAACUAGGAGGGGUAUUCUUGAUCAAAAAAGAGUUUUUUUUAGAUGAAAACAAAUUUCAUUGACAGAUUGUUGGAAAUCAUGCAGCAAUAAAAUAAGGAAAAAAACACAAAAUCUCUGUAGAAAUCCCUAGAAAAAUAGAAAAUUCUCACUAGAAUCUCUAGAAAAAACAACCAAAAACUCUCACAAAAAAAAAAAAAAAACUUAGAAGAGACUUUAUUAGAAAAAACAAAACAAAAAAAAAAGCAUUUCGUAAUUAAUAAGCCGGCAAGGUGAUUUAGUCGCAAUUACUCUUUGCGUAGACCAAAAAAAAGGGCAAUUUAUGGCACGAUAUCAAUUGCACAACUGUAAUUGGUUUACUGGUCUAAAAAAUCAUACUACGGACAAUUAAAGUAAAAUAUUGAAAGCUAUUUAAAAAAGAGAGAGAAGAAGAAGAAAAAGUGAUACUUGAUUUAUAUUUAUUUCUGAAAAUUCUAAUGUCCUUAAUUUGCCAAACAAAACAGAAAAGAUCAUCACCUCUCGUCUAACAUGAGCACAAGUUCAAUUAAAAAUUCUCUUCUGAUGCCAAUAAAGUGUGGAAUGGUACCUUCAAUCCCACAAGGCUCAAAUUAGAUAUUUAAUACUCCAUACGGAAAAUAUAAUUACGUUACAGAAGAGAAACUCAAUUGGUUCAACAUAAUGGCUGCUCAAGAAGCAAAUAUCAAAAGUCUAUGAUCCCAAAAUCAAACUCUUUGACAUUUGUUUUAGGACCAUUUCUAAUUGCUAACGACGUUAUAAGACUACUGUUUCUGCAGUUUUGCCCUAGAAAUCAGAUUUUUUUUGGCCCACGGGACUGAUCUCUUCAUUCGAAUUUAUUUAUUUUUUGGUAAGCAGAGAGUUUUGAACCCGAAUUCUCACUUGCAUCUCAUCUCCCGUAUUGUCAAAACCGUCACUCUGCCCCCUCCGUUCGAAAUUGACAUUAAGAUCUCCGUUCAUGAAGAUGUUCAAAUAAUCUUAACCAGCCAGCCGUUGAAAUGGAAUUCUGGGGUAAUUCUUAACUCCAGUCAAUAGACAAAUUUGAGUUGAUCCUACUUGACAAUUUCUUCACAAGUCUUAGAAAGUGCGAAAGCCCAUACCAAUCUAGACUUAGUUCCGAUGAUUUACCCAAAAAAAAAACUCUAAAUAACCUUCAGUCCGACAAGCUCGAUGAUCAUUACUCCUUUGUAUCUUCUUCUUUGUAAAAAAAUCAUGCGAUUGUAUCAUAAAUAUUUUUGAAUUAAUUUUUUAUAUACUGAUAGUAUACACGCUGUCGAUGUUCGAUGAAUAAUAACCAUACAAAGUUUAAAUUUGAAAUUUAACUUUUGCACACGUAUCAUGAAUUCAACAAUGAUAAUAUAUACACUUAUACUGUAAGUGUAUAUAAGGUCUACUCAAUAAUUUCUAAUCACUAUUUUAUUAUUUCAACCACUUUACCAUCUCACAUAUAUAUAUCACGUCACAAAAAAUAUUAAAUAGUAUUAUUUUAAAAGAUUUUUUUUUCUAAAUAAUCCCCUAUGCACGCGCGCGCACACAUUCCACGGUCGAAAUAUGAAUAGUAAUUGCAGAAGCAGCAAAUUGUGCGGAAUCAGCCCAGAAUGAGGAUUGGAAAGCCAAAAGAAAAAUGUUUAAGCAUCCCCUUUGUACGGUAGCCCCAGGGCUCAUACGGUUCUAAUUCUAAAAUACGCUCCGGGGAGAAAGGAGAAAGGAGAAAGAGGGUGGACACAAUAAAUUCAAUGGUUGAGUGGAGCCAAGUCCAAGUAAUACAAGUAAUGAGGAAACUGAUUUGUACUAGAGACGAUCUAUUAUAAUAAAACCUUCGGAGCAUUUACUGGGAGAUGGAUCGCAAAUCGACGGCCGCAAUCAGCCUCUAAUUAGCUGUACGGGGAUCGGCUUAAAUGUUUGGUUCCAAUGAAAAAGUGCAGGACAGUGUGUCGUUAAUGUUGUUUGUCCUACCAUCAUUUUGUGAGUGAAGUCACACCAAAGUACCGUCCUUGCGAUGUACUGUAUCUUGCGUGUCACUGUGGACUCGCUUGAAUUUUUUAUGCAUGAUCACAUUUAAUUGUAAUAAAUUGAUGGGAGGUAAGAUUUGAACCCUUGUCUUCCAUCUCACAAAGUUUUAAUGAAUUGGUGGUAGUUACCAACCAAAAAACUGGUGGUUUUUUCUUUUCUUUUUCACUUGCUUCAUAUUUAUUUGUGGAAAGAAUCUGCCAAUAAAUAUCACCCCGUUAAAAGUAAAGAUAAAAUGGAGAGUGACAGAGAGAAAUGCAUUUGACAAGUUUUGGAGAUUUUGGCUCAAGGCAAGGAUGGGAUUAUGAGAACGCCGUCUCUCUCGCCGCUCUGACUGCCAAACGCGUAGUGAACAUGGGCAUGUCCAGAACAAGUGAUGGACAGUUUCCACAAUCUCAUAACAUCGCGGGCAAGAUGUUUAGUGCGCAUUUGGCAUUAAACAUUCGUAGGUCGGGUGUUCUAACUCACCUACAGUGAAAAAAAUUUAAAGGAGGUGAAAGAAUACCCUUUUGAAUCUAGUCAGAUCUGUAUACCUGUUAGUCCCUUACAUAGCUUCUUCAAACUCUUCCUUCCUAUAGAAUAGGUUGGAUUAAAUUAUAAGAAUGUUAUCGUUGAUGCUAAAAAAAAAAAAAACAUUCGCUCUUUAUAUUGUAGUAAAUAGAUUUUCUACCAUGUGUCAAUUGGCACUUGUUAAUAUCAUAAUUUGAGGAUUCCUUAAUGGGAAUAGCUUAUUUCACUUUUUUUUUUUCCAUUUUAAAUCCGCACCUUCAAUACAUUGGUUACUUAUACAAUUAGCAGUGAAAGUACAUUGUAUGGAUCUAACCGCUACCCUAAUAUUAAGUUGUGUUUUACUGCUCAGUUAACCCGAUUUCUUAUAAUAAAUAGUACAUGAUUUGAUUAAAAACUCGAUGAACCUCGAGUCUAGAGAUUUUACUUGAUUAUUCACCAAGUAAUCAGGAGCUUCUAUUGAGUUGAAUUUGUUUAAAACCCACAAAUAUAAUAAAUUUCCGACAAAAUUUUUUCAACUUUAUAGUUUCGAAAUAGAUAAUGAGUACAUAAAAAAAAAAGAUCAUUAAAAAGCUUAACACCUAAAUAAAUUCUUAGAAUAAUUUAAUUGUUGACAAACGACAUGGUAAAUGCAUAUAGUUUAUGACCUUGAAUUUUGUACUUCAUGAUGGAAAAGAAAUUUGUUCCAGUAGUCGAGUAUGCUUAGCUUAAUAGCUCUUUGAAUCAGUUUAAAUUUUACAAAAAAUUAUCAUGCGUUUGUACAUUGUGCAAACACACACAUACAUUGUUUAAUACUUGGACUUCACCUAACAAGUGCUCCUGAGUACUCACCAGACCCCUUCUUCUUUUUUCUUUUUUGUGUUUCAAUGUAUCUGACUUUUUAAUUGGUUGUUAAGUGAAUUUAUGUGAAAGGUGGGUGCACUAAUUGCAAGGGAUUUUCCUCUUAUAACUCGCGUACGCAACAACGCCUCUUCUUCUUCUUCUUAUUAUUUCUUUUUUAAGCUUCCCCAUUUUGUUGUUUUCGCUUUGCAUCUGGCAAAAACACGGAAGCAAAAGAACGCACUUUUAUAUAUAGUUUCCCAAGGGCACCCGCUCUUUGCAGCAAUGUUUCUCAACCAAAAAAAAAAAAUAGUUGAAUCAUGCAGUUGACCGGUUUUUAAGUCUAGAUCCACUCAACUUUACAAAUCAGAUCUGAGUUUUGUAUGAAAUAUCAUAUUUAACAAUUACAUAUUAUAUAUCAUGUUUCAGAUGGUUUAACACUCCCAAACUAUUAUUAAUGAAUUAUGCUCUUCUUCCUUUCCCUGCCGAAUAGGUCGACCGAGAAAAAUAAAAGAAGAAAAAAAUAUUCGAAGGCUCUCACCCCAAAGACAUGAUUCGCAACUCAUCAACCCUCGUCUUCUGCAGAAACCCUGCGCCAAUCUCCUUCACUCCCUUCUUGCUUUUAUCUCUGACAUCAUCUCGACAGCGAGAGAGGCUGGAUUCGAAAUCAUGUAUGGUGGCUUGCUUACAUCGCGCACAAAGGCAACGACUAUUUGCUGCUGGCAUUGUGCACCAACAACCUUGACUCUUGAGGGGGAAUAAUCUCAACCAGCAUACCUUCAAAUGCUAUAAUCCAUUAACUGUGCAAUUACCCUAGUUUGUCCCCAACAUCAUACAUAAUAUUUCCUACUAAUUAUACAAAAUUCAGAGUCUCUAUUUUGCUAUAAAUUGCCUCUAUCACUACACAACUGUUUAAAGAAUAUGUAAGAUGAUUUGUUCUUUUCCAUUUUUUUGAAAACCGGGGGGGGGGGGGGGUUGUGUGUGUGUGUGUGUGUGUUAAGGAACGUAAGAUAAUGGUGGAAAUUUGCAAUUAGCAUCUGACUCCAAGUUACUCCUAACAGCUAUCUUUGUCCUCGGCUUUGACUAGAUGGCUGUCCACUAACCCCUGAUAUUUGUUUUAAGUUGGUGAGGGCAUCCUGAGCAUGGCUUUUUGUCAUAACACUUCCAUAUUUAAAGGCAUCCACCAGGGCCCUAACAAGAGACUGAUUGAGAGAUUGGCGGUGGGCGAAGCUAUCAGCUCUCAACAUCUUAUCCACCAUACCAAUGGCCUUAUCCUGAAGCUCCCCUGGCCGCGAUUCUGUGAAGAGAACCACGACUGCAUUAGCCAUGCCAAGGCUUUCAAGCUCCCCCAUAGCACGCUUUAAACCAGCGGAGUUCUCCUGCAACAAGGUUGAAACUGCUUCUAAUGCAGCAACUUGGACAGUCGUAUCUCUGUCUGAGAGUGCAUCAACCAAAGGCUUGAUGCAAUUGCUCUUGAGUAGACAAAGUUGGCUACCUUCUUCACAUGGGGCGGCAUGAAUAGGACACAAAGAAUGUGCUGGAAGGGCCCUAGUACAUAUGAAGAAGGAAGAGCAGAAUCCUUGGGGAGGACUCGGGUCAAAGUCGCCAGCAGCAGCGAGGGACAUUCCAGAUUCUGACAAGUAUUUCAAACCCAGGGCAGCUAGUUGUUUCAUCCUCACUGUUGAUGCGAAAACCAGUUGGUCACGGAAAAUGGUCAUAACUUGAUGCUCUUUGAUUACACCAAGACAUUGUGGAUCAGAGCUCCUACAGAAGUGCAGUAAUAUGCCAAGGAGUCCUUCUGCCAUGGUGGAAUUGGACCUCGAACUUCUUCCAUUUGUACUGCAAUGCUGGCCCUUUAAAGUGGAAACGAUCCACUUAAUGAAACCAGUUCCUAACAUAGUUUUCACUUCAUUUUCUGAGAGGCUAAGAUUGGCAAGAAUGCAGGCAGCAUCAGAUCGCUCACCAUCUCUGGAUUGACUGUCAAGUACCUUGUCUUUGAGCAUGACAAACUUGUUGGAAGUUCUAAGUGCACUGGCAAGCUCUUCACCAAACCUCUCAGAGAGGACCCUUGUAAGCCUCAAAGCAUAAUUCCGGUGUUCAAUUUUUGGGUGCUCAAGAAAUGUGAUAAUUGUUUUGAUACCAUCUCCAGAUCUUAUGUGAGUAGUGACAGAUUCUGCAGAAAAGACAGUAACACCCAAUUGUCAUUAGUGACACAGGAGUGUCAUUAUCCCAGGAUGCUCUGAGGAUGAGUUCUGUUUCACCAUUAAGCAAGUUCUAGAAAACUAGUUGUGUUAGUUAAUGAAAACAUCAUUUAAGGCUAUUUUUCUUACACUAAUACAGGAAGGGUGUACUAAUAUCCAACUGCUUCCAAGCAUCUCGGAAAGUUUGGAUCAGAUUGUUUUCAAACCCCAUAACAUUGCUGUAUUCCAGUUACUAGGGAUUACAUUUUAAUUCUUUCUUUUUGAUUUCAUGUAAAGCAUUAAUCUCUCUUUCCUCUAAUCCAACUCCAAAGGGAAUGGUAACUUAUUUUUUCUGCAAAAGAGUGUAAAGGUUAUAUUGAUAUGACAAAAGUUACCUGAUGCUUGGGGCGAGGAUGCAAUACGAUAUAGAAUUUGGAGAACAGAUAGUUGGCAUGGAGGUGAUGCAAGUAAAAGAAGCCCCAGAAAACUAGAAAUAAUUGAUUCUGACUGCAGUGGAUGCCCUGCCUUGUCAGCAGAAGCUAAUUCCCAAUGUCCAGGGCUCAUCACAAUAUUUGCAAUAAUCGAUGCAGCUAAUGCCUUCAAUUCUAAGGAUACAACUUGAUUCUCAAAAAGAAUUUCUGUUAGAGCUGGAAGCACCGAAGAAUCAGUAAGGAUUGUAGCAUUUUCAGCAAAGCAUGAAAGGUUAUACAAAGCUUGCAGACUUGCUGCUCUUCCAUCCAGGUUUGAUAGCAGUUCAACUAAACUUCUAGCACCCUGACAAGCAAUUUGUUCCUUACUGCUAUUUGUCAAGGUCAUUCUCCCCACUACAGAUGCCGUCUCUAUUUUGACAUCAUCAGGACCUGUUCAAUGGAACAUUGAGAGUCAAUGAAAAAAAGUUUUUCCUUCCUUUCCUAUGGAAGUGUUCAUAGGAAUAUAGAGUAUACGUUUCGAAUAUGAUCAUUGGUGUCAAGUAGUUGAACAUAAUCAUUUUUGGCGUUUCCUGUGUUUCUAUGUACAAAUCUCCAGCUCAACAUUAAAGCAUAAGAAACUUAAACAGAAAUAUUAGAAAGAAACCUCUAAUCAUGCCCUUCAUCUAUUCAAUUAUUUUGUUGGAGCCCCGUCCUUAGUUUUAUUUGUAUGAUUUCAAAGCAAAUUUCUGUUUUAUUAAGUAAACAGGUAAUUAUGUGAAUAAAUCUUCUGACCUCCGGGUGUACAUGCCAAUGAAUCAUCAGACCUCUGAUUCAUUUUUUUUUUCCAUUUUCUCAAAUUCAGUACAAGAAUACAGUUACAGAAAAAUGUAUAAUGCAUGUCGCAAAACAGUAAUAAAUGGUGAGAAUAUAACUAGUAAGCGUUCACACUGACAAUAUACUUUGGAUCCUUGAUUAUAUUUAAAUUAUUUGUUCUAGAUCACCAGAAGGGAAAAUGAAAGAGUUUCAGGGGCAGGACUGCUUGUAAUGUUGGAUGUGCUGAAACAUCUACAAUAAACAAUUUUUCAAUGUCCGAGUUUCUGGGAACCUGGACGCCCCAAAGAAAUUUUAGUAACUAUAAAAGCCUGAGAACUAAACUUUGAAGAUGAAACUUCUCUUAUCUGCAAACAUGUGAAUUAUAUAAUCAAGCAGCCAUAGUUCUUAACCGAGUAUCCUUGUCAAUUUGUCCCUAAUGUUUCAGCACUACAAUAGAAUACGUACCUUCGCAUAACCGUUUCAUUAAAGGUUCAAAUCUUCCAGCCACUGCUAAAUGCUCAACAUUCUGCUCCACCUUCUCUAUGCGCUUCAGGACCUCCUCAGCUAAAUGAGAUAAAGAAGGAUUUUCCAGAUUAUCUGCCAUACAUGAAAGAAGAACUAACGCCCCCUUUUCUGAAGCAAUUUUGAUGCAGAAAUCUUCAUCACUUGAGAAGUCAAGUAAUAACCUCACUGCAAAUUCUCUCUCUUUCUCUGAGCUCCCAAUCAGACCAUGUAUAGCCGACCUAGUAAUCCCCUCUUCAAGCAUCAUCACCUGGAAAAUGGUGUGAAGAGGAAAAACAAAAAGGGUCGUAAUGUCAAGAUAGUGCACAAGAUUUCAUAUAUUAAUAAUUUUAGAAGCUAUAUUUUACUAUACUUUCACAGCUAAACAAAAGGAAUAAAGAAUUUUCACAUGCGUUCCAUAACAUGCAUCAAUGAACUUCAUUGAACAUUGGUCAGCUAAACGACUAUUAAAGACCAAUUGAGAGACUGUGCAACAUAUUCUUUGACACCCUAAUACCCAAUCCUUAGAGUAAAAAGGAAUAAAUUGACAAGAUAAACAAAAAAAAAAUAAAUGGCAAGAUCAAUGUGAACCUGUUCUCUUCAUUAAGGAGACGAAAGCCUCUCCCUCACACUUUCUCCCUUCAUAAGAUCAAGCUGACUUGCCAAAGGUUGACAAAGAAGACUACUUCACAAAAUGAGUGCUCACAUCAAGUGUACAAUAGCUGGGAAUCUACCUAGUGCUCACAUCAAGUGCACAAUAGCUGGGAAUCUACCUUUUUCUUACCAUUAUAUUGACAGGGCCAUAACUUUUUAGUUGUGACAAAGAUUGAAUCCAGCAGUUCAUAGGCUAGCAACUACCCAGACAGCCUUUUACUUCCUUCUGAUAGAUCACGAAUUCAGACACUUAGAACUUAAAACUACUGCUGAACGCUGCCAGAGAAACGUAACUUUAGUUUCUCAGGAAGCCUAAAGACAGCAUGUUCAGUUGGGCUACAUCUAUAAAAACAAGAGCAAAAAGCACCAAAGAGAUUAGACUACAUCGCCAAUGCCAGCAGUUAUCAGGACGUUUUAUAUUCACAGCACAAGAAAAGUGAAGGUUGCCAUGUUAACUUUUUAGUUGUUAGAAGAGGUUGAACACACUCACCCUGCUUUCUUCAUCCUUGGCCAUGCUAAACAAUACCAUAAGAGCUUUACUUCUUAAAAGUGAUCCAAUAACCUUCGAAGAAUUCCUCAGCAGCUUGAGAAUAAGAACAACAAUGCCUUCAUUUCUGACCCUGUAUCUGCUCAUAGGAUGCUCUUCAGAAAUCUUAUAUAUGCUAUCCAGUGACCUGUCAAUUGAGUCCAUCGAUGAAGAAUCCUCACUGAGAUACUCAACAGCUCUCUUAAUCUGAACCUCAAUAUUCCGGUUGACCCACUCAUCAAUAGCACCAGCUAAUCCAAUGUUAGGCUUGAGCUCCAAUGACUUUAGCACCACCCCAGUAACAGGACAAGUCGGCUCACGACCAUCUUCUAAACAUCUCUCAAACCAAUAAUUAAUAGCAGUUUUCUCAUAUGUCUGAGCCGAUUCCAACACAACAGGACUCUUCAUUAUCUCCUUGGUUAAGGGACAAAUAAAGUUCUUAAAAGGCAAUAAUUGAGCUCCUUCCUCUUCAGAAUUGAAAUCGAACUUCUGGGUUAGAAUAUCCGGCUGAAUUGCCCAAUUUUCGACAAUCUUCGCUAAUGAUGUCAAGAUACGCCUAUCUGAUAUAGAAGAUGAGUUGCCUAUAUCAUUCCUAAGAAGCUUAACCUGAUCAGCUAAUGCCAAGUGGUUAUUAGAGUCUAUCCCCAAAGCUCUAGCUAAAUCCAUUACCAUUGCACUCUGCACUGCUUUGCUGCAUUGCCUUCCUUGCCCUUCCUUUUUCAAAGUGCAAUAAACUCUUUCUUCAUUCUCUGUCACCUACAUAUCACAGGCCAACAGCUAGCGCACAUUAAAACACCCCUCAUUGACACAGAGAUGGACGCACAUAAUAUCAAAACUCUAAAAUGCUACUGCAAGAGCGGAAAGAGACAGGCCAUAAGCACAGAUAAAAAAGCGCGCACACUACUAUAACAAAACGAAAAAUGGGAAAACACAUAUCCGAACAGAAACGCAGACGCACACCCCAGUAAAAAACAUGGAUUAACACCCAAACAACAUUAUAAUAACUAAAACGAUAGCAAUAAUACUAACGACGACUUAGAACAAUUGACAGAAAAAUGGAAAAGACCGGUCCAGAGCACACGUAAAACACACACAUGCACAAAGGAAACUUAAACCGACUUUUUUUCUUCAGAAACUUAAGAAGAGUGAACAGGAAAGUGGCCAAAAGCACAUACUAUAAAAACACGAUUUUGAUGUCAUAAAAUAUACAAUAAUAAGGUGGAGAUUAAAAAGAAAAUUUACUCUGAAGUGAGCUUGUUUCAUAUCUCUAGAAAGAUCAGCGAUUUUGUUUUGGAGAUCGGGAAUGCCGUCGUCUUGCACGGCGGAGCCGAGGAGCGCUAACCACGCGGCAAUGGCUAACGUGCGCUCGUGGAGAGAGGCGCAGAGCUCCAGACAGUUAAUGAGCACAAAGAUCUUGCUCUUGUGUUUGUACACAGCUAAAGUCUCAGCGACUUGAGUCAAAUCAACGGUGAUACCUUUGAGAGCAGUCAGAACGGAAGGUGGGAGGUUCUCUGGCACCGUCGACCGGAGAAGCUGGUUGACUAGGAAGUGUAUCCUCUUGGCGUAUCCGGAGAAGCGUCUAGCGUUUUCCCAAGCGUACUGGCGGUCGUCGGAGACGGAGACAUCGGACAAUGCUCGGUGGAUUGCCUCCACGGCGGCGUGUGAGGAGGACGAUGAGGUCAUUUCCAUUUCCGGGGUGCGUUAGACGAGGAGGGUCAAAGUAGGAAGUCAGGCAUGACUGACUAUGUGUGUUUUGGAGCAGUAUUAGUAGUAAAAAUUGUUGGCCGUUUGAGUGAGGGUGAGCGGUGAUUGUGAAGCUCUGUAAUUUUCCUCAGUUUGAUUGCAAUGCUGGGUGGGAUGGGAAGAAGAAGAAAGAGUCAAAGGUUGACUAGGGGGACGACCUUGACACGCAGAUAAGUAUUAAGUAGUGCUGCUUUGCCUGCUGCCCCUCUGGCCCCCAAUUGAAUUAUAUCAAGGGAUAAUUGCAGAAACCUCCCCUGAGGUUUCUGACAUUUGCACUGAUCUCCCCUGUGGUUUGAAAAAUUACACUAACCUCCCCUGAGGUUACUAAUCCUUUGCAAAUCCAGUCCAAACGAUUAAAAUAUUGUUUUAGGGAGUGAAAUUAAAAGUUUUUACCAAAUUUGUCCUUUGUAUUACAUGUCCAAUGAAUGACAAAGUACUACAAAUUAAUUAACAAUUAAUAAAUUUUAAGGAGUAUAGUUUAUAAACAAAUACGCAUUACCUAUUUAAAGUAUCGGCUCUUUAUGGGCAUUUUACUUUCAAACAUUUAAUUUAAUACAAAUAUUUAAGCUCAAAUACAGAUUUGUAUUUACUUUCAAAUAUUUAAUUUUUAUUAAAUACAAAAACUACCAAUCUUUGUUCCCGUAAAAAUAUUAAUAUAACACUUUUUCAAUUUUAAUUACAAACAUUUAUGUAUUUAACAUAAAUUAAAUGAUUCAGAAUAAAAUACCCAUAAAGAGCCAAUACUUUACUCAUGUAAUGGAUGAUAGCCAUAAAGAAUUAAUACUUUAUGGGUCAUUUCUUUUUUUAAAAAAAUAUUUAAUUUAUAUUAAAUAAAUAACCUACCGAUUUCUUUUUUGCAAGAAUAUUACUGUAACACUUUUUUGAAUUUUACUUACAAACAUUGAUAUGUUUAUCAUAAAUUAAAUAUUUGAAAGUAAAAUACCCGUAAAAAACCGGUAAUUUAAAUGAGUAAUGCAUGUUUGCCCAUAAAGAACCGGUAACUAUUUAAAGUACCGGUUCUUUACGGGUAUUUUAUUUUCAAACAUUUAAUUUAAUACAAAUAUUUACGCUCAAAUACAUUUUUGUAUUUACUUUCAAAUAUUUAAUUUUUGUUAAAUACAAAACCUACCAAUCUCUCUUCCGUAAAAAUAUUAAUAUAACACUUUUUCAAUUUUAGUUACAAAUAUUUAUGUAUUUAACAUAAAUUAAAUGAUUCAUAAUAAAAUACACAUAAAAAAUGAAUACUUUACUUAUGUAAUGGAUGAAAAUCAUAAAAAAUUAAUACUUUAUGGGCCAUUUCUUUUUUUUAAAAAAUAUUUAAUUUAUAUUAAAUAAAUAACCUACCGAUUUCCUUUUUGCAAGAAUAUUACUGUAACACUUUUUGAAUUUUACUUACUAAUAUUGAUAUAUUUAUCAUAAAUUAAAUGUUUGAAAGUAAAAUACCCGUAAAGAGCCGGUACUUUAAAUAGGUAAUGCGUAUUUGCCUAUAAAUUAUACUCCUUAGAGUUUAUUAAUUGUUAAUUGAUUUGUAGUACUUUGUCGUUCAUUGGACAUGUAGUACAAAGGAAAAAUUUGGUAAAAACUUUUAAUUUCACUCCCUAAAAUAAUAUUUUAAUAGUUUGGACUGAAUUUGCAAAGGAUUAGUAAUCUCAGGGGAGGUUAGUGUAAUUGUUCAAACCACAUGGGAGGUCAGUGUAAAUGUCAGAAACCUUAGGGGAGGUUUCUGUAAUUAUCCCUUAUAUCAAUUAAUAGACGGUAUUAAUAACUUGAUAUGAAAUUCAAGGAACCCUUUCCUUCAAAAAAAAAAUAAAAAUUCAAGGAACCCAGCACCCUAAGAAAAGAAAAUAAUUUCUUGUACAAAGUAAUUCGUCCAUAUUGGAAUAUGGAUUAGAAAUUCCAUAAUCAGGUUUACUACCCAAUUGAUCCAACAUGGCGAAUAGUAGUAGUAGAGUGUUUCAUUUCAUAACCCCUCUCUUCUCACGUUCCAAGAGAGAGUUGACCGUGCAGUUCCCCGCUGGUUACGUUACAAUCUCUGGUGCUUAUUAGUACUACCCAUAGUUGUCAAAAUCGCGAUCCGGAUCGUAGGAUCGUACGAUCCUACGAUCCGGAUAACCAAAAUCGAUCCGGAUCGUAUGCAGAGUCGCAAAUCAUAUUAAUUUUUUGCAGGAUCGCAUAGAAUCGUAGCAGGAUCGUGCAGGAUCGUUCAGGAUCGUUCAGGAUCGUAUAGGAUCGUAGGAUCGUAGGAUCGUACGAUCCUACAAUUUUUUUGUAAAUUUGUGAAAUACGAAGCUCCAUUUUGCAAAUAAAUGAAAAUAUUUGUGGUAUAUUUGUAAUUUAUCAAAGAAUUGCAACCUUUAAUUGCAAUUAAGAGCUUUUGGUAGGAUCUUACGAUUCUACGAUCCGAUCCUACGAUCCGAUCCUGUGAAACUAAAAUCGAUCCUACGUAGGAUCCCGAUUUUACAAACCUUGGUACUACCACCACCAUGUGUUUUGACACCUUCAAUUGGGAUGGUUUUCUGUUUUGACACCGUCAAUGAUUUUUUAUUUUUUAUUUUUCGGGCGCAUCCCUUCCGCGUCUUUGCACUGACCCCAACACAGCCUUUCAUUGGCUCUGACGGUUCCCUGCCCCACUCCUAAGACCUUUUGUAAAGUACUCUUAUCACAUUCCUUCUUCUCUUUUGGGAAGAAUAUGCGGUUUCUUUACAGUGUAGUUCCCAAAACGAUUGCUUCCAUGGAAAAUUUUUAAAAGAUGGCAGGCAACGUGCAAAUGUUUCAUGUGUGGCGCGUCCGUUGCUUCUAAUAAAUGCAAUUCUGUUUUACAGCGUAAUUCCAUCUUUUUGGGAACAAUGGGGUUAAGAAUCGUUUAGUCCAGCAGCCGUGUGAGCACAAGGUGGCUUUUGAAUUACUUAAAUCCAAUUGAACAAACAAGAAGGGAAGCAACUAUACCAAUCACAGAAGGUCGCUUGCUUAAUCAAGCAACCAAUUACAAGUAAAUUUGUUUGUUUUUUUUCCUUCUUUUUUUUUUGGCAAAAUACAAGGGCUUUAUUCCUUCUGCUGUUGCGAAAUCAUUUCUGCAAAACCAUUCAUUUGUCCAGCGAAUACCUGUUCCUGCAACCAAAAACAUAUGAUCUCCUUUCAAGUGCAUAGCUUGAUUCCGCUAUAGCUGAAUGAAAUAUUUUAUUGUAUACAAACCUAAAGCUUGACAAUAAUAUCUAAAAGUGCUCCUCCACGUCUCAUUUUCUCAUACAGUGUCGUAGUAUUUUUGUUCCGAUUUUUGCCUUGAAUUUUGUAUUCUUAAAUACUUGCAAAAUCAUAUUACUUGAUUCAGAAGUAUCAAUUCCAUGAUAUAUUUCGCUGCUACAUACACGAGGAUGUAUCUAAUGCGAGAGAGCGCAAUCUUCUGGUUACCUUCAUAUACGACUUAUAUCACGGCCAAAUACAAGGGUCGUUAACCAGUUGAUUGCUACGUAGAAUCUGUUCCUCCAGCUUAUGACACGCGUAAGAUAAGCAGACCGCCAGACAAACCAGCUUCCAAAUCCAGCCACAGAUAAUCCUCUUGCCUCCUGUACAAGGCCUCAAGAAACUGAGCCACCCACCAGAAGCAGUUUAACAGCCACAACAAAGAAAUACACAUACAGAUACAUUGGGUCAUUAACUAACCUUGCUCUGCCUGAGGUCCACAAGGGCCUUGUAUCUACCAAUGGUCGCCAUGCUCCCCAAAUGCCUAUAGACAAAUGGAGACCCAAGAUCGAUCUCCAUUGCAGCAUUGGCACGUCCACCACCAGCUUUACCAAUCCUGUUCAGUUCUUGUGCUAGAUAUUUUCCCUGCCGCUCAGCAACCUGGCCAAUGUAUACAUUGCAGAAACAAAUUACUUGCGAUAGUAAAAGUACGUCAAAUUGAUGUAGUGCCAGCCGGUCCACCAAUAUGCAGCCACAAAUCUUCAACCACACAGUGCAACACAAGAACUAGAGAUUUGCUACAUGCAAAUCUGUUGUACUUGCUAAAAAUUCAUGUCAUGAUAGUCAAGAAUUGGCAGUAUUGAUCAACCUUAGCAAGGAACCCAGAAGAGGGCACCCUACCUCGUAAAACUUAUUACCACUGUUGGAACAAACAUUAUGCAAUCAACAGUUAAGGAUUUGUUACAUUGUCCAAAAACUGAACAACUGGAAAAAAAUGUAACCUGGAUAUAUAUAUAUAUAUAUAUAUAUAUAUAUAUAUAUAUAUAACAAUAACAACAAAAAAACAGCAAUCUCCUCAUUGAACCAAACCUUUGCUAAUUCACAAGUUCUCUUUCAAAAUUCUUUACUCACAUUCUGUUAGCCUUUUGUUUUUCAUUCAACAAUCUGUCGAGAAAAGAGCAGAAACUAAGCUUGAAAAAAAGAAUAUUGGAAUUAUUGAAGCACGAGGAAGGUAGUCUGGGAUAUGGUUUUGGGUUUGGAAAAGUAGACAGAUCCAGUACACCUUUCUAUGGGGAAAUGCAAAGCCAGAACGGAUCAUAUCCCAAGCAUGACGAAGUCUAGCUUAGGAGUUCCAUAAUAACUUAUCAAAAUGAAAGGGAAGAAAUGAAAUCCAAAAUGAAAUUUCAAACCUAUACCCACUUAACCAUAUAUAACUUAUCAAUUUACUGGAUAGAAAAGAAAGAGUUACCACAAACGUUCUCCAACUAUGUAACAAUUAUAACACUUUUCACACAAAAUUAUCUGCAUUAAGUAUUUUCCUUAACUUACCUGAGCCAGAGCUGGAAGCACAGGCUUGCCUGUAGAUUCAAGAAACCCACAGCAGUCACCAAUAGCAAAAACAUCCUGCACAGCAGGGACACGAAGCCACUCGUCUACCCCUAUCCUGAAGAUGCACGAACUGUUGUAAUAAGUCUUUCAAGUGCAGAAAAUAAAGAGAAAUUGGAAAUGGAAAAGAAACACAGCCCUGUGGUAACAUCUAGUGAUCAACAAUUUGACUACAUAACAAUCAUGUAAAACUCUUGGAGGCAGUGUAAAAUUACCAUGUGAUGUUCCAAAAUCAAACCUUAGUCAAUUCAAGUUGAUAGAAACCUGGAUGGAUAAACUUGUAAUUCUAUCAUAUGGAAGAAUCCAAAUCUUUUUUCUUUCUCUUUUUUUUUUAUUGGGGGUGGAGGGCGGGGAGCUAAUAUAAGUAUCUAGGAGAAGGAAUAAAUUUUUAUCCAUUUGGAGGCCAAUAACCUUAUCAGAAGCUUAAGCUUUCAAGAAAUCUGCAUGUAUAAAAGCAGAAGGUAUCGAAUCCAUGCUGACCUUCCCCCAGGUGAUUUGGGAACAUCCAGGGAUUUGACAAAAGGUGAAGGGCCAACGCCGGUAGACCACACCAGCAGACCAUAAGGUACAUCAGUCCCAUCACUAAGAACUAUCUUCUCAGGUUGAACAUCCUUCACAAUUCCACGAACUAGACGAACUCCUGACUGAGAAGCUACUAAAUUAAUAACAAAAAUCACAAACAACACUAUGAGGUCUGACAUGCUAAAUAGAAGUAAAUUAAAAAUACCAAUUGGUAGCCAAGGUAAACAAAAUAAACUACCUAAAUCCCUAGUCACAACAUCUAGGGCCAUACUUUCAUAUGAUUGAAAAACAUAGAAAUGACAAUCGUUAAAUUAACAUCUCUGCACAUAUAUAUGUGCAAAUGGACAUACAAACUCUUACCAGGGUCUCACCUUAAUCAACUGCUUGGUUGCGUAUAUCCGCAGGCGAUCAUCAAAGGAAGACAAAAUCUCAUUUGCCUGGAAAUGAAGAAGCAGUAACUUGUUAUGAUCAAUUAACACUUUGUGCAAAACGAGUAUUAUACAAAUAAGUAAUAAUUGCAAUAGGAAAAUGUCAACGCACAACAAAAAACAAGAAGAAGAAGAAAAAAAAGAAAAGUGAAGGCGCGAUACAGUAUUUUUUUUAUUAGCUUUACCUCAAUCAAAGUAACGCGUAUAUAAUCCUUGACAUGAGCGUAUCUCUGGCGGACAUCCCUCGUGAUAAAAUCACUAAGUUCACCGCUGAACUCAACGCCUGUUGGACCACCACCAACAACUACACAAUGUAGGAGCCUACGUUUCUCUUCAUCACUAACUCCUGCCUCACCGGUACCGUAUCAGCAAAAAGAGUCCAGAAUAAUGCUAGUUCAUUCAAAUGUGAGCAGAAUGUGGGAUAUAAGGCAGCAUAACGGAUACCUGGCACAUCAGAGAUCAUGAGAUUAAGAAGCAAUUUCCUCCGGAUUUCCUGAGCAUGAUGAACCUCGCGUAGAAAAAUGGCAUGUUCUUUAACACCCCUGAUGCCGAAAGUUGACGCUUCUGCUCCAGCUGCAAUCACCAGCUUGUCAUAUGCAAUGGUGAAGUUCCAUGGCUCCAAAGUACCAGCUCCAUCAGUUACUGUUUCGCAAUUCACCUACCCCAGAAAAAGGAAAAAAAAAAAAAAGAGUAAUGACCACUAAACAGCUAAGGAAACUAUGCUAAAAAAAGAAAAAUAUUGCUUUCUUAACACGAAAUUUAUAAGUAUUAGCGAUGAUCAUCAGACCAAAAAUGAGGGAAUAUAUACCAGAUGGUUUUGGAAAUCAACGCCGGUGGAGUUAGCAAGGAAAUAGUACGAACCGGGUUCCCGAGAAAUGGCAGGUUGGAUCCUUCCAAUGGGUUCGGCAACAGACCGGAAUUCCAGAGUGCCGACGCACGUGGAGGCCAGCAAUGGAGUGAAGACCAUGUGAUUCCUGGGGGAGACGCAAACGACGUCGUAAAUGCCGGUAUCGAUAUCUUUAAUGAGUCUGCAUCCGGCCCAUCCCGAGCCCAAAACCACCACCCUCGGCUUCUCAUCCCCCUUCGUGGGCGCGAGCCCAGCAUACCUCGCGGCAAUAGUACCAGCUCCACUGCCUUUAUCACUCACGUCCGCCUCCGCCGCCUUCUCUUCGGUGGCGGCGGUGCUGAACUGUGUCAACUGGUGGGUAAAAGCAUAGGAAAGUGACGUAGCAGUAGUGAUGGGUUUGAGGGAUGACUGUGUUCUGAAGGUCGUAGAGGAGGAGAGGUGGAUGAGAUUUCUGAACCAAGGCAUGGCGGUUUAAGGUGGAAACUGUUGUUUUUAAUAUUUUAUUUGUUUCUCUAUGUAGUAGUAGUGGUAGACUGGUACUUUUGAUGCUGGAUAAUGGAUUUAAGGGAGGAUUGACAUGAACGAAUUGGUGAUUGAGGAUUUAAGAAGGGAAUUGGAAGAUUCUCUGAUUUUUGGUAUCCCCAGUUUUUUGGGGAGAAAUAGAAGAGAGUUUCUGUGGUUUUGACGGAAAAUGGAUCGAGUACAGUCAUACGAGAAAUUAUUAUUAUUAUUAUUAUUGUCAUUGGCUGCUGCGUGGGGAGGACGAGACAGGUGGCGGCUUGCUGGGUCAACAGAUGGCAUGAUGGUGGUGGCUAUUACCUGGUCGAGGAUUCGGUGAAACAAAAAAUUUCGCGCCACGCAAGAGCUGGAAAUGUGGUACGGUGGUCUUUGUCCUUUUCUUUUUUGGUUUUAACAAAAUGGUCUUUGUCAGUUGAUAAUAUAAAAAAAAAAGAAGAAGAAGAAAACGGAUAUUACUUAGAAAAAAUUGAAAUAAACAAAGCCUUUGUGCCAGAUCUCUUUGGCAAAGUAGUUUGUUUUUUCGUUUUUGUGCAUAAUUUCUUAUAUUGGUUUUCCAUUUGUUGCUCGAUGAAGUUCAGAAGUUAAUUACUUGAUCUAUGUUGUUUUUCCUUCUAAACUAACAAUUUAAUCUAUUUUUAUGUUACGAGGGAGGAAGGUACCCAACACCAUUUGUAUGGAACUGGGCGUAAACUUGUUCCUUGAAAGAUUGUUUGUUCGCGUUGGGACAAAUUUGUUCAUGUAUUGACAGCCCACUACGCAGAAAUUCUAGGCCCAAAAUGAUCUGUUUACGGGAAACAUGUUUAUCCUUCUUCCAACAUUUAGGUCCCGUUUGGAAUUAGAGUGCAUUUAUAGGGGGGAAAGAAAGGCCUUUUUACACAUUAACGUAUUUUUAAGGUGUUUGAUAAUUAAUUUUUUAUAAUUUAAUAAAUUAAAUUUUUGAUAAUUUAAAAGCACUCUUACUAAAAAUAAUUGUGUCAGAAGUAUUUUUUUUUUUUUUUUACAAGUCAUCAUAAUUUCAAACGAGCCCUAAUCAAGAUGAAAUCACUUCUUAUCCCGAAGGAAAAAGGGACAAAGAACACUUGAUCAUGCUAUUCUUUGUUCCUACAAUCUUAUCCGCAAACUCUGAUUGACUAUUGCACAUCCAAAGGAAAAGCAAAGCGAAUUAGAAAUGAAAAUGUGUAGGCAUCAUUUUCAUUGUACGUACAAUUUGAUGCGAGCAAGGGCGUAGACGUUAUAGUUUUGAUAAAUUGACAACCUGCUCCUCCUCGAUGAAAAAUGACAUUAAAAACAAAGCCUCUAACAUGAAUUUCAUUGAAUAAAAUGGGGAAUAGAGAAACAGCAUACAAAACAACAACGCCUUUAACAUGGAUUUCAUUUAAACAAUAGUAAAGGAAAGAAAGAAACAGCAUGCACAACAUAGCCUUCAAAAAAAAAAAACUUUGCAUUGUUGAACAGACAAGUGUCAUGUAAGCUUGAAACUGUCGAGCGUUGCCCCGACGAAGCCCUCCUUAAGCAUAGGACAUCCAUAACUGCAAAUAAACAAACACAUAGUAUAAUAUAGGUGAUCACAUAGUUAUCUGGCCUCCUCUGCUGGCAUUUUUCCUAGGAUCAUGGCCCUUGUUAGCCGUAGCUGCAGCGUAGUCAUCGAGCUUGGUUUUCAGAGAUCGUCCUUCAAUGCCGCCAACAGUCGUCUCGUCUUCUGCAAAAUUAACAUCGUCAUCAUCAACAAACAGUACUGAGAUGGCUGGUUCUCAUGACUUCAGAACCAAUAUCCAGUUAAUAAUUAAACCCCCAUAAAAGAGAGAGUGAGAGAUGCAUGCAUGCAUGUUUAGCACAGAACAACUGACAUUGAGUACGGUUUGUUCAAUAUAAAGAUUCCCAUCUUAAUUAUAUGUUCACAUCCAUCGGCGAUCGUCCGAUCACUGCCACUGUCUGACAUAGUUGGCUAAUUGGUAGAGGUGGCAAAAUGGGCGGGAUUUGCUUGGGUUUGAGAUGGAACCGAGUCAUAUGGGUUUGGGCCCAAUCUUACCCAUAUGUGUUUUGGGACUAACUUGGGCGGGAUCAUUUUGGGAUGGGUUUAGAUUGAUCCCGCCCAAUACCCAAAUCCAUUUUCUACAUAUUUUUUUUCCUUUAAUUCAUUUUUUAUUUUUAUAUAAUUUUAAUAUUUUUGAUUUAUUAAAUUUCUUUUAGUUUUAUUAAAUAAACAUGCAAGUGCUUUAUACUCAAGAUUCCCACCAAAAAUUGGAUUAACAAAUAAAGGAAAAGAUAGAUAUACAGCCAUAUUCCAACAUAUAUUAAGAUGGCCAAGGUCCUUAGGAUGUUGAAUAUUUAUCCUUAUCAUUGUCCAAGGAUGACAGGUCUAAACUAACUGAAAUGCUGGAAAUUCUUGUGGAUAAUGACUAGGAAGACUACUAGAUUAUAUUCGCUGGUAUGACUAUAAAAAUUGUUAAAGAUAAUUUUUGAAUCUAAGAUUCCGUUUGGAUUGACUUUUUUUUCAAAAAAUAAGUUUUUCAAAUAAAAUGUUACAGUAAUAUACAAUAACUCAAGAAACAUCCCAUCCAUAUUAAUAUAUCAAAUAUUUCAAAAAAAUUUUAUAGUAAAAAUUUUUCAUAUACACUGCUACAAUAAAAUAUUUCAAAAACACCUACCAAAAACAGCUAAUCCAAACGGAGCCCUUGCCAUUUGAGCCCAAUGGGUACCCAAGUAUUUCCCAUCCUUUCCCAUUCAUUAAUGGGUAUAGUUGGGAUGUGUCCCAACUUAAACCCAAUACCAAAUUAUAAUACCCAUCCCGCCCAAAGUUCCUUUGGGCAUGGGUAGCCCAUUGGGACUUGGGACAAAUUGCCAGCUCUACUAAUUGGCUCGUAAACCGUCGUAACAGAUACUACUAUUACUAUAAAUUAAGCUGCGCGUAAAACAACAAAAUCUCAUCAUAAUAACAUUAAUACCGAUAAACAAAUAUAAGAACCGAGGGGGAAGGGAAAAAAAAAUAUUUUUCUUUUUAGUGACCCCAGUAUCAGGAAUUACAAGCUUAAACACCCAGCGUGCAAAAAAAAAAAAAAUGAAUGAAAAAAAAAAAAACAUUUUGGGUGAAUUUUUAUGGUGAUUUGUUUUUCUGGCUAAGAAUUCAUUCCAGGAUGCGUGCCUGCGAUGAAAACCGGUGGAAAGCCCGCAUAGCAUUUCUAUGAAUAUCGGCAGAUGUUUAGAUAAGAAAAUAUAAACGUAGAACGAUGACAUUUGAAAGUACCUGAUAGAAACACGGAGUUUCUAGCGGAGGCAACAACGAGAAAGGCAAGUAGAAGACAUAAGCAGAGUCGACUUCCUCUUCCCAUUUCCAUCCUUCUCAGUUUUUUCACUCCUCAAGAAGAUGGCCUGGUGUUGUGCAGUGAGUAUAUACGUAGAAGUCUUAGCGCUGGCGUUGUGCAGUGAGUAUAUAUAUGUAUAACAAAGGUCAUGGCGCCCCCCCCAAAAAAAAAAAAGCCAUUUUCAUUUUGGGGUACGUUGGGGAAGAUUGCAGUUGACAUUCGAGCAAAUGGUUUGAGACAUGAUGUGAGAGUUUUGUGGGAGUAUCCGAGCCGCGCAUCGCAUCUUGGGUCAACGGAUUGCUGUUGCUUACCUAACUAAUUUAAGGUAAGCUGCCGUUUACCAUAUGUAAUUCCUUUAGUUGGGUAGCAAUCAGAAACUUUACGGACUCCAGGAGAUUGAGAAGCACAUGGAAUUAAACUUGUGACUUCCACGCCAACCCGUCCGAGAUAGCAAUUCAGUAAAGAAUUCUUCAUAUACUAGUUUUUAUAAUUUCGUUGUCUUCAUCUUAGUACCUUAUUAACACAUUGAAGGCUCCUACAAGUGAAUCAUCACACAUUCAGCUCAUUUUAGUACCUUAAUAAAUAGAUUGAAGCCCAAGUAAGUGGAACAUAAAAAGCUAGAAAGGGGAAAAUAAAUAUGCAAUUAAACGAGUUUUGAAGGAAACUGAUAAUCAAGCCAUUUGUUACAAGGACAAACGAGUUUUUUGUCUGUCAAACGAGUGUCCACUUGUUAAUGUGUAAUUCAUUUGUUAACAUUUUUUCAAAAAAUAGAGUUAUUCAAAUGUGUGCAUUCACGUGAUAAGUUGGAUAUAUAUAUAUAUAUAUAUAUAUAUUUUUUUUUUAAGGAAACCAGUUACUAAUAGUUAAUUGCUCCAGCAUUUGGAUAGUUUCCGUUGACAUUCCUAAGCCUUCCAUAUAUAUAUAUAUGGAAGCAUGAGACAUGGUUUCGACAUUGAUUUUUUGGGUUUUCUUAAAUGGGACUCGUUAACAUAUCUAAAAUUUACCCAAUUUAUCAUAUAUAUAUAUAUAUAUAUAUACAUAUUAAUAAUUAUUACUCUUCCUUAUUUAAUAUAUAUUAAACCGGAACAUUUUUCUUAUUAAUGUAUUUUGAUUUUUAAUAAUAAACAAACAAGCAGGCUUGUAAACGAUCAUACACAUUUUUCUUAAUAUUUAAAAAUUAUAUACCCAUGGCUUUGGCUCUUCGGUUUCGGUUCCACUCCAAAAUGGAUGUAGAGAGAGAGAGAGGGAGGGGAUGAUUGAAAAAAGAAAACGAAUAUUUCAACAAGGAAUUUCCAUUUUAUAACGUGUCCGUCCAAAAGCAUCUCUUUAAUCUCACAACCCAACCAUUCAGCCAAAAAAUGAAAAAUUUUCUCAUAAUCCAAAUCCAAACAAAUUUAAUGAAAGAACACUACUACUAGGAAAAUUCGCAGCCCCACAGAAGCCAAUUAAUGCUAAGUAAUACUCCUGGCAAAAUCGAAACUGUUUCCUGUAAUGGCUCACAUUAUUAAUUUCGGCUGCCACUCACGGCCGCGGGUUCGCGUAUUUAUAAGAUACAUGCUGGUUGUUUCAUAUCCAAGAUUCAGCUUAGCUAAUCACAAGGGUUUUUGGUUUGACUCUCUAACCUAAUCUCUUUUCUUAUCCCCUCUUGUAUGAUUUUGAGUAUCCUCUUGAAUAAAAAAACGUUUGAUUGUUCUAAACAAAAACUAGGAUAAAGAGUUUGGCUAAUGAGUACGUAUCCAUUAAUUACUCAUUAAGAGCACUCAUUACAAGUAGCCUUAAGUGUUUUUUUUUUUUUUGUUUUGUUUUGCCAAUAAGUGUAAUUACUAUGAGAAGGUAUCUAAAUGCACAAGGUGCAAUAAUUAUGACUGUAUAUAUUCACAUGGUAAAUAAGCAAACAUACUUUAGUAAAAUCCUAGCAUGAAUGAUUUGUUUUUUAAUUUAUCAAUGAUAUAUAACGCCUAGCUAUUCAUAGUAUAAUCUUAUAAGACAAAUAUUAAUUCCUUUAAUUUUAUCCUUAAAUCUCCAAGCUUGAUGGGCGUUGGACCCCAAAAGCUAGGAAAAGUAAAAUAAAAUGUUUCAGCAUGUGUCUGUCACACAUAUAGAUAUGAUAGAUAAAUAAUCAAUAGAAUCUAACUCCUCUCGAUCGGCCACUUGUGAUUAGAAAGGAAAAUGCAUCAGUUGAUCUAAAGUUUCAAUUCACAAAUUGAUAUGAGCAAAGAAGCAAAUGUUGUAGUAGUGGAUAAAUUGUAAUCCUCCUCCUCCUCCUCCUCAAUGAAAAUGCCACUUAAUAACAAAGUCUUGAACAUGAAUUUCAUUAAGAAAAAAAAAACAUGGAAAGAAAGAAACAGCAUACACGACAAACCCUUCAACGAAAAUGUAAACAGGAAACUGUUGCCUUGACGAAGCCCUCCUUAAGCAUAGGAAUAUCCAUAACCGCAAAAAUAAACAAAACAUCAAACGGAGCUCUUUAUUGCACAUAAUGCAUCAGUUGAUCUAAAGUUACAGUUUUAGACCCCCAGGAUUGGAUCAUACUCUUUAGCCACUCACGUCGUAUGCAGAAAAAGGUACUGAUAGCAAAUUUCCGGGCUUGGUUUUAUCAACGUUUCCUGGGCCGUCAUUUGCGGUGACCGCGCCUAGGAUCAUGGCCGGUGUUAGCCGAGGGUGCGCUGUAAUCAUCAAGCUUGAUUUUCAGAGACCUUCCUUCCAUCCCGGCAACAAUCGUCUCCUCUUCUGAAAAACAUAUAUCAUCAUCAAUAAACACUGAUAUGGCUGGCUCAGACUUCAGAAGCAAUAUCCAAUUAAUUAUUAAACCAAAAAGAAAAAAAUAAGAUAUGCAUUUUCAGCACAGAACGAGAUGAGUUGACUGUUUUUUUUUUUUUUUAAUAUGAAGAUUCUCAUAAUAUGUUUUUAGAGCCAUUGAGGGCCGUACCACCGUCUGCCAUGGUUGGCUCGUAAACCGUAACGAAGGCUCUAUAACAAAUUAAGCACGUCGCACAACAAUAUCUCAUGAUCUCAUCGUAAUAAUGAACAUACUGAUAAACAUAUACAAGAACCGAGGGGGCCCAAAUAAAAAAAAAAAAAUGACCCCAGCAUCUGCAAUUACAAGCUCAGAGCACCAAGUCCCCAGAGUGCAAAGUAGAAAAAAUCUUAGGUGAAAUUUUAAGUUGAUUUCCUUUUUUUUUUUUGGGUUAAGAAUAUUCCAGGAUGCAUGCCUGGGACAGAAACGGAGAGAGAGCCCAUUUACAUUUUCUGUGAAUAUGUACGGGUGUUUCGUUGGAAAUAGGUAAAUGCGUGAAUGGAUAAUGAUACUCGAAAAUACCUGAAAUGAAAAUGGUGUUUCUAGCGGAGCAAAUAACGAGAAAGGCAAGCAGAAUACAGAAGCAGAAUCGACUUCCUCCUCCGAAGCCCAUUCCUCUUUUCAGUUUUUACUCCUAAAGAAGACGGUGUUGUGCAGUGAAUGCCCUUCCUUCUAUAUAGAAAGAGUUCUUUCUACGACUGUGGGUGCCUGGAGUCAUAUAUAUAUAUAGCGUCAUUUCUGUUCCCCUUUUUUUGUUUAAAAAAAAAAAGUGGGGUUUGGUGGAAAAUUGGAGUUGACAUUUGCAAGUUGCAACCCGUUUGCGAUGUGGAGUAUUCUUGGAGUAUCUGAACCGCUCAUUUUGGUCAACGGAUUGCUUUUUUUUUUUUUGGGCCAAUGGAUUGCUGUUGCUUGCUUAUCUAAUCAAGGUAAACGUAGCUGGGUAGCGAUCACAAACUUUACGGACUCCAUGAGAUUGAGAAGCCAGGAAAUUACUGUGGAGAGUGUGUUUGAAUAGUAGAAUUAUUUUAAAUAAUAUUUUAUUUAUAUUAUAGAUAUAAUUUGAAUUAAUUUUUUUUAUUUCACAUACAUCAAAUCCUAAAAAAUGCUAUAAUAAUUGUUCUAAAUAAUAUUUGAAAUAAUCUCAUAUUGCAUCCUUCAUGUAGUUUUUUGGACAAUAUUUUCCCCCUGAUUUUAGUUUUAUUUUUGCAAAACUUUAAUGGCCCCAAAUCCAAUGAGUAGAACACGACAAAGUAUUGGGACCGACCCAAAUGAGUGGUUAACAGGGAAGAACCAUUUUCCCGAUCAAAUGAAUUAUGGAGGAAACUAAUAAUCAAGUUAAUUGUCACAAACAAACUAUUGGGAUCAAACCAGUAGUUAGGGAAAAAGUCUUUCAGAAUCUUCCCCUUUAUCAAUUUAAGGAUUCGAAUUGUGUUCCUGACAAUUACGGGUGAAAGAGAGUGUGGGUAGGGAUGAGAAGGUUAAAAGUUAAUUUCACAACAACAAAAAAAAGAAGAAGAUGAUCAUUAUUUUUUCCUUCAAGAAAAAUAGAUUUGUACAUAGAACAGCUUAUGACUGCCACUAAAUCCAAAGAUUAGCAUAGCAAAUUAUUGUCAAAGUAUUCAAAUAGUUUCCGCAGACAUUCCUUGCACCUUCCAUACAUUCUUGUUGGCAGUUGGCAGCACCAUGUACAGGACUUAUUCCUUCCACUGGGAUUCUCAGCUAUUUCCGUACCUUCCGAUUAUUCCCAUGCCAAAGUCGUUUGCAGGUACCAUCAGAACCAUUCCACUAGGCAUUUUAUUUUUCAUUUUAUGAUGUGAAAUUCAAUUCAAGAGAUUCAAACAUUGAGGACGAAAUUUGUGGUGGACGAGCCAUAUACAUGUCUCAUAUCACAACAACAUCUAUGGACUAUGGAUGCAGCAUGAAAGUAGAGAGAACUAGCAAUCCGACGAAGUUCAGCGUUCACGUUCAUCACAAAGUCUCUCCGGCCAAAAAGCCAUCCUGCUGCACGUUCACACCCUGAACUAUGUGGCUUUCUAGAGACAAAAACCGGUGGCCAAAUUAACUUCACACUCACUGCCACUGGUGCUUCUUAAGCUAUAACCCCUUCUGCAAAACCACGUACAUAUACACGUAAGCUAGGGUGAAUCUCUACUAGCCACCAUUUACCCCUUUUUUUUGUAAUAAAAAAUUUAUCUGAAUUCGACUCCAACCAUAACCACGCUUUAGAAUAUGUUUUUGAGAUCAUAAAUUACUUGCAAAAGAGCUAUCCCUUAUUGAGUCCCCUUCCACGUCCCGGUCAAUAAAGAAAAUAAAUGAACAAGGGUUUUAACCCCGCACCGAACGGCAUAAAGUUCAUCGUAAUAGUUGUGAGUCUUGUGACUUGCAAGCUGCGCCUUUUAAAAAAACAAAAAAAAGAAGGAUUUAUUCAGCCGUUUUCCUUCUUUUUUUAAUUUACCUUCCAAAGAAUUUUUCUGCUGUUACUUGGACAUCCAACCAUGGAGAAGACCUUAUGACUUCUAUAAGCCAUAACUGCCCCGUUUAUCUUCAUAUUUAUCAACUACUUGCCAGUCGAUGGCAUAUGCAUCGUCCUCACGAACUGACACUUAAAAAUUUACCGGAUAAAAUAAUCAAAAAACACACCAAGAGAAUCGACACAAUGUCAUUCAUUAGAGGUAUUAAAAUGGAUGACUCCAACGACUUUGGACAUGUCAUGAUUGGAUAAUGGAUUUAAGUUCAUCAAUUCAUUUAUACCAAUUUAAAUAAAUGAGUACUCAUAUAUAUAUUUAUUUAAUAAAUACAUAUUGAUAUAUCCAAUUACCCAUUUAUGAACUACUUAAAAUUCUACUUAUUUUUUUCUUUUUUUUAGCAUUUUCUUUGACAAAAAAAAUAUUUUGUUACUAUCAGAUUGAUAAAAAAUUCAAAUUUAUUUACUUAACACUCACUAAAAGUUGAAUUUAAAUAUAUAUAAUUAUUUUUAAAUAGAUAUACAUGAGUGAAUCGAAUCAACUCACUACUUUAAUUGACUACCCAUUUAGAUCCAUUCAAAAUUAACGAGCAAGUUUAAAUGAAUUAUUGGUGAACGAAUCAACAUAAUUAGUUGUGAUGGACACCUCUAAAUGUCACCAAGCAAGAAAACCUUGUGGAGAAGACUUUGGCAAUACGUAUUAGGCCUGGUAAACUCGACUAGCAUCAAAACAUCCGGAAAAGUAGAGUGAUACUCGACGAGUUUUAAGGAGAAGACUAUGGUAAUACAAACUAGGCUUAGUAAACUCGACUAGCAUCAACACAUCCGGAAAAGUAGUAGUACUUAACCGGUGUGCCACACGCCUUCAUUAUGGUAACAACUUUGCAUUGUUGUCUUUUGUUUGUCACAUGGCAUCUAAGCAUGCUGUGUAUUCCUCCUUUCAAUGGAAAAAAUUCGUGAAGAAAACAUGACUCCCCACCGUCCAGAUACUCGACUGGAUCUUACCUGAUCAGAGCAAGUUAUAAAAAGAGGAAAAAGAACUCAGAAAAGUGCUUUUAGCCAGCGUCAUGACAAUCAAGCAAAUUCUUCAAGCAAAUAUUACAUUACCAGAAAAAAAGGUCAUCUGGCAUCUUUAGCAUAAUCUGACCUGCUGCGAGGGGCACAGGCAUGAAUGUGGAUCUUUUAACAAGAAGAUUAUGGACAUAAACAAGAAAAUGGAAUAUAUUAAUUUUCUGUUUACACCUUAAAAUAACAAGCAAAGAUCAACGCAAAAUGGUGCAUGCCAUGGAAAAAUCCCGCAAAAAAGCGGUACCACAGGAAUCACUGAAUCAAGCACCCACAGCAGGGAAUAUCCAACCAAAACAUAAAUAACAGAAACUAAUAUGCAAACAAUUUUGACAGCUAAAACAGGUUCUUGAAAUACACCUAUCCAUAACAAUAUCAAGUGCAAUAAGUUGUUGAUACACCAUAAGAAACAUCAAACCUAAAAAACCGUUAGCUGUUUAUAAAGUGAACAAACUUCAGAGAAUUACCAGCCAGAAAGGAAGUUCAGCUUUAGCAAGGCCUAGACAGAGAUUGCACACUAUAGAGAGAGAAAUUUCAGAUCAUUUCCUUCCCACAAAAGUAGAUAUAAAGAUAUGAUUUUGCACUUCUAUCUUACAGUAGUACCACAAUUCCAAUACACCCCCAAUUAGUGAAGCAAUGAUGAACCUAUACCUUCUAUCUUUUCUUGAAGCCAUAUUUCUUACGCUCAUAAAACAAAUCUGUCUUAGCACUUCCAAGAUUAACGAUUUUAGGACACCCAUCCCGAUCUUUCUCUUGUUGAGUACACUCUUUACAGUAGUAGGCAUCAGAGAUUCCCACUCCUCCACAGAUGACACAGCGACCCUGAAAUGAUCCGUAGUUGCACUCAUCACAAACUCGGACCAGCGUGCAAGGGCGCACAUAAGAAUCACAGACUACACACUUUCCGUCACAUUUUUCACAAAGCCGUCCAAUGGCUAUCCCCGGCUGCUUCCUGCACAUAAUCAAAUCAGGAUGAUGCUUGGCCAUGUUUUCAACAGAUAAAUCCCAGAUCCCAAAUCCAAUUAGUAACCUGCAAAAUGGACAGACUCGAGGGUAAGUUACUAAAAUUGGUAAACAACAUUUAAGACCGAAAAGUUGAAAGACUUCACCAGAGUUUCAUAUUAAACGAUUUCGCAGGAUCAAUUUAGUGCAAUAGAGAAUCUCUAUUUCAUUGAGAUCAUUUAUCAUUUUAUAAAGUGUCACAAGCCCCUCCAACUAGCAAGCAUCAAAUGAAAGCUGAAAAAGAUAGUCAGCAUCAUAUGCAGAUACUAGUCAUAAACAUGAUCAGCCAAUAUUCUACCUUGCCCUUGCCACAUGAUCCCAAACACUUGGUCAAUUUUGAUCCACAUACGAUGUGUAGGUAAAAAGACGAUACAAGAGCUGCUGAAAACCAAUGCUCAUAAUAACAAGUGCACAAACCUUCAGAGUAGCUAUGUUAUGCACAGAAUCACAUAUUAAGACAAACUUUCAGCACUGGAUAUGUUAUGCACAGAGUAAAACAGAUCAACAAUAAAAAGAGCACGCUAUUCCUGAAAACUUUAAUCUGUAAACUAUAACGACUGUCCUUAACCACUUUACACCUGUAUUUUCGCCAAGGGAACUACAAGAGAUGGAUCAUACAGACCUUAACUUUUAUAUUGUAUAUGCCCAAAUUCAUCAAAAACCUUUUAGCAAUUAAAUCAAAACUUUCCACAUAGCAUAGGCAAGUUUGCCACAAAAUGCACUACAGGACUGUUCAAUGCCGUCCAUAUUCUGGUAAAAGAUUAUAAGGAAAUAAAUGCAUCUUUUGCCUAUUGUUUUUUUAACCCAGAAACGAACACACGCUCCAACCUAGAAAUUGUCUUACAACAUACAAGCCUUGAUACUAAUAUUUUGACAAAGAACCAUAACUAUUAGGGCUUAAAAGUGGCCUGGAAACUAGGCCAUUCCAUCAGAAAUAGUGGACAUAAUUAAUUCACCCAAUCAUUUUGGUUGGUAAUGCUUUCAGCAAGUGACUGUGAUAACCAGUUUGAAACCAAAUAUCAUUACCAAAGGUAAAACACACCAGGUACCAUUAACUUGUUCCCCUUUACAUCAUAAUCGAAUUUUAAGGCAUUAGACCACAAAAUCAGAAACCUGGAUUUCACGAUAGACAUUAGCUAAAACAAUAAGACUAACAUAUUUUCAUAAAUUAUUAAACACAGAAUUCUACAGACAAGAAAUGGACAACGAUAAGAUUUUGAAGAGUACUAACCACGUCCCAGCAAGAAUGCUAUGGAGAGUUUCCGACGGAAAAGGCACGCCUCCGACAGCAAGUCCCGAAUUAUCUAUCAGCUGGAAGAUUGAGGAAGGCAGCUGCUAAUCUGUCAAGGUGCGUGAACACAGAGGCCCGACUAUAGAAUACGCAAUGGAAUGGAUGGUAACUUGAACCGUAUCCGAAAAACAAAAGUCUAGGUUAGGCUCCGCCUCCUGAUUCCUAAACUCGUGAAUCAGGUCGGAUAUUUUGACCCGUAAGCUCAACCGACAGAAGGGCCCAGAACAGAUUAGAAACUGGGCCUUAUUUCUUUAUUUCUAUGAAAGAGAUUCAUAUUUAAAUAUUUACUAGACUUUUGAGUUUAGACUUCGGUGACAUUUGCAUUCUAUGUAUACAUAAAAAAAAAAAAAAAGUUUAUCCAUGAACCGCUGGGCUGGAAACAAUAAUAUAUUUCGCUAGUGGUAGCAUUUUAGAGGGGCUCCAAAUUCCUUACCAUUUCUCGACUCUGACCCCAAAAGAAAAAAAGAAAAUAUAAAUUACCUUAUACUUUAACAUUUUACAUUCGAUCUCCCUACUGUUCAAUAAUAUUCACUUAAGUAUCUUUUUUUUUUGUCAAUACAAUAGAUUCUAUUCUAUACGUACUCAUACUCUAUAUUGGGGAAGGGGGAUUUAAAGAGGUUAAAGAGAAUUUGGUGAACCAUCACAGGUCCAAACGGGUAUGCGGUGAACUAACAAAGAACCUAAAGAGGUCAAGAAGAAUCCAAUGAACCACCAUCGAUUCUAAAGCGAUAAAAAAAAUCCGGUGAACCAUCACUAGUUCAAACAGGUGUGCGAUGAACUAUCAUCAGAAAGUCUGGAUAAUAAAAUGCAGGUUAAGAGAUUUGACUUACACCUAAAUAGAAUUUUAAAACUCUGUUAAUAGCCAAUAACUUUAGGAGUAGUUAGUUAAUUACUUUUGUUUGAUUGAUGUAUAUUUGCUCCUAGUGUAAGUUGUAUAAGUUUAGCACUUCAAAAUUGCAAUCCAAUUAAUUUUGAAUUGCUAGUCUGCCCAUUUUAAAGUAGUAGUUGUACGAAAAAGUAGUCGAGAUUUGCAAAAAUGGGUUCCAUGCAAGGAAGUUGCUAACUUGGCUUAUAGGCACAGGGAACCAACAUCCGGACACGGAUUCCCCUCCAUUAUAUGGACGUUAGAAAAAGGGUACUUUUUUUUUUUUUUUUGGAGAAGAGGGGGGGGGGGGGGGGGGUUUGUUUAGUGUUGGCAGAUUUAGCCAAAUCCCCAAUUGCCCAACUGGUCAAUUUAUCUUUAGACCGCGCCAAUAAUUUCACAGCUCAAUUACUCACAUAAUAAAUCAGAUCCAUCAUCCAAAAACGGUGGAUCUAGACAUGGUAUUUUUGUUUGCACUCCAACCAAAUCUUGACCGUCAAACAAUCCAAUUCAACUCUAACUAGAAAUCUUCUCAAACCAACCGAGUCGCAAGAACAGGCAACAAAAUAGGCAGCAGCCGUUUCUGAAUCUGAUGACUUCAGCACUCUUCUCUUCCUCAAUUGCCAUUGGAGUCGGUCAAUUCGGAUCUACUGUGUGUGUAUCUCCCCACUACUGUCCCCACAAACCUUUCCUAUUGGUUUCUUGAAUCUUGAUUGUUGGGAGCUUUAUCCUCAGAAAUUUUUUUCCCCAAAAAAUAAAAGCAACCCUGAUAUAUAUAUUGAUAUAAAAAAUCAAAGGUAAAUUGGACUUUACAAUAUACCACUCCAUCGCCAACUGUCCUCUUUGCACAGGAGCUGCUCCUCUGCGUUGGCAAGUGGCAAUCCGCGACGGGAAGCUCUCCUCCUCCAGGUCCACCUUCCAUUUCCACUUCCACACAUCUCUUCUGUGGCGAAGAUCUUUAUCCUCGUAACGACUCCCCGCGAAUCCUGAAACUUGUGAUUCAUGUCUCUAUCUUUCCCCGGUUUACGAGUUUCAACGCGGUACGUACUAGCGUACUAGUGAUGUGCUCGGUCACACUUACAAUGGGACCACGACAGUUGUGUCAAAGAUCCACGAAUAAUUAGGGGCGGUCCCUUCCGCUUCAACUUUGUGGUUUGGAAGUGGAGUUAGAGAAAGAAGGAAAAAAAAAAAAAAAAAGGACCCAAAUUUCCUCGUCUAAAAUAAAUCAAAGCAUAUCGUACUACUUUAUUUUCCUUGAUGAAUUCUAAAAACAUGCGUUGGACCCAUACACUAAAACAUGCUUUUAAUUCUGAAAUGCGCUUUGUUUUCUUGAUUUGACCCACUCCCAAAUCCUAACGAUCUUGCUUAAUAAUUUUACCUUGCUUAUUACUAUCAAAAUAAAGUAGGGCAAGUGAUUAAAAGUGAGUUGAGGUUGUAUUUAACUUUCAUUUUCUAUACUCAUUGGUUUGAUGACAUAAUCCAACCCGACUCACUAAUCGUACGUGAACUAUUUAUUGCAGAAUUUCAGUUUCCAAAAGUAACUUGGUUCAUGCAUCAAACUUUUUUUAGAUAGGGAUUCAUGCACCAAACUUGAGUUUGAGUUUUAUCUUUGCUCAAAGCUGUCAAUAAUAGCUUACCACAUAUGGGAAGGUAGAAAUUAAACACAUUUUAACAAGUCUUGUAUUCUAAUAUGGGACAGUAACUAGAAAUUAAGUGAUUUUUUCUUUUGUAAUUUUUCAUAAAUGAAAGAUUUUAAAUUCGAAACUUUCUACCGACAGCCUCUUCUCUUUUACUGUCUAAUCUAAUCCUCUGAUCUAGACGCAAAAGCUAUCGCUGCGACUCUCUGUCUAAAAUAACGUGUCAAUAAAACUCUUUUUUUUAUUUUUUGCCCGGAAUAAAAUACUAAUACUACUACGUCAUUAAAACUCACUGAUGAGUACAAAUAAAAAUUUCGUGCCUAAGGAUUAAGGAAUCUAUCAUAGUUUUGCUCGAAAACGUCAUGUCUCAGACCGAGUACGACUCCUACCCUCCGUUGUUCCGCCCAAGGAGAAGCCCAACCCUCCCCAGCCCCGAUUCUGAUGACUUCUUCAACCAACAAGUUCCAGAUUUCGACCCCGUUCCUGUGAUAGAUUCCGAGUGCAUAAACCAGAAGAAGCUGGAUGAAGCUUGUAGAGAGUGGGGUAUGUUUCGGUUGAUCAACCACGGGAUUCCUCUGACCCUUUUGAACAAACUUCAUGACCACGCCAAAAAGCUCUUUUCUCUCGCCUAUGAAUCCAAGCAAGCCUCUUUCACCCCUCCCAUAUCCUACUUUUGGGGCACCCCUGGCCUCACCCCAUCUGGUGUUGUCAUACAAAGAGAUGUUCGUGCCCAGAACUUCAACUGGCUCGAAGGUUUUCAUGUUCUUUUAACUCCAUUAUCCCAGCUUCAAUAUGAAGAUCCUAUGCUCGACUCUUUCAGGUUAGCUGCUUUUUUCCCACCAUCAUUCCAAUUAACAACUUCUUUUCUGCUCUGGUUUGUCACGUUCAAGAUUUUUAUUGUCUUUUACUACUCAGUACACAUUUCCACCUGUAGUAUUUGCUUUUUUUUUUUUGGAACUUGGCCAGAAAUGCUCUCCUGAACCGCUUUUAGAAGGGGAUUGACGAGAAUUAAGAAGCUUGAUUGCGUGAAGAGGACAGGACAGUGACAAUUGAAUUUGAAACCACCCUCGUUUUAAAGAUUAUAAUAAUAAACGAAGACUAAUGAAUCAACAGACAAUACUAGAUUCUAAAAAUUUGCAGCCGUAAUAUGUGGACUCCAUCGCCUGUUGCUUACUUCUGUAUGUUGGCCAUAGGCAAAUAAAUUCGUAGUGAAAAAAUAAAAUAUUUUAGUUUGGUCACUUAUUAGAUGCAGGUUGACAAUUGAGAUUUGACAGUUAGUUAAAUCACUGAAGAUAUUUCGCUCACUAAAGUUGGUUUUUUUUUUUCACACGGAGAGGCUUAGUUAGAUGAGCGUUAACGUGGGGUGGCCAAGAAAAGUCAGUACAGUACUAGAGAUUCAGCAAUUUGAGAAUGGACGUCCGUCUUGGUGGCACUAUUGACAAUCAAAUCCCACUGCCAAUCCGACGCUCCCAGUUUAAAAUGUGUAAAUUUUUUGUUUAGGUGAAGGAAGUGGAAGAUGUAGCAAAAUUGUAUGGUAGUUAGUUUGUCCACUCCACUAAGUUAGGUUGGCAAGAUGAUUACGAAAACAAGAGAGCUGCAGUUUUGUAGCGAAUCUCUUCACAUUUAUGAUUUAACUUUAAGUGGGGGACUGACUGAAAAGCAGAGGGAACACGAGCAUCCAAUCAUGUUUUAGUGCUAUCAAUAAACUGCAUUAACAGAAGCUCGUAUCUGCCCCAUCACUCCAUCACUCCAUCCUUUUUUUUUUCUUUUUUUUUUUUUUGAGUUGAGGGGUACGUAGAUGCCAGUAGAAGAAUACAGUUAAUAAGUAUCUUCCGGACCCAUUCCUGUUCUCAGGAAGAACCAGCCAGCCAGGAUUUUAUGAUUGGAACAAUUUGCUUGCGGGGGGGGAGGGGGGGGGUGGAAUUUAAAAGGAACGAGUAGCGCUUUUCUUUUUUUCUUUUUUUUUGAUAGUGAAAAUCUUAAAAAAGAACCAGGCAGGCUGUGGCAAUUUUUGUAGGUGCUUGCUGGAAGAAUACGGGAGGCAGCAGACUAGGCUGGCUACGACAAUUUUCGAGGCUCUGGCAAAGAAUCUCCAACUGGAUUCUGAACGUACAAGAGCUUAUCUGUCGACAGCAACGGGACACCUACGAGUUCAUCGCUACCCAUGCUGCUUCGAGGCAGAGCAGUUGCGAGCAUGGGGCAUAGAUGUCCACACUGACAGUUCUGUACUUUCCAUUCUGCACGAAGAUGAAGUCGGUGGACUUCAAGUCUGCUCCAACAAUCAAUGGUUUGACGUCAAGCCUCAAUUCGAUUCCCUGAUUGUGAACCUCGGCGACAUGAUGCAGGUGAUCCAUAAAUAAUGCAUGGGAUGAUCCUAUCCUGGCGCAUAUUGAUUACUGAAUCGAAUGAAUUUACUAGUGAUUUUAAGUUUGGUCAUCAUUUUCAAUUCUUUCACUCAUCAAACUCCCACCGGUGAUGGCGUUUUUUUCAUAUAUAAGGCCAUGAGCGAUGACAAUUAUAUUGGUGCCAAGCACAGGGUGAAGGUGAACAAGCACAAGGAAAGAAUCUCGGUGGGGUAUUUUGUGCUCCCAUACGAAGAUACCGUUAUAGAAAGCUCCAAGUACAAGCCCUUCACUUAUGCUGAUUUUCGAGCUGAAGUGCAACGAGAUUUGAAGACCGUCGGAUACAAGAUCGGCCUCCAGAAGUUCAAGCUCAGCGAGACGUUUUAGUCGUAGAGCACAUUUUGGAAGUGCCAGUCAAAAUCAAUCUUCUCUGUUCUCUUUUUUUUUUGGUUGGAGACAGGUUGUUGGAUUGGCAUUUUUCGCGAUUCUAGCUACUUCUGUUUUGGUUUCAUUCUCUGUCGUGCUUUUUAGCUCUCGAUGCGGUCUGGAGAAGCUGCGGUUUGGAGAGAAUGUUCUAUUUUCUUCUUUUCCAAUUUGGUCAUCAUGGUUAGGUGUCGUAUCUGGCUUCCAAGAGCGGAGGAGAUAAUUUCUUAUCCACUCUCUUUUAAAUAAUAAAUUACUAGUACUGUUAUUAUUAUUUCUCUCCUCUUUAACAAAAAAAAUAAUAAUUGCUUUCUCCUCUUUAUUUCCUUCAAAUUAAUAAGCAUCUCUAAUCUUUCUCAUUGCAAGAUCCAUAAAAGUCGCGAUAUGUUAGCACUCUGCCGGCAGACUGAACUUGACAAUUUGGCAUAAUACUUGGAAUGUAAAAGAAAAGGACAAUCAUUGGAUCGGAGAAACCAAUGUUUAAUCAUUAACACAAUAUAUAUAAUAGCUUCAAAAAAUUUAAAAAAAAAAAGAAAAUCAUUGACACCAUAUACGUUUGUAAACUCAUCAGGCAACUGAAUUAUGGGAUGCCUUGGCGAAACAGCUGCCGUAGCAAGGGCUAGAUGGGGGCCGGACGGGGGGAAGGGAAGGAAGCGGAGACGGGCGGAGUAUAACGCUACAAACGGGUGGCUACUUGGCCUUCUUUACGUUGGUUGCUGGUCCAACAAUUCCUUAUGCGGUUAUGCCCCAUCUUUUUCCUUAAGGACAUAUUCACCGCAUUUGCAUUGAUGUCGACUUAUGAUAUGGUUGCUAGCUAUACCAGUUUUUUUUUUUUUUUUUUUCUUUCUGGGCUGAUAGAUAUAUUGUAAUGCUUGCUACUCUUUUUUUUAUUUUCUAGUUGCCAAAAAUUUUCGAAAAAAUUAUUGGUGCAAUGCAAACUCAAAAGACUCGUAGAUUUUUUUUUUUUUUUUUUUUUAAAAGUUAGAUUAGGGACAAGAGAUUGCAUGUCACAAUUAUUGCUGUGGGUGCUUUAUUAGAAUAUUUUCAUGAUAGUGAUAGAGAUAUGGCAUCUCGGGAUUCUUCGUUACCAUCUUUAUAUGAUAAUGAUACGGUAUUUCGAGAUUCCAGAACUCAAAAGGAGAAUUAUUUGCUCCCUCCAGUCCAGUCUGAUGGCAAUAACCAGAUUUGCUUUACUAUUUUCACGCAUAUGUAUUAUUGCUCUAGACUAGAAGAAAGGUUGCUAAGGCUAGUUUCAGAAAUAAAUCCGCAUACUGUGCUUUUUUUUAUCAAAGAAAGUGACGACAGGGUAGACUUCUGAUAAGGCUUGAAAUUAUACGCAUAGUCAUAUAUAGACUUCCUGUGGUAGUGGUACAUCACUCAAAGUCGUUAUCUACCAUUGACACGCCUUUACAAAUUUCCCAUUUCCAUACUAUAUUCGCUUCUAAUUUUUCAAAAACAGGAGAAUCAGUCUUCUAUUGGUGGAAAUGCUGAGCAACGCCAUUUGCAUGGUCAUGCUUGAAGGCGUUCCUUUUCUUUUUUUGGGGUUGGAUUCUCUGGUUUUUGAUCUUGUCCUUUAUGCAUUCUUACUGCCAUACGUUAUCAAUUAUUACUUUAAUAAUAUUAAUAACAGCAGAAAUGUUGAUACCGCAAAUGUGAUUAAGGACCCGUAUCUCAGCUUUCCUUUCUAAUGUAAAACUCCUUAAGAAUACUUCUAGUACUACAUAACUUUCCUUUUUUUUUUUUUUUUAGUGAAUGGAAAAAAUAUUCACCAAACUACCUAAUAUAGCAUUGUUUGGUCAUUGAACCUUUUUUUUUUUUUACAACUAAAAAGGUCACUCAACUUCUUAAAACAUGUCUUUAGCUUAUAUCUUCCAAUUCAACCGGUAAACCAACCAUAAAGAAUCGUAUUUGACCUGCUGUAGUAGGUUUUCAAGAGCAAAACUGUCUUGCAUUGCCAGUUAUUUUCAAUUAAUUUAGUGGAGACUGACCUGAAAGGACUUUUUUUGCUACAAAAAAAAAAAAUAAAAUUAGUGACCACAUUGUGCUAGAUAAUUUAGGAGCCAUUUUCACGAUUUAUUCUUUGUUUUUUGACAAAUUACUACUGCAUAACUCCUCUUCUCCUAAUAUGUAACUUUCUACACCUUUCAAUAUCUAAUAGAUCUAACAAAUCAUGAAUUAUCUACCACGUUUAAGCAUGAACAUUUGAUGCUGGUUGUCACUUGGAUGGUGAAAUUGCCCCAAAUAAUAUUUCGCUUGCAUUAUAUAUAAACACAUUUCUCAACCUAUACUUUUAUAUUUUCAACCACCUUUUUUAUCUCACAUACAUCACAUCAUAAAAAGUGCUACAGUAAUUAUUUCAAAUAAUAUUCUAUCCAAACAACCCCUUUUAAUUUAUCUCAUGUUGCGUUCCAUGAUUUGCCUUCCCUUUUAUAUGUCUAUCUUUCCUACUCAUGUUCAUCCCCUACCUCCCCUUCUCAAUAUUAGAAAUAUUUACAGUAGAAAAUGACAUUUUAGAGUGGAUCGAAUGUAUUGUAUAAUUAACGUUCCUCUACCAUUCUUGAGGCAAAAAAGAAAAGAAACAAAUGGAAAUUAUGAGGAGUAUCUAACAUUUUCAUUAUAGUCAUAUUACUUUUAUUUUUCUCAUUUCCCAGAAGGUUGUAUACAGCUCUGAUUGAAUAUAUAUAUAUUUUUAGGGUUUUUAGUUUUUAAAAAUAUUUUACUAUAACAUAUUCAUUUGGUAAUUUUAAAUGCGUAUUAGAGAUAUAAAUUUGUUGAAAACCUACAUGCCCUAGCAAACAGAACCUUGUAAUAUAAAUUUUAAAAACUCAUUAUCCAGAAGUUUUCCAAGUAAAUGGCAAUCCAAACCAAGCUUAUUAUAUAAAUUAUAGUAGCAUUUUUCUCAUGAGCUCUUAGUGAACACUUGUUUAUACACUUAAUUAUAUUUAUUUGUAUAUUUAAUGUCGCAUAACGAACAUUUAAACACUUGCAACUUAAGAAUAAAUUGCUAAACUUAAAAAAAGAGAGAGAGAGAGAGAGAGAGAAGCGCCCACGAAUCAAAGUAUUUAAUUACUAUAGAACUUUGUGCAAAGUGGAAUCGGACGGUCCAGCAUUCUCCUGCGCUGCGUCACACCCUACGUUGAUCACCAUAAACCAUUCUUUUUUAUUUAUAAUAUAAUAAUAAAAAUAGUCAUAAUAGUUGUACACUUGGUUUUUUACUUUUUUCUGUAUUUAAAUCCACCAAUCCUCCUCACCUCAAGCUGGGACCCCACACAAUCACACUUUUUCUAAAAGAUUUCCUUUAUGUUAUAAUGCCCCCAAAUUGGAUACAAAUCAAACAAGACAGAGAAAAAAAAAAAAAAAAAAAAAAGAAAACACUACUUUGAUUAGAUAGGGGGAAAAGAGAGAAGAAGAAACAGUCAUCUGCUAGACUGGUACUACUUACUUGGUAACCAAGUAUGAAGAAGAAUAAUUAUCAAUUAUCGAUAAAAUCAAAUAAGAAAAUAAAUAAAAAUAGCUGCCAAAAUCCGAGCUUUUUGCGCGCACACACUUGUAUUGUAACUACAUAAAUACAAGAAUCGGACGCAUUAUAAACUAGUACCACUGCCAAGUAUUUCUUUGUAUUUAUGUAGAAGUGUAGAAGAACCGAGCCCAAAACCCAAGCCCCCCCACAAUUCCAACUUGCCCCCACACUAAAACCUGCGCUCUCCUCCAAGCUAAUCAUGGCGGCCCUCAACGAUGAAGCCGCUGCUAAGAAAAAGAGGAAAAGGAUUAACGGGAAAAAGAAGCUUCUCAUCCAUGAUAAAGUUGAGGUAAUGCUGCUCAUGUUGUUUUUCUUUUUCUUUUUUUUUCGUUGGUUAUCUGAUUGUCUGCAUCAUUGUUCAUGUGUUUGGGUAAUUUUAUUUAAUUUUUUUAAUGAAAAUUUUGAUUCUCGAAUGUGGGCUUUUGUCUUUUUACAAUUGGGUUUUGGAUGUUUUUGUUGUUUUUCAAUUCUUGAUGACGUUUACAAGAAUUGUCUCUCCGGGGCUUGAUUUUACUGGCAUUGUGUGGUUUUGGGGUAUUCCUGUUUAGUAAGCAUUUGGGAAGGCUAUGUUAAGGCACAGGGACCGGUUGCAUGUUGGCUUUUGUUAGUUUGCGAAGUGAUCAUGUGGAUAUUCUGUUAACUGGAGAGCUCUAUGUGAGGUAAUCAAUAAUUUUCUUUUCUUGAUUGAGCUUAAUUGCACAUGCAAUGCCUCAUCCUUGACUCAAAAUUAAAAAGGGUUAAGAGUUAAGCACCUUUCAUCUAUUUUUCCCUUUUCUUUUUUUAAUAUUAGUUAGAGUAAUGCGCGCUUGUUUUUGUUUUUACCUUUUUUUGUCCCCCUUAGUGUGGGAAGUGAUUGAUUUUCGGUUGCAUGAGUGUCAAAAGUGCCUGCUUUGUUGUAUGGGAGCGUCUUCUGCAAUUUCACUGUCGUCGGGAGUCAGUGGUUGUGUUUGACCUUGUAAUUGUGGUGCAGGUAAGGAGUACGGAAGAGGGGUUUCUGGGCUCUUGGCAUGCUGGAACUGUGGUUGGAUGUGGAGAAUUGCGUCGUCGCAUCAAGUAUGAUGAAAUCUUAGAUGAUGAUGGUUCUGAACGUUUGGUUGAAUGGGUAAAGGUGAGUCCUGUGCUGGAUGGGCUUGUUCGUGGGAAUCAAGCGACAAGCAAUUGUUGCCGUGGCAAUAUAAGGCCAUUGCCCCCUUCGGUUGAUUUCCAAAAGUGGUCUCUUCAUUAUGGACAGUGUGUCGACGUGUUUGUACAGGAUGCCUGGUGGGAAGGUGUGAUUUUUGACCAUGAGGAUGGCUCCGAUCAGCGGAAAGUCUUCUUUCCGGAUAUGGGUGACGAAGUUAAGGCUCAAAUAGAGACGUUCCGCAUCACUCGGGAGUGGGAUGACAUUACUGAUGAAUGGAGACCUCGAGGCAAUUGGUUGCUUCUCGAAUUGAUUGAGGAAGUUGAGCUAGAGUGGCCUCUUCUUGUUUCAGUGAAGCAAAUUUGGUAUGAAAUACGAGUCAAAAUGGAAUUUGGCAAACUUAAGGAAUGGACGUCUUCUUCAAGGGAUAUUUGGAGACAACUGCUGUUGCAAGUUCUAUCCACGAGUUAUAAGCUAACUGUGAAGCAAAUUUUUCAUGAACUAAACUCUUCAGAAAACUCGACAGAGGAAGGCCAGCCAUUAUUUGAAUUCUCUGCAAAUGCACUUGAUGCAAUUCUUGACCCCGAAAGCAUUUUUUCUGACUCUAUGGCUAUUGUUCCCUAUGGAACUAAUUGCCAGUUGGAAACUCAUGCAGCGCUGUCUGCUGAUUUGAACCCUUCUGAAGAGCAAAAUGCUCCCAAUGCUUUGGCUUGUAUCGGCUGGGUAGAAAUGGAUAACUCCACUCAUUCAAUGAAAAGGCCCAAUGAACUACCCUGUGUUCAGGCUCCUGCUUUUUCAGGGUUACCUCCCAACCCAGAUCACAGUCCUGAAGCUGAGUCAGGUGCAAAGAGUGGAAGGUGCCCUACGAGCUCCGACAAGCUGAAUGGGAAGCUGAAAGCUUCAGGCGAUAGAACAAAACUACAGUGGCUUCCUGCUGGAAUCGACAUGGUUCCAGGAACUGCAUGUUGCCCUGGUUCAGUAACUGAUUAUAUUCAGAAGUGUAAGUUGAACUUUAAAUCUCGGGCUGCUUCAACGUUGGAAGUUAGGAUGCAUAUUUCAUACUUGGGCUGGAAAAUUCAGUUUGCAAGAGAUAAAGCAGUAACUAGAAUGCGAUACAUCUCCCCCGAAGGUGAGAUUCACUAUUCACUCUAUCAGGUUUGUCUGAGAUUGCAACCUGGAUCAGAUGUUCCUUCCCGGAUAUGCCAAGAUGAUGAAAGUAACAGUGAUGAUCCUGUAGAAAGCUCGGUCUCAUCUUCAUUAACUGUGAUCCCAAAAGCAGACACUGGGGCACUGAAAGUGCUUUCUUGUUCUGAACCGGUUUAUUUUGAACGCGAUAAUUGUCCUGAAGCUGUGCUGAACUAUUCGAAUUGGAGAGGGACAACUUGUCAUGGACAGAAUGGUGCAAAGGGUGGUAUUAUGGCUUUAAAGGCUAAAAGGCACCUAUCCUUUCUGGGUUGGAAGUUCUAUCUCGAACCAAAGGGGUUUAAGAAGGAGAUGAGGUAUGGAUCCCCAUGCGGUAAAAAAUUUUACUCUCUUCGAAGUGCCUGCCACUGGUGCGUAACUGAAGGGAGAAUUCAUCUUAGUAAUGAUGCUUAUAACAGUAAACAAAUCAAGGAACCAUUUGCAAGCCAAGAAUGUGGAGUCCAGCUGACUUUGACAGAUCCAUCUCCUCCAUCAAAUGCUAUGGUAUCAGAAGGACAUGUGAAUGAUGAUCUGUCAAAACAGCUGCUAAUAGAGUCAUCUUCAAAAACAUCACAGCCAAAGCAACUUGCUCAACAAGGUCAAGUCAAAUGUCAUGGAAUUAGAGGACCAGAAAGGAAGAGAAAUCAUUGCUUGCUACAACAAUCCUUGGCUGCUCUUCACACAGGCCCCCAAAAUGAGGACUCAUAUUUGCUUGAUGAUGUUAAAGAAUCUCAGGCUUCAGCCAAACAAAGAGAUGAUGUGAAUGCAGAAAUGUCUUCCUGUGUGUUGCGAUCAAGUAAAAGGGCUCGGCAAUCAGUUGUUUCUCCUUCAAUUCACCAGACUCCUAGGACUACCUUGUCUUGGUUGAUCGAUAAUAAUGUAGUUUUACCAAGAGCAAAAGUGCAUUACCGAGGGAAAAAGGAUGGCCGCGUCAUGAAAGAAGGAAAAAUAACCCGUGAAGGAAUCAAAUGCACUUGCUGCCAAAAAGUUUUUACUCUCAGCAAGUUUGAGGCGCAUGCUGGCAGCAAUUAUCAUAGACCUUCAGCAAAUAUAUUUUUGGAGGAUGGUAGGUCAAUAUUUCAGUGCCUGUUGAAACUAAAAGGUGAGACGAAUAAAAGAAAAAUAAGAUCAGAACCUCAUGAAAUGAAGGGUCAUAGUCUUCACAAUGACCAUAUUUGUUCUGUCUGUCACUAUGGUGGCGAAUUGGUCUUAUGUGAUCAGUGUCCAUCAUCCUUUCAUACAAUUUGCCUGGGUUUAAAGGUAUGCUUCUCAAGACCUGUUAUACUUUAUCUCUGUCUUUAUCACCUUAUAGCAAGUACUUGGAAUUGUUAAUAACAUCAGAUAAGCAGGAGGUUCCCGAUGGCGAUUGGUUCUGCCCAUCCUGCUGUUGUGGAAUUUGUGGCCUGAGCCGAUUGAAUGAAGACACAGGACGACCUGUAGAUGACAGGCUUAUCAACUGUGGUCAGUGUGAACGUCAGUGUAAGUUGCUUAUGUCUUAAUUUUAUGUUUGACAAUUAUAAUGCCUCUUCAAUCAUCUUUAUGCUCAUCUGUAUUAGCAAUUAUCUCAACUUUUUACUGAUAAUCUAUCAAUUUAAUGCCAGAUCAUAUAGAGUGCUUAAAAAAGAAGGGUCUUGUUAAGCGUGACUGUCAUCCGGAAAGGAAUUGGUUUUGCAAUGAAAAAUGUGAACAGGUACUUGGACCCUGACUUUCUCUAUACUGCAUUUAUCCUAGGGAUUGUCUAAUAAGGUGGCCCUGGGACACUCAUUAUUUAGAGGCGCAAGUGUCAGUUCUCUGGAGAGAUGAAGUUGGAUCAGGAAAGUUACUAAAAGCAAGGGGUUUUAAAUAAUUAUGAGUGUGCACAUUUAUAUGCUUUUCUGGCAUGUGUAUGUGCUUUAAGUACUUACCCUUUCAUGAUGUACAGGAAAUAGAUCAUCCCUGCCAUCCCUUAUGUAGUAUCCCACAACUUAUCUGUCAAGUCUUUGGAGUGUUAAAGAAAAUCUAGCACAAGUGUCUACAUUGGGUGCAUGUUCUGUCUAUGGUCUAGGCUUGCAAGUUCAAUGUGUUUACAUUUGUCUUUUGUCAUAAUGCACAGAUACAUCUGAGUCUCCACAAUCUCCUAGGAAAACCAAUUCCCGUGGGGCAUGAUAAUCUUACUUGGACAUUGUUAAAGUACAAAAAUGCUGAAGAUUCUGAUCAAGAUGGUUUGGAUAAUGAGCAUUUGAUGGAAAGCUAUAGCAAGCUUAAUAUUGCUCUCAGUGUAAUGCAUGAGUGUUUUGAACCCAUGAAAGAGCCUCGCACCAAAAGGGAUCUUGUGGAAGAUGUUAUAUUUAGCAGAUGGUAAGAGCCUGUUUCUUUCAAUAUAUAAUUUUUAUAUUUCUGCUUUAUGGUUUUACCCUUCUUUUGGUAUGUAUGUGGGUCUGUGUGCAUGUGUGCGCUCCUACUUCCUUGGGAAUUGGUUUUGCUGGCUAUAGGACUUAUGAUUUUUCUCUUGUACUGUAGGUCAGAGUUGAACCGUUUAAAUUUUCAGGGGUUCUAUACUGUGGUAUUAGAAAGAGAUGAUGACUUGAUUACUGUGGCUACUGUAAGGUAUGAUUACAUUUUUGCUUUAACUUGCAUAUUUUACUUGGCUUGAAUAAUCUUCCUGAAAUUCUGUUUUUCUUUCUUAUUUUAAGGGUCUAUGGGGAGAAAGUUGCUGAGAUCCCCCUUGUUGCCACACGUUUUCAAUAUCGCCGCCUUGGAAUGUGCCGUAUUAUGAUGAAUGAGCUUGAAAAGGUAUCUGUAUUUAACCCACCUGGGGAGUUUAACAUCAACGUAAUUGGUUGCUUUUUUGGAAUUUGCUGAAUGGUGGCAUCAUUUGUAUUCUAGAUUGCUUCUCUGUUUAUAAUAUCUGUUUGUCCUCAUGGUUGCCAGAAACUCAUCGAAUUAGGAGUUCAGAGGCUGGUUUUGCCUGCUGUGCCUAGUGUGCUAAGCACUUGGGAAACCUCAUUUGGGUUCUCAAGGAUGACUGAAUCUGAGAGAUUAAACUUUCUGGACUGCACUUUCCUUGAUUUCCAGGGGAGUCACAUGUGCCAAAAACUAUUGAAGAACACCCAGUGUACAGAACUUAUCCAAUUAACAGGCAAGCUUGGUGAUCUUGUUAAUUCAACGGGCAGAAAAUUGACUUAAUCACUAAUUUGAUAUCAUUUUUGUAGGAGUUCAGCAAAAGCUGUCCCCUCAUUCUGGUGAAAAAGACAAUGACUUGGAAGCCAGGGGUGCUGCUUCUGAGGUACUUCAAGCAGAGCAAGUUGAGGAUAUUGAAGUGGUGGAUCAAGGAGCUGCAGAGUACGUAGAUUUUCUCUUUUCCUAUGAAUUUGGGUAAUAGUAUAAUUAAUAGCUAAAAUGCAUUUUAGUUAGUGGCAGCUACUCAAAAUACUAGUCCCAAAAAAAAAAAAAAAAUUUGCUUUCUUUGAUAUGCUCCUGCAAAUUUGAAGAUCUCUAUCCAUUAAUAACCAAGGAUCUGGCAAGGUGCAUGUUCAGCCUCAGGAGCACGUAGAUGUAAAUUUUGGCAAGACUAGUUGGGCUAUUUCCAAAGUGAAGGGUGCAUGGGAAUUGGGAUGCGUGAAUUGAUUCCAUGUUUCUAAAAUUGUUUAUUCAAUGGAAUACAAUGAGUCCAAGCUAAGUAAAUCUCCAUCAGGUGUCUUCAUUAGUUCAUAUUGCAUAAAAGUGUUUAGUUUUCAAUUUGUCAAAUUCAUAGCUAGAUAUGCACAUUCUAUUUGAAUCUCUUUUGUUUUGCAGUCUUCUGAGAGAAAUUGGCAGCAACAAUAGCAGUGUUGUCACUCCUUCAGUUAUUGUGGUAACUUCUCGUCAUUUAACUUAUCUCUUAAUCUGUCCCUAAUAAGAUUUUCCUGCUUUAGUAAUUGCCUGAUUUAUAUAUGCAAGCAGGUGAACCAACCACCUGAACCAGUGAACCAGCCACCUGAACUUGUGAACCAGCUGGCUGAACCGGUGAACCAAUCCCCUCUCUUUAAUUUCUUGUCAUGCCAGAAUGAAAUUAAUCUGGGGUACUCGGUAGGAGCAAGUGGUCAAAGAAAUCACAUUUUCAAGUGCUACAAACGGAGAAGAUUAGCUACUUGUGGAAGUUAAACUGCCUUCUACGAUAAGAGCAAAUACAAGUUCAGUUGUCAUAGAGCCAAGAGAAAUCUUGUGAGCCUGUUUUUUGACUCUUGAUGGGCUUCAAAUUUUUGUGUAGAAUGUGCAGUCUCCUCUGUAAAUGGUAAAGUAGAAAGGAGUCGCAAGAACUUCAAGUCUCAGGCUCUUGUUAAUUCAUGUAUAUUCCAGUAGUUCAAGUCUGUAGAUCCCCGCGAAGCUCAUUUUGGUUUCUGGAAGUUAUCAUGGGUAGAAAACUAGAAACUACAAACUAAGCCGAAGAAGCAAUGGAAUACGGCCCUAUUUAUCUCACAUCAUAAAAUGGCAGCUCUCUACAAGAAACGUCCUAAGGCGAUAAGCCUAUAACGUUUCUUUGGUAUCGAACCACGUAGAUGUCCCUCAAGGCUUUGCUAACUGGCCAGAGAACUUUCGAUUGUAUAUUUGUGUAGAUCUUUUGAUUUGCUUUUGCAGUUUAAAGCAAGCCUCAGAAACAGAAAAGAUGGAAAAGUCAUGACUGCAAGUGAUAAAAAGAGGCCAUGGAAUUUAGGCCAAUUAAAAUUUUAUCAACUAGUCCAACCUCAACUUCGUGAAGGAGUAUUUGUAUAUUGGGUAAUUUAUCGCAAGUUUAGAUUUUUACGACUUCAUCAUCCUGAACCCCCUAAAUCAAAAGUGAAACAACUUUCAAUAAUCCCUGAUCUUAAUAUAUGCUCAUGAAUCUUUAGUUGGUGCUAAAAUUGGUAAAUUUGAAAAAAGAAAUCAUGAAUUUAACUUGUCUGAUUAAAGUCUUGAUUUGAAUGGUGUGAUUUGCUCAUGAAUCUUUAGUUGGUGCUUUUUAUUAAAAUUUGGAAAAGAAUAUUAGACACAGCCAAUUGCAAACCAAAUGUCAAUAUGUGCAUCAUUGUUCAAUUUUUGGGUACAGUCCAAUAUCAAUAUGUGCAUCAUUGUUCGAUUUUUGGGUACAUUCCAAGGAUUCCAUUUUUCACAUUUGAGUGUCUGCAGUCUGCAGUCAUCAUCGCCAGAAUGGAUGUGGUUCAUGAUGAAUCAACAUCCAACACUUUUAAUCAGUAUGGUGGCCCCAACUUGGUCCACCAAUUUGUGCUACAGUAGAAUUAUGCUGCUACCAUGGUCUACAAGGAAGGAGAAGCAACGUAAAGUGGUCUUUCCAUUUGUACAGUAGGCAGCAUUGAACGUUUCCCUCGAUGGGCAGGCAGGUUUGAUACUCGACUUUUCUUCAUCAUCCAAGUAUUCCAUUAUCUCUUGCUUCCACCGGAGUUCAAGAAAUGGAAGGGAAUCAGUUUUAGAGGCGCGGCUCCCUCCAAAGCACAACACAGCAUACUGCCAGUUGGGAAUGAGGGGUGACCUUUGGUCCUCAACCACUCUUGUUCCUUGGCCUUUUCAGGCUGCUAGCCUCUUGCGUCUGCCCCUCUCGUAAACAAGUGCACUCCUAAGAACGGUGCUCAACUUGUUUGGCCCCAUAAACACGCUGGCUUCGCCCCUCAUAGCAAUUAAGCACUCCCUUUCAAUUUCCCUACUUUCAUUUCAUGGUUGGUUGCUAUUCCUCUUCAAGAAUGUUGCCUACCUAUAUGCAGAAGAUGAAUUUUAUCAUCCAAGGAAUUAGGAGCACUAAAUAAAAUACUUAAAAACUACAAGCAUGACUACUCAUGCACUGCUGUGCGGAUCCCACGAUCAACAGAUGCCUGUCACAGGGUCACGGGCCCAGAAAAAGGAAAGCCAUCGGGAUUAUUAGUACAUCCAAAUGAAUUAAUCCCAUAAAAGGAAGCAAUCAAAGCCAGAAAUGUAUAAUCCCAGUUCAUAAGAUCACGAUAGGCGGCUAAUGUCCGUCUUAAAUUAGAGAUGCAUAAUCAGAGUUAAUCGUUCUUUAAAUCGUGUUGUCUGCAAAUGGUCCUCCCGGGUCACUUCUGCAUUAGUGGCAGAAUGCCACCGUUAUGACCAGGGGCACCAAUCACCAGCGAUUAAUCUGCAUAUUUAAAGCACGUGAGCCAUCUUAUCUAUCCAUCACAUGCAGAGUGCAGACUACUAGCGGACAAAAAUACCACCCAACCCCCGUCCCCUUUUUAUAUUGAAACAUUUCUGGAAAACAACACCAGUAAAAAGUACCCCCAACUCCCUCCAAAAACUUCCCUCCUUAUUCUCUCCCACUGUUUCUUGAUUUCUUCUUUAGUAAGCAGUACUUACAAAGACUUCCUAUCUUUCUAGCUAAAGCUUUAUGCCAUGGCUCUUCUGUACUCAAAAUCUGCUUCAUUUUUGGCUUGUAUCUUCUGCUUCACUACAAUUCUAUGCCUAAACCUGCUGCAAUUUGACAGUGCCUCGGCAGUCUUGUUAGUGGGUUUGAGGAAUCAGCACAGUCACCCUCACCAUAGAAGGCCAAUGCUCCAAGCCAACCAGAGGUCAUGCUCCUUGUUUGUGGGCUCCUGGGUUCGUGAUGAUACUUAUCCUUUUUAUCCAUCUUCUUGUCCCAUCAUCGACCCUGAAUUCAACUGUCAAGCGUAUGGCCGACCCGACUCUGAUUAUCUCAAAUUUCGUUGGAAACCAGCCAACUGUGAUCCUCCCAGGUACUAACAAUCAUACUUCUAGUUCACUGUGAUUAAAAAAGUUACUGUCUUGAUAAUAUUCUCGUCAUGUUGUAUUACUGUUUCCGAAUUCGUUCCUUGUGUUGCUGGUGUAUUCCCUGAAAUAGAAGUAACCUUUGUUCGAACCGGUGCUAGGUUCAACGGGCUGGAAUUUCUGAUAAAAAUGAAAGGGAAGACUGUCAUGUUUGUGGGCGAUUCACUGGGACGCAACCAAUGGCAAUCUCUAAUUUGCAUGAUUUCAGCUGGGGUCCCAAGUUCCCCAACGCAGUAUCAGAGGGGUGACCCUCUGUCAACCUUCAAAUUCUCGGUAAGCCCAUCCCAUAAUGGAUCAAAAAUAUAUCUUUUUUUUUUCUUUUAUCCAAGCAAUAAUUGCGAUUCAGUUUCUAUUGUGGGGGUCUUUGCGAAAGAAACAGAGCUUUGAGACCGGUAACUAAAAUGGGCUCGCUCUGUUUGCAGGAAUAUGGUGUGUCCGUGUCGUUUUACAGAGCACCAUAUUUGGUGGACAUAGACACGGUGCAAGGCAAGAGAGUGCUGAGAUUGGAUGACAUAAGAGGAAAUGGUAAUGCGUGGAGGGGAGUGGAUGUGCUGUCAUUUAACACAGGUCACUGGUGGUCUCACAGAGGAGCUCUUCAAGGGUCAGAACAUUUGAUACUUAAUUAUUACUAGUGUUUGGAAUUAAUGCCUUUUCCCUUUCAAGAAUAAACAAAAAUUGAAUUGGUCUGUUUCUUCUAGCUGCAUUUUUAAGACCAAUAAUAAAUGAGGACGAUAAUGAUGAUGGCUGUUUGCAAUUGGGAAAUGAUUCUGUAUAGGUGGGACUAUAUGGAGUCAGGUGGAAGCUUGUAUCGAGACAUGGAUCGCUUGGAUGCAUUGGAGCAAGGUCUGAGAACGUGGGCCAGAUGGGUUGAUGCAAAUAUUGAUGCUAGUAGAACCAGGGUCUUCUUUCAGAGUAUCUCGCCUACGCAUUACAAGUAUGUUUUUCCCACAUUAAAUUAUAUUUCCACCUUCAUCUUCUUUGUACUAGUAAUUAUUAUUGUUCGACGACAGCCAGCUUGAUUGCAACAACUCUUUUCUUAGUAUUAUGGGUACUGAAUUCAAAGGCAAGAGUUAGUAGUGUUAAAAGAGUCCAGACUGCUGUUUCAUUGCCAUCGGGUGCCUCGUGAGUCUGAUAGCUGUAAUCACUAACUGUUACUUUUGUGGUGCAAGUUGGACUAGUAUGAAAUGAAGCUGAAUUAUUGGGCACUGGGACCUUACCGUCCCUUUAGGCCUUUUCCAACCUUGACCAAUAUUUCAGUCGAAAGUUCCUUUCCCAUGCAUCUGUCAAAGUCUUGACCGUUGGGCCAAAUUUUAAAGUUAAAUUGUAGUAAUGAUUUAAGUUCACCUAAUGAAGUCUGGUAAAUUAACUUGUGCUUCGGUCUAAUAGUAGAAUAGAGUCCUGACAUCAAGAGACUGUAACCAUGUCAUUUUUAGCUUUUGAUUGGUCUUGUUUUGCGAAUGUGGAGCUGAAUCAGUAGUGUUUGUAGAGUCCAGUUGAAAUGGUAUGUUUUAGUGUUUGUAGUUUCACUUUGUAAGUACAUCGAAUCAUCGAUGCUGGCACAUUUUCUUGUUACAAAAAAUGUUCACAUGUCUAUGUCGAAAUCCGUGUGGUUGUGGUUCGUGAAGUUGUCGGUUGUCGAUGAUGAAGGGUGGCUUGUUUUCCUGUUCCUUUCCACCUGUGAACAAUAGUAGUGGAGCAUGUAAUGUAAUGGUAUUAAAUAUUUAGGCAAAUCCAGCUAUAUGUGAGGUCAUGCCAAUUCCUACUUGCUGCAUUUUUUUUUAUAUACAUAUAUAUAUAUAUAUUUUUCCCCUCGAGUCACUUAGCUGAAAAAAGGUAAUGUGUAGAGAACUACUUGUCAGGUGCUUCAUAUGUAAGACCAACCUCACCUUGUUAGUGGCCCUUCUUUUUUUCUUUUUUUUUUUUUAACGAAGCUCACAACCCAAAAUCCUUCUAAAUUUAGCAUUGUGGAUGUAUAAAUGCGCUUUUAGGACGAUAUGCCUGAUUUGACUUUCUUUGAGAUCAAUAGAUAUAAUUGAAAAUGCCAGCUGUUUAGAUAUAUGUAGCAUACACAAAACACUAAUGAAAGUGUCCCAUGGAAUUAUUCGGUCCUUUUCCGCCGAUACAAUAAAUAGAAAUUGGGACAUACGUUAAUAUAGAUGGAAUUCAGGUGUUAAUGUUUUAGAAAAGUCAUAUUAAGUAGGGAAAUUCUAUGGUGUGAAAUAGGGUAAUGGUUGUCGGUUUGUGCAUUGCCAUAAUAGGUUGGGUGUGAUUUGGGCGUACUAGCAAGAACUAGAGCGCUUGUUAGAAAAACCCCGCGAAUACUUUUGCAUCCAAAAUUAACAGAAUGAUGUGAAUUUUUUUGCCGAAAAAAUAAUAAUAAUGAAAUCACUGAAUCAGUUGACUGGAUGUGGACAGAAAAUUUCACUCACUGAAAUUGCUGGUGCCACAGCUCAACAAACUGGGUAUAACUUGGCUUGGAAUGGUACCGUGGAGUGUACUUGAACCACUUUUGUAGGGAAGGAAGCUCUUGGGAAAAUGUGUGUACAUCUUGGGAUAACUUCUUUUUUUCCCAGAUUCUCAUGAAUAGUGGUAAAAUCUGUAAAUUUAGUUCCUUGCCAUGCAGUUAAUUCAAAGUAAUGCAACUACAUUGGUUGAUACAAGUGUCGUCACUUUCUUCAUAGCUGUUCUUCAUGUGGAUCGCGGUACAUAGAAGAAAAUCUGGUAGCUAGUACUGAUUGUUGAGUAUUUAUGGUGGCAGCCCCAGUGAGUGGAGCACAGGUUCAGCAACAGCAGCCAAGAGUUGUUAUGGUGAAACAUCCCCAAUGACAGGGACAACCUAUCCAGGAACCUACCCGGAUCAAAUGACUGUUAUAAAGACAGUGAUGAGCGACAUGAACUACCCUCCAUUUUUGCUUGAUAUUACUUUGCUCUCAGCAAUGAGGAAAGACGCUCACCCUUCCAUUUACAGUGGUGAUCUCACCCCUGAGGAGAAAGCCAAUCCUGACCAUUCUGCUGAUUGUAGCCAUUGGUGCCUGCCUGGCUUGCCUGAUACUUGGAAUCAACUAUUCUACACUGCCAUGUUCUUCUGAACUCAUUUUAGGCCUUUCUGUUCACCCUUUCCGUUCGGAUUUCAUUUUUUUGUCUUUUUCAGUUGUCCUUUCUCUGUAGGUGUUGAUGCAAUAUUAUACCCCAGGAAAGCUGAGGCUAAGAAAUCUCCUCUCCUCCUUGCAACAUACAGUGCAUUUAAUUAGGUGGUUGGACUGAAAGGAUAUGAACAUAUAUUUAAUGAUUCUGUAUAUUUAAAAACAAGUCUUACCUCUGCAGCAGAACGAAUGUAGAAAAGUGUGUUGAAUUUCAUAUGACUGGCAUGGUAGCCCAAUAUGAAUCUGGAUUAUCCUGGAUGCCGACUUCUUAGUGAUCAUUGCCUGCAUAAAGGAGGCAUUCAUCAUCGAGGAGCCCAUCAUCAACACCAAUCCAUCAACGUUUUAGCUUCGUGUGUGAUUGUACUCUUCACGUGGUUGAGCUGCUUUUAUAGAGGAUAUGGUGGAUGUUACCCAUCCUUGCAACAUUACUAUGUACCAUGAUGGCUUCGGCCUCCAUUUGGAAUAAAGAAAAGGCAGCAGUCCCUCAGGAUGGAUGAAAUGAUUGAAAGAGAGUUGCAAAGGUGAAUGAAACACCAAGAAACAUGAAUAUGACAUGCUCCUCCCAUUCGCUCCAAGAAUACUCUAUUUGCUUUUCCUUUUUGUUACAUGUACCUCUUCAUGGCUUUUCUGCACUGCCGUUUACUUUUCAGUUAAUUUGAAUGUGCACAGAGGAAGAAGCAAGAUUAGAUGCAGUUGAUAAAUCCAGCGCCGAAAGCCUCAUGAAAGUCAUUCCACAUUCUUUAAAUUCUUUCUACUCUGGCUAUGGAAGCUCCAUCAAUUCAGUGGCUAUUAUACCUUCAGUUCCCGUACAUUUGAAGUUUGAGAAAACACCACCUUAAUCUGCGAUCAACUUUUCAACUUCAUACAGUACCAAACCCGUUAAUGAGCUGGUUUCUGUAUUCAAAAGUUAACAUUGAAUAGAUUUUGUAAAACUGCUUUAUAUGCUCCUUAAACAUGACAUGACAGUGAAUUUGUUUUCACUGUCCAUUCAUCUGCAUAAGCUAAUUUCAAAAUCAAAAGAACAUGAAGAGAGGUUUAUAUUAUUCCAAAGUAGUACUCAUUAGAAAACGAUACUCUUGAAAAAGCACUCGAGCAACAUAAAAAUGUUGUGUCGAAUUCAUUUAUUACUCCUGGAAGGAUGGAGUGAAGUCCAAGUUCGGAUAGACUUGAACCAGCCACUAUCUGAGAUACAAUACAAGCACAAGGAGCUCUUCUUUUCCAUGCUUAUAUUUUGCUCCCUCCCCUUUUGUACCAGACCGUACUUUUCAUUUUGAAAUGUCCUAAAAUACUUGUCAUUUUACUAAGUCAAAGUUAUUUUUUAUCUCUUUUUUCAAUGUUAUUCCCACCUCUAUUUAUAUCUAAUACUAAAUUCAAAUUUAAAAUUUAAAUUUUUGAGGAUAUGUUUGAAAAUAAAUCCGCUAACAUCACUAUGAAUUCACUAUUUUUAAAAAGUUGAAAUCCUGAAAUGCUUCGUAGGGAGUACUACUUUCUCUAGCCUCAUUAGUCAUUAGGUUGAGUUGUGCGGGAGGGGGAGGAGGGAGUUGCACACUACUUUCCUGCGUUUGAAUGUCUACAAUAAUGUAGAACAAAGUACAAACAAAAUGGGGGAAAAAAAAAAAAAGAAAAGAAAAGUAGAAGUACUUGGUGCGGGUAGCCAAAACAGAAGAAAUAGAUUACAAAACAUUAGGUUACAACACAAAACUUGCUGCUUGAACCAUCGCACCACAGCUCCGUGCACAACUUAAAAGCUAUCCCCUAAACUGUUGCGCCACAGUACUGUAUCAAGAUUUUCAUAGUGCCAAAUGGCUUUAUUCAACUUUACAAUCCUAAUAGUAAUAGUAACUUCUUUCAUACAGCAGGGCACUAAAAACUCAUCCUGCAUAUUCUAACACGACCACAAACAAGCAGUUAUAUUCUUAUUCAAAGUGUUAGCUCUGGAUUGUGAGCUCCUUUGCGGGUAUUCCAACCAUGCGUGGAACGUCGUCAAUCAUCGUAGGUGCCAAAUUUCCAUUAGCAACUGAUGGAAGAAGCUUCUCGUAAGCUGAAUUAUGCACCCCGACAGCAGCCCUGCCCGAAGGAUCAAGGUUCUCUGACCAUGAAGCAUCCCAUUCAAUAGCUUUUGCUGUACUGCAUGCCACACUUGGCCCGCCAGGAACAGUAAGGCUUGCUGAAUUCUGCACAAAAUGGAACAGAGGAAAGACGCAGAGUUUAAGUUCAUUUCUGUAUCAAAAUGACUAGUUACUCUUCAAAGCUCUUUUUUUUUUUUUUUUUUUUUUUUUAUAAUCUGAAAAGCUACCUGGGGGAAGGACCUCUCAAAAAUUGUUCGGUAGUAGUAUGCUUCCUUUGUGGUUGGGGUAUUGUGGGGGAAGAUGUGUUCAGCAUUAAGCAUCAUCUUGUCGGUAACCUGAAUGCACAAUAGCCCACUAAAUUAACCACUAGACCUGGACAUAAACCAAUUUCAUACUGGACAAGCCAAAAGACAAGCGCACUACAUACGUGCAGCUCAGCAUGGGCUUUAAGGCCAUCAAUCCAACUAUAACCUACGCCAUCACUGAAUUGCUCUUUCUGCCUGUACAGAAUAUGCUGCAGUAGAUAAAAAUAGCCUAGGUGAGUGGGAGGUAAACAUUGGUGAGAAUCCACGGACAAAAUAUUGGAAAAUUGUAAACUUUAGACCUUGGGGAGAUAGGGGUGCUCCUCAUCAUCAAAAGCUCUCCUAAGAAUCCACUUCUCAAUACGCCCCUCCCCUGGUUUAAUCUGAAGUGGAAGGACAAAUUCAGAAAGGCAUUUAAUUAAAUUAAAACCAGUAUCCAAGAUGCUCAUUAUUUGUUGUCAUACCAUCUUCGACUCAGGGUCGAUGCUCAUGGCGACAUUAAUGAAUUCUUUGUCCAGGAAUGGAACACGAGCUUCUACACCCCAAGCAGAUGUUGCCUUGUUUGCCCUCAAGCAAUCAUACUGGUGAAGGGCCUUAAUCUGAACACAUGCAGAAGUGAACAAUUGCUUCUACUUUGCUUUGAUUCAAAACUUUAGGCAGCUGGCAAGCAAAUAUGUGGUCGUACCUUGCGACAUGUCUCUCGGUGGAACUCUUCCUUGUUUGGUGCUUUAUGAAAGUACAGAUAACCACCAAAUAUCUCAUCAGAGCCUUCACCAGAUAUGACCAUCUUAACUCCCAGAGACUUAAUCUUCCGCGACAUAAGGAACAUAGGCGUGCUUGCUCUGAUUGUGGUCACAUCAUAAGUCUCGAUGUGGUGAAUAACAUCUUCAAUUGCAUCGAUACCAUCCUUUACGGUGACAGGAAGCAUGUCAUCAAUUAAAGCAGGAAAUGAGGAUAAAUUGUUUCAUGAAGAGAAACAGACGGCAAAGUUGAGCGCGGGUCAAAAUGCAAUAUUUGUAUAAAUACCUGAACAGUGAAGUGAAAUUCAUGAUGUACAGUACCCAAAUAAUCAGAAACUUCUUUUGCAGCCUUCAAAUCUGGAGAUCCCUGUUUAAUAAAGCAAGAAUGAUUUUCGACCAUCAAGGACUAAAAGUAUUGAGAUUUUCCCUUAGUGGAAGUGCGGGAGCUGACCUCUAGACCAACACAGAAGGAAUGAAGCUGUGCUCCCCAUUGCUUGGCGGCCUUUGUACCAGCCAAGUAACGAGCAGUGAUAGCAGCGACCAAUGACGAAUCAAGCCCUCCAGACAGCAGAACCCCAAAAGGCACAUCAGUCAUCAAUCUUUUUAUCACGGCCUGCAUUCAUUUCCGUAGCAAGGGAUAUCAUGCUUGAUCGUUUUACGCGUUCAAGACAGUCCAUGAGGGAAAUUUUUCUGAUAUUACUUUGAUUAAGCAUGUACUUCUCAAACGAGGAACAAAUAUACUACAGUCAAAUCUUACAUUUUCAAAUGCACGCCUCAGAACGAGGGGCUCAUAAGGAGUUGAUGGAAUAGCCUCAGAAAACCACGGAGGAUUGUACCAUCUUCGGAGGCCACCAUUCUUGCUGGAAUACAAGUGCCCUGGUGGAAAGACCUCAAAAUGUUCGCAAUCAUCAUGCAAACCUUUCAAUUCUGAUGAAAUCCAAACAGAACCUGAAGACAAACAGAAAAAAAAAUCUCUCAUCUGUAUAAGUAAUUCCAAAAGUAGGCUAAUCUAUAGCUGAUAAUUCAUUCAAGAAGCUACCCAAACUUACCGUCAAGCCCCCAGCCAAUGUACAGGGAAGUGAUUCCAAUGGCAUCCCGGGCAACAAUAAAGCUGUUGUCACGGGUAUCCAGCAGAACAAAAGAAAACAUUCCAUCCAGCAUGUCCACAAAAUUUUCUCCAUGCUCUUCAUACUGACCGAAAAAAAAAAAAAAAAUUUUGAGUCAACGGUUUUAACAUCAGAAGGAAAACAACAAAACCAAAAUAUUGAUGCUUACAAGAUGUGCAAUAACAUCACAAUCGCUGCCAGUUCUGAACUUGUGAUUAGGCAAACUCUUCCGCAGCUGCUCGUGAUUGUAGAUCUCUCCAUUCACCUGAAUUUUUAUACACGUGACAUGCCCCCAGUGUUAAAUGAAUCUCUUAUGCUAAUUUCAAAACAAAAAAGAAAAAAGAAUAUAGAGAAUAAUUAAUCAGAAACCUGAAGCAAUUAACUCACAGUUACAACGAUCCUUUUGUCUUCAUUGAACAGAGGUUGAUCACCCGAGGCGGGAUCAAUGAUUGCUAGGCGCUGGUGAGCCAGAUAAAAGUCACCGUGCUGAUAUAAUCCACUCCAAUCAGGACCCCGAUGCUUCAGUCUGUUUUUAGUGUCACGAUUGCAGUUAAAAUUUCAAGGGUCCUCCAGGAAAUCAAAUGAAACUAAAUUUUCAUCUCGAUUAAUCCAUGAAGCGAGUUCUUCAUUAAAUUGACAGGACAGAAGGUAAAAUACUAAUCAUGAUUUGGGAUUUUAUUUAAGAGAAUUGGAGCCCGGAUGGAUGCUAGAUACUUCAGGUAAAGCGUACAAGAAAAAUAACCACGCUCGCUGAUUAGUCACACGACAACCAAAUGCAACAACGAAACAGACAAAAGGCUAGCGGAUGGUUCGAGCAAAUAAAUAAAGUUAGGUCCCACGUUGGAAAAUUAUAAAAGAUUAACCAAUCAUAAUGAACUAGGAGCACCCUGUGUCUGGUUUUCACAUCCCCAGUUGACGGGGUCGGAGAUUCCCAUGAUUACGACGUCUCCUCCAUUUACAUCCGCAGUUAAGGUCAGUCUAACAUCGCUCAGUAGUCGCACGCAUUUUUAUGAUCAACUCAGUAUUAAAAUUUAAAACACGAUACCGUUGAAAGGAAAACUGUGACACAUAAAAGCUUAACGUCAAAAUUAAAGGGGGGAAAUAAAAAAAAAAAAAAAAAGAGGAUAAAGAAUUGCCUGCGAGAGAGCUCGAGGACGCGAACCCUUUUGGCCUGAGAAUCAUCAGAACAACCCAAAACUGCUAAUAUUCCGCACAUGAUUUUUAGUGAUCUAUUGCAGUCCUCUUUUUUUUUAUAUAUAUUUUUUCCCUGUUUCUGUUUAUUUGCUGAGUUUUAGUGGAAGGAUAAGUCUAUAACCAGGACUAGCUGAAAAUUAAAAGUUGAACUGGCAAUAUAGAUAGAUGGAUGGGUGCAGGGGAUAGAUUCUGAGGGUGGAUAACGUCAGGAAAUUGGAUAAAAAUACAAAAAGUAGUAGUGUUAAAAGAAAGAAAGAAAGAAAGAUGAAAAAGGAGAGAUAUUUAGGGAGGUGUAACGUGAAACGAGCAGAGAAAGUUUAUGAAGUGAGAAUGGCGGAGAGGGAAAAAUGAGUUUUAACUUUAAACUUGGAACGAGUUUUCUGUGAAGAACCCCCGUUAGAAUAGCGUACGUAUUUAUAGCAGUCUGGAGGCUCAAGUUGACGAUCGCAGAUAGAUAAAUAAAUAUUUAAUUUUUUUUUAAGAAAUAAAAAAAUAAAAAAAAACGUAUGCGGCGACGUUUCAUCGCUAGUCUCUAACAGAUGUAGAAUCUCAAAAGCUCGAGCACCUCGGGUAUAUUCCGGGACCACGCUGAUCUCGCCACGUGCAUUGUCAUCCUUCGUCGACGAUGUCCCUUUCCUUCUUCUUCUUUUUUUUCAUUUCCUUCUUUUUUGUGUUUUUUAAGUUUGAGGGAAGGGUUUAUCCGCUUAGAAUUCUACGGAUCGCUGAGUCAGCAACAAUUAUUUUGUUACUUUCUCCCGCUAGAAAUCAGAAAUGCACUGCGCCAUUAAUCAAUAAUCUAUCUGUAUCAGUAUUAGCCAUUGGGUUAAGACAGGCCAAAAGUCUUGUGCAAAUUAUACGGUGAUCUUCUUCGAACGGAGGGCGGGUUUACGUGGCGACAAGGAAGACUUUGGGAGUCUAAAACAAGGCAAAGGUUUUCAUUGGCUAGUUGGGGGCUUGUCAAUGCUGUCAUGUGCAUCGCGUAUAAUCCAAAGUCCAGCGAUGAAUUUGCAAUGGUGGCAUCCGAUUAAUUACCAAAGCCCCAAGAUUAAAAUUUUAAAAAAAAAAAAAAAAAGUGGCCAUUGAUGGUACACCCACUUUGAAAACAAAUUUUUUUUUUGUUCGGAACUUUGAAAACAUUUUUAAGUCUUCAUUUUGCCUGUUCCUUGUUAGUGUCUUUCUUAUGUCACUUGGUUAUAUCUUCUGCCACAAUGAUCGAAAUGACAUCGAAGCACUUGUGUAGCAAUGGAUGACGAAAACAUAGCACUAACCUUUGUGUUUUGCAUUGAGCAUUUGUUGCCUCCAAUUGAGCUACUUAUUGGCGUCCGUCUAGAUUUCCAACAGCCGUUCUCUUUUCAAUACCUUAUUCGUUUUGGUGAUUCCCAAGCGUUAAUCUUUGUUGUUCUCUUCUCCAUCUUAAAAUUGUCUAGUCCAUUACUGGGGUGCCAUUUGAAUAGAGUUAAAAUCGAAUAGUGUACUUCUCUGAAUUUGAACUCGAUCUCGUUAAGCUUUCAGAAGUCGAGUUCGACUUCAAUUUACAUUCCUCGAGUUUGAGUUCAAUCAAUGUGUUAAUAGAGUAUAAUUGAGUUCACCUAAUAAACAUCAAUAUUUUGCAUAUAAUUCAAACAAAAUAUGUAAUCAACACUCCCAAUUCUCAACAAUAAACAUAAAAGAUUAUAUAUAUAUAUAUAUGGGUUUAGAAAUAUAAUACUCGACCUCGGUUCAUAAGUAUUUUUGAGUAGUUCAGAUUCGACUCGAACUCGGUAAAUAUCUAGUUCGAGUCAAGUAAUUGAUGGAGCUACUUGCAAGUUCGAGUCAAGUAGUUCGGUCAACUUGUAGUCCUAAACCAGUCUAUAUACUACAGAGUGUGAUCUCGAUCAAUAUGAUUGACAAGUGGAAUGCUUUUAUGAAAAGAAAAAAUGGUUGAAUUUCCGUGAGCAAAAUAGGAAUGCGAGACACCUUACGAACCGCUCUUUAGCAACUAAUUUGUGUAAAUCGAGGGUUAUUUUAUCUCUUUAUCUGUAUAUCUUAACUUAAGUAGUUGUACUACUUGAUUUUUAAACGCCUUCGCAUGGCAGAUGCAGUGAUUUGAACAAUCCUUUCCGGGAAUUCCAACUAGAAGAAAAUAUUUCAGCAUCAAUCUUUCUCUUUUGUAUCACUUUGUCUACUUUCUUAAAUCUACGACAAGUAGUAGGCGACAUUUGCCAAUUGCCAUGAAAAGUACGGUAACGUACAUCAUUCGCUAAUCCGGUGAAAAUGCCAGAUGAUACACUACUAUUUCAACCGGUAAAGGAACCAUUCUGAUUCUGCAAGGAGAAUCACAUCAUACUCUUGUGCCUUCUUCGUUUCUAGAUUUCUGUUGCGUCACCGUAAUAUAGGCUCGAAACCCUAUCAAAGUCGCCUUCUAAACGUUAUUUUCUAUUAAGCUCAUAACAUUAUUGUUAUUAACUCAUUAAUUCGCACCGCAAAAGAGAGAGGGGGAAAAUAAAAUUUGUAAAAUGUCUCUUUCUAAUAAUGGAAAACGCACUAAAAUCAGAUGCAGGCAGUUGGUUCCUCUUGGCUCUUUAAUAGUGCAAAUGCAUGUAGUUAUUACUGACGUAUGCUAGUCAUUUGUGAUCCAAAUUCAUUGAUCCGGUUUUGGCAUCCAUAAUGGUUUCUUUUUCUUCUUCUUUUUUUUUUUUUUUCCUUUUAAGAAUGAUAAGAAUGAAGAAAGGAGGAGGAAUUGGGCAGUCAAAAUUGAAAUCUCAAUGUAAAACGAGAAAAUAGGCUCCCUUGGUUGGUUGGUCGGCCAGGGGCAACAACAGUGAUCACCAAAAGUUUUCAGAAUUCAUCGAAGUCUUGCUAUCAUUUCCUUCAAUAGCCAGUAGCCACGGCACAUAAUUUUUGGGAACAUCAUAAUAGUUCCAUUUUCCAAGUUUACUGUCCCUACCAGAACUUUUAUGACGUGAGCGUCUUCAUAUCUGAUAAUAGAGGCCAGCUAGUUUAUUGUGUAAAUUACUGCAUAAUUGCCAAGAUUCUUUUGUCUCUUUCUUAGGCUAGGAAUAGAAUAUCAUGCCAAAGAAUAUUCAAAUACGUGCAUAUCCGUCGCCGAUUCUAUUGAAAUACAUAACACAGAUAAUAUAAUAGUUUAAGGAUUAAAAAAUAUAUAUAUUGCUGUCAUCCCCGUAUGUACACCAAAAAGAAACGGCAAAAGGCUUACACCUGCAGCGACACUUGCGUCCUUCGUUUAUUAAUCUUUUGGAGUAGAAACUCUUAAACAUAACAAUAAAAGGAAAAAAGGUAUAAUCUUUUUAAAAUAUUAGUUCAGAUGGACUGGCCUUGUGCAUAAUUGAUUGGAUGAAUCCUGCCUCAGCAACUAUGCAUGCCUUCUUGCUCCUCCAGUCCCGUGUCCAUCCAACCCAAUUGCUUUUCUAGAUAAAAUUAUUGCAGAGCUUCCUUUUCUUUUUUUUUUUGGGCGCCGGGGGUAUAAAGGUUUUACAAAUCAUUCAUUAACGGAAUUCUCAUAUAGACAAUCGGAUUCGACUACGUCAAUGGAGUUCUCACAUCGACAGUCGGAUUCGACCACAUCAACGGAGUUCUCACAUCAACAGUCGGAUUUGAACAUACCAAUUUUUAUAAUAAAAAAAAAUAAUUCGUAUUUACCACUUGAGCGAUUGAGUUGACUUAUAUUAACAAUUAUCGUAGAAUUUAAAUCGUGACAAACAAGUUCUAUCAUCACAUACAUACAAGGCCAUUUUCUAUUACGUGUCUUUAAGCCACAAAAUAAAAAGAGGGGAUGGAUUCACAAUAAAAGUUAAUUUCAUAUACCUUAUCAAGGUUGAAUAUAUGAUGCGUAUGUAAAAUUUGAAAUUCAAAUGUCAAUUUAAAUUAAUUAUCAUAUGUUUAACGAUGUCAAUACUAAGCAUAUACAGUUUGAUACACCAACAUGGAGGUCGAACACAAAAUACCCCUAGAAAAGUCAAAUUAUAAAAUGUCAUGCGUUGAUCCCUUUGACCGAGUUAGAGCUGCAAAAUCUGAAGCUCGUAACAUCUAUAUUCCCGUGUCCAUCCAUUCUCGGCUAGAGCGGUUAGUGUUUUGAAUGCGGGAGGCAUGACAUAUAAUACCAAACAAGCAAAGGAUUUCAUGUCGUAAAACCUCAAAAUUGCAUGCAAGCUAAAAUCAACCUAAAAAGUAAAAAAACUAAAAAGAGUAGGCCUUAUCCAGAUCCAAACUGGUUGGAUUGGACGGAUCAAUGUCGGACACCUGUCUUCCGCCUGCAGCACAAAAACAAAAUACACGGGCACAUCUCCGUCCCACAAGGACCAAUGGCUUAACACGACAGCAUAGAUAUCCACUCACGUUUCAAGUAAGAGGGAACAACGUGACAUUAACGAUACUCAUUGGAUUUUUUAUUUUUUUUUGGGUUUGAAUGAAAUUGUUCACCUGUGACGAUCGAGAGAGGCUGGACGCGAUAAUUGCACUGAUGCUCAUCUUUUCUUGUCUGUGGAAAAACCGUUCUUCUUUAACCUAUUGUAUUCAUGCCUAUCUUCAUCAAAUGUGGGAGUUGACGACGGUACACAUUCAUUCAAAGUCCGGACGUGGAAGGAUAGAAAACGUUUUAUCACCAAGGUCCGUUAAAGCUGGGGCUUGGCUGUGAAGGACAAGUGUUGCAACAUGAAUGGGCAGUACACCGGGGCUUGCUUCCUUCAAUUGUCGGACACCGCUGAUUAUUAAUCACAUCAAGCACCUAUCACAGAAGGAAACGAAAAGGAGAAGGAGAGAAGACUUUUUUAAGUUACUGUGGGGGUUAGAUUUAUUUGUAAAAAUAUUCUUACUUUCUGUAUGAAAAUGUAAGGAAAUAAAAAAAAAAAAAAAGGAGAAGGAGAGAAGGCAAGUCAAAGCUCUUGUGACAUGAAGUUUAGUUUAAUACUACUAACUACUACGUACUACUACAAGCUACAAUCACAUUACUUAAGACUUUGUUUACAGUCCGGCAUAUUUUAAGAAUUGUCUUGAAAACAUCUCCUCUUAAUUUGUGUUGGGGUAUGCAAGCAAAAGGCUCAAUUAGUUAUGCAAUCGCUGUCUAAUUUAUAGAUUGUUAACAAUUGAUGCGGCGAUUUUGAACGGUUGAACGAGUGUAAUAACAUCUUUGGCUGGCUCAUAUUAAUAGAGAGGACCACAAAGCUCUGUCUCCUUUUCAUUCUGUCUCGUUUCGUUUUAAAUAUGAAAUUGAUGAGAAGGGACCAUACCCAACAUUUCAUUUCAACGCUCUUUGGCGAGCGUUUUAGGUGACAUUCAAAUUUAUGCACCGUGCGUGUAGUUAUCUUAAGACAUAUACUAAUACUCUACUCACAUGAUCAUUUGCUGUUAAACUAUUUUAUUAUUAUUAUUAUUAUUAUUAUUAUUAUUGAGAGGGGUUAAGCAGUUACAUUCAUGAAAGCAAAUUUCUUACGGCGUCCCUUCGAGUUUAUGCGCCCGAGUGAUGUCUGUAUGGACACCAUGGUUUCAGCAUGGGAUGACUGACUCUCCUAAAAUAAUCAAUAAUUAAUCCACUUGUUGGUUGUAAACCCAAAAUAACUGCUGCAGUCCACAUGCUGUGGGUCGCGGUGGCGUGCGGCGACACGGUUAAGUUGCGUGCAAAAGUCCAGACCGUAACAUUAAAUUAAAGCCAUUUGUUUUCCUGAAUAUGGAUAGAAUCACCUCCUUUUGUGGGGCAUUAGAUAAGACCUUGAGAUGUUGAUGUGAAAUCCUACCCCACCCCACUCGUUAACUUUUAGUUCAGGAAUCUCCUUGCUACUGCUACGACCCGGCUCUGCAAAUAUCAAAAAAAUGGUGCAAGAAUUGAAAGAAUGGACAUGGCCCCUCGGGCGCAGAUCGACUGGCUAUGAGAUAACUUUAUUAGGUCUCAGGUCAUGUGGUUGAUUCUGGCUCUUCUACCGUCUCGUGUAUUCUUCAGGAAGGACACUCCCUGUGUUGACAAAAAAUAAAAUAAAAUUGAAAGAAUGGACAUGCGAGCUACGCCACAGUUGGAGAGAAGGGAAUAAAUGCCCAGACUUCAUAAGCAGAAAUGGGGGUGGAAGAACCUCCGGAAGCAAUCAGAAAAGCUGCUCAGGGGUGACUGAACCCCAACUUGCUUUGUGUAAUUCUUUUUUUUUUUUUUUUUUUUGGGGUCAUGGGAUGCUGAGGAAGUGUGAGAUCAGUCCAAUCAGACUUCUCAUGAGACGUUUGUUUGUGGUAAGUUCACUCUCAUGGGACUGUUUGAAUCAGACGUCUCACGCUUGGGACGGUUCGUUUGUGAUAAGUAAUUCGUUGAUGAAUAGGACAAAUUGUUUCGUGCGGAUUGAAAGGGGAGAAGCCUGAAUUGAUUCUUCUUAAUUGGAAGGUCUCUAACGUCUUUCAUAGUAGGUUUUUUUAAGGCAACUGUAGUAGAAAAGAGGCUACUCGAAUAUUCGAGCACCACCGACGGUUCUUAUCAAUUCUCGGUAUUAAUCCAAACGGGCUCUAAGAUUUUCUUUUGCAAGUUUAGAGUCAAAGAAUUCUACGGGACAACGAAAGAAGAAGCCGUGGAAUAUUCUGCCGUAUUAUUCCAUCCUUUGCAUAUCUCUAAAUGGCGUCAUCUAUGAAUCUACUCCGCUUUUGAGUCAGAGUUCAAAUCCUGCCUAUUCAUCCGUAUGUGGAUGGCUUAAUUGGGCUUGAUUAUUUGUCACUUUUUUGGGCCACAAUAGCUUAUGACUAAAAAUUAAUGGGUUCAUGAUAGGCCGCGCCUGUCUAUUCUCGCCUUGGCAAUUGGUGCAUUACGUUAUUUUAAGAAAGGCAAAGAAAAAUGGUCUCUUUCUUUCGUUUUAGAUUCAACAUUAACUUGACGUUGAACACAUAGGUUUUGCAGAAUUUGAUAUUUGCCUAGGGGCCAAGCCACUGUAAGCUGACGCCAUAGUGCCACUCUCCGUUCUAAAUUGAUAGGUAUCUCUCGUUCAAGUUAAUGCUUAACUGUACAUUCUAAUCCCUUCGUCCCAUUGAAAAUGUCAUUUUUUUCAUUUUAGAAUAUUCCAAAUCAUUUGUCAUGUUAGAAAAGUUAAAACAUCUUUUAGCCUCUCUUUGCAAUAUAACCAUUCUUUUUAAUCAUAUACAUGUUAUCAUUUAAAUUUAAAUUUUAAAUUUUUGAGCGUAAAAUAAAAAAGAGAAGCACAAACAUCACAAUCAAAUCACUAUUAUUAAAAAAUUGGAUUCCCGAAACAUGACUAAAUAAUUGUGACGGAGGAAGUACUAGUUUAAACAAAAGAACCCGAAUCAUAUGUACUUAUAUUUUAUGUCCUCAGAUUAAGUCAAGACGGAGCAUCGGACCUCAAAGUGUAAUUGAUACCACUAUCUUUUUAGUGGAAUGAGCGUUGGUGUUUCGCCUGUCCAAGCCCACUUUGAUCUGUUCCUGAUGUGCCACCACUUUGAUAACUGGCCUGCUUUGUGUACCUUUGGUGUUUUAACAAACGUUUGAGUCCAUUUUGCUUUUGCCUAUCAUACAAUCCUAAAACAAGAAAGAUUACUAUCUUUGUAACGGGUUUAAGCCAUCUUAAGGACAAGAAAGAAGACCCAACAAGUUCUGCAAAACCUAAUUCAUUGUACUAAUCCUUGCAACUUAAUUCGUAUGGUACCACGUCUCUGAUAAUAUCAAGCAACAAGAAUGAUCAGCUAUAUAACUACAGUCCUCCCCUGAUGAGUGUUUUAUUUCUUUUCCCCCUUUCGUUACGGCUACUAGGUGCUAACCAUGUAUCCAACACUAUUCCUAAAUUCUCUAUCACUACUAAAUUCAAAGCAAUGUAUGAUUCCAAAAUUUCCACGAACACAAUACUAAUUUGAUUAGUAGUAUUUGCACGAAGAAUAGUAGAUCUAGAAAGAUGGCUGGACGUGUAAGAGCGGUAGAAUUCUAACACUUAACUAACUCAGACCCGGUUUAAUAACUCAGUUCAGCAUAUAAAUUUAAUGGAUUCAGAUCUUAAUAUAUUCAGACCGUUUGAUAAUCAAAAAUUGAACAUCUAAAUUAAUUAAGUGACACUAAAUUUUCUAGACAAAAUUUGCUCUCAAAAUUAAGUGAUAAGAUAUUCACUUAUCACUGAAUAUAACAUACACUCAGAUGUAUUAGAUUUAAUACUUAACAAUUCAUUAAUUUAAUGGAUUCAAAUUUCAAAUUUUAAUUUUAUUAAACGCACCCUUACAAUUCUAACACUUACUGACUCCCAUAUAUAUAUGUGUAUGUAUGUAUCAAUUAUAUUUAAAAAAAAAAACAAAACAAAUCUGUGUUCCCUUUAACAAACUAUUUCCUUAAUUUUUAUUUAUUAGUGAAAAUAGUGAUUUCAUUUUUAAAUGAUUAAAAUUAAUAUAGUAUAGUCUAAGGGCCCAAAACACUUACUUCACAAACCAGCAAUGAAUUAAACUUAAUUUGAAGGCAUGAUACUGAAAACGAACGGUAGAAUAUCCCUCGAUUAUGUAGGUUCGAUAAUCAGCCUUACAAAUGGAUUAAUUGCAGGCAAUGCAUCUAUUCCACUCAAACACGUUCUUAAUAUAGAAAUCAAUAGUAAUAGCGAGUAACAAAAAAUCAACACAUAAUGAUGUCGUUGGCGAAGUUAAGAGGACACGAAACGCGGUUUUGAAGAUUGGACGAGUUAGGGUUUGAUGUUAGUGGGGCUGUUAAGAAAAAAGAAUGAUGAGUAGGUAGAGGGGGCUCUGAUUGUGCUAUCAUUUUCUAAUGAUGUCAGUGUGUGUAACGGUCACCACCUCAGCCUUCAGCAUUCCAUCCAUCUGGCAACGGUAGAUUCCCAAGCAGCUUCUGCUGCUACUGUUGAGUUGCAGACGCGACUCGUACUUAUUGGCUGCCCGGUGAGAAAAGCAGAAAAUAAUCACGGCAAGACUUGAAAAUCUCGGCUCUUGAAUUGAACUUGUAUCCAACAAGCCUCCAUUUUCUUCAACGCAUCGAGCACUCUUUUACUGGGUUUCAAACACGCAUUACCGCAGCUUUUUUCUUUCUUUCUUUUUCAAACGGCAUUGCUGGAGCUGGGAUGUUCAUAUUUUUUACAAGUUUUUUUCCAAUUUACACACUUGUUGAAAGAUCAAGAGGGGGCCCCUUUUGCUUUCAUGACACCAAACAUAUCUGAUAUUCCAACAAUUUGCAAACGAAGAUCCACGUGGCAUAUAAUGUAGGAGUAUUUAUGGUUGUCAAGUUGGAUUUGCCCCAAAUUUUUAAUAUUGACGAAGACUACUUCAAAUGUUUAAUAAUGCAUUUAACUAAAAAAAAUAAAUUAAAAAAAAAAAGAAAAAAGCCUGGGCUGUGCUAGAAUGAAGAAGUAUCAUGGCCAGAACCAGUUCACUUUGGUCAAAACUACAAGGAAUAUAAAAUCAGGAAUUCAGGCUUCCUGUCUUCAAACGCGGCAUGGGCCAUGGACUUUACUUUGACUCCAAAGAAGAAAAGACAACACGAAAAGAAAAGCCCACAACAAUAGGCUCUCAUAUAAAUACCACCACCAUUUCCUUCACUCUCCCUCUUUUUAUCCAGGAGUCAAACAACCAAAGCAGCCUACAGCAGAAAACAACAACGACCAAUCAGACCAUACCGCAAAACCACAUCAUAGAUUCGAACGUUGGAAGGAAAACAAAAAGAAUAUGUCUUGCACCGUUGCUCUUUCAAACUCACCCGUUUUCUCCCCAUCCGGUCGGGUUUCAUCUUCUCUAUUCUGCAAAACCUCUUCUGCUGCUGCUCCAUCGGCGGAAACUAUCAAAAACCCAUCAUCAACUUCCCCAUCAUCGCCUUUGCGAAUACUCCGCCUGCAGAAGCCGCACCCGAGUCCAAGCGGGCUAAUUGUGAAUUCUUCGGAUUUUUCGGCUUCCGGUUCGCCUUCGCCCUCGAUUUUGAAGAGGAAGAGGCCCGCGAGGUUGGAUAUCCCUAUAGUUUCAAUGGGUUUUGGGAAUGUUCCGCCAACCCCAUCCGCGGCAGCGGGGCGGGAUACGGAUGUUGUGGAAGUGGAAGGGGAUGGAUACGUGGUGUAUUGUAAGAAGGGGAAGAGAGAAGCCAUGGAGGAUCGUUUCUCAGCUGCAAUCAAUCUUCAAGGAGAUUCCAAACAGGUACUGCUACUUAAUUUUUUGCGAGUUUUAACUGUUUUUGGUUCUGCUCGUGGGACUUUCUUUUUUUUUUUUUUUUAUGCUAAAACUAGCUGAGUUUCUUAUUACCACUUAACUUUAUUUUGUUUACCUAAAUGAUGGGAUUUUAGGAUUAUGGGAUGAGGAAAUAGCAGGAGCGUGAUUACAUCUUAGUUAAGUAGACUUUAAUUAAUGGCAUUACAAAUUUUGUUACAAAAGUGUUUGAUUUUAAACUAUAUACUCUGGAUAGAUAAUCUUCGUACCUUAAGACUUUAGUGGAUGGAUAUCCAGCAUCUGAUGUUCGUACCUUAGGACUCUCACAAUUUGUAUUUGUUGAUAUUUGGAGAGAUUAAUUUGGUUCUCUAUGCUUAAAGAAUUCCAUGACAUUGGAUUUGUAGGCUUGUUUUGGGAUAUUUGACGGGCAUGGAGGUGCAAAAGCUGCUGAGUUUGCAGCAGAGAACUUGCAAAAGAACAUUAUGGAUGAAAUUGAUAAGCGUGGAGAUGCUGAAAUUGAGGAGGCAGUUAAGAAUGGUUAUUUGAGAACUGAUGAUGAGUUUCUAAAGGAAGAUGUUUGGGGUGGAACAUGCUCGGUGACAGCACUGAUCAGGAAAGGGAAUUUAGUGAUAUCAAAUGCUGGUGAUUGUCGUGCUGUGCUGAGCAGAAAAGGCAUUGCUGAGGCUCUUACUUCUGAUCACCGGCCUUCAAGGGAAGAUGAGAGAGACAGAAUCGAGGCUCUGGUAACCAAUCAACUUCGCGCUUUAUUGUAUUUGUUGAUAACUUCUCGACCUUGAUCAGUUUAUUGUCAAAUUCAGAUGGCUAAUGAUCUUAUGUCAUGGUGCAAUUUUGCAGGGUGGCUAUGUGGAUUGUAAGCAUGGUGUUUGGAGAAUUCAUGGGUCGCUAUCUGUGUCUAGAGGUAUUGGUGAUCAGUACCUUAAACAAUGGGUUAUCGCAGAACCAGAGACGAGAAUCCUCAGUGUAAAACCUGAGUUGGAAUUCUUGAUCCUUGCGUCUGAUGGAUUAUGGGACAAGGUAAAACUAGUUACUUAGCAUUAUGAGAACUCUCUUCGUUGCGCAAUAGUGUUGGUAUUCGUUAAAGCAUUUUGUGUCAAAUAAAAUGAGUCUUUCUCCUUAUUUUGGCAGGUUAGUAAUCAGGAGGCAGUAGACCUUGCCCGCCCUCUGUGCAUUGACAUAGAAAAGCCAGAGCCAUUAUCAGCUUGUAGAAAACUUGUUGACCUUUCCAUUUCACGAGGUUCUGCUGAUGAUAUUAGUGUCAUGCUAAUUCAGUUGGAGCAAUUUCACUGACGAGGACCCCUAUGGUAGAAUGAGAAAUAAUCUAACAAAUUGACCAAUGGAAUUCAUCCUCUGAUUCUUAUUAUUUAUUUCUUGCUGGGGUUGCUGCUGUUUACCGGGUAGUAAUGUUUGCUUAGACUUUAGAGAAUAAAGAAAAUUAAUCUAUGAUGAUGAUAAGAUUUGACGGGAAGAGCCCAAUUUCGAGGCUUUUUUUUAUCCAAUUUUUUUGUUCCGUAUAUUAGACACUGUUAGAACACACUUCACAUGACUGAUGACUUUGAUAUGUACAUGAAAUUUAUUGAGUACAGCUUCAUGUAAAAAUGAUGAAAGAAUCAUAUCAUGCACGCUGAGUUUGUCUUUUAUUAUUCUUUUAUACCAAUUUUCUUCUUCCCUGCCUUUGCUGGUGAUCAUGGGCGAGUGUCGAGAUCAAUUAUGGUCAGGGUAACUGUUUAUCUUUCGACUAAGAAACAUGUUUCAUUUUCUUCACGCGUGAAAGUUCUGGCUAAAGCCUAGAAUUUACAAUUCUGAAUGAUCUCUUACAUUUUAGUGUGAUGGUUGAACAUGAAAAGCACAACUUGAUUCCUCCAAGGGAGAUCAUUCCCAGUUUUAGACUCUAUAUUAAUCGCUUGUUGCGUGCAACAAACUGCCUGCUAGGAUUAGAAAAGCCGUUGUUUUGUUUCUGAAGAUGAGGGAGGAGAGUUUGAGAUGGGAAAAGUGGGUGCUUCGACAAUGGUAUUCACAAGGUGAAACCCGGAUUCAUUAGAAACCAUAUUUCAGUGUAACCAAGUUGAAAUGUGAUCAAAAUGUAAAAAUUAUACCAACUCUGUGAUUAGAAUUUUGCCCAGCAGACUAAAAUGUAGUAGUAGUUAGAGGAAUUUAAAAAGUUACUGUAAAAGCACUAUGUAUGAAUUCUAUAUACAUAUGAAACGAAUAAUCAUGCAAAAAAAUAGAACGUUAAUUGAGCCGGAGUUAAUGGGGAUUGACUCCUGGGAAAACAACACGACGGAUGCGUUAAUUUGAUUGCAGUUAUUCUGCUUCUUGGUCCUCCGUAACCUUUUCAAAUAGGGCAAAUUACACUUUACCCCUCUGUAGUUAAGUAUUUUUUACAUAACCCCCUAUGAUUUCAAAAGUUAUACAUAAUCCUCUCAUAGUUUGAAUUAAAACAUCAAAAUAACGGAAUUUGCAAUUCAUAAUAAAGCCAACUAAAAUGUCAAAAAUACCUCUGUGUAAAGUUGAAAAUUAUUUAUUAACUACAAAGAGGUUAUGUCUAUAUAUUAAAAAUCACAAGGAAGUUAUAUGAUAAAAUAUUAAACCAUAAGAGAGAGAUAUAUAUAUGGUAAAAAUAUAAAAUCAUAUCGGAUUAGAGUGCCAUGCAUAUUUCAAACUAUGAAUGGGUUAUAUUUAGCUUUUAAAACUAUAGAGAGAUUAUGUGAAAAUUGGCUAUACUACAAGGGGGUAAAGUGUAAUUUGGCCUUUCAAGUAAAGCGUGCAAGACUUAACUAUUUGUCUUGAUUUCUGGCCUUUUGGGCUCUUCGAUGUCUAGAAUCUAGAUCCGCAGUUGACCCGGUGAAGUUCUCGAUAGUCUAUGAUGCUACUUUUUGACAUCCAAUUCGAUUUUCAUUCAUGGCUAGCUAAUUAACAGCCAGAGGGACCAUACGGUGCACGUCAGAAAGGAAAAUUUUCUUAUUUCAUUCACUGUAAGAUGUCUUAAUUUGUAGAAUAUUCGGACAGCCAACCGUUUCAAUACUGAAAUACAAUUCAAGCAUCGAGGUGCUGGAUUUUGAGCAUGACCAACCAAGAAACUUACACCAAACGCGCUCUACUUUCUGCCUAUAAAGUCUGAUUUAUUAAUAUUGCACUUGCAACUGUUACAGGUAAGAGUCCUGUGAAUUAUCCCAUACAUCUCUUCUAAAAGUGGAAAUACAAGCUGUAUUAGUACCCUCUUUUUCUUUUUUCUUUUUUGGGGGUGGCGGUGUUGAUGGGGGAUAGGGUUUAUCCGCGUACUGACAAGAUAAAGAUGGAUCUUGAGUCACUUCACAAAAAUUCAACGCGUUAUGAAAAUAGCAAACACUACUGAAUUUGUCGAUUGAGUUGAAUACCGAAAAACGUCCUAUGUAUGUGUGUUGGUUGGUUCAAGCUUCUAGUAACAUUUUGUGCGUAAAUGUCCUGUAUUGGCAUGGCAUACCAAGUGGAAAAAGGCUACGGUCUUUCAAAGAAGAUUACCGAUCCUAAUUAAUUAGUCAGGACGGCCAUUUUGGAGGCUGUGUACAUGAGAACAGAUAUAUAAGUUGCAGUAUCCAUGUUGAUGUGGUGGUAUCAUAUCACGGGUCGAAUUGUUCAACAUAUGACGUGAUAUGCUGUCUGGUGCAACUCACAAGUUGUGCCUGUACCUAAGAAUUUGACAUGACCAUGAUUUGGUGCCUAUGAUUUCCCCACAUCGCACGUUGUUUAUACUUGCACUCUUGUGGUGUAAUUUGUUUGGAUAUUCUUGGCAGGGACAACUUGGGCUUCUGAUGCCCUUUUGGUGGAUUAUUAAUGUGUCCGCCUAUAUCACCAAACGAAAUUUCAAGCUCAAAAAAGAGAACAGACCAGAAAUAUGAUGGUUAAAAAAAAAAAAGGAAGCAAGAGAAAACGCAGAGAGAAAGAAGAGACUCUGAGUGCAAGGUAAAGUAAUGUCGCAAUUAGAAGAGCCAAAGAUAAAGAUGAAAGCAUAAUUUAAGGAAACCAUGUGAAAACAAGUUACUGUAAUUCUUAUGAAUCCCGCGGAUUAUCAGGAACAAGUCUUCUUGCAUUUCUCGACCUUUUUGUCGAGUUAAAUUCAUCAGACUUGUUAAAUUCUGCCUUCAGGGACCGUUGCAUCAUUAGCAAAAGGGAUUGCGAGACAACUUCUUGAUUAUUUUUGUGGACAACUUACAAGUCGAGUUUCCUUUUAAUAAGAUAAAAUUGUGUUUAAAAAAAAAAAAAAAAGACCACAUGCACGAUGUAACCACCUUCCGACUUUAAACAAAUUUGAGUAAUCAUGACACAAUGCAUAGAUAUAAAACACCAAAAAUGUAUGAUUAUUAGAGAGUAGGGAGUGGUCUGCUUCUGCUUAAUAUUCGGGGGACGCUUUGAUCACGAAGAUUUAGACAUGUCGGACGAUCUCAUGGUUUGUGUACUUCGUGCUGUCUAGCCCUCUUGCGACACGACACUGGUGCCCUCCUAACGAAAGCCUCAAGUUGCCCACUAAACUCCAGAUUUCAGUCAUGACCCAAACAAAUAUGCUGUUAAUUACCUUAACAUGAGAUUGUCUGCUGAUAGACUGCUUGCUUUGCUGCCCUGUGAAUUUUGAUAGGCGGAUGAAUUAAUAAUUUAUUUGAUGAAAACAUUUUGAGAUACUGCUAUUUCUUUAGUGCAUGUAUACGGUUGGAGAUUGUCAACCCUUCUUGUCAACAAGAAAACACCACAAGAAUCACCACCUCCUAUAGGAAUGCAGCACUUGUAAUAUUUCGUGUCGUUGGUGUUCUACAAAAACACUAACACAAAUUGUGGUAUUUUUGUAGGUAGUGACUUCUAAAGAUAAGUAGUAAUUAGAUAAAAAAAAAAAGUUAGUCAUUCGGGCGAAUAUUUUGUUACGUUCGUUAACAGCGUCAAAAAGAUUAGUCCAUUCAAUCACAAAAUGACCUGUUUUUGAACUUGAAAUCUUUUUAUCUUACCCAAAAAAAAAAAAACAGAAAAAACUUGAAACUUCAGUUGGCUAACUUGUGUAAUGAGUAACUUCAACUAGCUAGGUGCAUGGGGAGCGAAAGCUGGUUAUUGCAUGCUGUUUAAAGCAUAUUAUAUUAUUACUACGAUGAUGUUUCCAAGUGCGGUGUAUAUACGCUUCUAGCUAGACUUGAGACUUUACUACUUCAGUUUUAAAUUUUGCUUGGGAAAGGCUUUUGUUGAAGUAUCUCGACUCUCUCGAGUUAGAUAUAAGCUUAUUUAUAUAUAUAUAUAUAUAUAUAUAUAUAAAUUUUGUGAAGCAGGAGUCAGCAUGGUUGUGGGCUGUAUAUAAUAUCCCAACUGACCUGGACCACCCACAUAGAAUUUGACCACAAAUUCUGCAGUUCUUCAUUUCUAUUUUCUGGACAUUCACCAAAUUUCGCUUUUCUGUUUUCCCCUUUUGUGCACUGAAAUAUGUGGCCCGCAUUCAUGAUUUCAUGCCAGCCGACCUUUUCCGGCACAGCAAGGCAUCGUUCCUCGUUAUCCAGUGUAGAACCCAAUUCCGGUGUCUUUAUCACUUGUCAGGAUUCAAAGGAUAGCUCUGUUUUUUUUUAAAAAAAAAUUAUUAUUAUUAUUUUGGGCUCCUUUAUAACUAGUGUUCCAUAAACGAGUUUGGAGGACAGAGUCCAUGUCGUUUCUCUUUUUUGCUAUAAUGUGACCGCCAGCAUGAGCAAGGUUGGGGAGCGGAGGGACAUCGUACUAAAGGCAUACAAUUUAAAAAGAUUCAACAAUCAUUAAAAUUGUCCCCAAAAAAGAAGUUAUUAAUUCUGGACAUUGACAUUCUAUUGCCUGAUGAUAUUGCCAUAGUCAUAAUUUUUUAUUUUCAUCACAAUUUCAAAUUAGAAUAGCUAAAAUAUCCCUUCAUCAGGCAAAAACAAGCGGGGAGUGCUAAUGAGAAAUUUUGCCCUCCUGUGAAAAUUUUGACGUAGCAAUAAAAUAAGCGUUAAUCUUAUACACACAGAUAAAUAAAUAUAUAAUAUAUGUGUAAAAUUUAGAUAUUAAAUUUUUUAAAUUUAAAUUGACUAUCAUACAUCUAGUAGUAAUAGUAGUUGUACCGUAAAUGCAUAAGACAUUAAUCUAUAAAAUUAUGGGAAUGAUAUCUUAUUAUUAGCCCCGAUGAACAUUAUUGAUGAUUGAGGCAAACAACAAUAAAGGAUUUGAUCACCCGUGACACCAGGUAACCACCUUGUACGCUUCAUUCCACACGUCACACUGUAUUUUUUUUUUGGGUUCUAUCUAACGAGUCACUAGACCAGAAUUUAUUCGCGUCUCAACAUGAAGAUAAACUUGUAGCGCUAUAAAUACUAGCCAAUUCCAAAGAUCAUCGAAACUGCAGUGCCCAUACCAUACUAUGCUUUACAAUCAGAUGAUUGGCAGCUGGAUUAUUAUCAGCGCAUGCCAGGCAGGCCUUAUCCUAACUUCUACCUAAAAUUCUGGCUCCCAAUUUACGGUAGCGUAGUGUGUCAUGUUGUGUGGUUGGCCAGUUAGUGCGUGACUGUGUGUUUCACAAUUUGGGAACUUUAUUUAAUUUUAGGGGCGUGUCCUAAUCUCAUAAAUAAAUAAGAUACGCAAUGGAGAUAUAUAUAUAUAUAUAUACGCACACAGAGAAGGGGGAGGUGCAAAAUAAGUAUAGUGGUUUUAUUACAGGGCCAUGAAAUUUCACUUGUCUGUGUGUGUUGAAAAGUUUGAUACUGCUAUCUAUAAUUGUAGAGAAAGAAAUAGUUACGGAUUAUUGUGGUGGCUGGGUAUGCACGUCUCGUCUCGUUCUGGUGGUUCAAUUGCAGCACCGGCAUAUGUGCGCAAACGCAAAGAACGACGUCCAUAAUCCAUUUGGCAUCUCCCCUCCGCAGCCUCUCGUUUCUCUUUUGCGGAGACGUGAACCUACCAUUUUGCGCCACGUAAGCCCGCUGUGGGUUCCCCCCUUAGUUCCCAAACCCAACCCCAACGAAACCUCAACAGAUCGCUGUCUGCCCUUUCCCAUGUGGUGGAUUCGUACUUUUGGUGUUGGGGUCGCAUUCGGAUAUCCAUACAAACAGUAGCGACUGCGUGCUACUACUUCCCAUGAUCCGCUGAGCUGCUGCCUAAACUGCCCCAAAAAAAAAAAAAAAAAAAAAAGAAGAAGCCAUAAGCAGUUUCUAACUCAACAAUGCAGAAAAAAUGUUUUAAGUUUCGGCCGCAAAAUUCAUUCAUUCACACUUGAGAUAACGAUCCUUCAAUUCUGCUUUUGAGCACCACACACGCCAAUUGCAUGUUUCCGUCGUGUAGAAUUGCGCGUAUUUAUAUCGAUCGACUUACAAAAAAGAAAAAAAAAAGUAGAGUUUACUUUGAAAGUAAAUCAAAGGUUAAUUAAAGUCAAGAACAAACGAAAAUACUACCACCACAAAACUUGAGGAAGAAUUAAGGAUUAGUAUGCGGGUGAAGAAUAUUCUUGGGCACCUAAUAAUGGAGCAUGAUCAAUCGUUGAAGCUGGAUGCGUGGGAUUAGAAAUUUACAAUUAGUAGAAUAUUGACACCUAAGAUAUCCAUAAAUUUCUGGAAUCCAGGUCAUCAAUACAAGAAGGUUGCAGUAACCUACCAGCCGCUGCAACCGAUACAGUUAUCGCCUGCCUUUUUGUUUUAGAAAGACCACACCAAACAUAUGUUUAUUUUUUUUAUAAAAAAAAAUACAGAAAGUAGCAGUAGCAGUAAUAGUACCAAACUAAACCGAACGCAACUCCCAAAGUCCCAACCCAAAGGACAAAGACAAUAUGCCAAAUCCUGCAAUCAAACCACGUUUCCUAGACUGACUGGUUUCCCUUCCCCUCCCCCUCCCCCCACACAAAAACCAAUUACGACUACAUAAAUCAUCAAAUCCUCUACAAUAACAGCAGCAUCGGAUAAACCAUCAGCCUUAGGCUGAUGGCCACCACCAAGCCUUUAAGGCUUUGGUGGGGUGGGAGGCAAGGGUUCGAACCUUGCCUCCCACCAAUUUGCCACAGUUGUGGUUCUUCAAAAAAUCCAGAUGGGUGCGUGGUGCACUCAUCUGGUCUGGUGGUGGUUCUUCUCCAUCGGUCCCCCCAUAGGUCCAGUUGGGUCUCCCCUCUAGUUAGGUUAGAAUAGAGUAGAAAUAGGAGUAGGGUUGACGAUUGACAAAAAAAAAAAACAGCAGCAUCGGAUAAGGAUAAAACCCAGUAUCACAAACUCUCUUUCGCGUCAAUUACCUCGUGUCAGGUCCCAACCUCCCUCUAGAACCCCGUUAAUUCUUUACAUACGCUAAUCCCCAAUUCGGACAGUAUAUAUACCCCCUUUCAACUCGGGCCCCCUUCUUCUUCAAGAAACACAAGUGCUCUUUCCUUCUUCCCCCAAAGAGAAAAAACAAAACCACAACAAGUACAGUUCACCUUCCUUCCGUCCGUCCCUGCUCACAUGGAUAAAGUGAAAGUUCCAAACAGCUGGAUGAGAACCGCCGUCAUCGGCAGAGGCUCCUUCGGGACUGUCAGUCUUGCUGUCAACAAGUCCAACGGUGCCCUUUUUGCUGUUAAGUCCGUUGAUACCAACUCUGCCUUGCCUUCCCAAAUUGAGGCGCUGGAGAAUGAAAUUGGAAUCCUCCGCUCGCUCUCUUCGCCCUACGUGGUGGAGUGCCUGGGUGAUGACGUGACGGUGGAGGCGCCCAGUAUGACGCCGCUUAGGAACCUGCACAUGGAGUACUUGCCAGGUGGCACCGUAGCUGAUGUGGCAAGAUCAUAUACUCCCUGUGGCGGCGGGGCCGAUGAAUGGAUUGUAAAGAAUUACACCUUCUGCAUCGUCUCCGGGUUGAAGUAUCUUCACUCCCAAGGCAUUGUGCAUUGCGACGUGAAGGGUGACAAUGUCUUGGUAGGUCCUGCUCCAGGCACCGCCAAGCUGGCCGACUUUGGAUCGGCGAUGGAAAUCCGCCGCUGUAGGAAGGCGAGCAUCACGCCGCGUGGGACUCCCCUGUGGAUGGCGCCGGAGGCGGUUAGAGGGGAGUAUCAGGGGCCGGAAUCCGACGUCUGGUCCUUGGGCUGUACGGUCAUCGAGAUGGUGACCGGAAAACCCGCGUGGGAAGAUAAAGGAGCGGCGGACACGCUCUGUAGAAUCGGUUACUCUGACGAGUUGCCUCGGUUACCAACUCAGUUGUCGGAAUUGUGUCGCGACUUUGUGGAAAAAUGCUUGCGAAGAGACGUUAGUGAAAGAUGGAGCUGCGAUCAGCUGUUACAGCAUCCGUUUCUAUCAAUGUGCUCACCGUCCUCCGAUUUACCCACUUAUUAUUGGUCGCCACGUUGCGUGCUGGAUUGGUUCAAUUCAGAUUCCGAUGAAGAAGAUGAGGAAGAAACACCGAGCAGCGGGAGUAGGAUCAGUGAUUCCGACGUGAGGGGUAGACUUGGGAGAUUGGCUGAAGGGAGAGGGGCAAUUUGGGAAUCGGAUGGUUGGGUGGAGGUAAGGGGUUUAGCUAGUAGCAGUAGUACAGAAAGAGAAGAGGAGGUUUCACUUCCGGUUUCGGAGGCGGGGCGUUGUGGCAGAGGGGGGGAAGGGACGAGUUCGGAAUAUGGGGAAUUGAUGCGGAUGGAAAUUUCGGGGGCAGAGGUGGAAUAUGGGGAUUCCCUUGGGAUUGGGGAAUUCAGUAGAAGGACGAGCGGGGAAUAUUUGGCAGAUUCUAAUUGCAGUGCCGUAGCAGAAGCACGAAUUGAUAGCCACCACGACGGCGUCGUUACGGACUCCGGACUGGUUGAGCGGCCUCAAGCUGGAGAUUCACAUCAUGGGGGAUGCACAUGUCCAUUUUUAGCUUUACUUUAUUUAUUUUUUUAUUUUCAACCGACUCGACGAGAGAAUUUGUAUCCAAUUCCUUCAUUCCGUGGCAUAUACGAGAAAGUUUUGCUACAUUUGCUUUUGUGCAAGACAACAGCGUAUUAUUUGAAUUUUGUUAAUUUUACGAGUCACUCAAACUUCCCCGCCUCCCCAAAAUUUAUGAAUGGGCCAAACCCCGACUUACAACAUAAAAGUAAUAGCAACAAAUCCGAUUUGGUCUAAGCCGGUGGGUUUUUUGUUACACGUUCUUAUGCAUUUGCGUGUAUCCUUCUUAAGAGUUCUCUUAAUUAGGAUAUAUACGUGUCAAUAUAUUAAAGCAUAUGACAUGAGUUUUACACUUCAUUUAUUUAUGUGUGCUUCUUAAGAGUUGAACUUAAUCAGGACGUAAAGAGAACGGAUGUCAACAUAUUAUUAAUGUAUGUAACAUGAAUUUUACACCUGAUCCAAUGUGUAACAGAAGGCAAGUUAUUGUUGGGCUGACUAACUUUCUAACAAGGCAGGUAUCAAGAUUUCUUUUUCAUCUUUUGGCCCUAAUUCUCAUCUUAGUUUCUUGCAUGACAUGGCAGCUGAAAUUACGAGUGAGACUCGUAAUAGAAUUAAGGCAUGCUCUGCCAUCAGCCUACCUCUUAUUUGUUCGAUUUCGUAUCGUGUUUUUUUUUUUUUGGCCCCCUCUCCUUACUCCUUGGUCAUAAAAUAAAAUUCACAAUAAUAUUACAGAGUUGACUUUCUUCUUAUUUUCCUUUUUUGGGUAGAUCAAAAUUGAUAAUAUUAGAGUUUAUGCUGUUUGUUUUUGCUCAUUGCAUCGCCAAGAUAGAGGCAAUGGAGUAUGUUUUUUUUGCCAACAACGAUACAUUGUAUAACCUACUCUAUCCUAAUCUAGGGGGAGGGGGAGCCCAAUGAGGCUUGUAUUAGGGGCUAGUGGGUAUACAGACCCAACAAAAUCAAGCGAGUGGUAUGGCACUACCCUUAGAUUUUAUUUGCUGCAGAUGAGGUUUGAACCCUCACCGACAGCCCAAGGAGUGGCCACUGAGCUGGCUAAGGCAAUGGAGCAUGUGAGUUAGAGGUUUCCAAUUAAGAUAGGUGCGAAACUCUGAUAGAGUACAACUUUUUUGGUGCAAUAUGAUUUGUCACGCUGAUUGGAUUAUCAAUUUGGAAAGCGGAGGACCCUGCAAACUUUUUUGCUUUAGCUUUUUUUGAGGGAGAGGUAUCCAAACCAGACGCGGUCCGACCGAGACUUAUCUUGAGUAAUUCUUAACGAACAAGAAAGAAGUUUCCCGCACGUAAUAAUUCUUGUCCAGCCCGCCGGUUAAAUAAGCAAAGCAACUUCCUCGAGGUAAAAGCAAACUUCACAAGCUCCAAUUAGAUUGUAGCAUGAUCAAUUUUAUUAGCCCACAGAUUGGAUAAUACUUCUAGAUGGGUGUAGCGUGUAAUCUUUCUAACUGUCUUUGACAAGUUUGCCUUCCAAUUUCCUAGGAAUAGAGAUCAAACGACUGAUAAUUUAGUAUCUCCAGCGAGGCUUUUCCAAAAGAUGUGAUUCUGUCUUCAAUUGUCUCAAGCAAGUGAUGCAUGAUUUCACAUAUAAUUUAUCUUUUUUUUUUUCAAGAAUCAGAUCACUCGUGAUGUUGAGAUUUACUGCACCUUUUGCGUCUUUAAUUAUAAAUUGUGUCCUCUGAUUAUAUAUAUGUAUAUAUAUAUACUUUCUGUGUAAAUUAGAUCAAUUGUGGGCUUAAACUGAAUUUUGGGGUAGGCAAUCAUGCACUAGCAUUGCUCAUUUUCACCCCAACAGGCUAGAUUUUUAUUCCGCUAUACAGUAUUGGAGUUCUUGGCUUGAUGGAGUAUUUCUUCGGUUGUUGUGGCCGAAUGAAGGGGGUUUGAAUGAAAAUUUAAGGUAAAUCAAAAAAUAUUCUAGGUUGUUUUAUCCUCCUUUUCUGUGAUUGAACUUACUCUGCAUCUAUAUAUUUUCUAUUUUUGAUAAAAUGAAAACCAGAUAUUCACCCAGCAAAAUAACAGUAGUGUAAAAUUAAAUCUACAGUUCAACGCAAGUAAUGUAGUUUUUUUUUUUUAUCUGACUCUGGUUGCAUGUUUGGCAAGAAUUGUUAAGGACAGUUCAGAAAUUUGACCAAAUCCGUCAAGUUUUUCAUGUCUUCUAUUUUCAAACCAAACUGCUGUCGGCCGUGUUGAAGACUUGAACUAAAGCAUUUGAUGUUUAUCUUCUUACCUCGAAAUCCCAGAUAAUAGCCUAAACACAACCAAAUGGGAUUUUACCUACGUCAAGAAUCUCAUACAAAACUAUGUCUUGGCAUAAUUAACAUCUUACUUCUUGUGAAGUUGUGAUUUGUCAGUUUUUUCUUGACUUAAUUUUACUUGUUAGCUUCUUUUGAGUGUUUAUGAAGAUCUUCCGGUCUGUCCCCAUUAGUCGAGUCCCCCCAAAUUAAAAUCUAGAUGGAUAUGUUAAGCCACACCAUGACAACGGAGUCCCUAAUCUCUUGCCAACGUAUCGCUGCAUGAUUGGUUGAACUUCUUCUGUGUUUGGAUUAGUGCUUUAUUCUUUAUUAAUGAAGAGAUUGCUGAUGGAUUUUGGGAAGCAAAAAGAAUCGUCUUCCCAUUUGUUAUUUUGUUUUCAUUCGGAUGACCUAAAAGUCCAGCUAAUCCAAGGAUUCUCAUUCAUUCCCUUCCUCUGUUCAUCGAAUAUAAUAAACUAAGCUAAUAUAUAAAAGGGAUAAUUUCAUAAAUCUCCCUUAAAUUUUAUGACAAUUGUUGGAAGUACCCUCAAGAUUUUAAAAUUACAUAGACCUCCCUCAGAAAAUAGUUUGGGGCUCACUUUGCUGAUGUAAGCAAAAUAUCCCCAUUGAUAAUCCUAUACUGCUCUUAGGUGAUUUUUUGCAAUAGAAAUAAAAUUCCUCUGUAAUUUUAAACUUAAUACAUUGACACAUACUGUAAGAAAGCUAUCCAUCAAUUUCAUUUCUCUUCCCUUGGAUUUUUAAAAAAAAUUUCACAUGGACAAAAGGAAAAAAAAUCCUUUGAUACCAGUUGAGUAAGUAAUAGAUUUUUGUAAGAAUAUAGAAAAUUUCUUCCAAAUUACUACAAUAUCGAGUAAGACUAGAUUGAAGUGAUUUGAGUGGUUUCGACAACAAAUAAUCUAUUGCUCUUGCUCUUCUUUUUUUUUUAGCGGCUUGUUAACUUUGAUUUCAAAUAUGAAUUACUUUACUUCAUGGAGAUGUUAAAUUAAGUAAUUUAUGAAGGCCAUUUUUGUCAUUUUACAUGAUUAGAGGAGGUAGGUAUAAUUUUUUAAACAUAGUAGGUAUCAUUUGUAAUUAUUAUAAGUUUUAGGGGAGGUUUGUGCAAUUAUCUCAAUAUAAAAAUCCAAACUGAGUUGUCUGAAUUUAGUACUGCAGAUCUUGUUCGUGUUUAUUUGGAUAUGUUUUGGCUUAUGAGGUGGUCAAUCGUACCAUCUCCCAUAUUACUACUGGUUCUACUACGCAGUCACCACCAAUUCAUUUAGAUCGUAAUUAUGUAAAAUAAUAAAAUGUCCUAAAUCCCUUCCCGUCUGUUUUCUUUUCUCUUUUUUUUUUUUUCUCUAUCUUUAUCAUAAACUCGAUGAGUCGAUGCUUGUUCCCAAUUGGCGUCUAAAAUGAUCCACUGCCUCAUCCGUGUUCAUUUUUCGACCAUAGAGAAACAUAUGUUGGUUUAUUUAAGAUUCGCGCCGAUAGACAAUUGAGCUUCCCCAAUGGAUGAAACUUAGCUUUAACCAAAAAAAAGGCUAUCUCAAAACUUAAUCUAAUUUCGGCAGGGGCUCUAUGUGUAAGACAAUCAUUAAAAUACGUAAUCAAUUAUUCAUUUAAUUAAUAGAUUCAGAUUUCAUAUUUCAAAUUUAUCAAAUGCAAGCUUUAUAUAAGUCGAAGUUAAAGUGCCUGGUCAUGUUAUUAGAAUCCUUUGUAUAUAUAGUUUUGUGAAAUCCACUUGCUUGCAUUCAAACCAGCAUCAACAGCCACGAUAAAAAAUAAAAGGGAAUUUACCUUGUCAAAUUAAACUUUCUAAGUAUCCAAAAGAUGUCAACUCCUACUAUAUCUUUUUCAAAAUAAUUAGGGGGACAGAGAAUUUUGGAAAAUGACUUAUUUAAUCCCUCACUUUUCACAAAAAUAUUAUUUUCAUUCUUCACUUUUAAAAUGAAAUAAAUUCGUCUCUGAUAUUUAAAAAUUGAAACUAUUACAUCCAUGAACCCAACUUUCAAUAUGAAUUAAACCAUCCAAUAACUCGAUAAUAAAUUUUAGAGAUAGAAUUAAUGGAUCACUCAGUUAAUUCUAUCACGUUCACAUGACAUUCAUUAAACCAAAAAUGAAAAAAAAAUAAAACAUAAAACAUAAAAAAGACGUUCCUAUGUCUUGGAAUAGUAGGGUUUCUUUUUUGGAUAAAUCUUUUCAUGCACCAUUAAUGUAUGCACUUGUGAAUCAAGAUAUAUAUAUAUAUAUAUAUAUAUAUAUAUACCAUACAUACAAGUCUGGUAUUUAAAUUUAAAUUGAAAUGAUGUGGUAGGUAUUUAGACUCGUCAGUAUAUACAAUGAAAGUAUUGGAAAGAUUAAUCUUUCCUUUUUAUGUUAUAAUUUUUAUUUUAUUUUUUUUGGAUUCAUUAAUUUUCCCGUGAAUAUUAAUUUAAGUUAAACGAGUGAUCUAUCAAUUUUAACCCCAAAAUUUGUAAUCACUUCAGUUGAGUUUAGGAAUGUAAUAUGUUUAGUUUUUAAAUGUCAAGAACGAAUUCGUUUCGUUUUAAAAGUGAGGGAAGAAACGAAUAUUUUUGUUAAAUACGAGGGAUGAAAUCGGUCAUUUUUCCAAGAAAUUUUGCCAAAGAAAAUCGCGUGGGAGGAGUUAUCAGAUUGGCUAUAAUUGUUAUCUUUUAGCUGGCUGCUUUUUGCAAAUCAGAUCAAUAUAUAAAAAUGCCAGGUUAAAGGCCUACUCCAGCUUGAGAAAUGCUGUCUCCUGAACUAAUCCAUCCAUGAUUUAUUACAUUUAGCUCGUUAUUGUUCAAAAUCCACGGUUUAAGCCUGGAGCCCAAUAUCCAUUAGGACCAGCAGCAAAGAGGGAUAUGCAUUUUCGCUUUGGGCUCGUAUGGUUCUUUUAGCCUGUAACGUCGGACGAUAUGGGAAUCGAUUCAAAAAGAGCUCGCCUUUGUAAAUUGAACCAAAAAGAGAACGAUAUGUAAUUUGUGCAAAGGUGAAUCGUUUAUUUUGUGUACAAUUUCAAAUUAUGGGUACAAUUUCAAAAUAGCAAGUUAUGUACGUGUAGACAUAAAAUGUCUAUGCGGCGCAAUCCAAGAAUUCAAGGAGAAAUGGGCAUUACAGUGCAGAAAUUUUGAAAGAUGCCAAUUUAAUUUUCUAUUAAGAAAUAAAAUAUGCCAACCAACCCAUGAUAUGAAGCGAGAGUUGAAAACCAAAAGCCAUAAGAAGAUUUGAAGUAAAAGAAUUUACUUCACAAAUUUCAAUCACCUUUUUAUCUCACAUACAUUACAUCACAAAAAAUGUUACAGUAAUUAUUUCAAAUAAAUCAUCCAAAUAAACUCUUAUCCAAACAAAUAUGAUUUUCUUCUAUUUCCAUCAACAACGUGGUUAAACUAAAAUGUUUGGAAUGCCAUUUUCCUUUAAUUUUUAAAAAAUUUUUAAAUAUAUUUUUUAAUUACCUUUUUAUCUUACAUACAUCAAAUAAUUACAGUUUAUUUUUCUGCAAGGCUUCAAAAAAUACAGUCGAAACAGUUAGAAUUUGUGGUUAUGCAAUGACCCUGUUCAGCCUUUUUUCUGUUUCAAGUAAACUUAGGAUGGCUUCCUUGCAUCUUCAUCUAUUUAAUUUAAAAUACUAUACCAAAGCUUCAAGUUUUAUCCUAUUUCUCCAUUUUCUUCCUCAAAUUAAAGCUAUUUACUUUCCUUUCACCAUUCUAUCCUAAAAUAAAAUAACACAUUUUCCCCCCUUUUUGCUUUGUCUAUUUUGAACGAAAUAAGUUUCAUGACUCGCUCUUAGGCAUUUUCAUAUUUACUUUGCUUUGCCUUAAAAAAAUCAUUUCAAACAUAAAAACAUAUAUUUCUCUAAAGAAAUUUUGCAUUUUUUUAAAUAUAGUUUUCAAUCACUUUUUUAUCUCACAUAUAUUAAAUUAGUAUAGUAUAAUUUUUUUACAAAAUUUCAAAAAUAGCAUUACAAACAACUAUUUCCUAUUUUAUCCAAUUCUUUUUAUGUUUCCAUUACAAUCAGUACAUAGCUGCAGUGAUCCAUGAAUUCCGGACGCGGGGCUGGAGCGGUUGUCAGAACAACCGCUCCGGAAGGUGUAACACUAUUUGUACAUGGUGUAACAAUAGAACAACAGCGAGUAAAAUAAAACAACAUUUUUGUGGGUCCCACACGACGUAAAAAUCGAAUUACAAAACGUGAUUUGAACCGCACAAAUUUUUGAGGCCUCAUCCAGGCCGUGAACUGCCUGGGACGGUUGUCUCCUCGUCCAUGAAUUCCGAACACUAUGAUAUGAUCCGUGAGAUUUGGGGAAUAUAAUUGUUUAUUACUUACAGCUUAUACUUCACAUCCCACCGGCAAAAAGAAUAAAAAAAAAGCGGUAAUCCCCAAUUUUUCAAGAAUGACACCAGUUCAAGUAUAUACCACUGCUUCCGUUUCCAGUGCACCUCACUGACACGUAGAUGCUACUAAGAAAAAAAAAAAAGGAGAAAUAGUUCUGUAUUUUACUAACGUCUAAUUUAAAAUAAAAAGAAAAGGUUCCAUCGCCUGGGCUCUCACUCUAUCACUUCGCUGUUCCUCAAAGAAACCCUAAACCUCAACUCUAACCUCCACACUUCUCCACUUUCACUACCUUACCGCCCACAAGCUUCAUUUCAGGUAACAUUUUCAUCUGAAUUGCUGGAAAUUUGUUUUAGUUUUGGCUUAUAUGUAUCAUCAAUUCAUGCCUGAUAUUCUCUAGUUUUCGUCCCCAUUUUAUUUCUGUUGCAGAGGUUCUCGAUUAACUAUGUCGGACGACGAAAGGGAGGAGCGAGAGCUGGAUCUCACCAGUCCUGAGGUCGUCACAAAAUACAAAAGCGCCGCCGAAAUUGUUAACAGUUAGUCCCCGACUAUCUUUUCACUUAUAUGUUUACGGAUAUGCUUGAAUUUGUUUUUCUGUGUGGAUAGAAACUGUUGAUGUUUAAAUGGGUUAAAUUAAUUAUGAAUUUUUCUAUUAUUAUUAUCUUAGGUUAAUAAUUGAUUAUGUGCUUGAAUUAUUUUACUUGUUUAAUGAAUUUGAAUUAAUGCAGAGGCAUUGCAGUUGGUAUUGUCUGAAUGCAAGCCAGCAACAAAGAUUGUUGAUUUAUGUGAAAAAGGGGAUGCAUUCAUCAAAGAGUAGGGGAUUUUUGUAUAUGCAUAGAUAUUCUUUGCUCUGUUUUAGUUAGCGUUUUAUAAAAAUGUUGGGCUGAUGAUUGACUAUAUGGUCUGUAGGCAAACCGGGAAUAUGUAUAAGAAUGUAAAGAAGAAGAUUGAACGAGGUGUUGCCUUUCCAACUUGCAUUUCAGUGAACAAUACUGUUUGUCAUGUUUCCCCACUGGCUAGCGAUGAGGCCGUUUUGCAACAAGGUGACAUAGUUAAGAUGUAAGUGACGGUUUAAACCUAAUUUCGUUCUCUUGUUUUGUAGGGGAAUGGUUUUAGCUGGUAUUAGAGACAUUUUUGUACUUCGGUUUUAUGUGACACUUGUAAUUUGGCAAGAGAAUGUGCAUGGUGAUUCAUCUUUACCUUUGAUGGUUUCAGUGAUAUGGGGUGUCACAUUGAUGGUUUUAUUGCUGUAGUGGCCCAUACUCAUGUACUUCAGGAUGGGCCCGUUACUGGUAGAGCAGCUGAUGUUAUUGCGGCAGCAAAUACAGCUGCUGAAGUGGCAUUAAGGCUUGUUCGGCCAGGGAAGAAGGUAAUAAGAUGAUUUACAUUAUUUUGUCUAUUUGCCUUGGAGAUGUACAAAUGUGUUGUAAUUUGACUUCCUGUGACUCCUAUUCUAGUUAGAUCUUCAAUGCACUGGUUUUCGUCCGCUCUAAUCUGUGAAAGUUGAUCUAUAGUUCAAGUAUACCACCAUCUAUAUAUUGAUCAAAUGUUUAUGGCAUGGUGUCAUAAAGCAUAAGUCGUUCAGUCAUGGAAACACUAAUUUGUCUAUUUCUGCAUUCAUCUGCCGUGCCAAUCACUCGGACAUGAUAAGUUGCUGCUUUUUUUCCCCUUUACUUUCCACUUCAAGUUGAGAAAUGGAAGUUCAACAUGUGUAUUUUAGAUGGGCAUUGUGACAAUUGGCAGUACCAUGUGAGAUUGUUGUAGUACUGUAUAGUUGCCAGAUAAUUGGCAACAUGACCAAUUGUAAAUUUCCCUGCAUGUAUUUUUUUUGGUUGCAUUUAGAUGAAAGAGGUGGGAGUUGGGGGGUGGGGUGAAAUUGCUAGUUGGCAUGUUCAUGUUCAUGAUAUAUGGUGAACAAACAAAAUUUUUUAACUGGAGAAUAGAAUUGUAACAGGGUUUUUGCUUUUAGAACAUGUUAGGCAACAUUAUUCACUGGUGAUUUGAGUCCUUAAAAUUCGAGAAGUUGGUUCUAUCUUUUAACCUGUUCAUAGUUUGCCCGAGGAAGCAUCUGUUACUUGCUGGCCCCAUACAUGGGUCACUUUGGAUUCAUUCAUGCAGGAAUGACAAAGUCUUCGAGUCACCUAUGAUUUUUUUGGACCACCUAUUGAUGUAGAAGUCAUUGACAAUGUCAUACUGUCCUCCUGUACAGGCUGAAGUACAUUAUCCGUGCUUCCCAUAAGUGCAACCAAAUAUUGCGGAAUAUCUGCCUAAUUAAUUUGUGAUGGGGCAAUCUAUUUUGGUGUAUUCACGUCUAUCAGCCUUUUCUAGUGUUGUAUGGCAGACAAGGGUUGGGAUAGUGUACGGUUCAUUAUUUGUCGUGUAUGAGGUUUCCUUUGACAUAUUUACCUUUUUUUUUUGUGGAAAAUACAGAAUCAAGAAGUAGCAGAAGCAAUUCAAAAGGUUGCUGCAGCUUACGACUGCAGGAUUGUUGAGGGUGUACUGAGUCACCAAAUGAAGCAGUUUGUUAUUGAUGGUAAUAAAGUUGUGCUGAAUGUGUCCAGCCCUGACAUGAGAGUAGAUGAUGCAGAGUUUGAGGAGAAUGAGGUUUAUGCAAUUGAUAUAGUUACUAGCACUGGUGAUGGCAAAGUAAGUCUUAUUUUGAAUUUCAUCCACGAAUUUCUUAGAUGAUUUAUCAUCUUGUAUUACUUAUUUGAGGCGUGACUUUGCAGCCAAAGCUGUUGGAUGAGAAGCAAACAACUAUCUAUAAGAGAGCUGUGGACAAGAACUAUAAUUUGAAGAUGAAAGCAUCAAGAUUUAUUUUCAGUGAAAUAAGUCAGAAAUUCCCUAUCAUGCCAUUCACUGCAAGGUUUGCCACCUCUGUUGUCUUGCAAGAUUAGUUAUGUACGUGAAUAGUAACUGCCUUAAUUUUUGUUGUCAACUUUUUCUAUGGUUUGCUUCUUACCCUUUUUUCCUUGAAAAGAGACUUGGAAGAGAAGAGGGCUAGGUUAGGGCUGGUUGAAUGUGUCAACCAUGAUCUUCUGCAACCAUAUCCUGUUUUGCACGAGAAACCUGGUAAAUACUCUAACUGGAAUCUACGUGCUUUGUCCUUUCUGUUGUUCUCAAGUUUUUCAUUUGCUGAUUGAUAUGAAAAAGCAUGCUUGUUUUUACUUAUUGGGGUUGUCAUGCAGGUGACUUGGUUGCUCAUAUUAAGUUCACAGUUCUGCUCAUGCCAAAUGGAUCAGAUAGGAUCACAUCUCAUUCUCUACAGGAGCUGAAGCCCACAAAGACGGUAGACAGUGAUCCUGAAAUUAAGGCCUGGUUAUCCCUUCCAAUUAAGACAAAGAAGAAAGGUGGUGGGAAGAAAAAGAAAGGUAAAUUGAAACAAAACUUGGUUGAAUUAUUAUAUUGAGUAAUUUAAUCAAGAUGCUCUCUUAUCCUAGAACGAGCACGGGCUUUUAAGAGUGUUAGCGAACUAGUAGUUCAAGAAUAUGAAAGAAAUUAUAUCGUUGUUAUGAUUCUACUUUCCAGAUUUCUUGGAAGGGGUGGAAACCUUAAUCAAAGGGUUAUUAAUGGUCUAUGAUAUCUACAACUGUUAUUUUAGGUAAGAAAGGAGACAAAGCAGAAGACUCAAUGCAGACUGAACCAGUUGAUGAAGCGGCAAAUGGCGCAUCUCAAUAAUGAGCUCCUGAGCUGCUGGUCUAUUAACCAACCACCUGUUUCAAGUUUGAAGUUAUUAAGCUGUUUCUGGGAUUGAGCAAAUCAGCUAGUCGUUUUUCCCCUUUACUUGGGUGAUGUAAUACAAAAUCAUAGAUAAAAGAUAUUUGUUAUCCUUUCAUUUUGACGCUUCACCAUGGUCUCUGGUUUAAAUUGAGCAGUUGGUUGUCGAGGAACGUAGCAGAGUUUUGCAUCAGUUCAAACAUAGGGCACUUUUAUAAUUUCCGUUGUUUUCUGCAUGAAUAGAACUGAGCAAGUUAGGAUUGUAGUAGUUGACAGUUACCUUUGCCUCCUUGGGGAAGAUGAUGAAAUCCGUGAAAAAUGUUUGUCUUGACAUAUUAAUUGCUGAUGUAGACUUAGACGCAUCAGAUCCUCAGGAAGAUGAUAGUAAGCUCAAGAGCACAUUGCGUUUCUGGACAUUUGAGUUAGGCUUGAUUCUAUGGCACGUGUGUGGACAUGGAACUAAUAGGGAGGGAGUGGGGGGCAAAUGCUGUUAGUGCCAGAAAAACUUGAGUUGUUUGGCGGGGUGAAAAAACAUUAAAGCUCAGUUUUGGAGUUAUGAACCUGUCACAAAAGAUAGAUCUGACAGGGUUAUAAAGUAUAUCUUACAUAUAUAAAGCGUCAAUCGCUUAUGAACAGUGCAGAAUGAGCAGGUUAUGCCGUUAUUUUUGUGACUUUGAGGGGUAUUUUGGUCUUUUGCUGAUGGGUGGCGUGGUUUUGUUGGAAAUUCGCUCCUGUCCGCGUGGGCAAAUGGUCUGGUUACUCUGUAAUUUUCAUGAACUCUGGGGGUGUUUGUUGGUUGCAUGAUUUUUGGGUGGCUUGAGGAAACGUGGGUGCAGAUAGCCUCGUUGAAUCGGUGGACGCUUUUUGCUUUACCUUCCGUCUCUCUUCCUUGCUCUCAAUUUCAAUCAUUGCUCUCUUCUAAUUACCACUUUCUCUCCUGCUCUUCUGUCCGCGUAGGCCUCUUGGAUGGGACCAUUUUGGCGGUCAGCAAUUUACUCUUAUUCUGUUCUUGGUUCUGUUCAAUCUGUUUUUGGCAACAGGAUAAACUUUCUUUUAAAAAAAUGCAAUUUAAGAAAUGGAUUAUAGUUUUUGAACUUUUACAAUAGGUCCAAUUUUUUUUCUUUUGAGCAUGAAAAAAUGAUUCAAUAAAUACAAAUUAUCAAAACCAAAAUCAUCAAAAUCUCCAAAAAAAAAAAAGAUAUAGACAGCCUAAAAAAGGGAAGAAAGAGAGAAAAAUAAGAAAAUAUGUAUAUUCACCUUGCAAGUUAAACUUGUUCAAUAUUGAGAGUCCCAUGCUCAUUUUCAAUGGAUGAUGUCCUGUUCAAAGAAACCAUUGUUGCUCCCUCCAUUCUUGAACACUUUUAAUCUAUCAAUCAAACAAUCAUCUAAAUUGCAACAAAAAGAAUAGGAUCCAAUAUGAAACCCUGAUUAGGAGACAUGGUAGUAUAUAUAAACCGAGGUCAUGGUGGGAUAGAGUUGAAUAAAAAUUAUGUGUCAUGAAUAUAGACCUAUUAAUGUAAAACAAAAAAGCCACUGAAUAUAUAAAAAAUAUUAAUUCAAUUUUACAUUGGUUUGAAAAUAUUUUUAAAUAUGUUUGAAUGCUCAUUCAAGUCUAGCAAACAAAAGAAAAUGACAAACCCAUUUUAUAAUUGUCUUUCUUUAUUUCUUUCUUCCAAAGGAUUGUUAAGUGUGAAGUACUAGCAAAUAGAAAGUGUAAAAAAAAAUGGAAAUUGUCAAAUUGCUUGUCUUAGAGAAGUAACGUGACUAAUAAGCAAGGCUACACAUUACAUGUAUAGCCAUAUGCCUUUUAGUUCUACCUAAUUUUAGGCAUUACUUACUGAUUAAUGCUAUAUUAAGAGUGUAAGAUAACCUAAUUUUAAAGUCAUGUUUAUUUGUGCAAUUAGGAAAAAACAUACAUUCACACACAUGACUACUGUAUCUAACAAAGAAAAAAAAACACACAAACAUAACCGCAAAAUAAUGAGUCUCAGCUACCUGACGCAUGGCGUCAGGGCUAAAAAACUAGUAGAGAAGAAAGUGAGAAUGGGGAAGCAAGCAAAAAGGCGUUUUGCACGUUUGCUUAUGGUUGCUGUUGCUGCAGACAUCUUUGGUUAAAAGAGAAAUGGGUGGUGCUGUCAAGUGCCAAGGAUCUGUAAGUGUCCGGCGAUGUGUUGCACGAUCAACAUGACAAUGGGUCUGUUUGGUAAAGGCCCGUUGGAAAAAUGAUAAUUUGGGCUUUAGUCUACGAUCCACGGGCUUUUAACUGCCUUCCCGAACAGUUUCAAAUAUGGAGAGCUGCACUGCACAGCCUUUUUUUUUUUUUUUUUUUUAAAUAAUUUUUACCCUAUCACAAAUUAACUUAAGAUUGCAUGCAUGGCCUUGUCGCAAUAAACAUUGCGACUUACAACAUUUUUAGUCCAAAUUUUUAUCUUUUACGAAUGAAUUGAAUAAAAAGACAAGAUAUCCUUUCUUGAUCCUUUAAUUUGGCCUUCUUUGAAUUGUUAUGAAAAAUAUCAAAUUAUCUGAAGGCAAUGAGGCUUAAAUUGGCACACAAUGAUUUGGCAAGAAUUAAGCACGGUUUUUCUAUUUAUGCACUUGUAGAAAAUAAAAUGAGAAAAGAAAAACAUAAGUCUUCAACUGGUCCAGCACGUAAAGAAAGGAGAAGAAAAUUCUAGAAAAUUCCGUAGCUUUUUUCUUUUCCUUACCUAUUUAGUAGUCUACCUUUACAAAAAAAAAAGAAAAGAAAAGAAAAAAAAACAGUUGAAAGCCACCACGACUUCGUAGUCCGUAUACCUGUAGUGCUGCGUAAAUCUCACGCCUUCUUCGCAGUUCCAAUUCCCCAAACCAAAACCCUCUCUUCCAGCAUUCCAAUCCUCCUAUCCCUCAGGCUACUAUAUAAACCCUCAUACCUACUCCAUCGCACCCCUUAGGCAUUUCCCAGUUCCCCACCCUCACCGCUCCAUUGUCUCUCUUUCACGCACAACACAUACUUGCUUUCGAAGUUAAUCAGCAUUGGCAUAGAGCUCGAAUUUUUUCUCUCUCCAGAGCACUAUUAAAAUGGCCAGUAACGAGCCCGAGCACAGCAGAGAGGAGGAAGAGACCGCUGCCGCUGAGGACGAAGAUACCGGAGCUCAGGUUGCCCCUAUCGUCAAGCUUGAAGAGGUUUCCGUCACCACUGGCGAAGAAGAUGAGGACGCCAUCCUCGAUCUGUACUUUCCUUUCCUUUCCUUUCCUUUUUUGUUUUUUUUAAUCUUUUGCCUCUCGAUCUGCUACAAUUAUGGGAUUUAUGUUAGAAAAUUAUAGGGUUUUUCAUUUUUUCUUUAAAUUGUUAAUUAGGAAAUCAAAGCUUUACCGAUUUGAUAAAGACGGAAAUCAAUGGAAGGAGAGAGGCGCUGGCUCUGUGAAGCUCUUGAAGCACAAAGAGACUGGAAAAGUUCGUCUCGUUAUGCGUCAAUCUAAGACUCUUAAGAUCUGCGCUAAUCAUCUAGGUCCGUUUCUAUUUCUUUUUUUUUUUUAUAAAAAUAUUUGCAGUAGUUUACCUGAUUAGUGUGUUAUUAAUUUUCUUUGGAAAAUUGUGAUCUGAAAAAUUUUGUAUUGUUCUGCAGUUGGGCCGACCAUGACAGUUCAGGAACAUAUUGGAAAUGAUAAGUCUUGCGUGUGGCAUGCUGCGGAUUUUGCAGAUGGUGAACUUAAGGAUGAGAUGUUCUGCAUUAGAUUUGCAUCUGUUGAGAGUAAGUAUAUGUCGCUGUUGAUCAAUGGAUUUUUUUUGGGGGGGGGGAACGUAUCCAAGUUCACGUUUGUUCGAUGACUUGCUUAACACAGUUUGAUGGUGAUGUUAUCUGCUUCAUUUUCUACUUUUACUUCAAGCAUGCUGCGUGUUUUUAUGUUGAGAUCCAUGCUUGUCCAUUCUUUGUAGAAUUAAUAAUAUUUUCAGACAUAUGUAGUUUUUCUAAUGCUUGAGAUCAUUUUAUGCUUAUUGCUGUGGUGAUUUGAUAGGUUCAAAUUCUUUGCAGCAUUUGGUUGUUUUUUGUUCCGAGCUGUUGGUUUUGUGUAUCAUUUGUAUGCUAUGUAUUAGUAAAGUUUAGAUAUGAUAGGCUUAUUGCCUAGCUUAACUGUUAAUGAUAAGAAUUGAGAUAUCUUGCCACAUUUUGGUGGAGGGAUCUUAUCUCUUAGGAUGGUUCAGGUUGGCUUUCCCAUGAAUUGUCUUCUGUUGAGUGUUUCUCUCUGAUGUCAUUGCUGUCGGCAGAAACCUGAUAAAGGAGUCAUGUAACACUUUCCUAUGCUUGAAGGGCAAAUGUUUUGACUAAGGUUAUCAUUGAAGCAUACUUUUCUUUUUUGCCUAUUAACAUAAAAUUUGCUACCAUUGAAAACUUUUUGGCUUUUUAGGAACUAGUUGCUCUGAAGGUUAAUGUCAUUUAAUGUGGCAGAAUCAUUGGGUUUUGAUCUCAUUAGAUGCUUACUUUGUUGUGACCAAUUAAUUCCAGGGACGUGGCAGAGCGAAGGAAAGCAUAACAACUGUAACUGACCCUUUUUCUGUUGCAUGACUACUUGUUAAUUAGUUUUCUAUUUUCUAGGCAAUGACUCGAGAAGAGCCAAAGACGAGAGUUCUUUUUUUUUGGGGGGGGGGGGUCGGGAAGGGGUAUAGGGGAGAUAUGAAGCUACAUUACUAGUCAUUGUGUUUUUGCAGAAUUUCAGCUUUCUCUGUGUUACCCUUCACCAUGUAAUGCCCCACAAAAACAUUCACCUGUCAUUCUUUUUUUAAUAAUUUUCCCUUUUUGGUUGUUUAUAUCCUUUCACUGGUUUCAUGAUUUGCAAUUAGUGCUGGAAGAGGUAAUUUUGCCAACAUAUGGAUGACAUGGACUCUUUUUUAGUUUAUCUUCAUAAACAAGUGCAAAUGAAGAAGUGAUCUAUUUUUCUUUAUAACCUACUGUGCUAAUGAUUGGAAAAUGCUGGAAAGCUUCAGUGUAGUGAUCUGCUAGUUAAUUUAUAAUAAAAGACAAACUGAUGCUAAAUAGAAGAGGAGAUGCUUGUGCGUUUUGCAUGAUUUGUUACUUAUAUCUUGCCAGAUUGGGACUCUCAAUCUGGGAAGAUGAAGUAUUUAUACUUCCAUUCGCUUCUUCUUGGUUACAGCUCUGUGAGAGUUUUCCGGUUGCCCAUUAGCCACUAGGUAUCAUUUUAUCAUACAUGGUUAAUGACACACUUGACAAGGGACUAAAGACAUUCAUGGCUUCCUUUCCCUCACUCUCCUUCAGUAAUUCUUUAGAUGUUAAAUAUGUUAAAAAUCUAUUGAUCACUCCUGAUUAUGUACUUAUUAUCCAUUGAUUUAGUCAACUUAUUAAAUCAGGAGAGGAAGUUUUGGGACCUUUUGGGCCAAUACUUGAGAGUUGUGCCUUGUGAUAUUUCAAGUUGGUACUUGGCAGUACAUUGAUUAUAGUGACGCAGGAGUAGUAGUUGUUCUACAAUUGCUAUGUUUCUAUGGAGGAUCAAUUAUUGUUGUUGGGUUGGUAGCUCUUGUUCUAUUGCUUAUGCAGUCGUUUGCUCCUCUGUUUAGAUUGCAGAACCUUUAUGGAAAGGGUUCAAGAAGUUGCUGAAUCCCAAAGGAGUAAAGAGGAAGACAAAGAUGCUUCUGCUGCUGCCGGAGUGCUUGAGAAGUUGAGUGUUGAAGACAAGGCAGGCAAAGAGAAAGCUGAAGAAAAACCCAAAGAGGAGACCAAAGAAGAGGCUCCUGCUGCAGGCAAGGAGAAGGUUUCGGAAAGUGAAGACAAGGAGACCGCUUCAACUUGAGAGAAUAUUGAUGAUGCCUUCAGUUCCCAUUUCUGAUUUGGUGAAGUUAAAACUCUCACUUCAGUCACCACCCAUUCCAUAGAAUGUCUAGUCUGGUGAGGUCAGUGGAGUGUCAGAUAUGGGUGGCAAAUGGUGUGGGUCUUCUUGGUCAGGUGUAGACAAUGGUUGGUUUAAAUUCGAGUCCUCUUUAUGUGGGGAUUCAACAUUGUUUCGAUUUUGGUCUUGUGUGCGAAUAUAACUAGAGGUUUUGGCCAGUGGUAUUUAUUUGCCUGGAGUAAGUUGUUCUGUUGAUUUAUAUGCUUGAUGUUACAAAUUACAAACGGCUUCCGCUGCCGAAAGAGUUGGGGGAAAAAAAUUUUCCAUCUUGAAUGCCUUAUUCCUUCUAUUAUAUCAUUAUAUGUUUUGAUUCCUAAACAAAGGCAGUUAGCUAGUAGUAGUAAGUUACCGUCCCAAGUAUUUGCUCGUAUUAGAAGAACUUGUGGCAUGGCUGUGCAGCCUUCCAAAGAAUUCUUAUCGAGCAUUACGUAGACACUGGAAUUCCCAUAAAUAUUGUGAUCUAGUGAUGGUCGCAAGAAGUGUAACAGCCUGAGUGGUUUGGGUGGUUCUAACGGGCUUGAAAGUUCUUGUUGCGUAUGGUGGUCAAAGCAGAGUCUUAUCUUCGCCCCCUGGGGCAAACCAAAAGGAUUGAAAGAGACCCAAAAUGGUCCAUUACUUGUGCUUUCUUUGCUCACUAUAGCAAGGACAAAAUAGCCAGCGAAGGAGGUUGAUUCCCUUUCUUUUGAGGAUUCCCGGGGCCAAAUUUGGAUCCUGAGUCCUGGCAUCAUCCCGUGUGCAGUACAUGUGAACUAUUUUUUUAGUAUUACCUCUUUUACCGUAGAGUGCGAGGAGAUUUUGCUGAUCAGUUCAGUUGGGCAGAAUCAGAGUAGCAGCAGCAGCAGCAGUGUUAAUUGUUAAAUCACAUAAAUCUCCAAACGAAGCGCAUCACAAAGGGGGUCACGAGCGUCAGGGAAUGGGCUUGGGCCUGGCAUUCAAAGGAUGGUGGGUACAACAAUAACUAGACCAAAGUAAUUUCCUGCCUGCAACAGUUAUGCCUUUACCAGCCUCCUUUACGGUAUGCAUUUUGCAGUUGAAAUUGUCUGCUGCUGGAGGACUGGAAUCGCAGGCAAGAUCUGAGCCUUGUGGAUUCCUGUAGGGUUGGCUGGGUUUAUCAUCUAAUCCUCUCAUUGACAAUAGUACUGCGGGAUCAGCCGAUUAUGACAUGAAUGAUCGGAAACAAAUCAAUGAACCUAAUCUUAUCAAAUAACCGGGGAGGGAUAGAAAUUGCCAAGCUCCCAAACAAAUCCAAAGAACUCGAACUGACUUCGUUUGUCUGCUUCUGCUGGCUAGUGAGGUCGAAAACAGUCCGAUCAAAGAUGUUUUUUUUUUUUGGAUCAGUUGUCAUCAUCUACACCUGAUCAAAAAAAAUAUUUUACGCGGGCUUUUUUAAACUUUUAUUGUCCCUACCGUUCCGCACACGAGGGCCAAACCAAAGGAGAUCUCGAUUAAGGUUUCCGGUUUGCUUCAAUAGCUGCGCUUGGGCAUGGUACUUUGCUGGGGCAGGAUACAGAUGUUAGGAUUGCAUUAAAUGCGUGAUAUUGAAAGCACUCCAAACACAUUCUUCGCCUCUGGUGCAAAUUUUUUGUUUUUCAUCAGUAGUCUGCGGCCUGCCCAUACAGUGUAUACCUAUCAAUAAAAUUCGGCAUUUAAGAUGUGUACGGUUGGUACUUGGUACGCUAAUCAUUCUUGUGAUUUUUGGUAGAAAGAAAACCAAAAAGGCCAUCUUUGGUUGUCAAUUUGCAUAAUUUUCAGUGCAGCGUAUGGUGCCUCCGGUGGUCCGAUUGGAACACAAGCAGUCGUGAGCUCAGUGGUAGCCAGUUUGGUUUGGUGGGGUUUUCUUUGACUACUGAGAUCACCCACUUUUCCACCGGGCCAAUGCCUUCUUGCGACCCAAAAUAAAACUACCUCAAAAUGGAAUCACACCCCAUCGAUUACUGUUAUCGAUCAAUAAUGUAAACUUCUUGAUUCACAUUCAAAGCAUUUUUUUUAUCACUAGUUUCUAAUAGACGAUUGUUGACUCUAAACUUCAAAAGCAUGGAAUAGUUAAGCCAAUGUAUGUGCACUCAGCAAAUCACUUCGUCUUUAAUCCCAGUUAUUAUGUUUAAGAUCAUUGGACUACCAAGACUUCUUGGUAUUUAAAAAGUCUUGCAUCUCUACAAUUCCAUCAAGGAGAAUGAAAGCAUCAAAUGGUCGUCCUAUCGGAGAACAUUCUUCUUAUAGGCAGGAUCAUAUAAGGUUUAUGUGGAUCUUUUUAAGAACGCUUAAAAUUUUGCUCCUGAAAACAGGAACAAGUUGUUCCUGAAUUUUGAUUAUAAUUAAGAACUUGAUCGAAACUACAACUCUACUGCAGAGGUCAUUCGGUUCGAGGGAGAGGAGAGAGAAAAAAAAAAAAAAAAACUGGUCCAGCUGGUGUAAGAGAAUUCGUGUAUUUGUUCUCACGUUUGCUGAUUAAUUCACAAAUACAAACACAGUAGUGAGCUGGUGGUCACCACCAAUAUAUUAAAGUUUGGUAGGGUAGGAGACAAGGGUUCAAACCUAGUCUCCCCCCAAUUUGCCAUAUUAAAAAAGUGGCUCUACUUAAAAAGUCCAAGUUGGUGCGUAAUAGUGCACCCGUCUGGUCCGAUAAUAGGUCGGUCCCCUCCGAAUUAUCCUUGAAUCUCUCCAGAUCCUUCUCCUUCCCCUACUGUAAAAUAAUCUAUCGUAUAAAAAAAAAACAAACACAAUAAUGGUCCAAUCACAAUAUUCAGAUCAAUACAGCUACCCAAAGCUCACCCUUCCCCCACACCCCCCAACACACACAAACACACAACACCAUCACCACCACAAAAAAAAAAGAAGGCUAUAGACAUUUUAGAGCUUAGAAGACAAAACCCACAAAUUUUUUGUAAGUAUAGAUACUUUACCUUUCUCUUUGGUGCUAAAAUGUCAUUUGAUAUUCUAACAUAGUUAUUGACAGACACCGUAAAUGUGUUAGAAAGGGAAAAAAAAUGAUAAAUGUGUUGGCAAUUUUUUUCAUUCUAGUGUGAGUAAAUCUGACUUAGCUAAGAUACGUGUCUGACAUGUUUCAUCUUUUCCUUCAAGGCGUCAGAUAUUCCAAGUCCAGCUUAACAUUUAAUGCGAGAUAAUCACUAGUAAGUACUAUUUUAUUCUGAGGUGGACAACAGUUAUUAGGCAAGCAAAGGGCAAGAAUUAGAAUAGAGAAGCAAUUCUAGAGCUAGCAGGUGCAGAACAUAUUAUUCCGACUUGGCAAUUUGGGUGCAAGAAUUUGCAAAAUGAUAACUAUUUUCCACAAGUGUUUUUCUGCAACCAUAUAGAUUAAGUGUGAAAGCCGGGGAUUUAUGUAGGCGUGGUCGUCCUCCACGUGGCGAGAGGCGAUUGGCUUUCUAGUGACGUGGCACGAUGUGAUUGGUAGUCAACUGUGCUUGGUUGCAUCUGAUUUUUUCUCCCCGUUCUUCGUCCCGUCUUUUCUUUCUUUCGCUUUUGUACUGUUUUUUCUCAUGCUUCCUUCCUUUCUAUCCACUCAUCAGCUUCCUCUCUACCUACUUCAACCUGCUUCUUUUUCGCCAUAUAUUGGUAUUGUUUCCACUUCAAAAUUUGCCUUGGUUGCACUUGACUUUUUCACUUCUCUCUCCUUUAUUCGUUUUUCCUUCCGUUUGUUUUUGCUACUGUGUUGCUUUCUGUCCACUUCUUUUUUCCUUUUCGGUCAUAUACUCCCGCUGUUUCCACUCAAAAAAUUACUGUGCCUUCACAGUCCUUGCACAUCCUUCCCACAUUCUUUCUGUUAUUUCCUUUCCGAGGAUUAGGUGGUUGUGAUGAGAAAACCUGUUGCUUAUCCUCCUUAUUUCUCCAUACAAUCAGGUAAUUGGUAUGUUCAUGCCUAUUUCGCUGUUGCUGCUGCUCCUCAUCGUUGCCAAUUCCACAGUAUCCAGUGAGCUCCCUGUAGCAUUCAACAUUGGACUUGUCUGCUGACUUUGGCCUUUGAUUUGUUAAUGGAUAGCCUCCUUGUCCUCUUCUUCUUCCUUGAAAUUGAUUUUCUUUAUGCUGGUAUUGUUGUUGUUGGUUGCCACGAUCAUUAUUUCCUCUACCUCUGCCUCUGCCUCUUCUUCAUGUUGAGUGACUUUCUGCUGAAGCCACCAGUGCUUGCUCCUCUUUUUCUUACUGGUUAAUUUUUUGCUCAUGAACCAACAAAGAACUCUGCAACUCAUCAAUUGAAAUUGCAUCAAUAUCUUUCGAUUCCUCUAUACAGCAUACAAUAAAAUUAAAUUUUGUUGUCAUUGAUCGAAGAAUCUUCUCGACAAUGGUGGCGUCCUUCAAAUUUUCUCCAUGGAUCCUCAUCUUGUUAGCGAUUGCCAUCAUUCUUGCGAAAUAAUCAGUGACUGAUUCGCUUGAUUUCAUGCGUAAAGUCUCAAAUUCGGUCCGAAAAGCUUGAAACUGCACCCGCUUCGCCUUUGCAUUUCCUUGAUACUUUUUCUUCAUGGAGUCCCAAAUUUGUUUGGAGGUAUCUUUGCUAAGAAUUGUCUCCAAAAUGGCUUGAUUAAUAGCUUGAAAAAGAUAAUUUUUAGCUUUAAGAUCUUUUAGUUUCAAUGCUUCCAACUCCAUUUUUUGCACCUCUGACAAUAUUUCUCCGGCUGUUGGCUCUGCUACUCCAGAUUCGACAACCUGCCAAUGCUCCUUGGAUCUCAAGAAGUUCUCCAUUAGCAUACUCCAAUGAUCAUAGUGACCAUCAAAGCGAGGAAUUGCUAACUGCACAAAAUUGUCGGUGGCCAUCGUAAUUAAUAAUUCUCACAACUCACUUUUGUUUUCACUCACUAGCCUAGAUCUGGUACCACUGAUACAAAUAUUGAGGCAAAUAAUAAGAGAAGCAAAGGACAAAAUAUUUAUUUCUUUGUAAAACUGACAUUCCUCAUAACAUGAAAUUAAUCUAUUUAUAGAGUUGAAACCAACUCCACUAACUAUCCCACUAACUCCACUAACUCCACUAGCUACUCCACUAAUUCCACUAGUUGCUCCACUAGUUGUUCCUCAUUCCACCCCAAACUAGUUGCUCCACUAGUUGCUCCACUAAAUGUCAUAGGUAUGGCCAUUAUCAGUCCGAAUGUCGAACUAAUUUGAAUAGACAAAAUGGAGAAAUGACUAAUUUUACAGAAAAAGAAGAAGAAGUGUCUCUUUUGAUGGUGUGCCACAUGAGUGAAGAAACUUAACAAAACACGUGGUAUUUAGACACCGAUUGCAGCAAUCACAUGUGUGGAGAUAAGAAGGCAUUCUCUGAAUUGGACGAGUCAUUCCAUAGCACUGUCAAGUUUGAUGACAACUCUACAAUUUCUGUUAUGGGAAAAGGAAGGGUAAUUAUCCAAGCUAAAGAAAAUUCUUCUACCCACACUAUUACUGAUGUUCUUUUUGUUCCAGACUUAAAGAGAAAUUUGCUUAGCGUGGGUCAGUUGUUCGAAAAAGGGUACGAGAUUUCAAUCAAAGAUGGUGUAUGUCAGAUUCGAGAUGCCAAGUUGGGCUUAAUUGCUCAAGUUAAGAUGCCGGCGAAUCGUAUGUUCCCACUCUAUUUGCAGAACUUGACUCAUUUAUGUUUCUCGACAAAAUUGAAAGAUGUGGCAUGGUUAUGGCAUUUUCGUUAUGGACAUUUGAAUUUUGGGGGAUUAAAAACUCUGCAACAGAAAAAUAUGGUAGCUGGUUUACCUCAAAUCACAACUCCUUCAGAAGUUUGUGAAGAGUGUGUUAUUGGCAAACAACAUCGGGAUAGCUUUCCAAAAGAAAAAUCGUGGAGAGCAAAAAAUGUCUUGGAGUUGGUUCACUCAGAUCUAUGCGGACCCAUAAAUCCGUCAUCUAAUGGUGGAAAACGUUAUUUUAUGACGUUUACUGAUGAUUAUAGUCGAAAAACUUGGGUCUAUUUUUUGCAGGAAAAAUCUGAAGCAUUUUCAACAUUCAAAAAUUUCAUGACUCUUGUUGAAAAGGAAGCAGACAAAUCCAUAAAAUUUUUCCGCAGUGAUCGUGGUGGAGAGUAUAAUUCACAAGAAUUUAUAAAUUUUUGUGAGGAGUAUGAAAUUCAGAAGCAGCUUACAACAGCUUAUACGCCGCAGCAGAAUGGUGUUUCAGAGAGAAGAAUCGUACAAUAUUGAACAUGGUGAGGAGCAUUUUGACAAAAAGUGGUGUUCCAAAAAAUUUUUGGCCUGAAACUGUCAACUGGAGCAUUCAUAUAUUGAAUAGAAUUCCCACACUUGCUGUUAAGAAUAUGACGCCUGAGGAAGCAUGGAGCAGACGAAAACCAACAGUGGAUCACUUCAAAAUUUUUGGAUGCAUUGCCUAUGCUCGUGUUCCAGAGCAAAAGAGGACAAAACUAGACAACAAAGGGGAGAAAUGCAUUUUUCUUGGUGUUAGUGAUCAGUCAAAAGCUUAUUAGCUUUAUAAUCCUAUCACCAAGAAAAUUGUCAUCAGUCGGGAUGUAAUUUUUGAUGAGAAAAUUUUUUUGCCAUGGAGCAGCAAUAUUAUUAAACAACAAAUACCCGCUGAUUUUGAUGGAGUUGAUGAAGAAAACAGGCAGCAGUUGACCGAACAAAUUCCAUCAAAUGGUCCAGAUAAUGUAUCAAAUUCCCAAACAGUAGCAGAAGAUGAAUGACGGUCUCAACGUAUUAGAAAAAGACCUGCAUGGAUGAUUGAUUAUGAGGUAACUGGAAUUGAUCAAUCUGAAGACCACUUACAUAUUUUGCACUAUUUUCCGAUUGUGAUCCUACAGUUUUUGAAGAAGCUGUCAAAGAUUUGAAGUGGCAGAAGGCAAUGGAUGAAGAAAUUGCAGCUAUUGAACGAAAUAACACUUGGGAGUUAACCAAUCUUACAGAAGGAUAAAAAUCUAUAGGUGUCAAGUGGGUGUACAAGACGAAAUUAAAGGAGAAUGAAGAAGUUGACAAGUACAAGGCACGUCUGGUAGCUAAAGGCUAUAAGCAAGAGUUUGGGGUUGAUUAUGGAGAAGUCUUUACUCCAGUCGCAAGGCAUGACAUGAUUAGGAUGGUGAUAGCAUUGGCAGCUCAAAAUUCAUGGCCUAUCUUCCAAUUGAAUGUGAAAUCAGCAUUUUUACAUGGUGAUUUACAGUAACAGGUAUUUAUUGAUCAACCUCCUGGUUAUGUGAAGGUUGGAAGUGAACAUAAGGUAUACAAACUCAAGAAAGCAUUAUAUGGGUUAAAACAAGCCCCACAUGUUUGGUAUAGUCGUAUAGAUGCUUAUUUUUCUAAAGAGGGAUUUAAGAAAUGUCCAUAUGAGCAUACACUUUUCAUAAAGAUUGGAGAUGGAGGUAAAUUGCUGAUUGUUUGCUUAUAUGUUGAUGAUCUUAUUUUUACUGGGAAUGAUAGUGCCAUGUUUGAGAAAUUCAAGAAAUCUAUGAUGGCUGAAUUUGAUAUGUCUGAUCUUGGAAAGAUGCAUUAUUUUUUGGGUAUUGAAGUGGUGCAAUCUGCUGAUGGAAUUUUUGUCUCUCAAAGAAAAUAUGUGCAAGAAAUUUUGAACAGAUUUCAAAUGUCGAAUUGUAAUUCUGUUAGUACGCCAUUCGAAGUGGGUUUAAAACUCAUCAAAGAACCAGGAGGAAAGAGGGUUGAUAGCACCCUUUACAAGCAAAUUGUGGGAAGUUUGAUGUAUUUGACAGCAACUAGGCCUGAUAUUAUGCAUGCUGUAAGUCUUAUUAGUAGAUACAUGGAAAAUCCAAGAGAGACACAUCUUCUAGCUGCUAAGAGAAUUCUUCGAUACUUGCAGGGAACCAUUGAGUAUGGAUUAUUUUACAAGACCGGUGAAAAAUCAGAUUUGUUUGGUUUUACUGACAGUGACUAUGCAGGCGAUUCUGAUGAUAGAAAGAGUACGUCUGGAUAUGUGUUCAUGAUGGGUUCAGCAGCUAUUUCAUGGUGUUCAAAGAAGCAACCAAUUGUUACGUUAUCAACAACUGAAGCAGAGUAUGUAGCUGCAACCGCCUGUGCCUGUCAAGCAAUUUGGUUAAGGAAUAUUCUUGAAGAGUUACAUUUUCAGCAAGAAGGAGCUACUACAAUUUAUUGUGACAACAGUUCUGCCAUCAAACUCUCUAAAAAUCCAGUUCUACAUGGAAGAACCAAGCACAUAGACGUUGGAUUUCACUUUCUAAGGAAGCUCACAAGAGAUGGAAUAAUUGAUUUUCUCUACUGCAAAAGUGAAGAUCAGAUUGCGGACAUAAUGACCAAGCCAUUGAAGUUAUUCACGUUUCAGAAAUUAAGGAAGUUACUUGGAGUCUGUGCAGUUGAUAAGUCCUAUUAAACUGAAUGUUUGAGAAACUUUCAGUUUAAGGGAGGAAUUGUUAGAAAUAUUUACCGUUAUUAAUUAAUUAAUGGAGUUAGUGGAAUAAUUAGUGGAGCAACUAGUGGAGUUAGUGGAGUUGCUAGUGGAGUUAGUGGAGUUAGUGGGAUAGUUAGUGGAGUUGGUUUCAACUCUAUAAAUAGAUUAAUUUCAUGUUAUGAGGAAUGUCAGUUUUACAAAGAAAUAAACAUUUUGUCCUUUGCUUCUCUUAUUAUUUGCCUCAAUAUUUGUAUCACUCCCAUGCUCUUUUAUGGACUUAUUUUACUCUUUAUUCCACAUUUCUCCCUUUUCUCGUCUCGAUUGAUCUCUAGUUUUUAUCGUUUCCGUAGUUUACGUUGCCAUAUGGAUAUUUUGCUAUAUACAUGCUAUUGUUUAACUUGACCUUGUGCUAUUUCUUUAUUGCUUAAUUUCCUUUUGAUUGCCUAAGUCGCUCCCCUCGGCGAUUCUUUUCUGACAGGCUUGCUACAUGUGCAUUAAUAUAGCUAACUGCCUUUGUUUUGUCAUAAUUUUUGCAUUUGCUUGCUUUGCUUUUGUUGCGGUUUUUCCUUUGCUUCGGAGGCAUUACUUGCUCUGCUCUAUUUUCUCUUCUGUAUGAACAAGACUUGAAUCACUGCUUGUUUGAUGCCUUGAGUUGUUAUUGAAUCUGUCUGCAUUUCACUUUUGUAUUUCAAAGACUAGAACAAUGGCUUUAUGGAGCCUUGAGCCAUCAUGGUUAUCUUACUUGGGAGGCUCGUAUGAAAGUUUAGCGGCCUCUGCACAAGCGUAAGUCCAUCUAUAAACUUCUUCUUGUCUUUGAAGUUAUUGUUAGGUUCCAUUUUAAGUUCAAACGAGAUAUGCUUCUUGCAUGCUUGCAUAUUAGCACGAGGCAAUUGAGCCCAAAAUAGCGCAUCGAGAUAUAAAGUCAAGCAAUAUACUCAUUGAUGAUGACUUCAAUGCUAAACUAUCUAAUUUUGGUCUGGCUAAGUUGCUCGGUGCAAGAAAAGUCAUAUUACAACCAAAGUUAUGGAUUCCUUUGGAUGGGUAUUUAUAUCAGGCAUCCAAUCUCAAUUGAAAAAAGUCUCUUUUUCCUUACUGCUUUCUGUUUACAAGCUCUCUAAUUAACCUAAACUUGGCUCUUCUUUUUCUGACAUUCUCUGUUUUUCCCCUUUUUUAACCCAUAUAGAUAUGUAGCAUUUGAAUAUGCAAAUAGUGGCCUCCUAAAUGAGAAGUGUGAGGUUUAUAGCUUUGCGAUUGUGUUUUUGGAAGCCAUUACUGGAAGAGAUCCUGUAGAUUAUGGUUGCUCUGCACCUGAGGUAUGCUAGAUAGCAAUGUUCGAAUAUAUAUACACAUGUUUGUCUAUAAAUAUCAAAAGUUUUGGCUGAAGAAUUGGCGUACUUUUAUUAAUGAGUAAACUGGAUUGUUUAAAAUUAAAAAUUCAGAUAAAAAUUGUCAUGAAUAAUAUGAAACUGCAAUUCGCAAUCUUGAGCCAUAAUCAAUGACAAUCUAUACUUUAUCUACUUUCCCUUCCUCUGUUUUCCAAUGUUUUCUUGAACCUACAGUAUCCAAGUUUGAUAUAGAAGUUUGAAAAUACACAUCAUGAUGAUUGGUUCUGAGUAUAGAAGAUCUUCUCAGCAUUUUGAAAAAGAUUCAUAUCUUUACUAUCUUGAUUUCCAGUCAUUUGCUGUUUGAAAUUGACCAAUUACGAGGACAUCUUGCCACUCAUGUUGAAAUUGACUCUAUGUUUUGAUUUAGAUUUUAUUUUCAUAAUUUCUACAUUCAUAUUGAAGCCUGAAUCCUUUUCAUCUAAUAAUCUGGUUACAGGGUGUUCAUCCAUGCGAUAAGAGAAGCAUCAAUCAGUAUCAGUGUCUUUUUCUUGCAAUAGAUUUUUCACUGGCAAGUGUUUCAAAUCUCUGCUACCAGUCAUUUAGGGUGAUAUAGUGUUAUCAUUGGUCAUGGACCAGAUAUUUCAAAUAGUUUUUUCCUUACAUAUGAUUGGAUCUUGAAUCUUGAUUUAUGUUUAGAUAGAAAGUGAUGAGGAUACUUUGUGGAAGGCAAAUGUUAGGGAGACAAAAGAAGAAGUUGCAGUUAGAGGAAUGAACUUCAAGAAAUAGUAAACCACUUUAUUGUUAUUGCAUUAGAAGUUGAACUUUAAUCGCAACCACAAGUUUGUGUUCAAAUGCACAUAGGCUCGCACUUGUCAUCUGUUGAAAUAGAUUGCAGUAGUUUCAGUUUUGAAUAAGUAACCUCUGCUCAGGAGUACUUUAAUAAAGUUUUUUAUUUUUGGCCAUCUUGGUCCUUAUUGCUUGGUGACAAAUGCAUAUGAUAGAAUGAGGCUUAGUCACAAGGUUGAUUGGGAGUUAACCUUGGACUAUGAUGCAAAACAUGGCUCUCUCUCUCUCUCUCAACCAUUGUUAAUUCAAGGGAAGAUUAAAUACUCAUAUGCAUAUUUAUGAGUCUUUAUACAAUAUAGCUGCAUAUCUGUGAGUCAUUGUACAAUAUAUAGAUAUAGGUAGCCAUAGUUAUGCCAUACUGUCUAUAACAUAUGUAUUUAGAUUGGUCAUGCAUAAAAACAUGUGAAAGGUUCGACCCAUCCACAUGAAUCAUUUAGGAAGAUUCUUGUGAACGAGAUUGAUUAUUUUCUGCAUUACCUUCUCUAGAACACUCCUCUGAAAAACAUAUAUCAUGGAUGCAGGUUACUGACACGAAGAGAGAGAGAGAUGGCUAUUGUUACCCAUGGUGGAUUCUUGUUUCAUACACUAUCCACAUUUGGUAAUGACUGUCACUCUUCAGUCAAGAAAGAAAUCGCUCAGCAGUAAGUUCUCGUGCUAUUAGUAUCUAUCUCCAAAAACUUUAAACUCCAUUUGGAUGAUGUGCUAUUGUUAUAUCUGAUCGUAUUUUGGCGCAAGUAUUGAUUAAAGCUUGUAAGCUGUGAAGCAAAUCGGAUGGUAGACUAUUUAGCUAAUGUAUGGGAUGCUAACAACAGGAUAUCUUUUAUUAUGAUGUUAUGCUCCACCAUUUUUUAGUUGCAGCAAGAUGGCUGUUUGGGGAUUUUAUUCUCGUUUUGUGUCUCAAUAUGAUUGUAUAUUAUUUUAAAGUUCCUUUUAUGCAUAAAAAAUUAUGAAAACUACAAAAGCUAAAACUGUAGCUUAUUUUCACUAUUAAAUAAAAUAACAAAAACUGCAAAGAUAUAGAUACACUUUUAUGUAACUUUUCAUAUUUAAUAUCUGAAUUUAAAUAAUUAAACAUGUAUGGACAAGAUUGAAAAUUAUCACGCGCGUGGUGUCAUCCCCCUGGUCUAUUCUAAAGUUGUUAGUAUUUCGUACGAAACGAAAUCGAAUCUCUGCUUUGGUGGGAUCGUCAUCGUAUUAUGGGAAAAUAAACGAAAAUGCGUUUUAGGCUUGAUGUGACUGCAGUUGGGAAAGUACAUGAAUCCAUGGCCGAAAGGAUAAUAUAUAUAUAUAAAUAUAAUAUAUAUACUAGUAUAAUUAACAAAAACAUUUCAUCAGCUUCCAGAAGGGGAAGUUUCAGAUUCCUUGAAGACAAAAACACGAGAAGAAGAUACUUUUUUUUUUUUGUCAAGCACGAGAAGAAGAUACUUGGAGGGAUCUAACUGCAGUUUACAAGGAAUUCAAUAAGAUUUUUCACGUAAAUUUGUCAGAAGAAUAUGCACAUUUGGAUGUUGAAGGAGGUCAGUAUGAGAAAAGAAAGGUGGCAGUUUAUUUAGAGUGAAGUGACACGUGUAUUCCAGGUGUCAAAAAAGUUAACGAGGAAGCACGCCUCAAAAUGUGAAGCCAAGUGGUGUAACGAAAGGAAGAAGACAUCUUACUUAAAGUCUUGAGGCCAUGCACAUACAAUGGUAAACAAAUACCAACCUACAACAACAAAAGGGUUUGGAAUCUUGGCCGGAUAAGAUAAACACUGAGAAAAGCGAGCGUAGGAGACGCGCCGCCGGGGGAAAAACCCCGUCCUUUCUUGUUUCGGAGCAUAUGCCACCGGAGUCAACUUGAACUUGUCGGCAAAUUGUUAUCAUCCAAUUAUUUACUAUAAUUGCGGACCCAAGCUUCUGCAGGUGUUGUCUAAGGAGUUCUAGUCUCCUUCCCUAAUUUCUACAAGUCAUGGAAAUAAAUCGAGUAGUUCCCUAUUAGUUUUCAAUAACGUGUCAAUUGUUUGGUAUCAGAAGCAUUAUUGUUCUCUAUUAGGAAAAGUUCAUCAUGAAAUGUGUACUUAUGGGGUCAUCAUCAUGAUGAAAUCGGAGUCGCUUUGUAGCAUGAUAUUUACAUGAAGAAGCGUAGGUGAAAUCAAGAGAAAGAUUAGGAUUCCGAGAAGACGGGUGCCUGCGAAAUUUUCGUGAGAAGCUCAACUUGUUCGCUUAGAAUUGGACAUUCACAUGGAUUAUUCACAGUUUCAAUUUCAAUCUCAGACAAAUCGAUAAGAAUCCUAGGUUCCAGAAAUAUGCUCGAAAGACGGGCAAACUUCACAAAAACUUUCACUCUCGUGAACUUCUCCAAAUGGCUAUCUUACCAAUAUCAUCAAGAUGAAAUUUUUCGAAAACUAUAUGCCUAGAAGACUGCUAAUUCAAACCCAUGGGAUCAUCCUGCAGUAAACACUACUACUUACCAAAAAUUUCCUCAAUUAUGAUUAUACUUAAUUUUAGUUGACUUGACUAAGUUCUAAAUUUUUUGACAGCCCAACAAAGUCCUAGUACACCUCUUGACCAAUGGAGAAAAAAAUGGAGAUCCAAAAGUAGAAAGCAAGUAGUGCUGCAUUAAGUACAAAGGAUAAACGCAAGAAAUGACCAUGAGUGAGAGAGAGAGAGCAUUUAAUGCAUUCUGCAACUUCUUGGCGUACACAGCAUUUGCCUGUUUACCUGACUGACCGACCGACUGACUGACAUUUGUAUGUUCUCCACUCCCUACCUACAUUCCCUGCUUCCUUCACUUCCUCACUCUUUUUAUCUUUAGCAAGUCUUCUUCACUCUCUCUUCCUAUCAGCUUUCCUGCUCUUCUGAUUCAUUCUCUUUAAAUUGAUUGCCCUUUCCCUUUCAUUUGCUCACAACUCUUGAAAAUUUCCUUAUACAAUCUUUUCUGAGUCCAGCUACCAAUGAACUCACCACUCCACCAAGAAUCUGUAGAGAAUGGAAGUCCUAAGCAGGUAAUACCAAUUCCCCUGUUUUCUGAAUUUGGCCAUUUUAAUUCUUCCAUUUGUAAGAGUCACUCCACCAAUAACCAAAAGGGUUCACUACAAUUUGCUGAGAAUGACUUGUCAUUGUCCACAGCAUUGACGGAGGUCGGUGAAUGACCCACUGUUAGAUUUUCUAGUGGAAAGCCGAAGAUAAAGUGUGUAGCUUUUUUUUGUUCUAUGGCAAAUUUUGCUGCAAGGACACAGCUUGCAUCAAUAAUAUUAGUAGGACAAGAAUGUGAUGAUGCAUUUUUGGUGCCUUAGAAUUGGGGAUGGGGCAUUAUGUAUGUUCUGAGUGGUAUUAUGACCAUUCUGCCUUUCCAAAAAUGCAAGCUUUGCAAAUAGAGUGUUUUUUGCCAGUUCAGCUGAAGUUGUCAAUAUAAGUGAAGUCAAGGCUGAAUGAGUGAGGCCGGAUAUUAUGGUUUUUUCAUAGUACAUUAUAUGGCUGGUGAGUUUUUUUUUUUCCGCUUAUAUUUCCUUUAAAUGAUGAUGCCCAUAUCAGAUGAAGUGAAUUACCUCAAUCUUCAAGUACUAAGGAGUGAGGACGUGGAAGUUGCAAUAAAUUUCUGUUGGAUUCGUGAAUGAUGGGGGAUGAUCAUUUGAAAAACUAGAAAUUUAUCUCCUCUUUCCACUGGAAAUUAAUUCAUGGACUUCAUCAGAAGAGAAGGACAUUGGCUUUCAUCUACAAAAGAUUUUUUUUGCUUUUAAAUUUGUGGGUUUAACAUUUUUUGAACUUGGUCCAACCUUUUCUCUGUCCUGAAUCAGAACUUGGAGAAGGCAUCAUGCAUUUCUGCACUCACAUUGGCUUAUCAGAGCCUUGGAGUUGUUUAUGGUGAUCUCAGUACUUCUCCUCUCUAUGUUUACAAGACCACAUUUUCUGGAAAGCUUAGGGUUCAUGAGGAUGAUGAGGAGAUUUAUGGGGUGCUGUCCUUCAUCUUCUGGACGUUUACCCUUAUUGCUCUUUGCAAAUACAUAAUCAUUGUCAUGUCUGCUGAUGAUAAUGGAGAAGGUAUAGUUUGUCAUCCUCUCUGGUCCUUUUUUAUGAGAUUCUUUAGAGAUUCAAGUAAACAAAAAAACUUAGUACAACCUAAAAAUUUGGCUUACAUAAUCAAAGUAGUAUCAAUUAUUUAGGAAUCUGAAUAAGAAACUUAUUUACUAGAGAAUUUUGUUCUUGAGCUAUUACUGUCAUGAACAAGUUCGAAUGUGUUUUGCAACUAAAGCGUUAUCCUAUUCUCCUUUCCUAUUGUUAGAGCUUCGAGACCAUUUCAGUUGGAUAUUGUCCUACGUCUCGCAUAUUACUAUUUGCCCAAACAUUUCCACGUUCCAUUUUGUAUAUGCUUUGGAGGCCCAAGUGUCUGUACACUUUCAUUUUGACCCUAUAGAGAAGAUGCCUGCAUCACCUUUUUGUGACUUUUUCUUUGGUGCAGGAGGCACUUUUGCAUUAUACUCUCUACUGUGCAGACAUGCAAGACUUAGUAUUCUUCCCAAUCAACAGGAUUCGGAUAAGAAAUUGUCCUCUUACGCAACAGAAGGGUCAGCAGACACUUGGGAUAGCGCUUUUUUGAAGUCUUUUGCUGAGAAGCACCAAAAGUUUCGGAAUAUACUCUUGAUCUUUGUUCUUCUGGGGACUUGUAUGGCCAUUGGUGAUGGCAUAUUUACUCCUGCAAUAUCAGGUAACUUGUUGUAGGCUCCAGAAUACAGUCUCAUAAGUUGUUAACUGGUGGAAUUGGUAGUGAACAGACAUUUCCUAUAUCCAACACCUGAAAGCGAACUGUAGCCUUAGAUGUCUCAAUAUUACCCAUCAUCUUUUCCUACAGAAUGUUUGUUUCUUUUUUCAGAUUGUAGCUAUCGUAAAUAAAGUUGUGAUACAUUUUUAUUUUCAGUUCUUUCAGCUGUUUCGGGCGUUAAAAUUAAAGCCUCAGAACUUCAUGAGAGUGAGUCAUUCUCAAUAUGUUAAUUUGUAGAUCUUUCUAGGGGUUCAAUCAAAUUUGAACUUUCUUUUUGUCCAUUCUCACUACUCUAUCUCGUGCAAUAUAUUGAUUCCAGAUUAUGUUGUGGUGAUCUCCUGCGUCAUUCUGGUGGUACUAUUUUAUAUUCAACAUCAUGGAACAAGUAGGGUUGCUUUUUUAUUUGCUCCAAUUGUUAUAGCAUGGCUGCUCUGCAUCAGCAGCAUUGGUAUGUAUAACAUAAUCAGGUGGAACCCACACAUAUAUCAAGCUCUAUCUCCAAUUUACAUGUUGAAAUUUCUAAAAGAAACAGGCUGGGAAGGUUGGGUGUCUUUAGGAGGAGUAGUUCUCUCAAUUACAGGUAUUCCCUUCACUCUUCUGAUAUACUCUUUCUGGUUGGAAAAGUUCAUUAAGACUUCACAUUAUUGAAUUCCUUUCACAGGCGUGGAGACAAUGUUUGCUGUCCUGGGCCAUUUUUCGGCAUUGUCAAUUAAGGUAAACUAUCAGUCUGAGGACUCUGCUUUCCGUGACUGCCAAUUUGAGAACAAGAAGGUAAUCAUAACAUUUUCUAAUUUAACAUUUUGAAUAAACCUGCAGGUGGCUUUUAUAUUUCUCGUAUAUCCAUGUCUGAUUCUUGCAUAUUUGGGUGAGGCUGCAUAUCUCUCUCAGCAUCAUCACGAUAUUGAAAGCAGCUUCUACAAGGCCAUACCAGGCAAGAUGUUUAUGAGGGCUUCCAAGUAACUGGCUAUAUUUCUCUGUUGUGUCUUCUAAUUAUGCUACUGAUCUAUGUACAGAACCCGUAUUUUGGCCAGUGUUUAUAGUGGCCACAUUAGCAGCAGUUGUGGGAAGUCAAGCAGUAAUAUCUGCUACCUUCUCCAUUGUAAGCCAGAGCUGUGCGUUACAUUGUUUUCCGCGUGUGAAGAUUGUCCAUACAUCAAGUAAAAUAUAUGGUCAGAUCUACAUUCCGGAAAUCAAUUGGAUAUUAAUGUGCCUAUGUUUAAUUGUGACAAUCAUAUUGAGAGACACAAACAGGAUCGGACAUGCUUAUGGUACAAACUUUGACCAUAAAUGCUUAAGUGUCACAUGUAAACCAUUUAUGUCCAGACUGACCAUAGUCUUUCAUGUCCUUGCUCUGUGUUUUGGCAGGACUAUCGGUAACAUCUGUUAUGUUUGUAACAACAUGUUUGAUGACCCUGGUGAUGGUAAUAGUAUGGAAGCAAAAGGCUGUAGUGGCUGCUUCCUUCUUAGUAAUUUUUGGGUCGAUAGAGCUCCUGUACCUGUCAGCAGUCUUCUUUAAGGUCCUGGAUGGUGGUUGGAUUUCACUACUUCUGUCGUGGACUCUCAUGGCCACAAUGUUCAUCUGGAACUAUGGAUCCCUCAAGAAGCACCAGUUUGAUUUGGAGAACAAGGUUUCAAUGGACAGGAUAUUGUCUUCAGGACCUAGUCUCGGAAUGGUUCGAGUUCCUGGAAUUGGGCUUAUUUACACCAAUCUAGUGACAGGCAUACCAGCCAUUUUUGGGCACUUUGUGACAAACUUGCCUGCUUUUCAUGAAGUGCUAGUUUUUGUAUGCGUAAAGUCUGUUCAAGUUCCCUAUAUCAGCGAGAAGGAACGGUUUCUAGUAACCAGGAUAUAUCCAGAAGACUAUGGUAUGUACAGGUGCGUCAUCAGAUAUGGCUACAAAGACCUACAACAGGAAAACUAUGAUUUUGAGAACAGACUGGUGUCUGAAAUUGUCAACUUCAUAGAAACGAAAGGAGAAAAUGAGCCAACACUAAGGAUGCAAAUUUGCACAUGUUCUGGAAACUCUGAUGAUGAAGCCGUCGAUGUUUCUGAGCAGAUACUCUCCUAUCCAAAUCAGGGAGAGACAACGAUGCAGUCUAAAAAUGUCGGAGUGUUGAUUUCACAAGAUGGACAUUGCAAAAGACCUCACCUGAAGGACGAAUCACUACACAUACUGAGAGCGAGGGAAGCUGGCAUGGCUUACAUCCUGGGGCAUUCUUAUGCCAGGGCAAAGAAAUCAUCUUCGAUUUUCAAGAAAGUAGCCAUUAACGUAAUUUAUGCUUUCUUAAGCAGGAAUACUAGGCGACCUGAGGUGGUGCUGAAUGUGCCUCCUACAUCAUUGUUGGAAGUGGGUAUGAUUUACUAUGUCUAAUUUCUGACAGAAUCUGCAGAGAGAAGCGUCAGGAUAUGCUACAUUGCGACUGUGCUGCUGACUUUUGUGAUGGAAGCUGGUGAACAAAAUGUUACCCAAGUUGAAGUUUCCUCAUCUAUGAGCUUCAGGUUAAAAAUUUAGCACUGCUAAAUGUACUCUGUAUAUACAAGUGCCAGAACAUGAUCAAAAAGCAGUAGAUAUACAUUUGAAUACACAAAUUUUCGUAUCUUUUUGAGUUUGACCACUGAUUGUCAAAAAAGAAAUACAACUGAUAAUUCUCGUCAUAAGGUUGGAGGCUCGGCCACAUCCAAAAUUUAUUGAGCCAUUCAAAACUAAAAUCACUGACCAUAGUCUUUUGUACUUCGUUAUGCAUAAUCUUGUAUAUCUCAUUAGUGUAGGUGCCCAUGUUUGCUCAUAAAAAACAAGCUAAACCCUUAAUGGGUAAGAUCUAAAAUUGUUUCUCACUAAAAGUGAUUAUCUACAAAAUCAAGCUGCGGAGAUAAGCCUCUCAAAUCAAUGAUUAGCUGGAUAGAUAAUUGAAGUGCCAGAAAUGAUCAAUUAAGAAGAGCCGUGUUUUUCAGUUUCUUUUUAUUAUGUCAAUUGCAAAUGUAUUACGGAUAUUGAAUUUGGAACUUCAACAGUAUUCUCCCAUAAAAGGACAUCAGCUCCUUGAAGACUCUAAAAAUUGAGUAGACCAACGUUGCGUUGCAAAAGAUUUUCUUUUUAAAAAAAAAAAAAAUUUAAAUUUGGUGGUCCAGAUAUCAUUUUCUGCACCAGCAAAUCUGGUUUAUAAGCUAUUCAUAUCAUUAAAGACUUGAAGAAAUCAAUGAUUUGUGUGUGUCAAAUUGUUUUAUGUGAUUCUCACUUCAUGAUCAGCCACAACCCCCCAACAAAAACACUUUGCACCAAAAAAUUCGGGUAUGCCUUUCGAAUUGCAUAGCCAAAGGCCCCAUCUCUUAACACAGAUGACAGAGUUGUCAUCAUCAAGGCCAACACAGACAAAUUUAACAGUGAAUUAGUAAAAAAGAUCUAAAAUUGUCAGUCGCACUCAUUUGGUUGGCUACAUUCAAUGUGGCUUUCAAUUAAGAAGAAUAGACGAGCAGUGGCCGAUUCCCUGCAAUAAACCCUGCGUCCAAGGAUGGUUGAACUUGAAAGUUCAAACUCGGAAACCCAAACAAUUUCUUUGACUGAUCAAUUGUGACGGCCGGAGCUUCCCUUGGACCCAAGGCAACUAGUAACACCUACUAGUAUUUGAUAAAAAUCAGUGCGUGGAAGGACCAACGCCAACUGAUCUGAUAGACGCUAGGAAGACUUUGAGUCAAGGUCCUCAACACUCACACUACACGGACUUGGUAAUCUGAUCUGAUACAUUACGCGGCUGAUUUUCUUUCCCAACAGCUGGGCAUCACUUGAAGCAGCAGCUGUAAUGAAUGAAUGAAUUCAAGCGAAGUAGCAGCACGUUUUCUUGAUUUCUUUCCCAGUAUUAUAAAGCGUAUGUAUUCUUUCAAUAAAUUGACGACAUUAUAGCUACUUUCAAGCAACAUAUGGUAACUUAAAUUGCUUGAUUUCUCCACUUAAUCAUGAGUUUUUUGAUUUUGUAUUCUUCUUCAACCACCAAAGAAAGUGAACGUUAAAAUCAUUAUAGAUUUGGUCGGUGUAAAUAUAAGCCACAACUCCUCAUUGAUUGAUUUAAGGGAAUCAAUGCAGAUUUAAGUAAAAAUUAAGUUAAGAUUUGGGCUGUAGCCUGUAGGAAUAGGGGCUACACUUUUGCUUAAUUUCUCCUCCGUCGGCAUCAGUCACACCCACACACGCCCCUUUGUUUCCCAUUCUUUUCGACUUCUUUACCUAGCCAGCUUCACAAGCAAAGAAUAACGAGUGUUCUCCCGAUAUUGAAGACUUCAAGUGGCAGACAUGUCACAAAUUUUUCCACGUGGACUUUUGAAAUGCAAACCACACACACACACACACACACACACACACAAAAGAAAAAAGAAAAAAGACUUCUAGUUCUUCUAAUGAUUUAGAUCCCCCAAUCCAAGACUUAACACGUGGACGCUCGAGCAUAGUUCAUCGAGUUUUGUACAUGUGUCUAGACUUAAUAAAUGUGGUUGCUCUUUUGCAAUCAAGAAAAAAUUUCGUCGGUUGAUGUUUAAUGAUCCACACUAAUUAUUGCUAACUCUUACGAGUAAAUCAAGAUUGAUUAUUAGAAUAAUUUAUACGAGGUACCGUCUAGGUGAGAAUGCCCCACGCACGGUGUUGAUCUCACUGUUGGAGGUUCAUUUCCUCUUUACCCUCCCUCAUAAGUCAUGACCAAAACCACAUGAAAAAGAAGAGCAUAUUGCACAGAGAAAAAGGUUUAAUUUCUUGGAGAGUGUAAGAGGAGCAAAAGACUGAUACAUCAACCGGUAACAUCCGUUGAAAAUUAAAUGGCACCUAACUUGACAACUUAGAGAAAGCUACCACACAAAUCUCUUUUCCUGCAAACUCUUAGAAAACCACUCCUGGGCUCAGCUCUCAAUUAGACUAGGAAGUGAACCGAAUUGGUGUUUGCAUUUCUGCAAUGGCCCAGACGUCCUCCCAAGACAACAGAAUUCCUCUUUGAAGUAUGAAGCAUGCAGGGCUCAGCCGUAACAAACUGCAACCUCUCCAGCCAUCCCUGACAGACCAAGACAGGAAGAUCAAGCUAUCUAUAUCUCCUGCUUCUCUAAUCACGAGAGAGACAGAAAUGUUGGAGGAGAUAAUGCCGAUGGAUGGCGGCAUCGUGAGGAAAGAACUUGAAGCUUCUCAGGCAAGGAUCACUUUCCUGGAGAAGGAAAAUUUGGAGCUGAGGCAAGAAGUAGCCCGCUUGCGAGCACAAGUGACUACGCUAAAAGCCCAUGAUGUCGAGAGAAAAUCCAUGCUCUGGAAGAAGUUGCAGAGUUCCACGGACGCCAAGAUCACAGACAGAUCUCAGCACAAGCAGACUUUCGCGGUGGAGAAGCCAGAGCCUAAUCUCGCAUUGGAGGAGAAGAAAGGCGCGAGAGAAGAUCUCAUAAAACCUGCAGCUCAUAAAGAAAGACAAGCCAAAUCAGUCAAAUUAGCAUUGCCGGGGCCAAUACCUGAAUCAAAUGGAAAUAGGUUGUUGCAUGCCCCUGCAGCAGCGCCACCCCCUCCCCCACCACCUCUACCAUCAAAACUUCUUGGUAGAUCAAAAACUCUCCGUCGCGCUCCAGAGGUGGUGGAAUUCUACCGAGCACUUAUGAAAAGAGAUGCCCAGAAGGAGAACAGAGCUGGUUCAACAGGACAUCCGCCAAUCCUGAGUCCAAAGAACAUGAUAGGAGAGAUCGAAAAUCGAUCCACUUACCUCUUAAAUGUGAGCGCAGUAACAUCCAUUUUCAUCACCUUUUUAUAUCAGGAAGUUGGCAUGACUCCUAUUAACUGCACUUGAGCACAACUUAAUUGGAUUUUCAUUGUUGUUUUAUCAAAAUUUACAAAUCUUGAUUUUUUUUUUUCGAGGAUUUUAUUUUAUUUUUUACUAUACUACAUGUCAUGUCCUCGUGAUGCAGAUAAAAUCAGAUGUGGAAACGCAUGGGGAACUAGUGAGUUUCUUGUCAAGGGAAGUGCAGGAUGCAGCAUUUGCAGAUAUUUCUGAAGUGGAAUUAUUUGUAAAAUGGCUAGAUGGGCAAUUAUCCUGCCUGGUCGAUGAGAGGGCUGUUUUGAAACAUUUUCCGCAGUGGCCAGAAAGAAAAGCAGAUGCACUGAGGGAAGCCGCUUGCAGCUACAGAGAAAUGAAAAACCUGGAAUCUGAAGUCUCGUCAUACAAGGACAAUCCGAAACAGCAGUUGACAGAGUCCCUCAGAAAAAUGCAGGCAUUGCAAGACAGGCGAGAAUGUACACACGCUUGUGGUUACUACAAUCUGCUACUUUUUUAGAUCCCUUGAAAUUAUAACAUGUUUAAACUGAUCCGAGCGCAGAUUGGAGAAAAGCACUAACAACAUUGAAAGGGUGAGAGAAGGCAUGAGCAAGAAAUACAGAGAAUUGCACAUUCCUUGGGCAUGGAUGCUGGAUACAGGAGUGAUUGGACAGGUAGGUGGAAACACCGGAGAGCUUCAGUGAAAAGCUUUUAGUAGACACAGUAGUCAUAUUACUACUAAUCUUUCUUCACCUGAUAAUGACAUUUCAACGGCUGAAUAAUAAAAAUACAAAAAUUAUAUACCGCCUAAUUAAGAUUUAAGACUAGCGAACUCCUGCCACUUGACUUGACAAUCAGUAAUUAAGAGACGACACGAAAACCGUUUGCAAUUUGCCCUUCUUUUAACCCCAUUCCCAUCGCUUUUCUCUAAGCUACGGGGCUUCUGAAUUCUAAUUUACAAAACAUGUGAUUAUUAAUGAUUGAUUGUUUUAAAAUAUAGUCUGUAUUCUUUGCAGCUAAAGUUCAGCUCAGUGGCGCUGGCAAGGCAGUACAUGAAGAGGAUAGCUAAGGAACUGGAAAGCAUUGGAUCCGUCCAAGACGACGACCUACUAAUCCAAGGGGUUCGCUUUGCCUAUCGAGUUCACCAGGUGUUUAGUGUUUAUAUACCCAUCCUUAACCUCCCAAGAUUCCUAUGGAAUGGAACUUCCCCUUGCUAAACUUUUGCUGGGACUUUCUGAUUGAUUUUACCUUCCGCCACGUUCUAUUCUACACUAACAAUCAAAAUCGUCCAGUUUGCAGGCGGUUUUGAUGCAGAUACUCUGCUCGCAUUUGAAGAACUACGGAGAUUUAGUACGACCGGCCCAACACAAUAGUGGAAUUACAAGCUUCUCUAUGAAUGCAGAUUACAACCGAAUGUCGCUAGAUAAUGCGAGAUUUUUUGUGCAAGUGUGAUCCAUUUACAGAACGAUUGAAAGCGCUGUAUCGCUACCAUCUCGCAAGUGCAAUCCAUUUGCAGAAUUACUACCACUGGUACUACUCUCUCCGCUUAGAGACUUCACUAGGACCAUGUAAAAUAUUGACGCAGAAGUUCUUAAACAAACGCUAUUAAAUUUUUUUUAUUUUUUAUUUUUUGCUACCUCCUCAUUAUUAUCUUCUUUGCUCCACCAAGCCCAAAAGUUUAAUCGAAUGAUUUUGACAUUUACUCCGUAUUCUGAACUAACAAAUCAUCAUGCCCCUGCUACUAAUUUUCUAGUGCUUCCCAUCCGAAAUAACAUACUAGACGUAUUUCCCAUCCAAAAAGAUAUAUAUGAGGAUCCAUGAUGGCCUUGGAAAAACCAACCAACCAAAAAACAAUUUCUUCUACCAUACGAGAAGAGAUUCGCAGUAAAUGUAGUAUUGUUGGAUGUCUAUGUGAUAUGACACUAGAAACUGGAAGAUUUGCUCCAUUUCAAUGCUCAUCUGCAAGCCACAAUCCCCAAUGCAUUACUAUGAAAUAUUCCCUGGACAUUCAGACUUUAAAAUGGACUACAAUGGAGCUAUCCAGUGCAUUCAUGUAUGAUGCAAAAACUGCGACUUAAGUUCUUUCAGCACCAAGAUGGCAACAUACAUCAAAAAUGUAUUAGAGUACAACCCCCAACAAAAGUUACAACGAGUGCACCAAGGAAAAUUAACUAAGCAGAAACUUCGAUCAUGAUGAACAAUUUCCAGGCAUCUUAGAACAUCCAUCUUCUCUCAGCUUUAGCAGAAUAAAAUGCCUCGUCAGAGGGCCAUACAUGCCCAUCAUUCAAUGUCAGAAAACUAGAAGUAUACAAAUAUUUCAUCAACUUUUUCCUGGCAAAGGUCGUGUUUGCAGUUAUAGAUGUCUACUUUGAUAUCCCUCUAGGUAUGAUGAACUACUUGAUCACCUUCAAAUGAAUCCUAUAUAUGCAACGGGGACAAGAAUCAGGCCAUAACCCUGACCUAAACAGAGAAUUCCACCCAGUGGGAUUGUGUCAAAAUCCGUGAACAUGGAAAUGGUCUUCCUGGGAGUUGCAUUACACCCCGGAAAUUGCACUCAAAAGUUUUAUUUCGUUUAGUUUGACCCCUGUCCAGAUUAGCCACUCAAGAGUCACAAGCAUUCAACCCAAUUGCAAACACACCACCAUCCAACCAAAUCACAACAAAUUAAACAAAACUAAUAAGCCGAAAUCAACACGAAAAUUGAUCUGCCCAAUAUCACAAGACCACUUCCUAAGUCGGACUUUCACAUAAUAAUCCCAGUUGCAGAAUUACAUCAAGUACCAUAAAAACUAAAACUUGCAGUUAAAAGUUUAAGUCUCAACACAUCAUCAUGACACAACACGAUAUCAAUUAAAGAAAGAUUAAAAUUGCACGUUUAUUUGUUGCGGGGUUACUUCGAUCUCUGCCUCAUCUUUCGGCGCUUUCUCUUCAACCUCCUCAUCCGCUUCUUCUUCCACUGAAUAUGCAAAAUAAAAAUCACAACAAAUCAAUAUCCUUCACUUCCCAGCUAGAAAAUCAGACCAGCAUAUGAGCAAUAUAAAUUAAUGAUGAGUUGAUUAACAACCUUAGCUCUCAUUGUUGCAGAUUGACGAGGAUUUGCUUACUUCUUCUUCCCCUUCCUUUUUUCUUCUUUUGCAGUCCAAACAAUUUGCUGCGGCGGGGAGCAGGGUAAAAUGCUGAGGGGGUGGGGACGAUGCGAUAGGAGGUUAUAAAGGAAACCCUAGACCAAAAACUGCGUAUUGAGAGUAGUUUAUGAAUUGGGCGGUGAACUUGGGGUGGGUCCCUUGUAAGUGAAGUUUGGACCAAAUCCGACUCUCGCUGUUUUGAGUCUUUUGACGAAGCGAUCCGAAUACUUGAACCCGGCAUCCAAAGCCUGUAUGGGCUAAUUACGUUUUUCCACACCAAUACUUUAUAUAAAAUUAUAAAUUCUUAUUUCUUUUUUUUUUUCCGGAGACGACAACUAUUAUAUAAUCUAUCUAUCCUAAACUACAAGAGAGAAGGAGCCUAAAAAGGUUUUGUGUUAGGGACUAAUAAAUCACAGACUUUACUAGACCAAGAGAGUGAUUUGACAUAAUUCUUAAAUUUUUUUUGUUACAUGUGGGAUUUGAACCCCCACCUACAGUCCAAGCAAGGUCUUAAGACCCACCUAAAAUCAACCUUGGUAGCCACUGAGCUUUUGCGCCCUAUUUUUUUUUUUUUGGGGUUCGAAUGUUUUGCGCCGUAAUGUGUCUGAGACAUUGGAGGUUACUCCUAAUAAAAAACGUAGAAGAAAUUUUGUGUGUUACUUUGCGCGACCAAAUAUUAAUUAAUUCUCAUUCAUCAAUCAAAUGUAUCCAGACGUUGUCCCCACACAAUACAGGGGGUUAUGGUUUUUGUUCAUUUCUUGUAUUAUCAAAACAUUCCUUUUUUUUUUCCCUAGGAUCUCUCUUAAACCAAAAAAAAAAGAGAAAUAGAUCGAGAAUGAGACAAGAUUCUCAAGAACCAUCAAUUAUUUUUAUACCAGAGAAUUCAUGACUGAAGUCUUACGGUUCAAAAUUUGCAUAAUGGAUAUUAUAAUUUGGAGGAACUUUGGAAUUGUUAUAGAACUAUGUAGAGAUAUACGACGCUAAUCUGUAUUCACUAAUGUGUGUGCAAUUAAUAGGACAAAUAUUUAUAAAUUUUUUUUAUUAUAUUUAUUGAAAUCAUUUUGAGUUCAAUAGACGAUAGCUUUAAUGAGUAGUUUAUUAUGGGUGAUGCUGAAUAGAAGAUGUUUUCAACAAUCAUAGCAAUUAUCGUGAGUUUCCAAAAGAUGUGACAAUAGUUAUCAUCUUAACAAUGUACGUGAAAGUUGUAAAAUUGUUUGAUCUUAACAUGAAGGGACAAUUUUGGUAAAAUAAAAAGUAACAGCAAAAGUUUACACCAAACCAAACCCUAGCUCCUACUUUAUAGACUUAUUUGAAAUAUUAUUUGGAAUAAUUACUGUGGCACUUUUUGCGAUGUGAUGUAUAUGAGAUAAAAAGGUAAUUGGAAAUAUAAAAAAGUGAGUUGGGAAAUGUGUUUAUGAUGCAAGCGAAAUAUUAUUCGAGAUAUUUGUGCUAUCCAAACACUCCCAGUACUGAUAUUCAUUGGUUUACUUAUAAGGGAUAUAAUCAAAUUGAAUUGAACUCAAAUUUCGCUGCACUCGAGUUUGAAUUUGACCCCAAUAAUUACAUUUCAACUUCGAGCUCAAACUCAUUGAAUUUUUUAAUUUCAUAACUUGAGCUCGUCUAGAGUCAUUCGAACUCAAGUCGAGCAAAUUGCAAAUCCAUACACAAUAGUGUCAAUUUGCACGUAAUACUUUGGACUCAAAUCUAAAACAACAAUGACCACAAGAUGGGGCAAAGAGAGUGAUGAAGAGAUAUGGGAGAAACAGUGUGAUAAUAAAGAGGCAUUUGAGAGCUAGAGAGAGGAGCAGAACAGUGAUG